rnacentral:lncRNA from 1 species
CUACAUCAGCACUGACGAACACGAGGCACGCCAGCGCAAGGUCCGAGGAACCCGACCCCAAGCCCCGCGUAGUUUCAAACCCCCUAUUAGUACAGUACGACGUCCCUCGCAUAGCAGAGCAGGCGCAGAACCCUUAAACCCUCCCCGCCACCCACGAACGAAGAACCCCUACGCAGUACCCCAGCUGGGCGCGCGGGAAACGGAGCAGCGGCGGACGAAGGCGGCGGCGGGCGGCUGGGCUCACCUCCGGGAGCGGAGGCGGAUCGGGCGGCGGAUCUGGCCUGGGGAAGCGACAGGGGGGGAAUGGGGGGGAGACGCGAGGAGGGGGGAGGCGGAUAAAUAGAGGCGCACCUCGGGGGCGGACGUGCCGACGCGUGCUCCGGGCCGGCGCGUGGCGGAGUGGGCGAGGGGCUGGAUCUCGCGGCGGCGGCGCGCACGGUGCCGGAGACGGGGCCGAGUUCAGAGUGGAGCGGGCGCUGGCUGGCUGGCGGGCGGGCGGAUAUCCCGAGGGGGUGAGGGCAGAUGGGGGCUGUGCGGCCUGAAAUAAUAAAUUCCUGGCUCCUCCUUCGGGGACUCCGCCUCCCCCUCCCCCCUGGCGACCCCCCGCACGUGACGCCCCUCCCGGCCGCCAAGCGGACGGCCCCGAUCCGCCCAUCGCACGGCGAUGGGGUUUUGGUUCUUGGUUUUUCUUUUUUCCUCCUCUCCUUGCAGGUCGCUCGCGGCGAGUCUUGGCGAGUCUUGGCGUGUCCCUGUUUGGACGGUGGACGGCGGCAGCGAACUAGCGGAACAGUGCACGGACGGACGGAUCGGAACGGCGUCGUUGUUGGAUUAAGGUUUAGUGGUUGGGCGGAUCGGACCUGCCCCGACCGUGACAUCCCAUCCCUGCCCUGCGUUGCGUCGUCACCACCGGAGAAAGCAGCGUGCCAAACGCGUGUGCCGUUUUCCCCUGUCGGGGCUGGUCGCCGUCGCCGUCGUUGACGAUGUCGCGGAGGUUCUAUUUACGGGCGCGCGUAUAUUCGGGGAACACCUCGAUUUUUUUCGUUGCUUUCGCACUCAUGACGCGGGCCGUGUUUAAUCUAGGGUUCACGGUUGAGCGGAUCAUGACAUCCAUGUCGUUCAUUAUAUGCUUACAUGAUACUCCCUCCGUAUCGAAGGUUCUGUUUAUGGGCGCGCGUGAAUUCGGGGAGCGCUACGGCUUUUUGGUUGAUCUGCGUUCCUGGCUUUGGACGGUAUUUGAUCAAGGGAUGGCGGACGGUUGAGCGGAUCAUGACAUCAACAACUCCCUCCGUCUUAUAACAUAAGAGCAUGUUUUACAUUAGGGUAACAAUAAUAAUAGUACGAUAAAUGCAUGGUUUUUUAGUUUUGAAUUGGGAGCCGUGUGUUCUAUUUUGUUUCUAUGCAUACUGAAUUUGUUUGCGGGUCUCGUGCAUCUUUGGUUUUUAAUAUGUUGACGGUGUUUGAUUGUUUCUACCGUUAACGUGGGUAGGUGACCAUACGUCGUCUUUGGUCAUACGCCUCCGCCUCCCCCGCUUUAUGCCAUCACAAUGGUACGUUAUGUGUCGGCGUUGGGUCACGGUACUUCCCAUAACGAUUAUUACAUCUCUUGACCAUGUCGGCUCUGAUACAUUUUUUUUUGCGAAUCGGCUUUGAUACAUUUCUGACAUAUCUAUAUUUAUUAUUAUUUUAUGCUAUUGUCAUAUUACUUUUAUAUUGUUUUUAUUGGACUAACCUAUUAACACAAUAUCAAGCGCCAAUUUCUGUUUUUAUUGUUUUGCGGGUUUUAGGUGAAAAAUUCACGAAGUCAGAAUGACAAAAACUUUUGUGGAUUUUUUAUGAAAUAUAUCUGAUUUUUUUGUGGAAGAAUCAACCCAAAGACGAUACAUGUGGGCGCCACAUGGAAAGUCCGACUGGCAUGUAGCUAGACCAUAAGGCGGUUGGAGCUCUUCUACGAGCGCAAGAAAGCUAAUUUAUGAAGAAAAAUUGUGUAGAAACUUCAACCCGAUAAAAGUUACGGAUCUCCAUCUAUUUAUGAAAUAGUGCGAGAAAGUCGCGAAAAGAGAGAAACAGAAGAGGGGGGAUCCAAUCUCGAAGGGCUCCCGCCCUCCGGGGCCCAUGGACGCAAAGGACCCUUCCAUCUACGGGGGAGCCUAGAAAGAAGAAGGAGGGCUCUCUCUCUCCCCCUCUCUCCUAGUGGCGUGAGGAUGUCGCCGGGAGAACCAUCAUGAUGGCGAUCAUCUCCAUCAAUUUUGAUGCUAUCAUCAACAUCUUUCUCCUUCUCCGUUCAGCGAUGUAUCCUCUCUCACCGUGUUGUAAUCUCUAGCUAGUUGAAUAUGGUGUUUCAUGCUAUGGGCGAAUCGGAGCCGUCCGAUGGGUUGUGCGGCCUGAAAUAAUAGAUUCCCGACUCCUCUUUGGGGACUCCGCCUCCCCCUCCCCCGUGGCGCCCCCGCACGUGAAGCCCCUCCCGGCCGCCAAGCGGACAGCUCCGAUCCGCCCAUCGGACGGCACCGCGCUGCGCUGGCGAUGGGGUUUGGGGUUUUUUUCCUCUCCUUGCAGGUUCAGGUGGGUCGCUCGCUCUCGCGGUGAGUCUUGGCGUGUCCCUGUUUGGACGGUGGACGGACGGAUGGAUGGCAGAUUAGAACGGCGUCGUUGUUGGAUUAAGGUUUUAGUGGUUGGGUGGAUCGGACCUGCCCGGACCGUGACAUUCCAUCCAUGCGUUGCAUCAUCACCACCGGAGAAAGCAGUGUGCCAAACGUGUGUGCCAUUUAUGCUGUUGGGGCUGGCGUCGAUGACGACGUCACGGAGGUUCUGUUUAUGGGCACGCGUGAAUUCGGGGAGCAUGUCGAUUUUUUUCGUUGCUUCGCGCUCGUCGCUUUGGGCGGUGUUCGGUCGAGGGUUGGCGGUUGAGCGGAUGACGACAUUGACAUCGUUUAUUAUGCUUACAUAAUACUCCCUUCGUCUAUGGGGUUCUGUUUAUGGACGCGCUAAAUUCGGGGGGGCACUUCGACUUUUUCGUAGCUCCGCGCUCGUGGCUUUGGGUGGUAUUUGAUCAAGGGUUAGCGGUUGAGCGGAUCAUGACAUCAACAACUCCCUCCCUCUCAUAACAUAAGAGCGUGUGUUAGAGCAUAUUUCUUCAUAUGUGGUUUUGGUAAUUGAUAACAAUCCCUAUGGACUAAUGGUUGCCUUAAGUUAUAGUUGUAGGAUUUGUCCGUAGGCAUUUCUUGAAGUCCAUAUGUUGGUUUCAAAGAGUUUAUAUAAUGACCAAGGUGGUAUUCGAGGUUUUAUCCAAAGAUUGGUAAUAAAAACACAAGGUUGGUCAAGACUAAGUCAAAGAGUGAAUCAGGUUGAUCAACACACAAAAGCAUACAAGAUGUACCGAGAGGGAUCAAGUGAUCCCAUGGUAUGGUAAGCAUUAUCCAUUAUGCUUUUGUGUACUAACCCAUGGUCUUCGUGAGAGUUCUAUGUGGGGUUAGGUGUGUUUUCAUGGGCUUGCGUCAAGAGGAAGAUCUCUUUCGUCCCAUGAAGGAUGACGUCGAGUGGCGAUCAUCAUCAAGAUUGCGGUGUGCAAGAUCAAGUAGAGCAUCACGAAGAUAUCAUGCUUGAAGCUUGCCGUCCAUUGUGGUGGCAAUGGACUUGUGAAGAUGUGUUGGAAAGUGGUUCACCCAUGAUGAGUACAGGGGAGCAAUCAACUAGUCUUCAUCAAGCCAACGCAAUCAAGAAAGGUGGUCCAUCUUGAGGAAGUGAAGAUCAUCAUAUUCUAGCUCAAGUGGACCAUGUGCAAGGUAUAAGUUUGCCCUUGAUACGUUUUUCUAUUUUAGGAUAUAUUGUCGUACUAUGAAGGGGGGCUCUCAAGUGUGUAGCUUGAUCAUAUCGUUCCUUGAAAAGCUCAAACCAUUUGCAUCCUUGCAUCAUCAUAUUUCUUGGUUCUUGUUUGGAUUCUCUUUGUGAGUUUUAGAGCUUAUGGUCAUCUUUAUGACAAGCUCGAGUUCAUAGAAAACGAAGUUCAUGUGCAUCUUCUAUGAUGUUUUCAAUGUUGGGUUUUUUUUCGGUUCUUCAUUCAUAAAGGUUUCUCAUCUCUAUAUCAUUGGCAUUUUCAUAACUCCAUGUUCUUAAGAUAAUCAAUCUUAUUGGACAGCUCUUGUCGUCCUGAAUUCAACAAGCUUGUGUUUGCUCAAUUCGAAGCUCGUAUGCGAAAGUUAUGGCAGUUCCGGUUUUAAUCUGUUGCAUGUGGUCUAUCAUUGGCAUUACCCAGGCCGACGGUAGUGGCCCAGUUAGUACGGUUGGCCAGUACCGCUGCCCAUAAGUUCGACACCUUCUUUGGUCGGACUUUGUGGUAGUGUUGGGCAGUAGUAUUGCGAUACUACCGCUUUUUACUACCGCUCUUGGCGGUACCAUCGGCCCUGCCCCCUCUCAGUUCGACCUCCCUUUGCCUGAGCGGUAGUACCGCCCUGGCUCAGGCCGAGGGGGUAACGGUUGCAUUUUUUCCUUCCUAUUUAAGGGGGCAUUCUUCCCCAAAGGUCCCUGUCAGUUGAGCUUGUGUUCUUCCCCCAUUGUUGACCUUCUUAGAGCUUGCUAACUCUCAAUCUCUCCAAUCAUUCUUGCUGAUUCUUGAGGGAAAAGAGAGAGGAGAUCUAGAUCCACAUUUCCACCAAUCACUUUCUCCUCUAUGUGAGGGGAACCCCUUGGAUCUUGAUCUUGGAGUUCUUUGUGAGCUCCUUAUUAUUCCUCUCAUAUUCAUCAAUAGUUUUUGUUGUUGUGGAGGGAUUUGAGUGUGAGGGACUUGACCACUUCGUGUGUUCUUGCCGUUGCAUUUGGUGCAUCGGUUUGAGUUCUCCAGAGUGAUACGUGGAAGUGAAGUUUGAGAAGCUUAUUACUCUUUGGUACUUGGUACCUUAAUACUUGUUCUUCUUGGGUGCUUUGGCAUCCUAGAAGAUUGGUGGUGCCUCGGAGCACAAUCAUUGUUGUGGAAAGCUCCGGGCAAGCAUCGGGGUCUCCAAUUAGGUUGUGGAGAUUGCCCCGAGCAUCAUGUGGUUACCUCGAAGCCAUAUUCCAUCGUGGUGAAGCUUUGUGGCAUUGUUGGUAACCUCCAAUUAAGUCGUGGAUAUUGCCCCAACCUUGUUUGUAUAGGUUCGGUGACUGCCCUCAAGUGUCCCUUAGUGGAAUCAUGGCAUCUUGCAUUUGUGCGAGGGCGUGAGGAGAUUAUGGUAGCCUUAGUGGCUUCUUGGGGAGCAUUGUGCCUCCACACCGCUCCAAGGAGAUUAGCAUCCGCAAGGGUGUGAACUUCGGGAUAUAUCAUCUUCUCUGCAUGCCUCGGUUAUCUCUUACCCAAGCCCUUUAUUUAUGUGAUUUACUUUGUGAUAGCCAUAUUGUUUCUUGUUAUAUAUCUUACUAUCACUUAGUUGUUUAUCUUGCUUUGCAUAAGUUGUUGGUGCACAUAGGCUGACGUCCGAACCUGCAUAGCCCUGCAAUGUGAGGACUUGACGCCUUUCGCAAAGCUUUGGUGCAUCCUCCUGGAUAUGGCCGGAUGGAACGAGUGCACUGGUUAACAAUGACAGUGUGUUCGUUUAAUUGUUACUUUCUCUACGACGAAACCUUGAAUUUAUCUUUCUCUACAACGGAACUAUUAGAUGUUAACGGUGUCAUGCUCUAGUUAGUUAGUUUGGGUACGAUGAAUCUCGUUAACUAUGUUUACUCUAUGUUGCUUCUAUUUGUUAACUCUUUCUCUCCGUGUUCCUCAAGUAUAUUAUGUUGCAUACUACCAUUGAAUUUGCUAUAUGAUAUGCCUUUGAUAGUUAUAUAGAUCAUUUAUGGCGAGGAAGUGGUAUGUCGUGUACAUAGGAAGGGUUCCGAAAGUGUACGAUGAGUGGCCAGAGUGUUAAGCCCAAGUGUAUCGCUUUCCGGGCGGUAACCAGAAAGGGUUUGAUAGAAGAAGCGAGGCAAAAGCUAGUUAGUCGUGGUUCAUGCUAGCACGAGAGAGAAAUCAGAACCGACACCUCAAGAACUACUACAUAGUCCCACUUUUGCUCAUCGUGAUCGUUCUUCACUUCUACGCGAUUGAUAUGUCUCUAACGUAUCUAUAAUUUUUGAUUGUUUCAUGCUAUUAUAUUAUCUGUUUUGGAUGUUUUAUAUGCAUUUAUAUGUUGUUUUAUAUUAUUUUUUGGACUAACCUAUUAACCUAGAGCCAAGUGCCAGUUUUAGUUUUUUCCACGUUUUUGAGUAUUGCAGAUAAGGAAUAUUAAACGGAGUCCAAACGGAAUAAAAUCUCCGGAAAUAUUUUUCUUGGACCAGAAGACAUGCAACACACUUGGAGUAGGGGCAAGGCAGUUGCCAGGACGCCACAAGCCUACAGGGCAUGCCCUGGGGGGUGGUCACGCCCCCUGGCUUGUGCCCCCCUGCAGGUCUCCUAACCCUAAUUCUUGGCCUAUAAAUUCCCACAUAUUCCCAUAUCGCCAAAAGAAGCCACGAAAAUACUUUUAUGCCGUCGGGAGCCUCUGUUCCCGAGAGAUCCAAUCUGGAAGCCUUUUCCGGUAAUCUACCGGAGAGGGAAUUGAUCACGGAGGGCAUCUACACCAACUCCAUUUCCCCUCCGAUGAUGUGUGAGUAGUUCACCACAGACCUACGGGUCCAUAGCUAGUAGCUAGUAGCUAGAUGGCUUCUUCUCUCUCUUUGAUCUUCAAUAUCAUGUUCUUCAUGAUCUUCAUGGAGAUCUAUCCGAUUUAAUACUUUUUUGCGGUGUGUUUGUCGAGAUCCGAUGAAGUGUGAGUUUAUGUUCAGAUUAUCCAUGAAUAUUAUUUGAGUCUCUUCUGAAUUCUUAUAUGCAUGAUUUCAUAUCUUUGCAAGUCUCUUCAAGUUAUUUGUUUGGUUUGGCCAACUAGAUUGACAAUUCUUGCAAUGGGAGAAGUGCUUAGUUUUGGGUUCAAUCUUGCGAUGUCCUCACCGAGUGACAUAGUAGGGGCCUCGAGAUACCUCUCCGUCACACGGAGUGACAAAUCCAGUCUUGAUCCAUGCUAACUAAACGGACACCUUCAAAGAUGCUUGUAUAGUACCUUUAUAGUCACCUAGUAACGUUGCGCCGUUGAUACACACAAGGCAUUCCUCCCGUGUCACUGAGUUACAUAAUCCCAUGGUCAUAGGAAUGAAUACUAGACAUGCAGAAAACAAUAGCAACAAAAUGACACGGUCAUAUGCUACGUUUAUAGUUUGGGUCUUGUCCAUCAUAUCAUUCUCCUAGUGAUGUGAUCCCGUCAUCAAGUGACAACACUUGUCUAUGGCUAGGAAACCUUAACCAUCCUUGAUCAACAAGCUAGUCAACUAGAGACUUGUUAGGGACAUUGUUUUGUCUAUAUAUCCACACAUGUAUUUAUGUUUCCAUUAAAUACAGUUAUAGCAUGGAUAAUAAACGAUUAUCUUGAAACAAGAAAUAUAAUAAUAACUAUUUUAUUAUUGCCUCUAGGGCAUAUUUCCAACAAGGCUCAUCAAGCCUGCUCCUCUAUACUUUGGGUAUAGAUGAGAACAAUAGCUUCCUCAACUACCGGCUCCCCGCUAGGAGCAUAGCUCGCUACUCUCUGGCCGGCUGGCCAUGCCGCUGAUAACCCACAAGUAUAGGGGAUCAAUUGUAGCCUUUCUCGAUAAGUAAGAGUGUCGAAUCUAACGAGGAGCUAAAGGUAGGACAAAUAUUCCCUCAAGUUCUAUCGACCAUCGAUACAACUCUACGUACAUUUUACGUUCGCUUUACCUAUAACAAGUAUGAAACUAGAAGUACUUUGUAGGAGUGAUAGGAUAGGCUUGCAAGAAAGUAAAGAACACGAAAAUAAAACUAGGGGCUGGUUAGAUAAAGAAACAACUACAAGUGUCUAACGAGUGUGGAAAAGUGGUGGUAGGAGUUGCGGAAUUGUCCCUAAGCAAUUGACUACGUUACUAGAUCGAUAGCAAGUAUCAUGUGGGAGAGGCCUCUACUAGCAUGUCAUCCCUUACUUGGAAUUCUAUGCACUUAUGAUUGGAACUAUUAGCAAGCGUCCGCAACUACUAACGUUCAUUAAGGUAAAACUCAACCAUAACAAUAAGAUAUAUUGGUCCCCCUUUAAUCCCAUAUGAAUCAAUUUCUAUGCUAGGUUUGAAGCUUCUGUCACUCUAGCCUGCCAAUACAUAGUCCUAUCAACAUACAACUAACCCUAUGGUGUGAUCCACGCGCGCGAUCAUAUGAUGGGCACCAAUGGACAUCAACAUAACCACAAGCAAAUUAAACCAAUCAUAGCAAUUCUUCAAUCACCGAUAGGAUAACGAUAAUCUACUCAGACAUCAUAGGAUAGCAACACAUCAUUGGAUAAUAAUAUGUAGCAUAAAGCACCAUGUUCAAGUAGAGGAUACAGCGGGUUGCGGGAGAGUGAACCACUGAAUAUAGAUGGGGGAAGAUGAUGGAGAUGUUGGUGAAGAUGACGGAGGUGUUGGUGUAGAUCGCCGUCACACGAUGAUGUCCCGGGCGGUGUUCCGGCGCCGCCUGGAGAGAGGGGGAGAGAGCCCCCUCCUUAUUCUUCUUCCUUGACCUCCUCCCUAGAUGGGAGAAGGGUUUCCCCUCUGGUCGAUGGUCUCCAUGGCGGCGGAGGGGCGAGAGCCCCUCCGAGAUUGGAUCUCUCUCUUUGUGUCCUUCUGUUUCUGCGCUCCCAAAUUCUGCGUUUCACCAUUUCUUAAAUUCCCGGAGAUCCGUAACUCCGAUUGGGCUGAAAUUUUAACACGAUUUUCUUCCGGAUAUUAUCUUUCUUGCGGCGAAAGAAGGGCUCCAACCGCCUUAAGGAGUGUACACAAGCCUACCUGCCGUGGGCCCACCCCCUGGCCGCGGCGACAGGGCUUGUGGGCACUCCGUGCAUUGCCUCACGUUGAUUCUUCUUCCAAAAAAUCAUAAAUAUUCCAAAAAAAAUCCCCGUAAGUUUUUGUUACGUUUGGACUUCGUUUGGUAUGGAUAUUCUGCGAAACAAAAAACAUGCAACAAACAGGAACUGACACUAGGCACUGGAUCAAUAUGUUAGUCCCAAAAAUAAUAUAAAAAGUUGCCAAAAGUAUAUGAAAGUUGUAGAAUAUUGGCAUGAAACAAUCAAAAAUUAUAGAUACGACGGAGACGUAUCAGCCGCGAGCCAGGUGAAGGGAUCUUGUCACAUCAAUCCACGGGAUGUGACUGGGGUCUUCGGUUAAAGGUGAAGGAACGUCACCACAGGUACAAGAGAGAAGCGCACGCAUGGCUACAGUGUCAGCAGCCGUGCCGCUGACCGGCGCCGGCUCUAAUCCGUCAACCAUGCACGGUACCCGCACGCUAGCUCCCACUCCAUUACCCGGUCUGGCGUGGCUAUAGUGGAGACGACUGUACUGAUGACCAGCGCCGGAUCCCGCAAGACAACGCCGGAUGUACAGCACGCGUCCUGCGUGGGUAGCACGCACCAACCCCAUAGGCUGGUCGGCGGCUCCCACGACCAGAUGGGACCUUGCAGCCGGCGGGCCCCUCCAGCGACAAUACUAAACCAUAGUGGGGCCCCUCGCCGGCUAAAGAGGCUUCCAGCCGGGUCCCCCAUUAUGUACUUAUAUCCAUUUUGUAGGUCGGUGGGUUCGUCUAUAAAACCCUCUGAGCCCCCUCCAUGCAGAGGAUCGACCAUUUUUGCACGCACACAUACAUGAGAGGUAGAACUCGAGCAGGCUGCUCCUUCUUCCUCCUCCGUCUAACAGCUCCACGAGCACAUUGUAACACUCUGGUUCAUCAACCAUUCCGACAUGACUAGGGGUAUUAUCUCCCACGAAGAGCCCCGAACCUGGGUACAUCGUGUGUCUUGCUCGCUAGUUACCAAUCUCGUUCCCGGAGCCCGGGCUCGGUGUCCUUUCGACUCCAACCACUCUCGAGAAGCCUACCAUGGCAUAUGUCGUGAGGAAACGACGACACCCCCUCCGAGGAUGCCCCCAGAACACCUUAUUAGGUUCGGCAUUAGGCUGGGAGAUGUUUUUUUGCCGAAAAAUGGCCCAAUCACGCCCCCAGCGCCCCCCCGGCGGACGUCAAAAUAGUGUCGGCAUACCCAGGCGACCCCCAGCAUGCUGGGGGCUCUUGGGCGCCCCAGCGGAAGUUUCGGCCAAUCAUGUCUCUCCACAUCUCCUUUUUCUUGGCCCAUCUAAUCAUUUCCCUCACAAACUUUUGAUUGAGUGAGGUGUGGAUGGAAAGAUGCCCUCCCAUGCACUCAUGUUGUCAUCGGAUGAAGCAUUUGACACCAACUUUUUUGAUUCGAUGGUCUUUUUGAGGCUCCAACGGCUGGAGAUGCUUUUAGUGGUUAAAGAGAGAGAUAGGAACCGUAUGACUAAAAACAACUCUAACAGAUCCCGCAAAAGGCCGGCGAUCUACGCUUUUCCGUUCGCUUUAUGGGACAAGCAAAAUAAUGGCCUGAGUAGAUAACCGAAAAAUGGUUCGGUCCGUAAAAGUUUUACGAGAGACCCAUAAACCGCCCAUGCAUGGCAUAUAUGUGGGCGCCCGUGCGUUUUAGGGUAUUCGUCCUCCUUUUCCCCUUUUCUCCUCUGUUUUUUUAUAACAAACCCACUUUAUAGAUUAUGGCAUAAUGUCCAUAAAAAUAGCAUCCCGGAUACAUUCCGGGGACGCACCACACCAAACAUGACACUCUAGCUGAUUACAAGAUCGACCCAACAGAUGUGCAUCAACAUUCUGCUCCCUACGCACAUGAAAUAUAGAACAACUAGUGAACAAAGCCUUAAGUUGCUUAAUGUCCUCAAUCACAGAACCACAAAUAGAUCGAUCUUGGUCCAGUAAGUUGACACGCUGGACAACUGUCAAGCAAUCAGAAUCAAGCAAGACUUCAUGAAUUCCUUCACACAAUGCAAAUUGCAAUCCUCUCUGAAUUGCAAUGGCCUUCGCUAACUUAGGAAGGAUCACAUCAGGAACACCAAUACCAUAACAAACAAUGCAAGAACCUGAAUGUUCUCGCAUCACCACACCUGCCCCAUGCUCUUGUCAUGUGUAAAUAUGGCAGCAUCAACGUUUAUCAUCACCUUACCUGCCGGCGGCGGAACCCAUAAUAGUGUUGUAGAGGGUUCACGCCUAUGGUUGGUAGUAGUAAUGUACAAAUGCUGCACUAUCAUGUCAACAUAAGCUUUAACUUUCAGAGCCAGACUAGUAGGAUGUUGAGUAAUAUUUUCUUCUCAUAGUUUAUUUCUAGCAUCCCAAAUAUGCCAACACGUGAGUGCAAGAGCUGUGGCAGAAAGAUCAUCACAACUUGCCAAAAAAUCAAAGAUCCAUGUUUUGCAAUUUUUGAAUCCUUUCCGACAAAGAUGCAAGUUGAAGUAGGCUUUAACAUGAGACCAACCCGCUUUUGCAUAAGGACAAAAUAGCAAUGCAUGUUCUAUGUGCUCAUCUGCAGAACAAUGGACACAAACCUUAGAAGCAGGAAUAUGUGGCCGGUGAAGUUGCAUUCCUGAUGGCAAGCAAUCAUGAGCGAAUCUCCAAAUAGUUAUCAACAUCUUCCCCGGAGCCUUGAUUGCCCAAUUUUUGUUCCAUGAAAUAGCAUCACAUUGUAGAUUAGAAGACAAACCACGACCUGACCUGCUGCAGGAUACAAUCAUCUUUGUCAUCCUUGCCAAAUGAUAGGCAGAUCGGACCGAGUAUGUACCAGAACGUGCAUGUGGCCAUGACACAAAGUCAGUGUCCCCAAACCGACUGAUGGGAAGUUGUAGAACUUGAUCCGCAAUCGAUUCCUCAAAGACAAAUCAGACUAGUUGAGUAUUCCAAGUGAGGCCAUCACCAUCAAAGAGCGAAUUAAACUUCUGUCCAGCCGAUAGAGGAGUCAGCAGAUGUAAAAACUCUGGAUUGACACGAGGAAUCCAAUGAUCAUCCUGAAUCCUAAUGGAAGCACCGUUACCCACACCCCAUCGGACACCUUUCUUGACAAGCUCCAUGCCAUGUAGAAUACUUCGCCAAGUAUAGGAAGCAGACCGUGGACAUUUUGCGCUCCAGAAAUCUGUAUUUGGGAAAUAACGUCCCUUAAGGACACGAGCACAUAGUGUAGUUGGUUCCGUGAUUAGCCGCCAGCAUUGCUUGCCUAACAUAGCUUGAUUGAACAAACUCAUAUCUCCGAAACCAAGACCACCCAUAGCUUUCGGACAUGUCAUCCAGUCCCAUGAACGCCAAUGCAUCUUUCGUUUACCAUCAGCAAAACCCCACCACUGAUCCGCAAUGAUUCUCCUCAUUUGCUCGCAAGUACCAACGUGAAGAUGAAAACGGCUCAUAAUGUAUGUUGGAAUCGCCUGAAUCACAAAUUUUAAAAGAAUCUACAUUCCUUUCCUAGACAAUGGUCUAUCAGACAUUCCAUUGAUACGCUUCCACAUGCGAUCAUACAAAAAUUUGAAAGUCAUAGUAGUUGGUCGCCCCACAUCUGUUUGCAUGCCAAGAUAAGAAUCUUGUAGAGACUCAUUGAAAACACCAAGGAUAUGUUUAACCUCAUUCUUGAUCACCUCCGGACAACCAUUACCAAAGAAGAUAGAAGACUUAUCCAAAUUAAUCUUUUGUCCAGAGCCCUGACAAUAUAGGUGAAGGGUAUCUUUCAAAGCUUGUACACUCCUCCUGUCACUUCUUGCAAAGAAAAUACUGUCAUCUGCAAACAAUAAAUGGGAGAUAGCAGGACCAAGUUGACCAUUUUUAAUACCAUGUAGCACACCUUGGUCCUCCUGCUGUUUGAGCAAACAUGACAGACCUUCACUACAAAGAAGAAAGAGAUAGGGGCUGAUUGGAUCACCUUGACGAAUACCCCGGGUUGGCACCACAGGCUCUGUUAGAUCUCCGUUGACCCGGACAGCAUAACGAGUAGAUGUAACACACCUCAUCACCGAGUAUAUCCAGGAAUCAACAAAACCCAAUCGUGAUAGGCAACCAUGAAGAAAAUUCCACUCAAACGGUCGUAUGCUUUCAUCAUAUCAAUCUUGAGAGCAAAGUAAGGCUUUUUCGCUCUUUGGGAUCUUAUCGUAUGUAAACUUCAAAAGAAAUAAGAGUAUUAUCCGUGAUGAGACAACCAGGGAUGAAAGCACUUUGAUUCUCUGAAAUCACCUCGGGAAGAAAAACUUUAAGUCGGUUUGAGAGUACCUUCGAGGCGAGUUUAUAAAGGACAUUACACAGGCUAAUUGGCCGAAAGUUCUUGAGAUGUUGAGGGUUAUUAACCUUCGGAAUGAGCACAAUCACUAAAUCACAAAAACCAGUGGGGAUGGUUCCUCCAGUCAAGAAACUUCGGACAACGUUACAAAUUUCGGUCUGCAGAAAAUCCCAAUGUGUUUGAUAAAAAAGAGUAGGAAAACCAUACGAACCAGGAGCCUUCGUAGGUCCCAUUUGAAACAAAGCAGUUCUUAUUUCGUCAUCCGUAUACUCUUUACAAAGAGCAGCAUUCAUCUCAUCAGUGAUCUUGCGUGGAAUAGCAUCGAGUACAGAAGCUGCCAGUGGACAUGGCUCCAAACUGAAUAAUUGAGCAUAUAAAUUAUGGACCAUACCUUUGAUUUCGGACAUAUCAUCACACAUGGAUCCAUCAUCACGUGAAAAGCUAGAAAUUCUAUUAGUGCGCCUCCUUGCCGAAGCACGUGCAUGAAAGAACGCCGUAUUCCUGUCGCCCUCGCGAAGCCAGUCUAUCCUUGAACGUUGUCGUGCCAUAACUUCUUUCGUCUCAAAAAGCUCACAUAAAGAUUGUUUUGUACUUCGUAUGUCGUUAAUAUUAGCCUCAUUUGAUCCCCGCAACAUCUUCAAUUUACGCUGUAAUUUGAGAAUAUCUUUACGAACAGAACCAAAAGAAUCAUGACUCCACCUUUUAAGAGAACCGACGAGACGUCGUAGUUUAUCACAUGUGGACUGCAGAGACAUAGAGCAAUCUUGCCCUUCUACCCAAGCCCUUUCCAUUACUUCUCGAUAAUCCGGUGCUCUAAGGCAAGCCGCUUCAAAACGAAACUGUUGUUGCACCGGUGUAUCCCUCAUCUCCUCAGCCAGUGUGGAAAGCUUGAUUACAAUGGCAAAAUGGUCUGACGUGGUAGUGAUUACAUUCUCCACCUUGUAGUUGUUAAACAAAUUCAUAAAUUCACCAUUUGCAACAGCCCUAUCAAGCCUGACUCUCACAAGGUCAUCUCCAACUUGUCUAUUAUUCCAUGUGAAUUCUGGACCAGUAAAACCCAUAUCCACCAAUCUGCAUUCAUGGAAGCAAUCACGAAACAAAGACAUUUGAGCAUCUGAUCGUUCGUUGACCCCAAGAUGUUCAUCACUGCACAGAACCUCAUUAAAAUCUCCACAACAAAUCAACGGUCCCUUCCACUCUGAGUGCAGCCGAGAUAACAACUUCCAGAAAUCAUGACGUAGGUCACGGCGAGGUUCACCAUACACAAACGUUGCACGCCAGGGAAUGCACUCUUCCGUAGAUAUAAUCACAUCAAUGCAAUGAGAGUUAAAACCCUUCAGAGAUACAGUAUAUGGUUGUUGCCAAAACAAAGCUAGACCACCACUGAGACCAACACUGCUAACAACAAAGCUACCAGUAUACCCAAGCGACCACAUGAAAUUUUGCACCCUAGAAUCCUCCAUCUUCGUUUCGGAGAGGAAGAGGAAGGAAGGUCGGAAAAACCUCACUAACCAGCGAAGUUCACCAACUGUCGAGUCCGACCCAAGCCCUCGACAGUUCCAGCAAAGUAGAUUCAUUGCGUCUGGCGGGGCUGCACCGCAGCCUCUGCCUGAUCCGUCGAUCGUGAUGUUGAUGAGAUUCUUUGUUUCUUAUUCUUCUCUUGUGGUGAAAUAUGGUCAUCCACAACGUCUAUCUAAAAAGCAGGCGGUGUGCCCUUGUUGCUUACCGGAAUCAUAGGAAGCGGGGACGUCUCCUCCACUUCGUGCUGCACCUGAACUUUUAGCUGAUACACCUUUCUUUUCUGCCCAGAAAUUUGAACGAUCUUCCCUGAAACCGCGGCACCUGUCGAUCCAUCCACAGGCGUAUGUACAUCCGGAGAUCUUUCCUCCUCUGUUGUGAUCUCUUCUUUUCGAUGACAAAUCCUCUUCACUCUAGCAGUGAUUUGUCGUGCUCUUCGGCAGCCAAUCUUGACGGUGACAGCGUUAACGGGAGCGGGACAUGGCGACGGCAGGGGUUCGGCGCCCACGGUGGCUUCGGGUGUCGCGGCGGCUUCGUCGGCUGCAAGCGCUGCAACGACGACGAGGACGAGGCCGACGGCUCCUACCUACGCCCUCCUGUGUCGAGCGCGCAACGGGAGGCAGUGCCUCGCAACGCCUGAUCUAGGUUGGAGGCGUGGAAGAACUUCCACCGCUGCGGCCGGCUGUUCGACCGAGCAUAAACGCAGCGGCAACGCGCGGCCGAGCGGGCCUUCGUAGAGGCAAGGGCCGCCGCCGCUUCCCACGCUCUGGGAGGAGUACUAUCAACUCCAAACCCAACUCCCCGGUGAGCUCGUCUACAACAGCAUGUACGGAAGCGAGCCGCUGUCAACCGAGGUCAUCUCCAGCUAGACGACGGUCAUCCGUCCUCUGCUUGGCAUGGUCGCAUUAGCUUAUUCCAGACACUUGUAGGUGUUUGUGCAGCGUUUAUUCGGACAUGUAGGCCAACCGAAAUGCGCACUCUGCACAAAGAAACGGCAGAGGACAGAACGUUUGGCAACUACCCGAGCGAAAUGCUUGUUCCGCAUACACAGAAGCAUCACGAAAAACGGGACGGAAACAUGCCAAAUGAAAAUCAUACAAACAAACUGGAGGUCAAACAUUUCUACAAUAAAGCAUUACAUCAACCAGGACACAGCAGAUGAACCAGCUUGAAUUUAUCCAAAAGACAAAAAGAAGUCUUCAGACUGCCACACACGCUAGGUAAUAAUAACAUAACAUAACAACUCACCAAGGUUCCGACUGACUAUAUAAUGAUAAUACGAGCAAAGCUACUGCAGAAACGAGUACGGCGAUGGCCUAAAGAGCGAACAAGACGGCUUCUGCUACAACCAACCAUACGAAUACCAUGCCUCCCGGAAGGGCCGAUUCAGAGGACGCGACCAAGACGAACCAAUCACCUGAACUUCGGCUUCUUCAAGGGCAGCCCCCCCUUGGAGCCACCACGGUCUGGCGGCGGGCGAGACUUGUUGCCGCUGCUGCUGCCACCACGAUGUGGCGGUGGAGCAUGCUUGCUGCUGCUGCUAGGGCCACGCUGUGGUGGUGCGCCCGACUUGCUGAAGGUCUUGACCUUGCGGCGCCUCCUUUCUUCCUCGCUGUCUGAUUCAGCGCCAUGGUCCCGGUCCGCGUUGGUCGCCUCCCGCUCCAGCUCAUCCCAGGUCUUGCCCUUCUCUUCCUCAGAGUCUUCAUCAGAAUCCUCUUCCUCGUCCUCGUCAGAUUCAACCAAGGACGCGCUGUCAGAGUCUUCUUCUUCUGAUUCAGACUCAGGCUCAGCAUCAGAAGGCUCAUACCCCUGGUCUGAUUCCUCUGUUUCCUCUGCCUCGGAAUCACUUGCCUCCAUGUUCAGGAACUCCCAGCCACCAUCAUCAACAAACUUCUGAGGAUCAUCAAUGAUAGUCUUCAGGAUAGGACGCCAGUUCAGAUUCAGCCUGCUCUCAUAGUACUUGAGAUCAGUGGUGUCAAGCCACUCCUUUAUCGCGUCAAGUGAGGUUGACGGGAUGGAGUCGAUGCGGAGAACAUCCUUCUUGAAGUCCUUGAACACGAUAGCCAUGUCAAAGUUCUUUGUUCCAAAGCCCACCCUCUCCAGAUUAACAAUCUCUAUCUCGCCCAGGGUCACCACCAGGAAGGGAGUCUCAAUCAGCUCAACCAGACAAGUUGAAGUUGGAAUGAUGAAAGCUGAAGCUUUAUACGGAACCCCAUGGAAUCCAAGCUCUCUCAGAGGGAUAUCAAACUCCAGAUCAAGCCCCUUGAACUGUGGUUGCGACCAGUGGUCAUUAACCUUGUUGAUAUAGUUCUGGAACUCCAUGUUGAUUCUGUUCUUCCGGUCCCUCUCACGCUGCUCUUCUUCAAUCUCAUCAGGGUCAAGGGCUGAUCUCCUGCUGCCACCAACAGUUUGAACAACAUCCAUCACUUCAACAUAAAACUGGACAUCCUUCGUCUUCUUGUUUCCAACCAUGAUAUGAUUGUGCAGAUGGAAAUGAAGGAGUGUAAUCAUUUCUUUCUCUGCUGGCUGGAAGAAAGCAUGUUUUAUAUUCCCAUACAUGAUAUCCACACGCUCAUCGGCCCGUGAAGUAGAAUAUCUGAAACCAUUAACAUGGGCCUCAAGAGUUCCUGUCAGCUUUCUCCCACGACCACCAAAUGGAGGCCUUAUCCAGACAUCAUUAAGCCUCAUUUGCUUUGUUUUGGUGCUUGCCUGCUGGAGCUUCUCCUGAGUAACAAGGGUGGCCCUUUCAGCUCUCUCUGACUCCCUUGAAGCUACUUGCCUCCUCAAUGUUUUGAUCUGCUGGACAACUUCACUGCUAUGCCGUGGAUCCUUUGAGCGGAAUGUAAUCUCUUUCAAGUAGAUAGCUCCUUGAGACUUCAGAUCCUUGUCAUUUGAGAAUGGCAUGCCAGGUACAUUGAAGAAAAUGCGGAUAGUGCAGGUGCGGUUAUCCUGGUGGCUGGUCACACUCUUCACAGUAGAAACAUGGAAAGGGACCAUACUGCCAUAUAUAGGUAAGAGAACAGCUUCAUUCCUCUGAUCUACUUGAAUCACCAACUCUCUCGAAUAAGGUACAUCAUUCACAUUCUUGUAUGCAACAAGCUCAUUUGAAUUCCUAGAAGGACCACGGCCAUCGCCGGAACCAGAACCACCCCCAGCAAGCCUUCUAGCAGUCUCUUCAUUCUUUUGACGAGCAAGUUCAGCUUGGUGCUGUCUCCGGAGCUCUUCCUUGGACAUCUCCUGGUUGUCUGACCGGAGUGUUGCCUUGGAUGGUAGUGCUUCCACGCCAUUUGGCUCAACCUUAGCCCGCUUCGGCUUCGGAGCUUCCUCCUCAUCUUCAUUAAAUGAAUAUGCAACAUCUUUAACAGCCUUGGAGCAAUUGGUCAAGAUCUCUGCACCCUUGUCAUUAACUAAAGCUGUAUCAGCUAAUAACAAAGAGAACUGCUUUGUCUUCUCAUUGUUUGUUUCUGCCUGUAUAUUACUCAAACCAAUGUUGACAUUGAAAAUCAUGCCCUCUUUUAUCAGACGGUCAUUCUUGGCAUUCAAGUUUAAGCCAGAUUCUCGGAACUCAAGGCCAAUUCCAGUUCCAGCUGACUUUGUUAGAUUAGGAAGCAGUUCAGGGGCAUUCUUCUCAAACACUGCAACUGCAGCCUUAAAAACUGCAGACAUCUGAUUGCCGGGUUUACAUGCUGCUAAAGCAGCUUCCUGAGCUUUCAGAAGUGUCUCAUACGCCUUACUCUGUGCCGGGGUAGCAUCUAUCAGAAAUGUUCUGGCAACAUUGGAACAGUAGUUACUGUACCUGGACCCAAUUGCACAGAUAAUAAUACUUGCAGGAUCAUAGUACAGAUAAUCAUCAUUGCUGGAGGCACCUGGCCUAAGAUCAAACUUCCCUCCACUUUGAAAGACAGGAGGAUAGCAUAUAUCAAUAUUUUCAGGCUUCAACUUCACCUUGGCCUUCAAAGGAUCAAGAAUAACCUUCUCCGUGUCAUCCAUCAAUGAGGAGUGUGAGACUUUUCUCUCCUCAUCAAUAACCUUCUCCAUGGUUGGUACCACAAAGUUUUUCAUCACGGAUGAAGUUAGGUAAGCAGCCUUCUUCACACAUAUGAUCUCUGGGGCGUCUUUCACAGCAAAAAGCUCAGAAAACCCUUGUGUUACGUCUGCAAGUUGUACAGAUCCACCAGAUAACUUUUCUGCCCAUGUUUCAAGGAGCUUACCCUCAGGUGCCUCUUUUGCAAUGUGACCAACAACUGGAGUGCCAGAUUUCGACUGAGCAGAAACAGCACGCAGUAUUUCAUCCAUCAGGUCAAUGCCAUCCCCAUUCUUGCUUUUGACAUGCAAGACAAUAUCAGAACCAACAGCCUCACUUGCAGCAUCCUUGAGGGUUCCAAUGAGAUUUGCUUUCUUCUGGCUGCAUAUGAAAUGUAUCUGCUUCUGCGUAAAGACAAUUAUGGUUUCUGGAAAUUCAUAUCCAAGUAACCAAACAUCCAGAGCUGUGGAUUUCAAAUAACGGAGAUCCUCAGAAGGAGGCGGGGUAGCAAUUGCAAUGGCAUCAGAAGAAGCCCAAAGAUCAGACUUGUUUCCGUUCCAAUGGUCAUAAAACACCUUAAGCCGCUUUCUGAAGAUCUCUAGAUUGAUUGUAUAUGCUGCUCCUGAGCCUGACUUUGCUUUACCAUUAUCUGUCAUCUUUACCACGAAGCACACAUUAACCAAGCCAACUGCAGAAAAAUUGGUGAUAAUUAGCUAGUGCAAUCAUCUGACAAAUACAAGUUUACACCAUCAAAGGCAAUGGAUGUUCAGAAAAUAUUUCAUCAAGUCCCAGAUAAAUACCUCACAGAAAAAGAGUGACAAUCCAGGACGCCAAGGCUUAAUUGCUUAUCACAACCUUUUUAUCCUGGGAACAGAGCAUGCAAACUGGGUCAAUUGUUAUGAAUUAUAAUACUGCAAAAACAAGAAAUCCAGUCUUGUAUCAUUCCAACCACUGCCACAUUGGUUAGCAUAGAAGCACCGUAUGUUUUGAGACAAAAUAACACAUAUCUAUACAAUAAAUUCUUGCAAUGUUAAACACAUCAGUAAUAAAGAUUUAGGUCAUCAAGAAUGAAUUGAAGUCUCAUCAUUAAACAGCAUAAACUGCUACAUGGGUUAUGAAGCCAGGGAAAAAAUAGUCAGCUUAUCUGUUCAAUAUGAACAUGAUGAAAUCUUUUGCCUAUUUCCAAACUGAGGUCAAGAUAACUGUCCAUGAUACUAAAGUAUCCACACAUGAGCAAUCAUGGCAUACUUCAGGGAAAUAAACUAGUUCAAGCAAAUGAAGGUUAUUUGCAUUGACCAGUCUAAAUACCAGUUUACACUAUCAAGAUCAAUGGAUGUGCAGAAAGUACUUCAAGCCCAAGACAAAUACCUCACAGAAGAAGUGGUAGUCCAGAAUAACAAUGCUCAAUUGCUUAUCACAGCCCUUUUAUCCUGAAAACAUAGCGUGCAAACGGAUUCAAUUAAUCUGAAUUAAUACUGUGAAAACAAUAAAUCCGGUCUCGUAUCAUUCCAAACACUGCCACACCGGCAUGCUAGCAUAGCAGCACCACUUGUUUUGGGAUGAAACAAUACACAUACCUCAAUGGUAAAUUCUUGCAACGUUAGAGACACAAGUAAAAUAGAUUUGGGGCAUCAAAAAAGGAACUAAAACCUCAUUAUUAGAACAGCAUCAACCGCUAUGUGGGUUACAAAGCCAGGGAAAAAACAGCCAUCUUAUCUGUUUAAUACGAACAUACAAUGAUUUUUUUCGCCUAUUUCCAAACAGAGAGAUAAAAGAUAACCAUCCACGAUUUCAGUAUCCGCACAUUAGUAAUGAUUCCAAACUGCCAUCGCUGCGACUACUGAAGAUUCGGAGCGCUCAUAUAGUGCAAGACAACAGUGCUAGCUCCAAUUAAAAAAUAAAAAAUAAUUAAUCUGUCUAAUUUAACCCUUUUCGAAAUGGACUCGGUUGAAUUUAGUUUAGUCCUUGAGAAGUUGUAUAUGAGCGGAUAAACAAUUAGACGGGCGAAACUAGUGCGGGAAUCAAAGAGCGAAACGUGUAACCACGUACGCAAAUCUGAUCGUACCAACGCGGGCCUGAUUCCUAGAGGUUCUAGGGUUACACCGCGACGACGCGGGGAAUGGUACGCGCAAACCCUAGCUCGAAUUCCCCCGCAACCGAACCGCGGAAAUUUCACCGUAGCACGUCAGAUCCGGCCGAAGCGGGGAACGCGGGCGUGGUUACGGGGCGGGAGAGGCGGCGGCGACGGACGGCGAGGCCCGGCAACCGCGGGGCGGAGGACGCGGGGGAGGGUGGGUACGGGGCCGUGAGGAGGACGGGAGGAGGGAGGUUGGGGAGGGGAGCAGUACCUCGGCGAUCGGCGAGGCGAGGCGCGCCGGGGGACGGGGGCGGGCGUCCGGAUCUGGGCCACCGGCGAGGGGUGGGGGGCGAGGGACGGGGGAGGAGGAGGGGGAUGGGGGCGGCGACGGGGGGUGGGGGAGAAAAAGGAUUGUGGGGUGACGGCAGGAUGAGGAGAGCGGCGGGAAAUGGGUGCGUGCGGGCGGGCGGGAGUGCCCUAGCGCCGCGCGGGCUGCAGGCCCGUUUCCGCGGCUCUUUUUUCGCGAUUUUCGGAUGCGGCGCCGCCGAAUGCCGGUUUCCUCCUCCUCCUCCGCUCUUCUUCUUUUUAUCGUUAAUUAAUUGGCUAAGCAAAAUUUAACCAAUGGGUCGCCUCAACUACGUGUCGUGCGCGAUGAUUUUGUCAAUCUUAAAACUUUUAUGAUUUUGAUUUAAUCGUUGAUACAUAUUGUGUGAGUGUGUAGGUGUGGAGUUGUGUGAGUGUGUGUGGCUCAAACGAGGACAUGGUCAAUGGUAUGUCUUCAUAGUGUCGCCUCCCUCUAGAGCCAACUAGCACGGAUGCUAUAAUGAAUUGCCGGUUGCUCGAGCGAAUAGGCAAGCAAUGAAGGGGAAAAUGAAAUAUAGGGAUAUGAUCUGGAUGUGGCAUAUGGGUGAUGGUGUGAAUGUGUUUGGUUCGAUGGGCAAUGUCGAUGGUAUGCCCUCCCCACACACGUACCACUCUCCUCGCCCCAUCCCCCCUCUCCCACACACACAACCUAGAUGCAACUAGGCUCGGGUGCCACCUAAAGAUCCCGAUGGCUGCAAAGAAAAGGCAAAAAUAUAUAAGGGGGGAGAGAGAAAAUGGUGCGGACCAAGUGCACGGGCCAUGGUCGUCACUUGCAAUACCUUGAUUUUGUCAACGACGCAUCCCUGAGCUCAUCCAUGUGGCCAUGGCCUGAUCUGGUUGAAGACCAGCCCUGCCAGGAUCAGACUCUCAUAGAAAAAUAGUUCGGCAGCGUGCUGGAUCUGGGAGGAACAUGGUCGUCGCCGAUUCGCAUCGUCCUUCUUCAGUUGAGAUCGUGCCCGGAUGGGCGAUCACACAAACGGGUUCCUAUAGGAACGAAUGAGUGUAUGGCUUGUACCAACCAUCGCACAUCUCUGAAGCUCGCCCAGGAAGAGAGCGCAAGAAAAUAGAUCCAGAUCUGGUCACCGUCAGAAAAAACAUGUUUUAGAGGUGCUAGAUCCAGGAUUUUUUCGUGCUGAGAGAGCACAAUUGGUGAUGGUUAGGUAACAAAAGGAAAAAAGCAAGGAAAUACAAGGCAAAAAGGAAAGACAGAGUGUGGUCCGGACGUAGCGCAAGUGCACACGCCAUGGUCAAUGCAUACAAUACCUUGCGUCCGCCGGCGACAAGGCCUUUAGCCCGUCCAUCUGGUAAUGGCCGAGGUCUGUCGUGACUGGAUUACGACAGAAAAUGGCGCGAUGAUGCCGGAUCUAGGAGGAACACGGGCGUCGACAUCAAUCUGCGUCAACAUUUUUUGGUUGAGAUCGUUCCCAGGCGCACCAUCACGCAGUUGGAUGCCGAGAAGAACGAAGGAGUGACAGCUUGUACCAACCAUCGCACAUUCAUGAAGCGCCUCGAGGAAGAUAGCAUAAGAAUGGAUCCAGAUCUAGGAACCGGCACAAAAACAUGCGGUAGAGGACCUGGAUCCGGCAAUUUUUCAUGCCAGAAAGCAUGGUUAGUGGAGGAUGGGAUCGUACGGAGAGAUGGAUAUGGAAGGGGGGUUUGGGGAAAGAAGAUGCGUACCGGGACGAUGGAUCUGGAAUUUUGUAGUUUCGAGAGGUGAGGGGAGUAUGCCCCUCACGAAGUUGUGGUCUCAACUUGUGUGUGGGGGGGGGAGUAGAACCCAUCGGCUCGUUUUAUUCUGUUUAUGCGGAUGGAUGGUGCCACCAUAUGCCUUGGUAGCGUGGGGCCCGGACCAUGGUCCCGCGGUGUGUCAAGGAGGUCCACGAGAGAAAGCAAGAAAAAAGAAAGGUGGGAGAAAAUGGAGUGAGAGGAGGUGAGAAAUCUCCCUAUCAACUAGAGUGAGCUCCACCAUGGCUAGAUCGAGCAAUUGACAACUGGAGCGAGCCCCAUCAUGGCCAGGUCGAGCACCCUGUGUGGUGAUCAAGCGCCCUAGCGGCCAUAGAAUCUCCACCAUGGCUAGAUCGAGUGCCCUAGCGGUCAGAGGGAGUCCCACCACAUCCGAAUCGAGCCCCGAUGGUCUAAACGGGUUCCACAACAGACAUAUUGAGUGUCCCAUUGAUUGGAGUGGGCUCCACGACCGAAUUGAGCCCCCUUAUGAUAUGAACAGUCUCCAUCAUGGCCAUAUUGGGCGUUAACAAUCAUAGUGAGCUCCAUUGUAGCCAUAUUUAAAACGCCUAGACAAGUGGAGCAAGCUACAAGACAACCAGAUUAAGUUUCAUGGCCAGACGAUGCUUUCAAGCGGGUGCGAGCUCCCUAGUGGCAUGACCUUGACAAAAGAGGCGACUCAUGAUGGUUUUUAGAGAGAAAUAACUCACUUGCUAUACGAGGGAGGUAUUUCCCUAUCCGGAUGUGAUGGACAAAUGAGGAACUAUGACUAGUAAAAUAGUUGGAGAGGGGUAUGGCGAUGGUGGAUCCAUGCCAUGGUCACUUCGGUUUUUGGUAUCAGGUGAGAAAGUUGAUCAAUUGAUAGCCCCAUAUUUUCUGUCUGGGUGGGAUGGACCAAUAUAUUUAGUUUCUUGAAAUAAGUUUAUCUCGAUGGUUUGUAAAUGCAAGUUUAGUCAAUUAUUAUAGUUUAUAAUUGUAGCUUGUCACACUUUAUUAACCACGUGUCUCCAAUGUUGCGGACUAAGGCAUAUGCUAGAUUUUCCCACAGAGUGUCACAACGUUUGUUCUCAAAAAACUUCAAAUGAACGGCUAGUGUUCGGCCAGACAUGUGCUAAUUUUACAUCGGUCAGGUCAGGUCCAAGUAGUUGUUUAUCUUAUCAAAUUUCACUGUGAACCGUGUUGCACAUGCAAACCACAUAACCAAACACAUCCCACGAGGUGAUAUGAUAAGCUCUCGCAUCACGUUUGAUAGGUAUGCGAAAAAGUUGAUGGAGGGAGUGAUGCGGUAAGCCCUCACAUCGUGUUUUAUAAACAGUGGAAAGAGUGGCAUAACCUGUCAUUAAAAAAAACUGUCAUUCGAAUCCUGAUACUUUGUUUUCGUUUGUAUGGAACGAGAAUUAUAUAUAGUAUUUUAAAGAAAAAAAUAUUCCUAUACGUUGGCUAGUGAUGAUUUGUGAAAUUUGAAAGAUGAUAACAUAGGUACUGACAAAUGGUUUAGAUGCUUCAUGCAAAACAACACCACGGCCCAUUCGUUCCCUCCUUGUUUAUUUGAAAGAGUGAAGUUCAAAUUCGAACUCUACUGUUUUCGAGUUUUUAUCUUCUCAAACAAUCACGGUGAACGUGUAACUAGUGAGAGUAUAAAAGCAUGCAAAAAGGUCACCAUAUGUGUUCCCUGUGUGAAUGUGACCAUUUGAAAGUGCGUUAUAUCGACUAGAGGGGGGGUGAAUAGGAGAUUUUUAGAAUUUCAUCACUGAGGAAAUUCCUUUUGAGGAAAUUCCUCACUGAUGACUAACUUACAGCGGAAACAGUUAAGGAUCAGUCGUGCAAUCGUUCACAACAGCAGUAUUGCAGAGUGAAGAUUAUGAAAACAGAUUGCACAGUAAGCGGGCACGCAGAAUACAGAUGAUGUUUAACUCAAGUGAAGAAUUUGGGGUUGAGGAAAUUCAGAGAAAGUCUUCAGCAAAUUCUUCAAACAGUCAUAGUGAAUGUCAUCAACACAUAAUACAGAGAAUGUAAAGAGUUGAGGAAUUAGAACCCGAUUCUUGGUGAAGACAGUUGUUGAUGACCCAGUUCCAACUGCUGUGACAGUUGUACAUCUGGUUUGGAGCGGCUUGGUAUUGAAACCAAAGGACACCCAGUCCCGGGACACACAGUCCCUACCGUACUCUCCUUGAGCUAAGGACACACAGUCAUCGCCCAACACUCGUGGUAAGUCUUCAGGGCAGACUUCCAAACCCUCACAAACUCGGUCACCCGGCGAUCCACAAUUGACUGCUGGAUUGCUCUAGACCAUGACGCCUAACCGUCUGGAGGAUGCACAGUCCUCAAAGGUAAAAGGCUUCAGUCCCACACAGGAACAACUUCUUCAGUGAUGCUCAAUCACUAGGUUUGGUUUGUGGUUUCGGUGGGUGGUGUAUUUCCUCACUGAUGAUUUACUCUCGAAAGCUCUGAGGAAUUUGGGUUGCUCUUAUGACAAGUGUCAGUUUGUAACGGAGCAGCCAACCAGCUAGUGGUUGUGGGGGGCGGCUAUUUAUAGCCUGGGAGCAUCCCGACAUGAUUUGACAUUUAUGCCCUUAAAUAAUAUGACCGUUGGAGUGGAUAAGAUCAGUGACUUGGCGUGGCUUAUCGAAACGGUCGGGACUCUCAACUGUGAGAGUCCUCAUGUCACUCAUAUUCCUCACUUGAGGCUUUUGGUAGUAUUUGGCUUGGGUUGAGCAUCAUGAGGAAAUUCAUUCCAUAGCAUUACUUUGACCCCCUUUAACAGUACGGUGUUCCUAUUCAUCAAAUGCGAAGAAAGUAAAACAGAAAACGUAAAUCUUCAUGCUUCAAUUUCUUCAGAACGAUUUUCUUCAGGAACCACCGAUCUUCUCAAUAUCAAUAUCUUCAUGAGGAAUAUCAAUUUCAUCGCAAUUUCUUCGCGAUUCAUUUCUUCAGCUUCAGACCAAUUUCUUUAACUGAAGACAUAUAUUUUUAGGGGCCGAUAUUCUUCAAAUAUCUCAAACUCCUCAAUGACUUAUAGAUCCUGUGUACACUUAUAAACACAUUAUAUACUUAACCUAUAAGUCUUCAAACCACCAAAAUCACUAAGGGGCACUAGAUGCACUUACACCAUUGUUCCAUGAAUUGUGAGUGGAUGCGGAUUUAGAACGCAAGUUUACGUAUCCUUCUUUGGAAACUUGAAAGGAUUAUAUUUUCUAGAAUUUUAAAAAUCAUGCAAAUGUAGAGAUAAUAGCUAGAAAAUCUCCUUGUAUAUGUUUUUGUUAAAAAUAUGAUCGUUUGUGAGUUGUGCAAACAUCAUGAAUUGAGCUGCAAAGCAAAAUGUUAUGUUAUGAGUUACAUAACUCAAUGCACAUGGGUUUAUUGUUGGGAACGUCGCAUGAAAAAUGAAAUAUUUCCUACACUCACCAAGAUCAAUCUGUGGAGACAAACAUCUACGAGAGUGGAGUGCAUAUACAUAUUCAUGUAGAUCACUAAGCGGAAGCGUUGAGAAACGCGGUUGAUGUAGUCGAACGUCUUCGCGAUCCAAUCAUGAUCCGUCCCGGGACCCAAACACGAACGUCCCGAUCAAGUGUCGAAUGGAUGAUACCCACGCAUUCAGCACACAUACAACUCGAUGACGCCUUCACCUCCUCGAUUCAACGAGCGAGGGUGAAGUGGUAGAUGAGUUCUCCGGCAACACAACGGCGUAGCGGCGGUGCUGGUGGUGCGAUCUCAGCAGGGCUUCGCCAAGCGCUGUCGCAAACAUGUUUCUGAGGAGAAAUCAAUCUAGGGAGAGAGGUAGGGUUGCACAUAUGCAUUGGGGCGGUGUUGACCUCUCUCUACCUCUCUAUAUACAGGAGGAGAGGGUAGGUGGGGCGCAGCCUUGGCCCCUCCUCCAAGGGAGGGUUGGCUGGCCAAGUGGGGAAGAGUCCACCUCCAACAAGGGAGGCGAGCACCCGGGAAGGAGUCCCUCCUCCUCAAGGCACCUCCUCACCUACCACUUGGGCGCAUGGGCCUCUUUGGGGUCGGCUGCGCAGCCCACCAGGGGCUGGUGCGCCACCUCUUAGGCACAUGUGCCCCCCGGGGUGGGUGGGCCCCUCCUGAUGGACCCCCGGAACCCUUUCGACACUCCCCGUACAAAUAGCGGGACCUGGAUGUCCAUAUUAGUUCCUACAUAUUCUACGAAGAUCUUUAUCGGUCGAACCAUGAUGUCAAGGAUUCAAUCAAUCCCAUAUGGAGUUCCCUUUGUCCAUUGGUAUGUUACUUACCAGAGAUACAAUCAUCGAUAUCUCCAUACCUAGUUCAAUCUCGUUACCGACAAGUCUCUUUACUCGUUCCGUAAUACACGAAUCUCGGGCAAGUAACAUACCGAAGGACAAAGGGAAUGACAUACGGGAUUAUAUGAAUCCUUGGCACUGAGGUUCAAUCGAUAAGAUCUUCGUAGAAUAUGUAGGAUCCAAUAUGGGCAUCCAAGUCCCGUUGUUGGAUAUUGACCGAGGAGUCCCUUGGGUCAUGUGUACAUAGUUCUCAAACCCGCAGGGUCUGCACGCUUAAGGUUCGGCGAUGUUUUAUGCGUAUUUGAGUUAUAUGGUUGGUUAGCGAAUGUUGUUAGGAGUCCUGGAUGAGAUCAGAGACGUCAUGAGGGUUUCCAGAAUGGUCCGGAUACGAAUAUUGAUAUAUAGGAUGACCUCAUUUGAUUACCGGAAAGUUUUCGGCAUUACCGGGAAUGUACCAGGAGUGACGAAUGGGUUCCGGAUGUCACCGGGGAGGGCCAGCCCACCCGGGGGAAUCCCAUAGGCCUUAGGGGUGCCGCACCAGCCCUUAGUGGGCUGGUGGGACAACCCAAGAGGCCCUAUACGCAGGAGAAGAAGAAAUCAAAGAGAAAAAAGGGGGAAGUGGGAAAGUGGAGAAGGACUCCACCUCCCACUCCUAGUUGGACUAGGAUUGGAGGAGGACUCCUCUUCCCCCCCUUCGGCCGACCCCUUGAGGCUCCCUUGAGCCUCAAGACAGGUCCCUCCCCCCUCCUAUAUAUAUACUGAGGUAUUAGGACUGAUUUGAGACAACUUUGCCACGACAGCCGGACCACAUACCUCCACGGGUUUUCCUCUAGAUCGUAUUUCUGCGGAGCUCGGACGGAGCCCUGCUGAGAUGGAUCACCACCAACCUCCGGAGCGUCGUCUCGCUGUCGGAGAACUCAUCUACCUCUCCGUCUCUCUUGCUGGAUCAAGAAGGCCGAGAUCAUCGUCGAGCUGUACGUGUGCUGAACGUGGAGGUGUCGUCUGUUCGGCACUAGAUCGGAGCGGAUCGUGGGACGGAUCGCGGGACGGUUCGCGGGGCGGAUCGAGGGACGUGAGGACGUUCCACUACAUCAACCGCGUUUCAUAACGCUUCCUGCUGUGCGAUCUACAAGGGUACGUAGAUCCAAAUCCCCUCUCAUAGAUGGACAUCACCAUGAUAGGUCUUCGUGCGCGUAGGAUUUUUUUUUCCCAUGCGACGUUCCCCAACAGUGGCAUCAUGAUCUAGGUUCAUGCGUAGAUGUCAUCUCGAGUAGAACACAAAAGUUUUUGUGGGUAGUGAUGUGCGAUUUGCUGCCCUCCUUAGUCUUUUCUUGAUUCCGCGGUAUUGUUGGAUCGAAGCGGCUCGGACCGACAUUACUCGUACGCUUACGAGAGACUGGUUUCAUCGCUACGAGCAACCCGUUGCUCAAAGAUGACCGGCGAGUGUCGGUUUCUCCAACUUUAGUUGAAUUGGAUUUGACCAAGGAGGUCCUUGGAGAGAGGUUAAAUAGCAAUUCAUACAUCCCCGUUGUGGUGUUUGCGUAAGUAAGAUGCGAUCCUACUAGAUACCCAUGGCAACCACGUAAAACAUGCAACAACAAUUAGAGGACGUCUAACUUGUUUUUGCAGGGUAUGCUUGUGAUGUGAUAUGGCCGACGAUGUGAUGUGAUAGAUUGGAUGUAUGAGAUGCUCAAUGUUGUAAUAGUUAAUAUCGACUUGCACGUCGAUGGUACGGCAACCGACAGGAGCCAUAGGGUUGUCUUUAAACCAAUGUUUGUGCUUGCAGAUGCAUUUACUAUAUUGCUAGGACGUAGCUUUAGUAGUAAUAGCAUGAGUAGCACGACAACCCCAAUGGCGACACGUUGAUGGAGAUCAUGGUGUGUCGUCGGUGACAAGAAGAUCGUGCUGGUGCUUUGGUGAUGGAGAUCAAGAAGCACAUGAUGAUGGCCAUAUCAUGUCACUUAUGAAUUGCAUGUGAUGUUAAUCCUUUUAUGCACCUUAUUUUGCUUAGAACGACGGUAGCAUUAUGAGGUGAUCUCUCACUAAAAUAAAUUGUGUUCUCCCCGACUGUGCACCGUUGCUACAGUUCGUUGUUUCGAGACACAUACAACGGGUGCAAAACAGUUGCACACGCGGAACACUCGGGUUAAGCUUGACGAGCCUAGCAUGUGCAGACAUGGCCUCGGAACACAUGAGACCGAAAGGUCGAUCAUGAAUCAUAUAGUUGAUAUGAUUAGCAUAGGGAUGCUUACCACUGAAACUAUCCUCAACUCACGUGAUGAUCGGACUUGAGCUAGUGGAAUUGGAUCAUGAACCACUCAAAUGACUAGAGAGAUGUACUUUUUGAGUGGGAGUUUAGCAAGUAAUUUGAUUAGUUAAACUCUAAUUAUCUUGAACAUGGUCUAAGUCCACUUUGAAAAUAUUUGUGUUGUAGAUCAAUAGCUCACGCGAUAGUCAUCCUGAAUUUUAAUACGUUCCUAGAGAAAGCUAAGUUGAAAGAUGAUGGAAGCAACUUUGUAGACUGGGCUCGUAAUCUUAAGUUGCUCGUGCAAGCUGGGAAAAAGGAUUAUGUCCUUAAUGCUGCGCUAGGAGAUGAACCACUCGCCGCGGCUGACCAAGAUGCUAAGGACGCUUGGUUAGCACGCAAGGAGGACUACUCAGUAGUUCAAUGUGCAGUCUUGUAUGGCUUAGAACCGGGACUUCAACGUCGCUUUGAGCAUCAUGGAGCAUAUGAUAUGUUCCGGGAGUUGAAGUUUAUCUUUCAUAAGAAAUCCCGGAUUGAGAGGUAUGAGACCUCCGAUAAAUUCUAUGCUUGCAAGAUGGAGGAGAAUUCGUCUGUUAGUGAACAUGUGCUCAAAAUGUGUGGGUACUCAAACCGUCUAGCUGAGUUGGGGAUUGAACUCCCGCAAGAGGCUAUCACUGACAGAAUUCUUCAAUCACUGCCACCAAGCUAUAAGGGCUUUGUGUUGAACUAUAACAUGCAAGGGAUGAACAAGUCACCCGGCGAGUUAUUCACGAUGCUGAAAGUCGCAGAGUCAGAACUCCGUAAAGAGCAUCAAGUGUUGAUGGUGAAUAAGACCACUAGUUUCAAGAGAAACGGCAAAGGAAAGAAGGGUAAUUCAAAGAAGAGCGGCAAGCCUGUUGCCAAUCUGACGAAGAAACCCAAAGCUGGACAUAAGCCUGAAACAGAGUGCUAUUAUUGCAAGGGUAUGGGUCACUGGAAGCGCAACAACCCCAAGUAUCUAGCUGAUAAGAAGGCGGGCAAAGAAAAAUUAGGUAUAUUCGAUAUACAUGUUAUUGAUGUGUACUUAACGAGCUCUCGUAGUAGUGUCUGAGUAUUCGAUACCGGUUUUGUUGCUCAUAUUUGCAACUCGAAAUAGGAACUGCGGAAUAAGCGAAGGCUGGCAAAGGAUGAAGUGACGAUGCGCGUGGGAAAUGGUUCCAAGGUUGAUGCAAUCGCCGUUGGCACAGUUUCACUUUGGUUACCAUCAGGAUUAGUUAUGAACUUAAAUAAAUGUUAUUUAGUGCCUGCGUUAAGCAUGAACAUUAUAUCUGGAUCUUGUUUAUUGCGAGACGGUUACUCAUUUAAGUCAGAGAAUAAUGGUUGUUCUAUUUCUAUGAGUAAUAUCUUUUAUGGUCAUGCACCCAGUGUGAGAGGAUUGUUCAUAUUGAAUCUUGAUAGUGAUAAUACACAUAUACAUAACAUUGAGACCAAACGAGUUAGAGUUAACAAUGAUAGCGCCAUGUUUUUAUGGCACUGUCGCUUAGGUCAUAUAGGUGUAAAGCGCAUGAAGAAACUCCAUACCGAUGGAUUUUUGGAGUCACUUGACUUUGAUUCACUUGACACGUGCGAACCACGCCUCAUGGGCAAGAUGACUAAAACUCCGUUCUCCGGAACAAUGGAGCGUGCAAGUGACUUGUUGGAAAUCAUACAUACCGAUGUGUGUGGUCCGAUGAGUGUGGAGGCACGCGGCAUAUAUCGUUAUUUUCUCACCUUCACUGACGAUUUGAGUAGAUAUGGUUAUGUCUACUUGAUGAAGCACAAGUAUGAAACAUUUGAAAAGUUCAAGCAAUUUUAGAGUGAAGUUGAAAAUCAUCGUAACAAGAAGAUCAAGUUCCUACGGUCUGAUCAUGGGGGUGAAUAUCUGAGUUUCGAGUUUGGUGCUCACUUAAGACAAUGUGGAAUUGUUUCACAGUUGACACCGCCUGGAACACCACAGCGUAAUGGUGUGUUCGAACGUUGUAAUCGUAAUUUAUUAGAGAUGGUGCGAUCUAUGAUGUCUCUUAUCGAUUUGCCGUUAUCGUUUUGGGGUUAUGCAUUAGAAACAACUACAUUUACUUUAAAUAGGGCACCAUCGGAAUCCAUUGAGACGACACCGUAUCAGCUGUGGUAUGGCAAAAGACCAAAGUUGUCGUUUCUUAAAGUUUGGGGAUGUGAUGCUUAUGUCAAAAAGCUUCAGCCUGAAAAGUGUUUGUUGCUAAGAAUGGAGCUUUUCUCGAGAAGGAGUUUCUCUCGAGAGAAUUGAGUGGGAGGAAGAUAGAACUUGAUGAGGUUGUCGAACCUUUCAUCCCUCUGGAUGGUGGCGUAGGGCAAGGGGAAACCCCUCUCGUUGCGAUGCCGGUUGAGGAGGAAGUUAAUGAUGAUGAUCAUGAAACUUCAAAUCAAGUUCCUAUCGAACCUCGCAGGUCGACGAGACCGCGUACUACUACAGAGUGGUACGGUAAUCCCCUCUUAUCAAUUAUGUUGUUGGACAACAAUGAGCCUGCGAAUUAUGAAGAAGCAAUGGUGGGCCCGGAUUCCAACAAAUGGCUGGAGGCCAUGAAGUCCGAGAUAGGAUCAAUGUAUGAAAACAAAGUGUGGACUUUGGAAGUACUACCUGAAGGCCGCAAGGCUAUUCAAAACAAACGGAUCUUUAAGAAGAAGACGGAUGCUGAGGGUAAUGUGACCGUUUAUAAAGCUCGACUUGUGGCAAAGGUUUUUUCACAAGUUCAAGGAAUUGACUACGAUGAGACAUUCUCACCCGUAGCGAUGCUUAAGUCCGUCAGAAUCAUGUUAGCAAUAGCUGCAUUUUUCGAUUAUGAAAUCUGGCAGAUGGAUGUUUAAACGGCGUUCCUUAACGGUUUCCUUAAGGAAGAGUUGUAUAUGAUGCAAACCGAAGGUUUUGUCGAUACUAAAAAUGCUAACAAAGUGUGCAAGCUCCAGUGAUCCAUUUAUGGACUGGUGCAAGCAUCUCGGAGUUGGAAUAAACGCUUUGAUGAGGUGAUCAUAGCAUUUGGGUUUAUACAGGUGGUUGGAGAAUCCUGUAUUUACAAGAAAGUGAGUGGGAGCUCUGUGGCGUUUCUAAUAUUAUAUGUGGAUGACAUAUUGUUGAUUGGAAACAACGUGGAGAUUUUGGAGAGCAUAAAAGGUUACUUGAAUAAAAGUUUCUCUAUGAAGGACCUAGGAGAAGCUGCUUACAUUCUAGGUAUUAAGAUCUAUAGGGAUAGAUCGAAACGCCUGAUAGGACUUUCACAAAGCACAUACCUUGAUAAAGUUUUGAAGAAGUUCAAAAUGGAUCAGUCCAAGAAAGGGUUCUUGCCAGUAUUACAAGGUAUAAAAUUGAGUAAGACUCAGUGCCCAGCAACCGAGGAAGAUAGAAAGACAAUGAGUUCCGUCCCCUACGCUUCAACCGUAGGUUCUAUCAUGUAUGCAAUGAUGUGCACUAGACCGGACGUUAACCUAGCCAUAAGUAUGGCAGGCAGGUUCCAGAGUAAUCCAGGAGUGGAUCACUGGACGGCGGUCAGGAAUAUCCUGAAGUACCUGAAAAGGACUAAGGAGAUGUUUCUCGUAUAUGGAGGUGACAAAGAGCUCGCCGUAAAAGGUUACGUCAAUGCAAGCUUUGACACAUAUCCGGAUGACUCUAAGUCGUAGACCGGAUACGUAUUUAUUCUUAAUGGGGGUGCGGUAAGCUGGUGCAGUUCCAAGCAAAGCAUCGUAGCUGAUUCUACAUGUGAAGCGGAGUACAUGGCCGCCUCGGAGGCAGCUAAGGAGGGUGUCUUGAUGAAGCAGUUAAUGACGCAUCUUGGAGUGGUGCCGAGCGCACUGAAUCCAAUAACCCUGUUUUGUGACAACACGGGUGCCAUUGCCUUAGCAAAGGAACCACGGUUUCACAAGAAGACCAGACACAUGACUCCGUGACAACAGACCUUCCCCUGCAACGGCACCAGAAGAAUGCUGCUAGCACUCUCCGAUAAUCGAAACUAGAAGAAUGUUGUUGACGGCCCACGAGCGCGUGGGAUCACAACAGUUUUCGAGGGUAGAGUAUUCGACCCAAAUUUGUUGAUACGCCAAACAGGAGGUGAGAGGAUACUCUCAAGUAUUAGCAGCUGAAUGUGUCAUUUUCAACCACACCAGAAAGAUUAGUAUCUGCAAGCAAAGAGUCAGCAACAAAGUAGUAUGAUAACAACGGUGUCAGAAACGAUCUGUUGACGGCAGACUAUUCCUAACGAUUGUAUCAAUGUCGCCAGAAGUUGCCCGUUGAUGGAAAUUGUCUGUUCCCGUCAACGACCAGUGAAUCAAACUUGUAGCAGGUAGCAGCCGUGUAACGAGUAAUAGCAGUGGCAAGAAACAACAGUAAUGACAACAGUAGCAAGUAGCAACAGUAGCAAACGACAGUAGUAACAGCAGUAGCAGCAGAGCAAGAUAAGUAACAGCAGUAGCAGCAGAGCAAGAUAAGUAACAGCAGUAGCAGUAGAGCAAGACAAGUAACAUCAGCAGUAGGACAAACUCGUAGGUAAUGGGUCGGUGAUUUGUUUGGAUGAUAUUCAUCAUGCAACAGUUAUAACACGGAGAGAUAUGUGGCUAGCUCCCGUUCGUCAAUGUGAUGUAGGCAUGCAUUCUGUGUGUCUUCAUACGUGUUUAGGGAAAAGUACUCGCAUCACAUCUAUUGUCCAUCCCUCCCGUGGCAGCAGGGUCCAAAAGGAAACUACGGGAUAUUAAGGUUCUCCUUUUAAUAAAGAACCGGACCAACGCAUUAGCACUUGGUGAACACAUGAACUCCUCAAACUAUGGUCAUCACCGGGAGUGGUUCCGGUUAUUGUCACUCAGGGGUUGCCGGAUCAUAACACAUAGUAGGUAACUACAACUUGCAAGAUCGGAUCUAAAACACACAUAUAUUGGUGACAACAUAAUAAUUUCAGAUCUGAAAUCAUGGCACUCGGGCCCUAGUGACAAGCAUUAAGCAUGGCAAAGUAGUAGCAACAUCAAUCUCAGAACAUAGUGGAUACUAGGGAUCAAUCCCCGUCAAAACUAACUCGAUUACAUGAUAGAUCUCAUCCUACUCAUCACCGCCCAGCGAGCCUACAAAUAGAUUAAUCACGAACGAUGAAGAGCUUCAUGGAAUUGGAGAGGGAAGAAGGUUGAUGAUGACGAUGGCGACGAUUUCCCCUCUCCGGAGCCCAAAACGGACUCCAGAUCUGCCUUCCAGAUGAAGAACAGGAUGUGGCGGCACCUCCGUAUCGCAAACGCGACGAAAUCUUCUCUCUUUAUUUUUUCUGGGACGAAAGUGAACUUAUAGAGCUGAGAUUGGGGGCGGCAGAGCCACGUGGGCCCCACAAGCUUGCUAGCCGACACCAGGGGGGUGGCAGCUAUAGGGCUUGUGGCCCACUGGCCCACCCCCUCUGGUGGAUCUUUGCGCAGGAAUUUUUUGAUAUUUUCCAGAAAUAUUCUCCGUAAAUAUUCAGGACGUUUUGAGAACUUUCAUUUCUGCACAAAAACAACACCAAGGCAAUUCUGCUGAAAACAGCGUUAGUCCAGGUUAGUUCCAUUUAAAUCAUGCAAAUUAGAGUCCAAAACAAGGGCAAAAGAGUUUGGAAAAGUAGAUACGAUGGAGACGUAUCAACUCCCCCAAGCUUAAAACCUUGCUUGUCCUCAAGCAACUCAGUUGACAAACUGAGAGAGAAAGAAAAACUUUGACAAACUCUGUUUGAUCUUGUUGUUGCAACUAUGUCUAACUCAUAACCAGAAUUUCAGCAAGAUCACAAGUUAACCACAUAAGCAAGUGACACAAAGGUCUCACGGUAAACUAAUAUCAAUGGCAUAAUCAGCUAACGAGCAAAUAAUAAUGAGUUUCAAAUACCAACACUUCAAUCAAAACAAGCAUGAAGCAAUAUGAAUAGGUGGUAUCUCGCUAGCUCUUUCUGAGACCGCAAAACAUAAAUGCAAAGCACUUUCAAAGAUCAAGGGUUGACUAAACAUUGUAAUUCAUAGCAACGAAGAUCCAGUCAUAGUCAUACUCAAUAUCAAUCAAAAGCAAAGCAUAAAAAUGACAGAGGUGCUCUCUAAUUGGUGCUUAUAAAAGAGGAGGAUGACUCAACAGGAAAAUAAAUAGACAGGCCCUUCGCAGAGGGAAGCGUUGAUUUGCAGAGGUGCCAAAGCUCAAGCUUUGAAAACAGAGAUAAUAAUUUUGGGUGGCAUGCUUUCAUUGUCAACGCAAUGACCAAGAGUUCUCAAUAUCUUCCAUGCUACUCAUGCUAUAGGCGGUUCCCAAACAGAGAAGUAAAGUUUUAACUCCCCCACCACCAAUCAAUCACACUCCAUGGCUAGCCGAAUCCUCGGGUACCGUCCAUACUAACAUCAAUCCGGGGGGAGUCUUAUUUGACAGUUAUGUUUUCGAUUUAAGCAUGGAACUGGGCAUUCCAAUUGCCGGCCCCUUUCUCGUGAAUGACAGUGAACAAACACAUGUCGAGGAUAACACUCCUAGCAUGGAAGAUACCAAUAGCCCCCUGUCACCACAUGAGCGGUUCAGGCAUGCAAAACAUAUUAUUUCUUGAAGGUUUAGAGAGUGGCACAUGCAAAUUUACUUGGAACGGCAGGUAGAUACCGCAAAUAGGUAGGUAUGAUGGACUCUCAUGGAAAAAAAAUUGGGUUUAUGGAAGUGGAUGCACAAGCAGUAUUCCGCUUAGUACAAGUGAAGGCUAGCAAAAGAUUGGGAAGCGACCAACUAGAGAGCGACAACAGUCAUCAAGAUGCAAUGAGUUUGACUAACAUUGAAUGCAAGCAUGAACAAGAUAUAAAUCACCAUGAACAUGAACAUCAUAGAGGCUAUGUUGAUUUUGUUUCAACUACAUGCAUGAACAUGCGCCAAGUCAAGCCACUUGAAUCAUUCAAAGGAGAAUACCAUCCUAUCAUACUACAUCAUAGUCAUCUCAAAAUCUAUGUUGGCAAUCAAGACAAACCAUUAUAAGCUCUCAGCUAGUUAAGCAUGGCAUCAGAAACUAUGAUCUCUAAGUUGUCAUUGCAAACAUGGUUCUCUCACAACAAAGCUGAAUCAGGCAUGACAAGCUAGUCAUAUUUACAAAAACAAAAUAGAUAGAGUUCAUACCAGCUUUUUCAGUCUCAGUCACUUCAUCAUAUAUCAUCAUUAUUGCCUUUCAUUUGCACGACGGACGAUGUGAACAAUAAUAAGAGCAUUGGACUAAGCUGAAUCUGCAGGCAAACACAAAGGAGAAGACAAAGUAAUAUGGCUCUUUGAAAGCUAAACAGGUAUGCAUGCAAGAACCACUAAACAUUGUAACCAAUAUCUUCUACCUUGACCCAAAGAAAAAGAAAACUAAUUACACGGGAAAGCUCCCAACAAGCAAAAGAAGAAAGGAAAAUAUUUUUGGGUUUUCUCAAAAGGACACAAAACAAGAAAACGAAAACGAAAAUAAACUAGCCUGGAUAAUAUAGUGGCGAAGUGUAAACACCGGCUAACAAAGUGAAAGCAUAAGCAUGAACGUAAAGUCGAUGAGAACACGUACUCCCCCAAGCUUAGGCUUUUGGCCUAGCUUGGUCUACUUCCAAGGUGGGAAAUAACCAACUCCGGGAUACUCCGGAGCAGACUGUGGAUGCCACUGCUGUGUGAUCUCCUCUGGCUCCCACUGAUAAACCGGCGUCUGGUACUCGACUGGCGGCUCGGGCGCAUGCACCUGUGGUUGGGCCAAGCCCCAAUAUGCGUAGAUGUCCGAGGGCAUAAUAGUGUACCUGCCUGCAUGAAUAUCGAACAAACAAGGAGCAGGCAAAGUAAUAGUCUCUCGAGUACCCUGACUAAAUACCAGGUUAUAAAUCAUCCGUCUACUAGCAUCUCUAUCCGGAAAAUCAUGGCGAACCAUGCUGUCAUAAUCAAGAUAUUUCUCACGGAGAAGCAUCUCUCCUUCCUCUCCCAGUCUAAUGGGUAUCUCAAAGUGUCUGGCAAGACGGGUAGCAUAGAUACCUCCAUAGACGACACCCUUGAAACGGUUGGUGUUCAACCGCUGGGUUACUAUAACACCUAGGCUAUAAGUCUUAUUGUUAUAAAGGACUUCGCACAAAACAGCAAGGUCUGGAGAACUAAGUGAUUCAGCCUCCCAUGACCAAUCAAACAUUUUCCCACAAAUAGUGUGAAGUACCGAAGCACAGGAAAAUGUAUGCUAGCAAGAGACACUCCUCUCUCCUCUCCAACAACAAUAGUACCAAUGAAGUCCUCCAAGUCCCGUGGACGAGGGUCACAUAUAUCACCAACAUAAGGUAAUUUGCAUACAUUGAAAAAAUCAUGUAGUGUCAUGCACUGGGGGACAUCGUAUAUCAUGAACUCAAGCAUGGGAGGAUUCUUCCUCGGAUAAAAGUUGAAGCUUUGAACGAAAAUAUUGGUGAGGAGGAGGUAUUGUGAGCACUUAUCUUCAACGAACGUAGUAAGACCUGCGUUCUCCACCAAGUAAUAAAAGUCUUCAUAAAGCCGAGCGGCGCGCAAAAAUUCAUCACUUGGCCAUUCGCACGCUCGAACUUCUGUGACUCGAGGGACUACGUACUUGGGGUGGUUCUUCUCAUCCUCCUUGGGGUUACGGCUUGAGGAGCCUCUCAAGAACCUCCUCAUAUUUUCCUUUUUAUAGCUCUGAAAAAUUCUGAAAUUUUUAGAGACUUCGAAAGAAAAGUGAAUAAAGAUUAACCCAACUUGUAGAAACUACUCCUACUAGUGCCUAGAGAACGUAUCACGCGCUAAAACUACUUGGAACCAGCUAAAAUCCACAUUUCUAGCUCAAGAACAGGGUCACCAAGGUAGCAAGAAUACGCGAAGGAUAAAGCACUAGAGCAAAAACUAAUUGGACCAAUGGAGGAGUCACUUACCAAGGAGUAAUUUCCCCAAAACGGUUCGGAUAAUGGUGCUUUGAGCAAGGAGAUCGAAAAUCACAGCCAAAUGAGCAAGAACACGGGUUUGAGCUGCUAAACAAUUUUUUCUUGAGGUGGAAGAAGAGGAUGUGAGCUGGAAUGAGUGGAGGGGCUCCCUGUGGGCCCCACAAGCUUGCUAGCCUCCACCAGGGGGGUGGCGGCUAUAGGGCUUGUGGCCCACUGGUCAGGCCCCCAGGCCAGCUCUUAGGCCCAAUAUUUUUCAAAUAUUCCAAAAAAAAUCAUACUAAAAUUUUAGGACCAUCGGAGAACUUUUAUUUUCGGGGUAUUUUUCUCCAGGACGCUAAAACAGAAAACAGGAAAAACCAAACUAAAUCUAUCAUUUUUCUUCUAAGCAACAGAAAGUGAAAGCUCAAAACAGAGGUAUGUGACUCUUUGAUUCAUCCAUUUCAUGGUCAUCGAAAGAAAUCUGUCAAUGGGGUUGAUCAAAUCCUUUUGCCAAACCUUUUCGAAUCGCAAGAGAGAACGGAGAAUUUUCGAAUAGCCACUAAGUCACCUCAAUGGGGAUAUGUAUCUCCCCAACAAGCAAAUCAUACUUCAUCUUGACACGAGGAAUAGGGCAUUCAAAGCUCCCAAUAAGAAUCGAUGAAGUCUUUUCGAUAGCAUUGAUGCAAUGUACUUGAUAUCGUUUCUUCGGAAAGACUGUGUGCUCAUUACCGUUGACAUGGAAAGUGACAUUGCCUUUGUUGCAAUCUAUAACAGCCCUUGCAGUGUUUAAAAAGGGUCUUCCGAGGAUGACAGCCAUGGCAUCGUCCUCGGGAAUAUCCAAGAUAACAAAGCCUGUUAAGAUAGUGGUGUUAGCAACCACAACAGGCACAUCCUCGCAAAUGCCGAUAGGGAAAGCAGUUGAUUUGUCGGCCAUUUGCAGAGAAAUUUCAGUGGGUGUCAACUUAUCCAAUUCAAGUCUUCGAUAAAGACAGAGAGGCAUAACACUAACACCGGCUCCAAGGUCACAUAAGGCAGUUCUUACGUAGUUUCCUUUAAUGCAGCAAGGUAUAGUGGGCACUCCAGAAUCACCAAGUUUCUUAGGAGUUCCACCUUUGAAAGUGUAAUUGGCAAGCAUGGUGGAGAUCUCAAGAUCUCGUAUCUUCCGUUUAUUAGUCACGAUAUCCUUCAUGUACUUGGCAUAAGGAGACAUUUUGAGCAUAUUAGUUAACCUCAUCUGCAGAAAGAUGGGUCUUAUCAUCUCAACGAAGCGCUCAAAGUCCUCAUCAUCCUUUUUCUUGGAUGGCUUAGAAGGAAAGGGCAUAGGUCUCUGAACCCAUGGCUCCCUUUCUUUACCAUGCUUCCUAGCAGUGAAGUCAUUCUUAUCGUAUCUUUAGGUUGUGCGUUAUCACGAUUAACCGUAGGUUCAAUCUCCACAUCCUCAUUAUUGCUAGGUUGAGCAUUAUUAUGAACAUUGUUGUCCAUAUUAUCACCAGGUUCAUGUUCAUCACCAGAUUGUGUUUCUGCAUCAAACGCAGAAAUAUCAUUAGGUUCUUCAGGUGUGACAGUAUUUGGUGAACUAGCAUGUAGGUUUCUAUCAUCCUUCUUCUUCUCCUUAGGAUGACUGGGUGUAUCAGCAUUAAUUCCUUGAGAAUCUUGAUCAAUUCUCUUAGGAUGACCUUCAGGAUACAAAGGUUCCUGAGUCAUUUUGCCUCCUCUAGUAAUGACUCUGACAGAGUUGUCAUUUAAUUCAUUGAGCAAGUCAUUCUGAGCUUUAAGUACUUGUUCUACCCGAGUAGUAAUCAUAGAGGCAUGUUUACUCAGAAGCUUCGGAUCAUUGAUAUUUCUGUCUACACAAGCACUUAAAUGGCUAAGCAUACGAGUACUUUGUUCCAAAUGUCUGCUAACAUAAUCAUUGAAACUCUGUUGUUUGGCAACAAAGUUGUCAAAUUCAUCAAAGCAUAGGCUAGCAAGUUUGUCAAAAGGAAUAUCACUCUCGUCAAACCUACGCAGAGAAUUCACUUCUACUACUUGUAUCGGGUUAUCGAGACCAUGGAUCUCUUCGAUAGGUGGUAGAUUUUUGACAUCUUCAGAUCUAAUGCCUUUCUCUUGCAUAUAUUUCUUGGCUUCUUGCAUAUCUUUGGGACUGAGGAAUAGAAUACCUCUUUUCUUAGGAGUUGGCUUAGGAGGUGGUUCGGGAAUAGUCCAAGCAUUAUCAUUGAUCAAGAUGUUAUUCAGUAGAGUCUCAGCUUGUUCGACAGUUGGUUCCCUAAAAACACAACCGACACAACUAUCUAGGUGGUCUCUAGAGGUAUCAGUAAGUCCGUUAUAGAAGAUAUCAAGUGUCUCGUUCUUCUUAAGAGGGUGAUCAGGCAAAGCAUUUUGUAGCUGGACGAGCCUCCCCAAGUUUGUGGGAGACUCUCUUCUUGGAGUUGAGCAAAGUUGUAUAUUUCCUGCAAGGCAGCUUGCUUCUUAUGGGCAGGGAAAUAUUUCUCACAGAAGUAAUAGACCAUAUCCUGGGGACUACUCACACAUCCAGGAGCAAGAGAGGUGAACCAGGCUUUAGCGUCAUCCUUUAGAGAGAAAGGAAACAACUUAAGGAUGUAGUAGUGGUGGAUCUUCUCCUCACUGGUGAAAAGGGUGGCUAUAUCGUGUAGUUUGGUAAGAUGGGCUACGACCGUCUCAGACUCAUAACAGUGGAAAGGAUCAGAUUCGACUAGAGAGAUUAUCUCAGGAUCGACAGAGAAUUCAUAAUCCUUAUUGGUGAUAAAGAUAGGUGAAGUGGCAAACUUCGGGUCGUAUUUCGUCCUAGCUUUCAGAGAUUUUUCCUUCCACUUGAGAAGUAAGUUCUCAGCGUCAUAGGCAUCCUUACACGCAAGAAAAUCCUCAGCUAUCUCUCCCUACAUAAUGUAACCCUCAUGUAUAUCAGGCAAUUCAUAUCUAGGAGAGCUAGAUCUAGCAGGAGCAAAAGCAGGUUCUAUCUUAAUAGUAUCGGAAGUUUCAGAAGCAUCACGAGCAUUGGUAGUAAAUCUAGCAAUAUGAGCAUCAAGGAACACCCUAGUGGAACAUCAGGCAAAGUAGUAUCUCUAGCAGUAUCAAGCAUAGCAUCAUCAGGCAUAAUAGCAUCUCUAGCAUCAUCAGGCAAAGCAGUAUCAGGCAUAACAUCUCUAGCAUCAUCGGGCAUAACAUCUCUAGCAGUAUCAGGCAAAGCAUCUCUAGUAGUAGCAUCAUAAGCAUCAUCAAGCACAUGCGACAUAUCAAGAUUUCUAGCAGGAGGUGAUGUCGCAAACUUACUCAUAACUGAAGGUGAAUCAAGUGCAGAGCUAGAUGGCAGUUCCUUACCUCCCCUCGUAGUUGAGGGCAAGACUUUGGUUUUCGGGUCCUUCAGAUUCUUCAUAGUGAUCAGUAGAUAUAAAUCCCAAGUAACUCAGAGAAUAUAGCAAUACCUCCCCGUCAACGGUGCCAGAAAAAUGUUGACUCGGUGACAACAGACCUUCCCCUACAACGGCACCAGAAGAAUGCUGCUAGCACUCUCCGGCAAUCGCAACUAGAAGAAUGUUGUUGAUGGCCCACCAGCGCGUGGGAUCGCAGCACUUUUCGAGGGUAGAGUAUUCGACCCAAAUUUGUUGAUACGCCAAACAGGAGGUGAGAGGAUACUCUCAAGUAUUAGCAGCUGAAUGUGUCAUAUUCAACCACACCUGAAAGAUUAGUAUCUGCAAGCAAAGAGUCAGCAGCAAAGUAGUAUGAUAACAACGGUGUCAGAAACGAUCUGUUGACGGCAGACUAUUCCUAACGAUCGUAUCAAUGGCGCCAGAAGUUGCCCGUUGACGGAAAUUGCCUGUUCCCGUCAACGACCAGCGAAUCAAACUUGUAGCAGGUAGCAGCAGUCUAACGAGUAAUAGCAGUGGCAAGGAACAUCAGUAAUGACAGCAGUAGCAAGUAGCAACAGUAGCAAGCGACAGUAGUAACAGCAGUGGUAGCAGAGCAAGAUAAGUAACAGCAGUAGCAGCAGAGCAAGACAAGUAACAACAACAGUGGGACAAACUCGUAGGUAAUGGGUCGGUGAUUUGUUUGGAUGAUAUUCAUCAUGCAACAGUUAUAACACGGAGAGAUAUGUGGCUAGCUCCCGUUUGUCAAUGUGAUGUAGGCAUGCAUUCCGUGUGUCGUCAUACGUGCUUAGGGAAAAGAACUUGCAUGACAUCUAUUGUCCAUCCCUCCCGUGGCAGCGGGGUCCAAAAGGAAACUAGGGAUAUUAAGGUUCUCCUUUUAAUAAAGAACCAGGCCAACGCAUUAGCACUUGGUGAACACAUGAACUCCUCAAACUAUGGUCAUCACCGGGAGUGGUUCCGGUUAUUGUCACUUUGGGGUUGCUGGACCGUAACACAUAGUAGGUAACUACAACUUGCAAGAUCGGAUCUAAAACACACAUAUAUUGGUGACAACAUAAUAAUUUCGGCAAAAUAGUAGCAACAAUCUCAUAACAUAGUGGAUACUACGGAUCAAUCCCCGUCAAAACUAACUCGAUUACAUGAUAGAUCUCAUCCUACUCAUCACCGCCCAGCGAGCCUACGAAUAGAUUACUCAUGAACGAUGAAGAACUUCAUGGAAUUGGAGAGGGAAGAAGGUUGAUGAUGACGAUUGAUGUCUACUACGCAACCUUCUCCGUGUAGACGUUGUUGGGCCUCCAAGUGCAGAGGGUUGUAGGACAGUAGCAAUUUUCCCUCAAGUGGGUGACCUAAGGUUUAUCAAUCCGCGGGAGGCGUAGGAUGAAGAUGGUCUCUCUCAAACAACCCUGAAACCAAAUAACAAAGAGUCUGUUGUGUCCCCAACACACCUAAUACAAUGGUAAAUUGUAUAGGUGCACUAGUUCGGCGAAGAGAUGGUGAAACAAGUGCAAUAUGGAUGGUAGAUAUAGGUUUUUGUAAUCUGAAAUUACAAAAACAGCAAGGUAACUAGUAACAAAAGUGAGCACGAACGGUAUUGCAAUGCGUGGAAACAAGGCCUAGGGUUCAUACUUUCACUAGUGAAGUUCUCUCAACAAUGAUAACAUAAUUGGAUCAUAUAACUAGCCCUCAACAUGCAACAAAGAGUCACUCCAAAGUCACUAAUAGCGGGGAACAAACGAAGAGAUUAUUGUCGGGUACGAAACCACCACAAAGUUAUUCUUUCUGAUCGAUCUAUCAUAGAGUUCGUACUAGAAUAACACCUUAAGAUACAUAUCAACCAAGACCCUCAUGUCACCUAGAUACUCCAUUGUCACCUCAAGUAUCCGUGGGUAUGAUUAUACGAUAUGCAUCACACAAUCUCAGAAUCAUCUAUUCAACCAACACAUAGAACUUCAAAGAGUGCCCCAAAGUUUCUACCAGAGAGUCAAAACGUGUGCCAACCCCUGUGCAUAGGUUCCCAAUGUCACGAACCCGCAAGUUGAUCACCAAAACAUACAUCAAGUACUCACAUGAAUCCACGUGUGCCAACCCAUAUGCAUAGGUUCCCAAUUGUCACAAACCCGCAAGUUGAUCACAGCAGAUAGACACGUGCAAGACAUACAUCAAGUGUUCUCAAAGACUCAAUCCGAUAAAAUAACUCCAAAGGGGAAACUCAAUUCAUUACAAGAGGGAGAGGGGGAAGAACAUCAUAAGAUCCAACUAUAGUAGCAAAGCCCAUGGUACAUCGAGAUCAAGACAUCUCAAGAACACGAGAGAGAGAUCAAACACAUAGCUACUGGUACAUACCCUCAGCCCCGAGGGGGAACUACUCCCUCCUCGUCAUGGAGAUCGCCGGGAUGAUGAAGAUGGCCACCGGAGAUGGAUUCCCCCUCCGGCAGGGUGCCGGAACGAGCUCCAGAUUGGUUUUUGGUGGCUACAGAGGCUUGCGACGGCGGAACUCCCGGUCUAGGUUUCUUUUGGGGGGUUUCUGAAUUUAUAGGAAUUUAUGGUGGUAGAAUUGCGUCAGUUGGGCCCACGAGGAGGUCACAAGCGUGCGCGCCACCACCGUUGGGGGGCGGGUGGUGGCGGCGUGAGGGCUUGUGACUCCCUCGUGGCCCAUCUGGCCUUCUCCCAAAGCUUCGGGGGUCUCUUUUGGUCCAAAAAAAAUCAUCGUAAAGUUUCAUUCCAUUUGGACUCCGUCUGAAAAUGGGCCAAAAACACGGAUAAAACAGAAACCGGCACUUGGCACUGAGUUAAUAGGUUAGUCCCAAAAAAGAUAUAAAAUAGCAUAUUCAUGCAUAUAAAACAUCCAAAGUUGACAAGAUAAUAGCAUGGAACCAUAAAAAAUUAUAGAUACGUUGGAGAAGUAUCAACGAUGGCGACGAUUUCCCCUCUCCGGAGCCCAAAACGGACUCCAGAUCUACCCUCCAGAUGAAGAACAUGAUGUGGCGGCGCCUCCGUAUCGCAAACGCGACGAAAUCUUCUCUCUUUAUUUUUUCUGGGACGACAGUGAACUUAUAGAGCUGAGAUUGGGGGCGGCAGAGCCACGUGGGCCCCACAAGCUUGCUAGCCGCCACCAGGGGGUGGCGGCUACAUGGCUUGUGGCCCACUGGCCCACCCCCUCAGGUGGAUCUUUGCGCAGGUAUUUUUCAUAUUUUUCAGAAAUAUUCUCCGUAAAUUUUCAGGACGUUGUGAGAACUUUCAUUUCUGCACAAAAACAACACGAAGGCAAUUCUGCUGAAAACAGCGUCAGUCCAGGUUAGUUCCAUUCGAAUCAUGCAAAUUAGAUUCCAAAACAAGGGCAAAAGAGUUAGAAAAAGUAGAUACGAUGGAGACGUAUCAACACAUCAAACGACGCUUCAACCUCAUCCGUGACUACGUCAAGGAGGAGGACGUGAAUAUCUGCAAAGUGCACACGGAUCUGAAUGUGGUAGACCCGCUGACUAAACCUCUUCCAGGGGCAUAGCAUGAUCAACACCAGAACUGUAUGGGUGUUAGAUUUAUUACAAUGUAAUUCACAUGACGAUGUGAGGGCUAGCUUAUUGACUCUAGUGCAAGUGGGAGAUUAUUGGAAUUAUGCCCUAGAGGCAAUGAUAAAUAAGUUAUUAUUAUAAUUCCUGUAUCAAGAUAUUCAUUUAUUAUCCAUGCUAUAACUGUGUUGAAUGAAGACUUAGAUACAUGUGUGGAUACAUAGACAAAACACUGUCCCUAGCAAGCCUCUAGUUGGCUAGCCAGUUGACCAAGGAUAGUCAAGGUCUUCUGACUAUGUGCAAGGUGUUGUUGCUUGAUAACCGGAUCACAUCAUUGGGUGAAUCAUGUGAUGGACUAGACCCAAACUAAUGAACGUAGCAUGUUGAUCGUGUCAUUUUGUUGCUACUGUUUUCUGCGUGUCAAGUAUUUAUUCCUAUGACCAUGAGAUCAUAUAACUCACUGGCAACAGAGGAAUACCUUGUGUGUAUCAAACGUCACAACGUAACUGAGUGACUAUAAAGAUGCUCUACAGGUAUCUCCGAAGGUGUCCGUUGAGUUAGUAUGUAUCAAGACUGGGAUUUGUCACUCCGUGUGACGGAGAGGUAUCUCGGGACCCACUCGGUAAUACAACAUCACACACAAGCCUUGCAAGCAAAGUGACUUAGUGUAAGUCACGGGAUCUUGUAUUACGGAACGAGUAAAAAGACUUGACGGUAAAUGAGAUUGAAAUAGGUAUGCAGAUUUAUGAAGCUUUAACAAUGAGACUUGUUAAAAUAAUAUUUGAGAUUUAUUUUCUACUAUUACUAAACAAUGUACUGUAUACACGUUUGUAUAUCUAUGUGUAUGUGCAUAUUUUUCAAAUAUUAUUGAAUAUUAUGGUAGAGAUUUCUAAUUUAUAUACACACUAACAAAUAUUUUAAUAGUGGUUUCUAGUGUCUAUUAGGUAAAUUUAUGGAAAUUUCUAGGCAUAGAAAAAGUGGCCUCCAAGUUGGGUUCAGUAAUAGAAUCAUCGAAGAACCAAAAAUGUUGUUGAUUGUAUUUUUACGUAUGAUUCGAUUACCUAACGUGCUUGUUGAGGUUCACUUGGUUGGAUUUCGUGCAAAUGAGAUGCCUACAGACAUUAUGUAUUGGUUUAAACAUUAUAUCUAGUCACAUAAUUUUUAUUAUAAUACUAAGACAUGCAUAAUAAAGAGAGACUAGUGUAUUUCAACUCAAGUUCGCUAGUCGGCUAAAUUUGCCUACACCUGGUAUAACUGAUUUGUAUGUGAUGUGAACUUACACUUUUGCAAAAUGAGGCUUUAUUUUAUCCAUUUAAUAAUCUAUAAAUAUAAUGUGUACUUGUAUUGUCCUUACUAAUAUAAGUUUGUAACGUCCAAGAUGCGACCCUAUCCUUAUUUUAGCGUGAGGGCCUCGAUAGGGAUAGAAGCCAUUUCGUCGUUUCGCAAGAAUGGAUAUCAUUACAAGUACAUGUACUGAAGAGAAGAGUAUAUGAAAUUGGCUUACACUCACCACAAUUUACAUUAGAGUCACAUCAGUACAAUACAUAAAUAUCACGAGAAAGAGCAGGGUCCGACUACGGACAAAAAAAACGAGAAAAGAACGACGUCCAUCCUUGCUAUCCCAGGCUGCCGGCCUGGAACCCAUACUAGAUCGACGAAGAGGAAGAACAAGAAACUCCAAAUGAACAAUCAUCGCGCUCACGUCUUAAUAUCCUUACAUGUACCUGCAACUGGUGUUGUAGUAAUUCGUGAGCCAGAGGGGACUCAACAAUGUCAUUUUCAAAGGUAUCAAGAUUAGCAAAGCUUUAUGGGUGAGGUAUAGUUAAGUGGUGAUGCUGCAACAAGCGACUAAGCAUAUAUUUAGUGGCUAACUUACGGGUACAGAAUAGAGAGGGGGAAGAUCUAUGCACAGCGGACGUGAACUACUGAUGAUCAAAUGAAUGAUCCUGAACACCUACUUACGUCAGACAUAACCCCACCGUGUCCUCGAUCGGAGAAGGAGCUCACGAAAGAGACAGUCACGGUUACGCACUCAGUUGGCAAGUUUUAAUUAAGUUAACUUCAAUUUAUCUAGAACCAGAUGUUAAACAAAGUUUUCACAUUGCCACAUAACCGCACGCAUGACUUUCCGAAAUAUUUAACCCUGUAGAGGUGCUCCAACUAAUCCAUCACAAACUACCACACGCUGCGACGGAAUGACCUCGAUCAGGGACACCCGUGAUCUCCUUGGAUCCCUAUUGGAAAACCUCAACCUCGAGUUAGCUCAAAGCAUCCUCGGAAUCCCUCGCACAAGACGCCCGAUAAAGGUAAAACAAGUCCAGCAAGGCCGCCCGACGUGCCGACAAUCCCGAUAGGAGCCGCGUAUCUCGUUCUCAGGGCACAAUCGGAUGAGCGCAGCAUACAGUGGCCUGAUAGAAAUCACCCGAGUUGCCCCGGGUUGGCCCCGCACACGACUCUGUUUUGGACCAGCACUGGCCCUCCCUGCAUUAUGUUGUAUUACUCCUGGGGUAGCGCUAACUCCCUAUGUUUUUCAGUAUAAACAAAAUUAUUAUGUUGGGCAAAUAUAGUACCAAUGUUGGGCCUUGCCACUCGAGCUUUAUCCUAAAACGAGAAUCUAGGGGGUCCCCAUAACAACCCAAGCAUGUUAGGAGCGUUUAUUAUGGAACAUAACAUCGGUAGCCCAAACUAAGGGGGAAAAGGUGGAACAAAACACCAGGCUAGAAGGCCGAGCCUUCCACCUUUUACCAAUUAUAUAGUUGCAUUAAAUUAAUUAGCAAUUAUAUGGUGAUAUAACAAGGAACCCAUGUUAUCACAUGGAAACAACUGCACCUGCACCUAGCAACGCUAACACAUGGUUAAGCAAGCGGUAACAUAACCAAUCAAUGGUUUGCUAGGUUGUGAACAGGUUGAAGGUUUUCAUGGCAAUGUUGAGAGGCUGACAUUUAACAUGUGGUAGGUAACGAGACAUAGCGACAGAAACAAAACAACUAGCAUGGAAAUAAUAGUAAUGGUAUCUAGGGAAAUGAUCAUCUUACCUGAGAUCCUGCUUGGAAGAAGAACGACUCCGUGAAGCAGACAAACCAAAGUAGUCGAACGGGUCUUCACUUUCCGACACGCUUGCGGAACUCUAUCGAGACGAACCAAACCGGGAACAAGCAUCAACACAGAUAUUCACCACAGACACGCACGACAAGAUGCAAUCCACAUAUGAUGCAUGAUCAGUUGAAUAUAAGCAAGACAUGGCAUGUCAAUUCACAACAAUCAAACACUACACAUUAAGUGAAGUUCAAUAUGCAACGAGUUGCAUAUUGACGAAACUCCACAUACGAAUUAUUUAGUUCUAUCCCAAUUAGGUACAUGGCAAUAUUAAAUGUUGGUUAAACUUGGCAAGAUGUGAAGCAUAAUUAAGCUACCUAUCUAGGCAUUUUAAAUGAGGUCGGAAACGACUUAUAGCAUCUCCGAACUAACCUCAUACGAUAAUUUAUAAUUCUGUCCAGAUCUGAACUAACACAUUUUAAUAUUUGUUAAACAGCAAAAUAAAUAGGUUCACGUGAUUCUACGCAUCGUUCCAAUCAAUUUACACAUAGAGAUCAUUGCAAACGGAGCUACAGUUCAAAAGAUAUGAUCACCGCAAGAUAUGAUGUCAUGAAUACGAUAUGCAUGCGAAUGACAGUCACAGUCACUCCAAAACAUACAAGCAGCAAGAUAAUAAGAACCUACACGAGAUUUUAAGCAAGUUUCAUAUAGGACACGAGCAAAAUGGAGCAACGGUUCAACAAAUACAAGCUACACAAGAAAUAGCUACAAUCUGCCCAAAACAGCAACAUGGCAUUUUUUACACCCCAAAACAACAAGCUACAUAAAUCUAAAAUGCUCAAACAAGGCAUGAAACAAUAGUGGUCAAGAUGCACUUCAACCCCCAGCAUAUCAGCAUGGAUCACUAGGAAAAGAACUCAUAAAAUGACAUCUCACACACAGUUUCAGACUUAGUGAAAAUAUCAGUUUUUGACAGUGCAGUUUUCAACGAGAAGGCAUAUUGAUAGCAGAAAAAACUAUAUGCUACAGGGCACCAAAUGACAUGAAAAUAUACAGCAUGCUAGAGAAUCUUAAGGACUACAAAUAACUCCAUUGCACCAACCCCAAAGGAGGUGUGGAUCAUUAGCAAAACUCAUGGCAAGACAACAACAAAAUAUAACAGAUUUCAGGCUUAGAAAUAUUUCAGCAUCUCCAAAUCAGCACUAUUUUCUAGCAUGUUGACAACAAGUAAACAACACCUAAACAUGGAUUUCAAUAGCAACCAAAAUUAUCAGGGGCUAGCAUGCAUAUCCAAGGGCAUAUCUCUAGUUCAAAACUAAUGCAUAUCACGCGCGGAAUAAAUCCCACAAAAUAGACAAGAGGGCAACAUGGCAAAAUAUCAUGCACACUAAUUUGCUCAAAAGACAAAACUAAAUGCACAAUUAAUUUCUAUGGAUUUUUCUACCCCGAAAACAUAUAUAAUAUGUGGGGUUCCAAAAAAUAAACUAGCGCCACACGUAUAUGCGAGAAUAUGUCCUAAACACGACAUAACAAACUAGCGACGGAACCUACAUGCAAAAAUGCAAACAACUACUCUAAAAUACAUGGCAAAGGGUCCCAAACAACAUGAAAAUUUUAUCUACGGGUUGGAACAAUUCGAACGCGCACCAAAAUUACUACAGAAUAUCUAACAUAUUAGGACAACACGCAAAUCUAGGCAAAUGGCAGGUCAAACCACUCCAAAUAUGCAUGCAAGUUGCAAAAUAUGAUUCUACGCGAAAAACUACACAAAUUACAUCUAUAAUACGUUGUGAUCCAAUGUAAGGUUUAUUAUCUUGAGACGUUUGAAAAUAUCUAUAUUAUCCGUGAAAUUAAUAAAACCGAAAACCUGAAAAAGAUGAGUAACGGGCCGAAUCUGGCAUAGUGGCCUAAAGAGAGCAUGCGCUAAUCAACAAACUGUGCCGGGGCGAUGGAUAGCGGACUCGGGGCUCUCACCUUACCGGGUCGUGGCCCAAGGAGAAGAGGAGGCCUUCGGAAGAUCAAGAAUGAAAACAACUCAGAAAUGCACCGGAUAGCAAGAAAGGGAUUACUCAUGAUUGGAAACAAAUGAGAUGAUAACACGAAGCUGAGAUGACACCCCUUCGGUCUUCCAAAAUAAAAACAUGGCAAGAGCACCAUCACCAAUUAAUGAGACACUCCGGAAUAAGAACAAGGAAAAGUUGAGCCAAUGACAAAAAUAAAUUUGAAGCGAUCUUGAAGAAGGAAUAUGACUCAUAAAAUUCAUACUUACGUCAUAGUUGAAAAGAAUUAGAGAUCUCCGGAAAAGAUUACAAGAGACAAAUAAGAUCCUGGGAAAAACCUGUGGGUUAUGGGCCCACUCAAAGAAACCACCGUUGAAAAAAACUCUAAGCAAGAGAUAUUGCACCGGUAAAAUGAAAAAACUUGAUGAGGUUGGGUACCUCGAAAUAAUUUAAAGCAUUGAGAACAAGAACUUCUCAGAUAUCUUCAGCACUGCGGUAGGAAAAGAGAGAGAUGAACAAACAAGAGAGAUCUGAAUAUGAAUUUCCAACAUGAGAAUGAAUUCAUAGGGAAAAAAUGAUAUGAUGAACACGGAAAGCUUGAACUGAAUCCACUGAAAAAUAAAAUAAGAAUGAAGAAUGAUGAACUCGAAACUCCUAAGAAUCUUUACAAUGACUCACCAGAUAAGAGAGAAAAAAAAAGAUAGCGGAAGCAAUAAUGGAAUGAAAACUCUUGGAUGAUGAUUGAAUCCUUGAAGAAAAGGGUGGGAGGGCUGGAAAAACAAAGAAAACUUGGGACAAAUGAGAUGAACUCCUGAAAGAAAUGACAGAUUGAUCUUGCAAAAUUGGAGAGGAUAGAAUAACUUGAAGAGAAGCACACCGGUUGAAAAAGAAUUGGCAUAACAACUGUGGUUGACAAGAAUUGAUAAGACAAUUGAUAGAGCAAAAGAAUUUGCAUUCACAUAAAAUACGAGAACACCUCUUGGAAGGAUAUGAAUUCACCACUUGACAUUGAAGCAACUCGAAUUACCAUAUUCCAACAAAAACAAAGGUUGCGGCUUAUGAAACAAGUCAGAACAAAUUCAUGACAUAGAUUUCGUCCGAUAUUUUCGUGGAUGAGCUCGCACGGGCUCUAUCCUACAGUAGUCAUCAUGUACAAGGCAGUGCACACGACACACGAAGCGUCCUGAGUCGUAGCAAGCUACAAACACUCUUUAAGACACAACGAGAACCACUGUAAAACGACCAUGAACAAACGAAUCCACUAGAUGUUGAAGCCCAACCUAACAUCAUGCAUUUGUUAGAAGAUUGUCAUAUAAGUAACUACUUGAAUUCCCAUCUAAGAACUUCUGAAUUUUUCUAAUCAUGCAAUAUGGUCUACGGAUACAAGAAGUAAUAUAUCACUCAACUCCUAUACUAACCCGUCCAGUGUAUCACAUCCGUCAACACAUAACCAGAGAUCUCGGAAACUCAUCUAUUUGAGACCAUCGUAAUCAUAACGAUACUAAGUAUGGCGAUACAUCCAGAUCUAUCUGCACCACUACUAGGGAAGCCGGACUCCUCUCGUCACUACUAGUAUUGAAGCAAUUUCGAACACCCUUCGUUCUGAGAUACUAAGAAAUCUGAAUGAUAGCGAUGUGCUCGAGAAUCCCGUGGAGCUCAAUUCACUGGAAGAAAUCAAGUCAGACAGGAGGCACCAAGACAGAACUCCAUCACAUCGAGAUCAUAUAGAUUCAAAAAAUAUCCGCGUGAUCCUAAUUUUUUUUUGAGUGAGAAGAGGAGUAGAAUUAAAAUUAUUACGUCAAGGUUCCUCAGCAGAGCAUAGAAGAGGAGAAAAAAGAAUCGUACUCUCCUAUAUAACUAGACUCAAUGCAAUUUUUCACUAGACUCGUCUCGGCCAAGUUCGAUCAAUGAAGGGGGCUCCUAGGUCGGCAUUGCUCUGAUACGAACUUGUAACGCCUAAGAUACGCUUCUAUCCGUGUCGAGGCGCCGUCGGGAACUCCUAUGCAGCUCUGUAGGCGCUCGUUACCGAUCGGGCGCCUGCAACACUGGUAAUAUGGGCCGGCACACUAGAUUGCUUUCCAAUUUUGUUCUUUUUUGUUUUUUUGUUACGAAAAAAGUAUAAAAUCAAAAAAGGUUUACAUAUUAAAAAAAGACUCAUCCAUUUGAAAAAAGUUCAUAUCUCUAAAAAAGUUCAUCCAAUUUAGUAAAAGCUCAUUAAAUUUUUAAAUAGUUAAAUAAAUAUAAGAAAAGUUCACAUAAAUUUAAAAAAAGUUCAUGUAUUUUUUAAAAUUUCCAGUGAACUGAAAAAGGGUUCAUAAAUCUUAAAAAAGUUCAUCCAUUUUCAAAAAGAUGUAAAGAUGUUCAUCGAAUUUCAAAAAAGUUCAUUGAUGUUCAAAAAAGUUCAUAGAAUUUUCAGAAAAAACGUCGCAAGCCCUUGAUGUGCCAGCCCAGUUCGAACGCCACAAGCGCGAGUUAACAAAAAUGCAUGUUAACUGAUGUCUGUGGCGCUAAAUAGGAAAUGCCCGCGCGGGAUCUCCUAUGCAGCGGUGCAGGCACCCGUUACCGGUCCGGUGCCUGCAUCACUGGUAAUAUGGGCCGGCACACUAGAUUGCUUUCCAUUUUUUUGUUACGAAAAAAGUAUAAAAUCAAAAAAAGGUCUACAUAUUAAAAAAAGACUCAUCCAUUUGAAAAAAAGUUCAUAUCUUUAAAAAAGCUUCACAAAUUUUUAAAAAGUUCGCCAAUUUGAAAAAAAGUUCAUCCAAUUUAGGAAAAGCUCAUUAAUUUUUUAAAUGGUUCAAUAAAUAUAAGAAAAGUUCACAGAAAUUAAAAAAAGUUCAUGUUGUUUUAAAAUUUCAGUGAACUGAAAAAAGGAUUCAUAAAUCUGAAAAAAGUUCAUCCAUUUUCAAAAAGGUGUUCAUCAAAUUUAAACAAAAUUUGUUGAUGUUCAAAAAAGUUGAUUGAUUUUUCAAAAAAAACGUCACAAGCCCUUGAUGCGCCGGCCCAGUUCGAACGCCACUGGCGCUAGUUAACAAAAAUGCACGUUAACUGGCGGCUGUGGCGCUAAAUAGGAAAUGCCCGCGCCCUCCCCUCUUGGGGCCCGGGGCGGUCGCCCCUUGGGGUACUUGAUGGGCCGGCCCUGGAGCCCGACCCCCUCGAAGCGCUGAGCGGAGUCAUGGAGUCGGAGAUAGUGAGGGCGCCGGCCCUGGAACCCGACCCCCUCGAAGCGGGAGGGAGAGNGACAAGUACCCCAAGGGCCAGUCCCGCGGCCGCCAGUGGAAGCACCUCCGCCACCUCCUCCAGGCCGCCGACGCCUCCUCGCUCCCCCCGGACCGCCCCAACUGUGAGCGCCUCGAUCCCCUUCCCGCUGCUACCCGCACCGCUCAAAUCUCCUUAGAUUUGAUAUGCAGAUUAACUUGAAUAUUUAAGAUCUUAGGUUAUCCUUUGCCACGCCACGCUUCUCGGUUGGUGGACUCCUGCGAUUGUACUAGUUCGUUGAUGUGUUUCAUCAGGACCAAAUUGAUUAUCCGCUCGAUCUAGGCCUAGAAACUUGUGGUGGCCAGAAAUUCAUACUAAUUGGGACUGUAUAGUACUAUUUUUUCUUCUUGCCUGCCAUCCCUGGAGGUUGCACAUUGUGCUGUUUCUGGUGUGUGCUAACAGUAGCAGCAUUUGAAUUGCGAAUUGCUUCUUCUUAUUUUAUAAAAUACAAACUUUCAGUUCAUUGUUUUUUUUUCCUUCAAUUUACAGUGAGUAAUUUUCGGAAAGUUGGUUCUGCGCUCGAGAAUGCCAUGCUAAUAGAAUCAAUCAAUAGGUUCUUGGCUUUGUGUCUAAUACUCAUAGCUUCUGAAUCAGUAGCUUCCACUGCUAAGGCGAUUAGAUAGCUCUUAUAUGAACUUGUGUUUCUCAGUUAGAGUAUAAAGCUGGAUAAUAGAAAUAAAAACUUGACAUUAGCGAAACAAGUUAUUUGUGUUGUUCAGGUAGUCUACAACUCUAGUAUUUAGAGCAAGUUGUUGUGGUGUAUAUAAUGUUCACAGAAUGUUUUUAUGCAGAUUUAAAUAUUCAGUCGCCCCCAUCCAUUUAUCCACCAAAGAGAUACUGUGACGUUACAGGUUUUGAGGUAAGUUUUACCCCAGUAUGAACCCCUUGUGUUGAUUUACAUAUCCCAAUUGUUUUCUAAAUGAUAAGAUUUGAAAACUGAAGGCAUUUAGAUCUGAAGUACAAAACAGAUUUUAUCAUGCUAAACUGCACAUUUAUAAGCAUCGAUAAUGAGUUGCUGCUUCGAGAUGAAAAUUUGUGUUGGGCUUAACAAGCUCUAUAAGAGCAUCUCCAAUAGAAGAUGCAAAUUUGGAGAUGUGAAUUAAGUGCUUUUUGCAUCUCCAAAAAAGGGCCAACUCCAACAGAUGAUGCAAAACGGAGAUGUAAAAGAGCAACUCCAAUAGAAGAUGCAAAACUGGCCGCCGGCCGCAUGGCCGCUGUAGCUGCUGUGCUGUACAGCUGCACAAAUUGAAAUAGAACAUCCGAUAAUCAACAUAAAAACUGCACAUGUUCACAAUAUCAAAUUGUUACAUAGUUCAUUAAAUCCACAAGAUCAAAUGCAACACACAUACAACAUAGUUUCGCACAAUACAACAAACAAAUAAAUGAAACUAGGCGCCUCUUUCACCAUGAUAUAGUAUAGUUGUGACCUUUUAAGGGGAAGGACAAGUAGGCCCGUGAUUAUUGUGAUUGUACAAUUAAUAUGAAUGUUUUGUGACUCAACUUGUUGGCAUUGCGGAAAUCCAGCAAGACUGGGUUGGAAUCAAACUACAGAUUGAGCUGCUCAUAUUGUGUGUGAUUUACUCUAUCAGCCUAAAUUUAGAUGUUUUUUGGUAUUUUUCAUACUGCCACAUAUUUAGGGGCGUUCAGUCGCGGUUUACACGGAUUGAAUAAUCUGUGGAUCAACAAACUUACUAGUACUUAUCUAUCACAAUUUUGUAGAAUUGCAAAAUUUACAGUGCGUUCACGGUGUAGAACGAUUUGUAAAACUCCAGCACGUACACCCCUAAAUAUAUGUCAUAAAAAUCUGUGCUGUUCUAACAGAUUCAUAUAUGAAUGAAGUAGGAGCCUGUGCUACUAUGAUCGGUAAAGAUCUUAUAAUAUAAUAUUAAUAACACAGUCUCCAUAAAAGGUUAACUCAAGUGAAUUAUACGCAUUCUAUAGAACAUAGAGUCGAAAGCUUGAUUAGUUUUUUGACGUGGGUGACUAAUGUUUUAGAACAGGUAAGUAAAUUAAAAUCAAUAAUCUUCAGUUAUACAAUGUUUUUUUCACAGUUCUUUUACCUGCCUUGUGGCCUGUAUGAACAACAUGUUUAGUUAUUUCAACUUGGCACUGCCAUGUAUUGCCAAGGGUCAUAAACUUAACUGCAUGUGUGCAACUGUUAGUAAUGCAUGAACAAUUUGAACACUCGCAAAAACGUCUUACAUUAUGGGACGGAGGGAGUAGUUCACAUAUUUGCUCACACUGAGCUGUCCCAAAUAAAUGAACCAACCUUAAUGGCAUGACAAUCCUAUUGGUUCAACUCAAGGCUUGGAGGCAGGGAAAGUGGCCCAAAUGAAGCAGCGCCCACCACUGGCCAUCUGUCCUAAGCUUGGAUUUUUUCUGAGGAUUGUAGUCGAGAUGACGUAGCGUGUUGGCAGGAAAUAGAGAAAAAAACAUAGAGCUAAAGAAAAACCAACUAACACGAACAUCUGUGUAUGACAUGUUUGUUGCUACAUACAUGCCGUCCCUGGUUACAGAGUUUCAGCAGUACUAAGCUGUUGCAUUAUCCGACAGAGCGUUUUGGUUGUCCGUUAGGUGCUAUAUCCUGCGCUUCUCUUAGGGAGUAGUUCUCACAAGUCUGAUCUUUUGACCUAUGAAUCUAUCUUCAUGCAGGCACCAUACGUGGAUCCGAGAACGAAGCUGCGCUACGCUGAUCCAGAGGUCUUUAGGCAGAUCAGAAUGCUUCCUGAAGAAUACGUCCAGAGGUACCUGGCCGUGAGGAAUGCAGCAGUUGUAUUACGGUGAUAGCAAGCUCCCUAUGUGGCUGUGUCACAGUACUUAUUCUACCAGCCAAUGUCCCGCUCUGUAAUCCGAAUGGACGCCAUCGUUUCCCUCCUAAUCGUGUUGCUGGCUCACAUGAGCAUUCUGAAUGUAGAAGCAGGGUACUGAACCCUUUGUGCAUUUCAGAGUGAUAUUUUGCAUCUGGCUACUGUCAUCAAUGUGCUUUGUGUGCGUCUCUGUGUUAUUCCUGUUGCUGGCGUUCGGGGAAUUAAUAGUUAAAUAUAUUCCAUGUAUUGCCCUCACAAACUCCCAAGGGCGCAUCCGAAUCUGCAACAGACGCGUGAGCGAAGAACGAGGCCACAAAUACACUAUACUGUUUGGUCGUAUUAUUUUGUUUGUAUCCCCUUGAUUAGGUAGGGCUCCUUUGAUUCAAAGAAAUUUAUAGGAUUUUUGAAGGAUUGAAAUCCUUAGGAUUUUUUUUUAGAUUGAUCCUUUGAUUCAUUGGAUUGGAUCCCAUAGAAUUUUUUUCCUAUGAAAUCUUUUAUACUAGUACUACAUUUCAUAAAAAAUCUAACAUCCACUCGAACCUCAUUUUAUAUUUUUUUUGUUUUUCCGAUCACAUCAAACGCUCCUUGCUAAUCCUAUAGAUCAAAUUGCAAUAUGCUUGAAAAAAAAGUUGUGGAAAACGCCGUGUAGAUAGAUAUUGUUAGGGAAUUGAUUAGUUUCAUCCGGAUGUAAAUAUGCUCACGCCAGCCAUCUCCUGCUCAUGCCACGUACAUGACAGAGUUUACUCGAUCGUUUGGAGGAGGAUGUGGGUGCUAUGCAACUCGAUCCACGGUUACCCACGUCCUAAUCUACGGCUAUCAAGACGGCUGUAGUUAGGCCCGCUACAGCGGAUGGUGCUUAGCAUGCGCCACAUAGCACUUGAGAGUGAAAUGUCGGAGAAGAUUGAUUACGAUGAUAUCAUUGAAGAUUUCAUUUCAAAGAAUAUAAAAAACGAGGAUGUUAAUAAGUAGCAACCAGAAGCUGGAUAUGUAUGAAUUUUUUAUAUGUCCAUUUAUUAUGUAAGACAUUAUAUUAUGUAUACGUUAUAUUUUUAUCUGUGAGAUAUAUGUAUAUUAUAAUUGCUCGUUAGUUUUUUAUAAGACAAGGUUCCAUUUUUAGUUUCGUACAGGGCCCAGAUUUUACCGACCCGGCUUGCUUUUUCACAAUGUUCCUCUGGUUCGGUAGUAUGGGCCCGGUGCUCUUGCUCUUGUUGUCGUUUCAUCAGUUGAACUCAAGUGUUGUCAUGGGCUGAACUAUCAUUUACCGAACUAAACUGCCACUAGCCCGCUACUGCUUGUGCUUGCUGCUUGGCUACUGUUGUGCCCGUUGCUGCGCUUUGUUAAACCUAAGUGUUCGGUUGUAGCUACUGGGCUAGGAUGCUACUCUGUUUUUAAAUAUAAGUUUUUUUAAAAGUUUCAUUAAAAAACUACAUACAAACAUACAUAGACAUAUUUUAGAAUGUAUAUUUAUUCAGUAAAAUCAGUAAAAUAACUUAUAUUUAGGAGCGGAGGAAGUAUUUCCCAUUUUAACAAAUACAUGCAAUUCAUCACCAAUUUUGAACAGAAUGAUGAGAAGUCAUAUGUUUUUCCAUUCUCCAAUAUAUAUAAAAUGUGAGUCAAGCAUGCAACCAAGACCACGUACAUACAUCGGCCAAACUAUAUGCGCGCGUACGUGUCCGAUUGAACAAGAAGCAAGCAAGGGAAUAAAGUGCGCGCCGAGAUUCGAUUCGGCCGAAUUCUAUCAGGCAGCGACGUACUACUCCAGCUCUGUGCCGUGUGCGACGGUGUAUGCAUGCAUGCGUGUUGCGGCACCAUCCGGGAAGCGAGAAAAAUCUCCCAAGUAGCACAAGACGAAGACGACGACGACCACCGUCGGAUACAAACAAGAAUAAAAUCUCCGAGAAGAAGAAGAUACGGAGAGACGAUGGCUAUCAGCCUAUCACCGUGUCGAUCGGAUACAAAGCAUCCAUGCAUGGUCAAUACGUUCGACGGCGUAUGAACGGGGGUCCAUGGAACGUGCUCGUAUAAAUAGAAGCGGGUGCAGCAUGGUUGCUACGUGCUUAGCUCGCUCUGCUCGUGAACCAUCAGGCCCUAAGGAAAAGCAAGCAAACCAGCCGGCUAGCUAGCUAAUGGCGCCGGUUCACAGGUCGAGCCGCCUCGACAGCACACUGCUUGUGCUGGUGCUUGCACUCGCCUGUGUCGUCAGCGCCGCCGCGGCGCGAGGGGAGGCGCUGGCCGCCCGGCACCGGCACGAGCGGUGGAUGGCCAAGUACGGGCGCGUGUACGCGGACGCCGCCGAGAAACUGCGCCGGCAGGAGGUGUUCGCGGCCAACGCGCGCCACAUCGACGCCGUCAACCGGGCGGGCAACCGGACGUACACGCUCGGGCUCAAUCACUUCUCCGACCUCACCAACGAGGAGUUCGCCGAGAAGCACCUCGGAUACCGUCACCAGCCCGGCCCAGGCGGGCUCCGUCCCGAGGACAGCUCGCCGGCGGCCGCGGUGAACGUGACGGACGCCCAGUUGCAGUCCACGCCGGACAGCGUGGACUGGAGGGCCCGGGGCGCCGUCACCCCAGUCAAGCACCAAGGUCACUGCGGUAAGAAUCUACACCUCCUGCACCGCAUCUGCAUGCCACCGGCAAAGGUGGCAAAUGAAUAAAAUGUUGCAUGCGUGCAGGGAGUUGCUGGGCGUUCGCGGCGGUGGCGGCGACCGAGGGGCUGGUGCAGAUCGCCACCGGCAACCUCAUCUCCAUGUCAGAGCAGCAGGUGCUGGACUGCACGGGCGGCACCAGCUCCUGCAAGAGCGGCUACGUCAACGCCGCCCUGACCUACAUCACCGCCAGCGGUGGCCUGCAGACGGAGGCAGCCUACGCGUACAGCGCCGAGCAGGGCGCGUGCCGCAGCGGCGGCGCCAGCCCGAACUCGGCCGCCGCCGUCGGCGUCCACCGGUCUGCGAUGCUGAACGGGGACGAGGGCGCGUUGCAGGUGCUCGUGGCCGGCCAGCCGGUGGCCGUGGCCGUGGAGGCCGAGCCCGACUUCCACCACUACAAGAGUGGCGUGUACGUCGGCAGCCCGUCGUGCGGGCAGAAGCUGCACCACGCCGUGACGGUGGUGGGCUACGGGGCGGACGGCGGCGGGCAGGGGUACUGGGUGGUGAAGAACCAGUGGGGGGCUGGGUGGGGCGAGGGGGGCUACAUGCGCCUCACGCGCGGGAACGGCGGCAACAACUGCGGCAUGGCCACCCACGCAUACUACCCCACCAUGGACACCUCCUAGCUAGAAGCCAGCACUACUACGUAUACAUCAGUCCAUGCAUCAUCGAUCGUGUACGGUUUAUCAGCUAAGAAUAUUAUUUUUGAAUAAAACACUACUGAAGUGGUACCGCAUCAGUCCAUGCAGCAUCGAGCUUCACCUACAGAACGAUGCAGCUGCAGUACCACGUAUAUACACGUAUAUAUGAAUUCUGAAUAAUGAACAUUGAAACCAUGAAACAAUGCAUUUUUGCCUAUCUGAUAGUAUAAACUUGGUACUAGUAUCGUUGCAACCUUCUAGGGGAAACACAAUUCAAGUUGGGUCGUGAUUGUUGUGAUUCAUGGAUUCUACAGAUUUUUUUUUUNUGGUUUUUAAUAUGUUGACGGUGUUUGAUUGUUUCUACCGUUAACGUGGGUAGGUGACCAUACGUCGUCUUUGGUCAUACGCCUCCGCCUCCCCCGCUUUAUGCCAUCACAAUGGUACGUUAUGUGUCGGCGUUGGGUCACGGUACUUCCCAUAACGAUUAUUACAUCUCUUGACCAUGUCGGCUCUGAUACAUUUUUUUUUGCGAAAUAACUCUUAUAUUACUCAAACAUCAGUGGUUACAAUCUCGUGAGGCAAUACAUAAGACUUCAUCUGGAGCUAAGCCGAGCCAAACCAUUGUUCGGCCUUGGUUUCUACCAAAACUAGCCAUGGCAUGACUAACACAAUUGCCUGAACGACGAAUAUGAGUAAUAGAAGAGUUCCGUUCUUCCAUACUAAGCUUAAUCUCUCAAUCAGAAAAGCAUAUCUUGAAAGGUUAAUAUGAAGAGCUUUCGUGACUCAACUUGUUGGCGCUGUAGAAAUCCAGCAGCAUGUUGGGUUGGAAUCAAAAUCCAGAUUAAGCUGCUCGAAUCGUGGCUCAUUUUGGAAAAUAUCGUUUUUUUUCCUAUCAACCUAAACCUAGAUGUUUUUUAUUUUAUUUUUCAAACCGUCACGUACUUCGAGCAUAUCUGACAGAGGCACUAAAUAAGCCCCACGCCUUAAAAACAAUGAUUUUUGUGCGUCAUAGAAAUAAAACAAUGUUCCAAUAGAGGCGUUAAAAUAGAGUGUGCACAGAAGACUUUACUGCGCGUUACAAAGCGGUACCCUGGGCCGCAAAUUUGGUGCGCGUUGCUGCAUGUGGGGCAUCCAACCGUAGUCGCAUACAUUUUGACAACAAUUCAAACCAACGGGACGAAAUUUGUGCAAACACGACUGGAUGUCAUGCAAACAUGACAGAUUCCAUGCAAACUCAACGGAUUUUAUAUAAACUCGACGGAUUUCAUUACCUUUACAUCCUAGUUCGGCUUUACACGUAUAACUAAUACCUAAUCUAAAUUGGCAUCGCACCCGUUCCCUAUAACCGGCCAUGAACCACGAGAAUUGAAGCUUCGCCUUCUCCAGCCCCAUCUCCAUAACCUCCUCCUCAUUCGGAGACCUGGCAAGUACAUAUGUCCACCUUCACGUUGACGCCAAAUGAUUAAUCGGCCGACGUUGUUCAGCCCACCAAGCUUGGCAUCGACGGAAGGGGAGGAGCGAUGGCCUUCCUGGGACGAGAUCAGCGGCGACCUCCCAUGCACUACUCUUCGUCGCUGUCGGCAGCGCACGUGGAUGUGUCGGCUUCGUUGGGAACGACCUCAGUGUUGCCCUCCUCCUUCUCGUCGGUCUCGUCGAACGCCGACACGCCCUCCUCGUCUUUGUCGUCCUUGACCGCGGCCGCCACCUCCUCUACCCGUUGCCGGUACCGCCAGCGGUCGAGACAAAUCUGGCGGGCGGAGCGAUAGGAUUCCAGGAGCGCCUCCUGCUCCGCUAGGUCCGCAUCGGGUGCGACCUCCCUGCCGGUGAUGAGAUACUCCCCUGCCUGCAGAUGCGCCUAGAGAGGUGGUGGUUGUAUCCUGCGUCGGCCUACGCCUCCCAGAACCGAUCCUCCCGCACCAUGUCCAUGUAACGGGCAUGGACCUUCCCGAUGGUCAUGGUGUAGUGAACUGGCGAGGGAGGCACGACAGAGAAGGAGGGUGUCGCAACGGAGGAGGAAGACGUGGGUAGUGUCGGGUCGUCGUCGACCACGUCCUCCACUGGGACGUCCACGUCCUCCGGAUGCCUGUCGGCCCGCCAACGGGCAGCAACGGCGGCCAUCUCCUUCUUCUGCUGUGGCAUGAGCCCGUCCCAGAGAGUUUUAGCGGGUGAGGAAUCCAUAGUGGGAGAGGGAUCGAAGGCUAAUGACUACGGCUAUGGCCGGGGCAGCGGUUUAUACAGCUUCGUGGACCAAUAUAAGACCGUGUUGGAUGGCUUCUACGAUCCGAACCACGUGAUCCAAACAAUUGUGAGAGGUUUAUGAGUCUGCCUUGGAGAUGCCCUUACACGGGUUGACUAAUCCCCUGGACUAACAAACUUAUACUAGUACUCAUGUAUCGCAAUUUUGGAGAAUUGCAAAAUUGGCAGUGUGAUCAUGGUUUAGAAUGGUUUGGAAACCCCGUCGUGAACCUCCAAACAUACUAGUACUCAUGUAUGUGCCGUUAUAUACGAAUGAAUGAAAUAGGAGCCUGCACAAACGAAAUACACUACUAUACUCGGUAAAUAUAUUAUAAUACAAUAUUAAUUACAUAGCCCCCAUAAAAAGUGAACUUGAAUGAAUUAUACUACUGUAGAACUUAUAGAGUUGAAAACUCGAUUAAUGUUUUGGCAUUGGUGACUAAUGUUCUAUAACAGGCAAGCCAAUUAAAAUAUAAGAAAAUUCCUUAUCUAACACUAUGUUAAAUAUUGGUUCCCUAUUUAACACUGAAUAAAAUAUUUCUUCCUUAUGUAGCACCGAAUGUAAACAUUAUGCCUUAUCUAACAUUUUCGUUCAUUCUGUUAGCCCACGCUGUUAAAGUAGACUUGCAUUGACCAAACUGCCCCUGUCCAUAGGAAAAAAAAAGAAACCCCUGGCCCGAGCGAUUCCUCUCUCUCUCCCACGACACACCCAGCCCACCUUUCCUCGUCCUAACCCUAGCGAGAGCGAGAUGGACGGCGGCGCUCGAUCCACACCGGAGGGGGCUGGCCAGGGCGCGACCCCGGAUGGAUUCGGCGAGGGCGCGACCUCGGAUGGCCCCGGCUAGGGCGCGACGACGAAGGGCCCCAGCCAGGGCGCGACGCCGGAGGGGCUGCGGCAGGGCGCGCCACCGAAGGGGCCGGCCCAGGGCGCGACGCCGGAGGUUCAUGCAGUUGCUUAGGCAAGCCAUAGGAUCACCAAGGGGUUUAGCCAUAAGCACUGAUUCCAGGCACGCGGUGAUGACAGGGGUAAAGGAAGUAUUCCCAGAGGUAGAACAUAGGGAAUGCAUGUUUCACUUGAUGUCAAACUUUAAGAAAAAGUAUCAUGGAAAAGUAUUUGACGACCACCUUUGGGCUGCUGCCUACUUAUGGAACAAAUAUAUAUUUGAGAAAGUGCAAGAAGGGGAACAAAGAUGACAUUGCCGCUUUGAUGGAUGUGAGGUAAUGAGCUAUGCAUUCUAUUUUCUUAUUGCAUAGUAACUACUUUCUUGCAUUACUAUUUUGUAUUCAACUAUGCAUAUGAACUACUUUUUUAUUGCUCAUGUAGAGAAACAAUGAAGAGGAGGAAGAUUACCAAAUCAGCCGAGUCAUCCAUUGUGCCAAGAGGUGAUGAAGCACCCGCAUCCAUGUAUUUUCCACCAAGAUUAACAAUACUACACCUAUUCUUUUUGCAAACGGAACUGAGUUUGAUUAGUGCCAUAUCAAAUCUGAGUUUGUUUUGUGUGUAUUCAUCUAAUUCAUAGCCAAAGCUUAGAAAUUACAACCAAGAAGAACGGAAAACAUAGUCAAACCUUGGAGACUACAAAUAAGAAAAAUGUAAAAAGGUGAGUUUUGCUAAUUCUGAAUUUUAAUAUCACAUAUAAUGCGUAGUUCAUGUCGUUAUUUGCUCUGAAAUUACUGCUGUCAUACAUGUACAAGUGUAGAUCAGCGAAGAGGAAGAAGAUGGAGCUUGCUAAAAAGGAUGAAAUUUGUGCUAUGGUGCCAUUUGACAACCCUGCAAUGGGCACUAGAAGCAAAAAGACUAGCCCAACCAACCCUGGAAUGAGCACAAGAAGCAAAAGAAGGCUUAGCUUGUGAACAUGUCAUAUUGUGUGAACUCAUGUAUGUGAAGCUUUGGUCACUUGGACUAUGUAUGCGAACCUGGAUAUGAUGACAAUCCUUCCGUGUUGCUCAUAUGAUGUGAACUUGGAUGUUGGACCUAUAUAUAUGAACCUGGAUAUGUUGUACAUGAUAUAUGCGUAUUUGGAUGUGAGCCUGGAUGUUUAUGUGCAAAUCUGAAUAUUAUUUGUUGAAAUAUAUGUAUAUGUGAAUUGUGUGAUCCUCAUAUGCAUCAAUUUAUAGAGGAGGUUCUGCCCAAAUUUUGAAUUACUUUGUAUGUGAUGUAUUUUGCUCACAACUUCAAAAUGGUUAAAAUGGAUAAAAUCGUCUUUUCAGGUACCAUUUAACACCGUCAAUGGUUAAAAUGGACGGAAAUGUUAGAAAGGGAACAAAUUUUAGUGUUGGUGUUACAUAAGGAAGAUUUUUUUUUUUGCAGUGUUAAAUAGGACACACAAAUUUAAGCCAGGGUUAAAUAAGGAAUUCUCUCUUAAAAUAUAAUCUUCUCAGUUGUAGCGUUCUUUCUACAAUUUUUCUAUCUCUCGAGUGGCCUCUAUGGACACUUGGACAUCAUGUUCAGUUAAUCUCAACUUGGUGUUGUCCUGCAUUUUUUUUUGCACGUGAAACUUUGUAUUACUUAAGUGGAAAUACCACAGUCUACCUUACAAAGUUCAAUAAUCUCUGGUAAAUCAGAGUUGAGCCAAACUACUAUUCUACACCUCAUUCUAGCAUACUUUGUCAGAAAAUCACUAACAUUAUUUUGACUACGAUGAACAUAACUAAAAGUAGUGUUACGUAGGUUCUUCAAAAGCUUUAUUUCUGUCACCAACGUGGAGAGGAUUGAUCUGUCAAUUGAGUCGCUCAUGAUCAUGCUCAAACCCUCCCGUGAGUCCAUCUCUACCUGAAUAGGUAGGUUUGUCCUCUGAAUAGCCAUCGAAAGUCCCUCCAUACAUGCACUUAAUUAAGCUUCCAAAGCAUUUCUGCAGGAAAAGAUCUCCCUGCAUGUUCUGUAAAUAAUCUGACCCGUACUGUCACGAAGAACCAUACAUGCACGUGCUCGCCCAUCGGCUGUCCAAGAGCCAUCGAUGUUGAGCUUAGCCCAUCCCUUCAUAGGCAAAACCCACAUAAUGUUCGUGUUGGAAAUAUGCCCUAGAGACAAUAAUAAAUUGGUUAUUAUUUUAUUUCCUUGUUCGUGAUAAUCGUUUAUUAUCCAUGCUAGAAUUGUAUUGAUUGGAAACUCAAAUACAUGUGUGGAUACAUAGACAACACACAAUCCCUAAUGAGUCUCUACUUGACUAGUUCGUUGAUCAAAGAUGGUGAAGGUUUCCUGACCAUAGACAAGUGUUGUCACUUGAUAACGGGAUCACAUCAUUAGGAGAAUGAUGUAAUGGACAAGACCCAAACUAUGAACAUAGCAUAUGAUCGUGUGAGUUUAUUGCUACUGUUUUCUGCAUGUCAAUGUAUCUGUUCCUAUGACCAUGAGAUCAUGCAAUUCCCGGACACCGGAGGAAUACCUUGUGUGUAUCAAACGUCGCAACAUAACUGGGUGACUAUAAAGGUGCUUUACAGGUAUCUCCGAAGGUGUCUGUUGGGUUGGCAUGGACCAAGACUGGGAUUUGUCACUCUGUGUGACAAAGAGGUAUCUCGGGGCCCACUCGGUAAUACAACAUCACAGUAAGCCUUGCAAGCAAUGCGACUAAAGAGUUAGUCACAGGAUCUUGUAUUACAGAACGAGUAAAGAGACUUGCCGGUAACGAGAUUGAACUAGGUAUAGAGAUACCGACUAUCGAAAUCUCGGGCAAGUAACAUACCGAUGGACAAAGGGAACUGCAUACGGGAUUGAUUGAAUCUUUGACAUCGUGGUUCGACCGAUAAAGAUCUUCGUAGAAUAUGUAGGAAGCAAUAUGGGCAUCCGGGUCCCGCUAUUGGUUAUUGCCUGUAGAGGUGUCUCGGUCAUGUGUGCAUAGUUCUCGAACCCGUAGGGUCUGCACACUUAACGUUCGGUGACGCUAGAGUAGUAUUGGGAUAUGUAUGUUGGUGACCGAAUGUUGUUCGGAGUACCGGAUAAGAUCCCGGACAUCACGAGGAACUCCGGAAUGGUCCGGAGGUAAAGAUUUAUAUAUGGGAAGUCCUAUUUUGGCUACCGGAAAAGUUUCGGAUUUUAUCGAUAUUGUACCGGGAAGCUUCUAGAAGGUUCCAAAAGGUUCCAGAGGGUUCUGGAGGAGUCCGGAAGGGUCCCUCCAGCCCCUAGGACGUACAUGGGCUGUAAGGGGGGUGUCCAAGCCUUGUUGGGCCAUCCUUGCCUUGGAGAGGGAGGAAACCUCCCUAGGCCCACGCCCCCUCCUUGGAGGAGGGGCUAGAGCUGUGACCCAACCCUCCUCCUAGCCUCCUAUAUAUAUAGUGGGGGAGAGGUUGGGGCUGAACCAAUAAUCCUACACCUAUGUAGAUGGGUACGUAAACUUACUUAAACUUCCUAUAAUCAACUUCUCUCCCCCCUGAUUUUUAUGGGGUGGGGCCCAUGCUAUUUUUUCUUCCAAUCAAAUCAAUCCAAACCUGUUUUCACGUAGCUUUAAGUAGAUUUGCAUCAAUUCCCAUGCCCCGGUGGCAGCCCUACCUCUCCCUUAACUCCGUUUUCUCCUCAGAUUGGUUCCGGCAGCGCUUGACAAAGCCCUGCUGGCACUGCUCCACCAUCAUCUCCAUCAUGUCGUCGUGCUGGUUGAGAUCCCAUCUACUUCUCCUUCCUCUCUUGGUGGAUCAAGAAGGUGGAGACGUCAUCGAACCGUAUGUGUGCUGAACGCGGAGGUGUCGUACGUUCGGCGCUAGAUCCGGAAGGAUCGUGAUGAGAUCGCGGGACGGGCUGUGAUUUGGAUCGCGAAGAUGUUCUGCUACAUCAACCGCGUUAUAUACGCUUCCGCUUAACGAUCUACAAGGGUAUGUUGAUCCAAUCUCUCCUCUCGUAGAUGGUCAUCACCAUGGAUAGAUCUUGUGCGCGCGUAGGAAUUUUUUUUGUUUCCCAUGCGACAUUUCCCAACAGUUUGGAGUAGGAGGUAGAACCAAUCGUGAUCUAGGUAACUAAUCAUAAGCAAGCACUUGCUUCCCCUUCCGUAGUUCCUCCUCUAAAUAAUUUAGUGAUAGCAGUGAAUCCAAGUAUCCCAUCAGGAAACAUUUAGAUGCCUCCAUCAGAGGGGGUUCUUUGUAGUGAGUAACCUCAUUCCGAUUAUGCCACACCCUCCAUAAGGUCAUCAGUAGCAUGCCUCUCUCUACCACAGAAAGAGGGUGAAGUGUAGUUGUCAUGUAUAUUCAAAUCAAGUAUACAUUAUUUCCAUUAUUGUAUAUAGCUUGGUGGUAAGGGAAUUGUGCUUCAGUUUAGUACUACUUCCUCCUUUCCUAAAUAUAAAACCUUUUACACCUCGUUUGGAAGUUGAUAUUGAGGCCUAGAUAUUGAUAUUGGCAUUGGGCAGUCCGAAUGCCAUUGUUUGGAUGGUCAGGGAAUUGAGUCGUUGAAUUGGCCCGAGAUAUUCGCUGGCCCGCUCCCGUAGCCCGCGUAGCUAUUCCCUAAUUCAGAGGUCAGCAGCUUUGGCUGAUAUUCGGGGUCGAGCGCUCGACUUACCGCUUCGCCGCGCUUGAGGGAAAGGAACAGACGAACGAGGGGAAGAGGAGGCGGACAAAGGCGCGACAAUGGAGCUCCCGGCGGCGUAGGCCAGCCCCUCUCCGUCGUCCUCCUCUCUUCUCUAUGGCGGAUCUGCUCCUCUCAUGGCUGACCCACCACAGAGGCGCGGCAACGGAGCUCCCGGCGGCGCAGGUCAGCUCCCGGCGGCGGCGCAGGUCAUCUCCUGGUGACCACAGAGGCGCGCGGAUCUGCUCCUCUCAUGGCAGAUCUGCUCCUUUUUGCAGGUCAAUGCAUUUGAGCGGAGCAGGAAGAUCCAAAGCAAUUCCGAUGUAUCAGAUGGUCAUCCAAACAAGCUACAGAAUUGAGCCUCUCAUGCAAAUUCCAAGUGUGAAUUCUGAGCACAUCUAAACAACAGAAUUUGGGUUCAAUGUCAAUAUCAAAGUCAGGAAAAUUUGAUAUUGAGCCCGAUUCAAUUCUAUGGCCUUGAAUAUCAACAUCCAAACAGAGCAUCAGAAAAUUUUACUAUAGACUACAUACGAAACAAAAUGAGUGAAUCUAUACUUUAAGAUAUAUCUAUAUACAUUUGCAUGUAGUUCAUAGUAAAAUUUGUAAAAGGUCUUAUAUUUAUGAACGAAGGGAGUAUUAGUGUAAAAAUGUAUUUUUUUGGCAGGGUUAAAAGGGAUUUCACUGCUCAACACGUGGUGAGUUCGUUUGUAUGUAUCUAAUAUUAAAAUAUGUUUAGAUACAUCCAUUCCUCAAACAAGUAUUUCCAAAGCACAACCAAACAAAAUGAAUUGCAUCGCUUUAUGCCUUUGUCGUGUUAGGUUUCUUUUUUUUUGGAACAGAAGCAAUUCAGAAAUUCAGAAUGCUUCCAGAUUAAUAAGCCCAAAGGUAUAUGGCUGCAGUUGUACUACGUCUGCAUUACAUACAGGAAUGCCUAAAGAUACCUGGCUGAUGUUGUAAGAGUUGAUGGUUAAAUAUGUUCUCAGUACAUGUGCAAGUUGCAGCCAGCAAAGUUUUAUCAGCACAUCAUGUCCGUUUAUGGAAAUAUAAAAACAUGGCCGUUUUAUAAGCCAGAUUUGAACACCAAAAGAGUAUCAAAUAAACUAUUCUUAGGGUGGGAAAUCCAAGCCACGAUCACAUCCUAUGGUAUCAGGAAACAUCAUCAAUUUCUCAUCGCUACAAUCGGCUAAAAUAAAACAAAGUGAUCAAGAGCUUACCAAACAAAGUAUGAAAACAUAACAUCAGACACAUAAAGAAGAUGAAACAAUCCAAGAUAACACCAAAAACAUAAUAGUUAACCAUAUUGUUAAUCUUUGAUCCUUGGAGGCAAACCAAACCCAUCGCUAUGGUAAAAGUAUUUAAAGAAACAAUAAACUUAGCAUGACUCUAAUUUUCAAUUCAAGCACAUUGCACCAAGGCUUGGCUAUAUGCAAGAACUCCACUUCGGCUUCACAAUAGGGCGACUACAGUUAACAGCAGACCGCAGAGACAAGCUUCUUGCCAAGUUAUUUCUCCAAUAUUGCGCUGAAACAGCAAACAUAAGCUAAUGGCAAUGAGACUUUAUCAUAAUCACGUUCCUGCAACAACAAUAAAAGGGCGCAGAAGUUCUAAAAAUAUAUAUCAAUCACAUUAUAAGUUUUAUUGCUAGAGAGAAGGCAUGAAUAUAUGGCUUUACUAUAGAGUAUAGAAAAGGCACAACAAUUAUAAGAAAGAACGACAUAGCUUUGACAUCAAAGGGUAAAUGACUGCCAAUGCAGGUAAUACAUUUUUUAUGGUCUUGACCGUGGCGCGGCUGGCACCUUUAAAGCAGUAAACAAUAUCACAGCAAUUCAGCAACAGUAUUUCAUUCUAAAGGAUGAGACCAAUUAGAAUCUCUGGCAGCUGACAUGCAAAUUGUGAUGAAAUACUUGUCAAGAUGAAGUCAUGUGAAAUAAUCAGUGAUUCUGUGAACCUAAUACUUUUUAUUUCAGCAGGAAACAAUUAGUCUAAUUCACCAAACAUUAGAGCAUGGUAGGCUGCAUUGGACUCCACCAACGUAUGUUUUAAUAUAAUAUGCACCAUCAGCAACAACACAAUUUCUGAUACCAGGGUCAAGUUUGAUAUUACCAACAUGAUAUGCUAGCACUACAGAAUUAUGAUUUGUUAAUGGAUGGGUGUAUAAUAGCUAAUUUCAGGUCAUAACUUUAUUUAUUUAUUUUCCUCAAUUAUACAUGACAAACUCUGGCAAAGUCACAUUUAUAAAGAACUUUGGCUGUGGCGCGGCUGGUGCCUUCGAAGCAGAAAACUGAGGAUAUUCUCAACAUCACAGCAACUCAGCAAACAUGAUUUCAAUUCAAAGAGUAACAAUCAAACAAAAUAUACAUGCUAUCUAAAGGAUGACAACAAUUAAACUUUAUGACAGCUGAGCAUAUACGUCGUGCGAGUGGUGAUCAAACACUUAUCAACAAGAGAGCCAAAGCAAGUUGAUAUGGUAGCACUACAGAAUUAUGAUUUGUUAUUGGAUGAACGUAGAAUAGCUAAUUUCAGAUCAUAACUUUAUUUGUUUAUUUUCCUCAAAUACACAUGACAAACUCUGGCAAAGUCACAUUUAUAAAGAACUUUGGCUGUGGCAUGUCUGACCCCUUUCAAGCAGCACAAACCAAGCAUUUUCUUGAUAUCACAGCACUCAGCAAACAUGAUUUCAACUCAUAGAAUAGCACUCAAACAAAAUACACAUGCAUUCUUUAGGAUGACAGCAAUUGGAAAUUAUGACAGCUGACAUGCAAGUUGUGAUGAAAUACUUGUCGACAUGAAAACAUAAUGCUUUUUAUUUCACAAGAGCAUGAAACAAUCAGUCAUUCCGUGAACCUUCACGAACCAUUAGAGCAUGGUAGGCUGCAUUGGACUGCACCAAUGCAUGUUUUAACAUACACAUUAUCAGCAACAGUGCAGUUUCUGAAAACCUGGGUCAUGUUUGACAUUACCAAAACCAAAUAUGCUAGCACUACAUAAUUAUGAUCUGUUAAUGUAUGGAUGUCGAAUUGCUAAUUUCAGGUCAUAGAUUUAUUAUUUAUUUAUUUUUUCCUCCAAUACGCAUGGCAAGCUCUGGCAAAGUCACAUUGAUAAGGAACUUUGGCUGUGGCGCGGCCUGGCACCUUUAAAGCAGCAAACUGAGGAUACUCCCGAUAUCACAGCAACUCAAGAAACAAGAUUUCAAUUCAUAGAGUAACACUCAAACAUACAUGUGUGAUGAAACGCUUGUCAACAAGAGAGCCAAGAGCAAGCAUACCUUGUUGGUGCACGAUUCCUUCAAACCUCAAUAGUUGCAGAACAAGCUUGGAAGCACCCAAACCUGCGGCCUCCCGAAACCAACCCCUGGUUCACCUGGAUACUGUGCAGUGAAGCAUUUACAGGUCCCAUCAACCAGAGAAUACUCGCUCCAUCCCCCACUCCAUGGCAAUGAUCCAUACACACAGUCGGGACGGAUCCCUGGAACAUCUGGACCAAGGCACGCGACGAAAUCGUCGUAGCCAAUAAACAGCGUCCGCCCUCCAAGGCUCAUUGUCCUCACCCACUUGCACUCAUUGGCGUCCCACAGGAAAACCUUGUAUUCCCGAUCGAUGCGGCCCACCUUGCAGAUAAGCAGGGGCUGGCCGCCGCACUCCCCCAGCACUGAUCCGCCUACGGUCUCCUUGAGAGUCUCUUCAAGGUCCUCGUCGAAUUCGCCUCCAAGCAUCCACAGUUCCAUUGUGUUGUCCUUGGGGAGCGAGGCCAUGACGAGCCCGCAGGAGGGGAGGAGCCCGUAGAGGGCGCCGUUGACGAUGCGCCAGUCAUGGAUCUCGGAAUAGCCGCCGUAGGACGCGACGCCCCAGUGGGCGUACCAGAGGCUGCAGUACUGGAUCUCCGUGCGGUCCAUGGCCGGGGCGAAGACGUAGCCGCCGCUGAGGAUGAGGCGGCUGUAGGCCAGCGGGGGCUUGGGGAGGCGGGCCUGCGCGCCGGAGAAGAUGUCGUUGACGAGGAUCUCGCCGGUGGCGCCGUCGACGGCGGCGACGCGGGCGCCGUCGGAGGUGAGGACGCCGACGUCCCUGGAGAAGGGGAGGCGGGCGCGGAAGCGGAGGAGGCGGCGGUCGGGGGUGUGGAAGAGGGCGAGCGAGAAGGCGGCGCAGCCGGGCUCGAGGAGCUUGAAGAGGGGCAGCGAGGGGUCGGCGGUGUGGGGCACGAGGAGGUGCGGCGGCUGGAGCGCGAGCAGGGCCCGGCACUUGGGCAGGGCGGCGCGAUAGGCGCGGCAGCCGGCGCGGAGGGCGAAGAAGUCGUGCAGGCUCGUCAGGUGCUUCGCGAUGUCCGGGAUCAGCUCCGCGGGGAUGUACGGCCCGCCGGCGUCCGCGUCGCCGUCGACAGGGGCGUUGGCGGGCAGAUCUGGGCCGCCGUCGUGCGCGGCCAUCCUCUCUCCCCUCCCUCCCUCCCUCCUUCGCGCCGACCAGCACAAGAUGGUUUUGCCGGAGUUGGGCGAAGUCGCGAGAUUUAUUAGGGUGGCAACGGCCGGCGGAGGAAGCGGCGGAGCCCGGCGCCGAGGGCACAAAAACAGGGGAAACUGUCAAACCCUUCACCAAAGUCCGGGCUUAUCAAAGAUUAUCUUUUUAACUUUUUUAGAAUUAUUAUCUGAGAUUAUCUGAGGGAGGCUUCUCCUGCACAUAAUCUGCACGCUAAUUUGUGUAUUAAAAAAAAAGAAUUAUAGAGUCCACAACCAACUAAUCGUGUGGUUUACACGACGUAGGAAGUCGUUGGAUCUACUUUAGUCAUGCGUCACAGAGUGCGUCCACCGCUAGCUUCGACCGCCGUCCAACCGUCUGCCCACGUGUCUCAUCAAUCAUCGACACAUACCUUUCCUUUUUUUGCAUCAAUCACCACCCUUCUAUACACAUCUAUCUUCAUCUAAGUAGGUGGCGGAGCCCGGUGCCCAAGGAGGAAGUGAAGACGACGGAGCCUACCACCGAUGGCACAAAAGGGAAAUCGUCAAACCCUUCACCCAAGUCGGCACUUAUGUGAGAGGCUUCUCUGGCAUUUUUUAAAUUCUUCUAUAUUUGUUGAGAAAGGAUUAAAAUUCAUCAACUGAUCAUGUCGUUUACACCGACGACGAACAAAGUCGUAGGAUCUGCUUUAGUCAUGCGCCCAUUAGUGACUUCGGCCACCGUCCACCUACCCACACACAUGUCUCAUCAACCAUCCAGACAAACCUAUCCUCUUGGUAUUCAUCAUCAUCCUCCGGUAAACAUUUGUCUUUCCUAAAUGAACCUCACUCUCAAGCUUUCUCCCCUUACUACCCUCCUCAUCCUGGAAGCUUUGAAGGUUGUCGGUCCCUCUCUCGCCUCUCCACUCCUUCCAUAUAAGCUGUAAGGCAUGAGUAGAGCGAGGUAGCACUACUGCAAAGAGCGGUAGAUUCAAAACAUCGUUCGUAUUGAAUUGGGCGACCCCAAGGACGUUCGUGUUCGUAAUGAGGCGACCGCAACUCUGUCCGUGUUGCAAUGAAUGACCACAACGCCACCUGUAUUGCAAACAAUGACUACAAUGUCAAUGAGCAACUACAUUGUCAAUGUGCAACCGCAACAUUGUCUGUGUUGCCAUGGUGGCAGUGGACUGCUACAUGGGACAAAUUUGAUAUCCAGCAACACGAAUGAUCCCCACCCAAGAUCAGUGGGUUGACGGGCAGCGUAGACCAUGGAAAACCUUAACAAACAACCAUUAAUCACAUCGAGCGAUCCGCCGCCUGGAGCAUUCAUCACGUGUCCCUCACGUCACGGGGCAGACGCAUUGCUUCUCCCAUCUACCUUAUCACCAACAUCGAACACAACCACCCGUUGAACCUUUAUUUUUCUUCUCCGCCCAACCGCUUUCUCCUUGGGUCUCAUCCCUUACCCGUUCUUUUCUCUUACCACUCUAACAACUCCCCCUCACGCAUACCCCACAACCACCCUGCAUUGGCAAGCAGAUGUUGGAAUGCAACGGAUCGCUGCAAGCCUACUGCACAUAAACGAUAUUGCUUUGAGGGGGGUUGUCAUGUUACGAGGUCCCCAUCACAUGUCGGUGUUGCAACAGAACUGCGACACGCGAGAACAUGUUGCGAAGCCACGACCAAGGAGGAGCGCUUGUUGGUACUGCAACCCGACAACCAAUGUUGCACGCCAUCGGUUGCACCUGGGGUUGCAAUUGCCUUUCUUGACGGCAUUGCAAGCGCAAAAGGGGGGCGUCUCCGGUACAACGGAAGGCACUGGGCUCGAGGGUUUUAUCAUCGCCGGGGCUCCAAGCACAUCGCUGGUUUGCAACGUCGCUGGUGCCUCACGCACAUUGCGGGGUUGCCAUGUAGCAUGUGGUUUAGGCGCAUCCACACAUGUCUCGUGUAGUGACAGUGACCGCAACAUGGGCGAUGAUGCAAUGGCGACCACAAGGUUGUCCAUAUUAUGAUGGGAGGCCGCAACAUCGUUUGUGUUGUGUUGGUUGCAACCUGACCCAACGACUAUGUGGUUACAGUUUCGGUGGCCCACAACCCGACUGAUCUUCGGCAAAGAUGAAUUGGCUGACCUGUUGUGUGAACCUUUAUCACGCCCAAGAUGCGACCCUAUCCUCGAUUUGGCACGAGGGCCUCGUCAGGGAUAGAAGCGCAUCUCGUCGUGUCGCAAGAAUGGAUAUCGUUACAAGUACAUGUACUGAAAAGAAGAGAUAUAUUUAUAGAAUUGUCUUACACUCGCCAUAAGCUACAUCACGGUCACAUCUGUACAAUACAUAGUCAUCAUGAAUAAGAGGAGGGUCCGACUACGGACGAAAACAAACGAGAAAAGAAGAACGACAUCCAUCCUUGCUAUCCCAGUUGCCGGCCUGGAACCCAACCUAGAUCGAUGAAUAAGAAGAAGAAGCAACUCCAAAUGAACAAUCAACGCGCUCGCGUCAAGUAACCUUUACAUAUACCCGCAACUGGUGUUGUAGUGAUCUGUGAGCCACAGGGGACUCAGCAAUCUCAUUUCCAAAGGUAUCAAGACUAGCAAAGCUUAAUGGGUGAGGCAUGGUUAAGUGAUGAGGUUGCAGCAGCGUCUAAGCAUAUAUUUGGUAGAUAAACUUACGAGUACAAGAAAUAAGAGACGGGGAAGAUCUACGUAUAGCGGACGUGAACUACGGUUGAUCAAAUGAAUGAUCCUGAACACCUACCUACGUCAGACAUAACCCCACCGUGUCCUCGAUCGGAGAAGGAACUCACGAAAGAAACAGUCACGGUUACGCACACAAUUGGCAUGUUUUAAUUAAGUUAACUUCAAGUUAUCUAGAUCCAAUGUUAAACAAAGUUUCCACGUUGCCACAUAACCGCGGGCACGGCUUUCUGAAAAGAUUUAACCCUGCAGGGGUGCUCCAACUAGUCCAUCACAAAUUACCACGAGCCGCAUAGAAAUCCUCGAUCACGACACUCGCGAUCUCGUAGGAUUCCUUAGUGGAAAACCUCAACUCUGAGGUUACCCAAAGCAUCACCAGAAUCCCGAUACACAAGAUAUCUCGUCAAAGGUAAAACUAAUCCAGCAAGGCCGCCCGACGUGUCGACGAUCCCGAUAGGAGCCGCGUAUCUCGUUCUCAGGACACGAAGGAUGGAACUAGCUGCGAGUGCCAAACCUCGAGUUUCCUCACGGUGGCCCCACAGGCAGACCGUUUUAGACCAACACUCAUGAGGAGCACUGGUCCGGGGGUUGAUUAAAUUUCCUUGGGUUAAUUACUCCCUAUGCGGUUCAUUAGUUAUUAGGCAAAUGUAAAACCAAAGUUGGGCCUUGCCAGACCAACUUUAAUCUAAAACGAAUUAUCAAGGCGGUCCCCAUAACAACCCCGAUCGUGUUAGGAGCGCUCAAUUAUGGAACAUAACACCGGUAACCGAAACUAAGGGGGCAAAGGUGGAACAAAACACCAGGCUAGAAAGGCCGAGCCUUCCACCUUUUACCAAGUAUAUAGGUGCAUUAAAUUAAUUAGCAAUUAUAUGGUGAUAUAACAAGGAACCCAUGUUAUCACAUGGAAACAACUGCACCUGCACCUAGCAACGCUAACACAUGGUUAAGCAAGCGGUAACAUAACCAAUCAAUGGUUUGCUAGGUUGUGAACAGGUUGAAGGUUUUCAUGGCAAUGUUGAGAGGCUGACAUUUAACAUGUGGUAGGUAACGAGACAUAGCGACAGAAACAAAACAACUAGCAUGGAAAUAAUAGUAAUGGUAUCUAGGGAAAUNAGGGGGCAAAGGUGGAACAAAACACCAGGCUAGAAAGGCCGAGCCUUCCACCUUUUACCAAGUAUAUAGGUGCAUUAAAUUUAAAUAACAUUUAAUAUGGUGAUAUUACAAGGAACCCAUGUUAUCACAUGGAAGCAACUGCGCCUGCAACUAGCAACGCUAACAACAUGGUUAAGCAAGCGGUAACAUAGCCAAUCAGUGGUUUGCUAGGUUGAGAACAGAUUGAAGGUUUUCAUGGCAUUGUUGAGAGGCUGAUAUUUAACAUGUGGUAGGCAACGAGACAUAAUCGAUAGAAGCGAUAAAACUAGCAUGGCAAUGAUAGUAAUGAUAUCUGGGGAAAUGGUCAUCUUGCCUGAGAUCCCGCUUGGAAGAAGAACAACUCCGUGAAGCAGGUGAACCGAUGUAGUCGAACGGGUCCUCACAUUCCAACACGCUUGCGGAACUCUAUCGAGACGGAGCAAACCGGAAACAAGCAUCAACACAGAUAAUCACCAUGUCAAAUGCACGACAUGAAGCACAACCUAAUAUGAUGCAUGAUCAACUCAAAAUGCAAGAGAUGGCAUGGCAAUUCACCUCACGCAAACACUACACAUUAAGUGAAGCUCGAUAUGCAACGAGUUACAUAUCGACGAAACUCCACAUUGAAUUAUUUAGUUCACUCACGUUUAUUUACACGCAAUAUUAAAUUGUUGUUAACAUGGCAACGAGUGAAGCGAUGAUCCUACAUGUCAUCCUAGCCGGUAAACACGCGGAGCAUAGAUCGGAGCUACGUCACAAGAAAUAUGCAACACAAGAUAUUAUGCCAUGAAUGCAUCAUGCAUGCCAGUUCACAACAACACGGGCAAGAAGAGAAGAAGCAUGUGUCGCCAUGGCGAACGAAAGGGAACCAUGGCGGCAAGACGGAAACGAAGCCACGACAACGUUCAUAUCCCGAUAACUCAAUGAGAUAUCGGUGCCAACGAAUUGGAAGCGUGUGCGGGUCAAGCCAAAUAAUGAUGGGGUGAUCCCGGUUACCGGGUUCCCAUGUCUCGAGGGCACGACGUAAGAGGGACAACGUGCAACGGGCAAACAUAUAAGGCGCUAGCAUACAAUUACAUCUCAUACAUCACAUGCACACGGUUCACGACAACGUCCCAUCGGUAUACCUUCGCAGCAUGCAAAUUGGAGCGGUUCAGAUCGUUGCGGCAUAGGAGAACAAAGAUUGUUGUGGACGUCGUGGAAGUCGGGGUACUCGUGAUCUUGUUGACGGUAGUAGUUCGCUUGGCGUUGUGGUACACGGGUGUUCGCGUCGGUAGUAGUGCACUGCUCCGUAGAUGUUCGAGGUCGUCGAGGACGUCGUGGUACUCGGCGAACUUGUCGACGAUCCAUGGUGGCGGGGAUGGUGCACGCGGUCUUUGGCGACGGCAACCAGCGACAGCAGCAACACGACUACAGCAGCAACAACAACAUGCAACGGCGACACAACAGAAAGCAGCAACAGCAUAGCAGCAAGCAAUAGCAAAUGGCGACAGCAGCACGCGGCAACAACAUCAAGCAACAUAGCAGCAGCAACACAUGCAGGCAAGCAUUAGCAGCGAGACAACAGCAACAAGCUAGCAUGGCACAACGACAGCUACAUCAAGCACCGACAACAACUAGCUAGCAGCAAGCAACACAGGCACAACAGUUAGCAGGACAACGGUAAACAACUAGCAGGCACAUCGGCGACGCAGCGGGCAACAACAUCAUGCGACAUCGCUAACAACAGCAUAGCAGCAGGCAAGCAACAGCAGCGGGGCGAGGGGAACAUGGAGGCGCGCUCGGGUCGUGCGAGGAAGGAGGAGGCCAUGGCUGCCAUGGCGAGCGGGACCUCUCCGGUGGCCGGCCAUGGCGAACAGCGGCAGGGGAGAGGGCACAGGGCGGCUCGGGCUCCGGCGUGCAAGGCGGCGCGGGAGACCAAGGGCGGCGGCGACAGCUGAGGCCGGCCGACGUGGGGUGGAGCAGCUCGGGGCAGAGCUCUGGCGACGGAGCCUGGCCUCGAUGGGGCGCGCGGCGAGCUCCUGCGGUAGGGAGGCUGCGGUGACGGGUGGAGGCACAAGCGGGCUAGGGGGGUUCCCGCGGCAGGGGAUCAGGGCUAGGGCGGCGCUGGGGAUCUCCGCGGCACGGGAUCGGGGCUAGGGCGGCGCUGGGUGACGCGAGGAGAGGAGAUCGGCGAGGCUAGGGAGAACGACGACGCAGCGAGGGGAAUCAGGAAGGAGGAGAUGGGAUCGAGCUGGAGGCUGUCUGUCGCUAGGUCAGGGGCCUUGCCGCGGUGGGCCUUGAGCCGGCUUGGCUCAGGCUGACCUCUCUCUUCUGAAAAAAUAAAUAACAAAGGCGGUUUUAAAAGAAAAAGAAAANAAUAGAUUGGGACUUUUUGAAGAAUAAAAAUAAAACCCUUUUUUUAUAAAUAAAAAAAUGAGACUCUAUUUUUAAAAUAAAACAAAAGAAGUAAAUAAAGGAAAAUCCAAGGGGUUGCCUCCACAUUUAAUAAAAUGAUUUUUAAAAGAAGACGAACAUUUUAUAGGGAUUAAAACUGAAACUUUAAAACAGCCACAAAAUAAAAUAAAAAGGAGAGAAGGUUUUAUGUCCAUGGUGCAACAAGGGUUUUGAAGUGGCUCUUGUUGCACCCACUCUCAUCACACCAUCAAUACAUUGUCACACUCGUAAGGUACUAACACUCCAAAAACAAGGAGCAACAAGCAACACAGACAAAGAACAUAGUUGACAUGAUGCAUGCAUGAUGCAAUGAUGCACAAGAUGAAUGCAAAAAACAAAAAUAAAACACACCGCGACAACGAAUUAAAAGGGGAAUCUUCUGGAGCGUCGGCAUCGGGCUGUCACAACCUUUUAGAUGGAUCCAAGAUUUCUCUUAUGUAAUAAAUCAAUUUUUUUGGCAUGAGUUUUGUCUUAUUAGCUCGUAUAUUACUUGUACCUCACUUGCUAAACAGAACUCCACCACGAAUUAGCUCCCACAAUAUUUUUGAUUUAGUACAAUCAACUUCUAGACUGCGAAGACUGGCAAUCGAACGUCAUUACCCAAUCCUAUCAAAGUGGAUGAAAGCUUCAACAAGACAACAACCAUGUAGCUCUCCCACAAUCGUGGAUGAUGAUGAAGCUCCCUCCUGCGCUCUCCCACCCGGCCAUAUAGAACUUGUCAUGCGGUGCUACAUGAGUCGAUGGCUAUUUUUAUGGACGCACAGGGUGGGGUGGGUGGGGGAACAUGGCCUGCAAUGCGGUAGCUACAGUCUUGGUGCACCACUAGCGUGAAAUAUGUUACUACCUCCGUCAUGUCACAGUUUAGAAGGCACACACGUAUAUCUAGGUUGUCAAUUUGACUUAUAUAAAAUCUAUUGUUUAAUAUAAAAAUUAUAUCAUUAAAAAAUAGAAUAUCUAAAGUUUUUAAAAAUAUAUUUUUUGUGUGUUUAGUAGCUACGCAAGAUGAGUGAUCGUGCGUGGAUGUACACCGGUCACCCNUGGAGGGCGUAUGAUGGAUGGAAUCUAUGUUGCAUAAGUCCGCAUGAUAAGUUGUGCUUGACGUAAAUUUGUCUGGACGAAGGCCGGCGGUAGAGUUUUUUUGUGUCCGAAACAUUGGCCACAUUGUGGAAGAUGCCUUGGACAUGAUGCAACACCAGAGGCGGACCUAGAAACUAUUCCACGUGGGGCAAACUAUAUGAAUGGAGCACACUUUAUACCAAUGUAGAUAGUUUUGGCAAAUUUUUCUCAAAUUCCAAAGAAAAUCUACUGGAUCUUCAAAUUUUGAGUGGGAUCCCAGGCCCCCUCUCCCCUUACGCAACAUGGCUCGUGUUGCAACACACGAUCACAACACGAGCCAUGUUGCAAACGACCAGGAUGGAACUGAGUGGCUAGUGUGGCAGAGAAUUGGAUGAUGCACACGCUAUCCAAUGGUUGCGGAGGCGGCCAAUCCGUUCCAUGCUUCAUUGAAUGAGCUGUAUUCUUGUCAAUAAUAACUUUUCCUCAUAUCCCUAACUACUUUGAUGGGAUCUCCCCCGUUGGCUUCCCCGUUGAAGCUAGCAAGCCCGCCUUACAACCCCAACCAUUUGGCAAGGUCUCGUACACCGGCUAAGAUGUCAUCGUCGCUCUUGUGUUGUUGGAGGCUCUAUCUUGCGCUAGCCCGACACUAACUCGGCCGCCACUACAUCACUUCCAGCUCAAUCUUACUGUCCGAAUCAACUCGUUUUAGAAAGCUGAAGUGUUUUAUCAAAUCAAAAGCCCAAAUAUAUAAACAAUGCGCUCAAGGAAAAUCUAUGUUCAAGAUUAGAGAGAGAGAGAGAGAUAGAGAGAGGGAGAGAUGGAGAGGGNAAAUUGGCUAAAGUGUGCAUAUUUACUAUAUGCACUUUCUUUGGCAUGCUUUCUUUCUUUGACCCAAUAUAUAGGGAAAACUCCACCAUGUCAUAAAUUGGCUAAAGUGUGCAUGAAAUUCAAUUUCAUACCCAUUUGCACAUAUUUAUGUGGAGUUUGUCCUAUGCAUUAUUGGUUCUCUAACUCUUUGGUCCUAAUGAGUUUGGGCACCAUUUUGUUUAUAUUGUUGUUCUAGGAAUAGUUGGAGAUGCAUUGGAUGCUCGGCUCACCUACAAGGAAGGUGUUGACACCAUGUGCUUAUUGGAGCCAAGUUAGGAUGAUCAACGAACAAUUAUCUACUACAUUAAUCCAAUGCUAUCUCGGUAACAAGUAUCUACUUCAUGCAUACAUUUCUUGCAUUCAACCUUUCGUUGGUUGCAUCAUGGCAUGAAUUUCUUGAUUCGUUCUUGUGGUACUUGUUUCCUUUCUCAAAGCAUCCCAAUGAUGAUGUCUUAUUGCUAGUUGUGUUGUCUUUGAUGUUCGUGAGUUGGAAGUUCAUUUAUGUACAAUAAAAAAAUAUAAGGCCAUGUGCUAUGCUUUCAAGCAAAGAUCUUAUUGGUAUGUUUAUGACUUCCUUUUGGAUAUCUUGUUCGUUCGUUCUUGUAACAAUUUUGUGUGUACAUCCUUCUUUGUGGAUAUAUAUCAUCAUGAUUGUCCUCUACCUAGAAUCUUUCACAUAUGACAGAAAUUAUAUCUCUAAUUGAUUCGUUUCUUUCACAUCCACCAUUGCAUUUUCUUUUUCAGUUUUUGGUGGUUUUGUGAAAGAUUUGUCUUGAGUGCAGAUCUUAUAUUCUUCCAUCUUGAUGCACUCAUUGAUGGUGAAGAUUAUUUUUCCUCAUGCUUGUCUUUACAAGGUUAUUAUUUCCUAUCUUGGCCAUGGGUUAUCACAAGCGUUGGUUCUUAAUAUGUUUAUUAAUAAGCUUGUGAACCCAUUUGAUAGUAGUGUGUGUGUGGGAAGGAUAUGUCUUACACUUUGUUUCUAAAAAUUUCAAGACUAUGUUGACGAGUAAUGCUCAUCCUUAUCUUAGUCUUCUCAAGUGCUUUGCCAUGAAUCACACACAUCAUUUUGGUUGAGCCUAUUCUUAAGUUGCCUCUUAUACAUGUUGCUCAACCAUAUAUUUGGUGCAAGUGCUUGCUUAUUGUGUCACCUAUUUUCUUGCACUUGUUGUGUGUUUUUAUUAAUUUUGGGGAAGCAACAAUCCUAUUUUUUGCACUUGUAUCAAAUACAAAAAAAAUCUUAUUAGUGCAUAAAUCAUGGGGAGCUUCUCUAGUUUUGAUAGAACACUCCUUUUCCCAUAUCAUAAUACCUCUUAUUCAUGUGGUUUGAAGGACCAUGUGAUUGUUUGUUCCUUUUGGUAUCUUUCUUGUUGCACACACGCUAAAAAGUACCAUGUUAUCUUUUGCUAUUAAAAAAACAUUGUUACCGAGUUCUUCGCUGUUUGUCGGGAACCGGAACACGAGAUCACGUCAACAAAUGUGUAAACCGACUAAAGCCCUUAGCGAGUAGAAGGACAUGUCAUAAUACGAAUGUUAUCAAGCGCUUGGCCUCGCAAAAAAAAACUCGGCUUAUGAGAUGUAUGCCAGGGGCAAGGCGCAGCAAAGCGAAGCGUGAAGUUAGCCUUUAUCUUUAUAGUUGAAUUUGGAUCGCAACACAACAGAAUCUAGCGGGCAACAACGAGAUUAGUUAGCCUACUACUCUUGGCCAACUUAUUUCUGAACCUAACUUGCCUCAUUUGAAAAUGGAUCAAUCGUAUACUCUAGGAGGUUCCAUAAAUAUGUUCAUUUAAUAAUACACUAGAAACCACAAUUAAGAUAUCACUUAUAUAAUACACUUUUAGAGAUCUCUACAAUGAUAUUUCAUAAUAUUAAAAUAUAUAUGCCAACAUAUGCAAUUACACACAAAUAUACUAUACAAUUUAUUCAAUUUUCCAACUUUUGUUUAAACACGAGUUUUGUAUAAAACAUACAAUAACAAUUUUAUAGAGUUAAUUUUUUGAGUAAAAACAUCAAAUGGCAAAAAAGAAAUACAUAUUUAAUAUUAUACUACGUUGUUGUGUGGUUACUUAGCUAAAUAAUAGAAAUUAAAGAUAUUAAUAAUUCUAGAUAAACAUUUGGUAUAAAAUCCAUAUUUUAAUUUGUCCUAUUUCCAAAAAAAUGUUUUAACCGCCCCUAGCAUAUGUUUAAGAUUUAAUAUCCUUUAUAAAACUACUUUUAGUUCCAAAUUAUUCAACAAUAACAGAAAGUUUUGUAGCAGCCAUAAAUAUAACAAAUUAUACAAUUUGAUAUAUAUAUCAUGAUAAUCAUAUUCAUCCUUAACAUACAAAGCUAUUAUGUGAUUGUCCAUAAAUCAUCCGUUUUUAUCUGUUCAUUUUAUGUUAAUCACAAAAAUUGACGACUAAGAUUUAAAAGAAUAAUAAGUUUUUUAUAGGCCCGUGUGUCCUAUUCCUUUCACGCCCGCAUCUUGUGUAUUAGAAAAAACUGGAUGUAUGUUCAAUAUUGAAGUUAAAUUGGAUUGUCAGGAAUUAAUAAGAACUGUUCCAACGGAGAGUGACCUAACACGUGAAGGAGUUCUGUUCCGGGAGAUUCGAGCCUUUCCUUUUUAAAAUUUGUUCAUAUUUUUCUUUCGGUUUUGCCCCUCGGGCAUGUAAUAAAUUAGUGCAUGCUUUAGCGGUCUUCGAGCCCAACCAGCUGAACUCUACACAAUUUUGGCUUGAUGAUCUAUUAGAUGAUGUAAACAUUCGGAUGGCUAGUGUGUUUGUUGCGCUAGUGUGAUUUAUGAAAUCGAGGUGUUCCAUUAAAAAAAACCCGGAUGCAUGUUGCGUGUCCCGUUGAGCCAUGUCCAAGUUUAGCCACAUAAAGAAGUCCCAACACACUACGAGGCCACAACUUGAAUGCAAACACGCCUUAUCCCUUAUGAUCUUAAUCUGUGGCCUCCAUCGUCCCAUGGCACGCCGUGCCGUGCUGUCGAACGGUAAGCACUCGUCAUUCCAAGCUGCUCACUCCGGCAUAUUUUCUUAGAGAUAGAGAGGUACAUGAAACAUAUAAAAUUUCAGACCUAAAUUUAUUUAGAGAGCAAGCUCUUGUCGUGGCCUUUCAAUUGUUGUACAACUACAAGAGAAUUCUACGUGACGUUCGAUUUAUUUAGAUACGGUACUCCUCACCGGUGUGCUGUCCGGUGGCGUGGCACCUUAGAGAGGUCGUACAAAACCUGACCGACAUUGGGUGCGGUGGCGCGCACACCGAGACCUCAACGAAGGAGACUGGAUGGUCUCCUUGAAGAAGGCGGAGAUAUGGUCCCACUGGUACGCGACAACCGCCGGUCAGCUGAUGCCGUGGUUGUAUCCGAUCUUGACCUCCACGAUGGCCAUUGCAUACGUGAUGUGAGGAGCACGCAGAUGUAAUGCAUCAGGUCGUAUACAGGUUACGCUCGCCUUGACGGCCGUCACGCCAUUGCCGACGUGGGGCCAUGUAUCCAUCAUGGAGGAGUCGGAAGGGCCGCCAGGGAAUAUGGCAGACGGGGUAGUGUUCCGAAAAUGUUACGGUUUCGUGGACGUCGGUGCUAGCUGCAUGAUGUCUAUAGGUGCCUGAGGCCGCACGGCUACCACCUAUGUAUAAUUACGGGGUAAAGAGGCGUACGGUGAGAUGACUGUUUUUUAUUGGAUAUUAAUAUGCCACGGGCCGCCCCUAAAAAUCAGGGGGCAGUUUUGAUUAAAAAGCAGUAGGAAACAUGCACGUGGGUUGUAACGUAAAAAAUAAUAACGGAAAACAUUUCCCUACGACAGCGCCAUUUGAUUUUAAACAUAUUAAACAACUCCACUAAAAUCAAUCAAUUUGUAAGGACAUAAUACCAAAUGUUGUACGUUGUGACGUACGAGCAUGUUUGUUAGUUCAUAAAAAAAUUAAUAUUAAUUUUUGUAAACAAUAUGAAAAUCAAGUUAAGCCAUUAGUUUACGUAAAGCUUGUAUUAGCAACAUUGUGCAUUUUUGAUACAUUUAGAAACAUUUUAAUAAACACGUUUAAUAUUGUUUAAAAUAUAAUUCAUGGUCAACAAUUUUUUUAAAAUACACUGAGUUUUGUUGUCUACUUUUUAAAUACACAUUCUAUACUUUUUGUAUACAUCAAGAACAUUUUAGAUAUACAAGUUUGACAUUCUUCAAAUACAUAAUUAAUAUUUUGUAAAACAUAUAUUUUUUAUGUCUACUUUAUUCCAUACACAUUGUAUACUUUUGUAUACAUUUUAUAUACAUCGGAAACAUUUUCUAUGCACAUUAAAAUAAAAUAAAUGCAUGAUAAAAAAUUCAAAAAGAAAGAAAAAUUAUAUUAAUAAUCCAUAUGUACUGUACAUUUUCUAUAUAUAAUGCAAACUUUUCCUAUUCAAAUUUGGUAUUUCUUUAGUGCAUGAUUGAUAUAUAUUUUUUGAAGUUUGCAUAUAGAAGAUUUUUAUAAUUGAAAUAUUCAGAUGAAUUAUUAAUAUGCCACGGGCCGCCCCUAAAAAUCAGGGGGCAGUUUUGACUAGAAAGCAGUAGGAAACAUGCCCGUGCAUUGUAACGUAAAAAAUAAUAACGGAAAACAUUUCCGACAGCGCUAUUUGAUUUUAAACAUAUUAAACAACUCCACUAAAAUCAAUCAAUUUGUAAGGACAUAAUACGAAAUGUUGUACCUUGUGACGUACGGGCAUGUUUGUUAGUUCAUAAAAAAAUUAUUAUUAAUUUUUAUAAACAAUAUGAAAAUCAAGUUAAGACAUUAGUUUACGUAAAGCUUGUAUCAGCAACAUUGUGCAUUUUUGAUACAUUUAGAAACAUUUUUAGUAAACACAUUUAUAUUUUUUAAAAUAUACUUCAUGGUCAACAUUUUUUUUAAAUUAUACUGAGUUUUGUUGUCUACUUUUUAAAUACACAUUCUAUAAUUUUUGUGUACAUCAGGAACAUUUUAGAUAUACUAGUUUGACAUUCUUCAAAUACAUAAUUAAUAUUUUGUAAAACAUAUAUUUUUUAUGUCUAUUUUAUUCUAUACACAUUGUAUACUUUUGUAUACAUUUUAUAUACAUCGGAAACAUUUUCUAUGCACAUUAAAAUAAAAUAAACGCAUGAUAGAAAAUUCAAAAAGAAAGAAAAAUUAUAUUAAUAAUCCAUAUGUACUGUACAUUUUCUAUAUAUAAUGCAAACUUUUCCUAUUUAAGUUUGGUAUUUCUUUAGUGCAUGAUUGAUAUAUAUUUUUUGAAGUUUGCAUAUAGAAGAUUUUUAUAAUUGAAAUAUUCAGAGUACAUCUAAAGAAAUCCGAAAAAAGCAAAUAUAAAAAAUAUAAAUGCUCAAGGCAGGUGUUAGAACCUGAGUCUCCAGGAUGGAAGCGCAGGCAGCCAACCAAUCGGCAUGGACAUGCACUUGUUCUUCAUGGAGGAUUCGCUGCCAGUUGACACAGACACAAACGACCGACUUAUAAUAAACCGAAUCGUUUCCUCCACUUACUUCCUCCACUUACCGAUAGCAUAAGGGGUAAUUCAUACGAAAUUUAGGGACAAAUUCCAUGACGGAUGACCAGAAACAGUAUUUACUUUAUUAUUAGAUAAGAUAUACAGAUAUAGAUAUAGAUAGGAGUCUGUAUGUUUAUGUAGCGAUCUUUUAUAAAUCUAGCAUUUUUGUUGAGUAACUGACGGAACUGAUUUUUUCAGAAACUUUCACAGCAGCUGUUAACUGAGUUUUUCAGAAACUAACGCACGACAGAGACCAGUACAUACAUCAAUGAUCUUGCUGCUCUUGAGAUUCUUCUUCACUUAGGAUGCGUUUGGUUGCUCGCAUAAGAUCCAACUAGAUUAAUAAGAAAACGGAUUGAUUGGUUGCCAGCACACAUUAUUGGAUCUUCAUGGCAUAAACUUUUUGCAACUUAUUGAACAUCUAAAGGGAUUCCCAAUGUCGGACUCCCAAGACUUGCCUAUUUGGCUACUAGAGCCUAGUGGAAAAUAUUCGGCUAAAUCUUUUUACACCAGCAUUAACUUUGGUGGUGUAGUUUCUUCUUUUGGAGAUACUCUUCGGAAAACUUUGUGCCCACAAAAUAUACAUGUGUUGCUGUGGUUAUGUUUAUACAACAAGAUCUUAACUAAAGAUAAUGUUGCUAAAAGGAAGCUAGUUGAUGACUUAUCAUGUUUGUUCUGUAAUGAAGCUGAAUCUAUUCAACAUUUGUUCUUUGACUGUAUCAAUACUAGUAGUAUUUGGUCGUUGGUGUGCGAAUUCUUCCAUCUUGGAAGAAUUAAUUGCUUUGGGAAAUUUAACAAAAAAAUACAUGUGCUUAACCUGGUAACAACUGCCUCCUUGUGGAGUAUCUAGAGAUUGAGGAAUGAAUUUGUUUCCACGGACGCACAUGGAGAGGACUAGGCUACGGUCUUGCCAAGUUAAAAGGGAUCCUGUAGCAAUGGUUGGUUCUUUGCGACGCUGCGCAGGCGGACACUCUGCGGAGAUUCGUUCUUCUGUUGGACAAACACCAAGGGAAGCUCAUGCGGAUAGCAUGGAUCUGAACAUGUGACCGCUUCUUCUCUAGAUUUGGUGUUGUAAUAAAAAUUAUGCUCUGGUGUUUGCCCAGGUCCUUGGAGUCUCUUAGUGUUGCCGGUUGACUAUCGUUUAAGUUGCUCCCCAGACAUUACCUGAGUGUUUUGCCUGGAUUGGAUGUUUUCUUUAGUUGGUUGUAGACGUUGGUCUUGUAGUUCGGUUUGCUUUGUUGCUUCAUUAAUAAAAUGGGCCGGGGGGAAAACCCUUUCUUAAAAAAAACAUUUGGGUAUGUCUCACGAGGCAUGCUUGAAGAUGCACUUUCUCACGAGCCAGGCCCGCACGAGGCACGUGGGCGGCGGGGGCUGCACGCGAGGAGCCACCAUCGAGAAGCUGCGUUGCUUUCCGAAGUGCCGACAGUUAUUACCCUCACCGCUCUCUCCCCCUCUCCCCUCUCUUCUCUCUCCAUGCACCUAUGGCGGCUCUGGCGUGCAACAGAUCGGAGAACCGCAAGUCGAUCUCCGGUCACCUUCAUCGGCAUCCGUGGCGUAGCACUUCGGCAAUGUCGGUAAGCAAUUUUUUCCCUUCUCACGUGCUACUUCUCAUUCGAUUAGAGUUUAGGUUCGUCCGAAGUUAGGGGAAUGGGGAAUCGGGUAAACACCAUAUGAGUGAUCAGAACAUCAUCAUGACUAGCAGUAGAUAUGAGAUUCCGAUCCGGAUUGAGUACAAUAGGGCUGGGGAUUAGAGUUCAUCUUACAUAGUACACACAGAUCUUAGCCUCGGGGACCCUGGAGGUGGUUGGAGCGGUGGGUGGCCUUGGCCUUGGUCUUCUCCCCGACUUGCACAACUGUCUCUUCUUCCUCGCUGGAGUGCAGCUCGAUGGGCAUGCUUCAGUGUCCUGGCUCCGGUGCCCUCAUAAUCAUCGUGAUCGCAUUUUCUUCUUCCACCUCCAUAGCCACCUGUUCUUGAUCCUCCUCCAAUGGCACCACCACAUUUUUUGUGGUGAAGUACAAUGUGGCACGAUGGUCAUGAGGAUGCCGAUACUGUUUGUACUUGGCCAACUUUGCCCUCUAUCUAGCAUCGUCGGAGUCGUCCUGAGUCAUGGCCCAGUGAACUAUGUCAGCUGACAUAGCGCCCUUUGUUGGGUCAAGAAUCAAUGUCUUCAACUCGUCCUACAUGGCCUUUUUCACCACAACGUCUGACUUUGUGUGCAUCUCUUUCAAGCUGCUAAAGUUAGAGCACACUUUCAUGGCGUUCUCAAACUUGGUGCGGUCAUCGAGCAAGCACCCUAGGACGAAUGCCCUCCAUCCAAUGCCCCAAGGGAAGGGAUUGGGGAUGGGGUUGGGAUUGGGGUUCGACUUGUUGUCAGAGUUCAUGUCGUUGGGUUGGAGGAAGAGUGAGAGACAGAUAGGUGGAGUGGUGACCGUCAGGAUGGGUAAAUAAUGGAAUUCUGGGUGAUAAGUUUUAAUGAGAUGUUGAAAUGUGCAUAAUGGAGAUCCUAACCCAACCGCAUGAACCUGUCCAUAAUACAAAUCGACACGGAGAACAAGGGCAAGGAGGUGGUCCGACCAAAGGAGCAAGAGAAGAGCAAGGACGUGGUGCCUCCUUGAGAGAUGACGCCCAUCCAGAGCCCGGCCAUGGACAACGACGUGCCGUAGGAGCCCCCUAGAGGCAAGCGCUCAAACUAUGACCACUACUAUGAGGUGGGUAGACCAGGAAAGUCAUAUGACAUAUUACCUGUAAUACUAAUCCUAGUAGUAAUACUUUUGUAAGAAAGUAGUAUAAAUAAGCGCUUCGCCACAUCUAAGCUGUACAGCUCCAGUGAUGUUAAGGAUUAAGUUGAUACAUAUGUUUCUCCAUAUUUAAGAGAGUAUGAGAUGUAAUGCGGGGAUGGUUGCUUUAUACUACUCCCUUCAUCUCAAAAUAAGUAUCGCAAAUUUAAUAUUGUAUAAAUUUUAUACUAAAACAGCGACACUUAUUUUAAACCGGAGGGAGUAAUGUAAAGUGGGGGGACCUUUUUUCGUCUAGAGUAUGAGAUAUUGGGUAUACCAAAUGGUAGUCGCUUUGCACCAUCCACGUCUGGAAGCUUUGGCUAGGAGUGUCACGACCAAGGACGCGGUGUGCUGUGCGCUGUCCAUGUUGACGGGCCAUCCUCGAGUUGCCCCUACCAGGCAAAUCCGCUCGCCUCGAGUUGCCCCUUCCAAGCAAAUCUGGUCGCAAUUGCUAGUCAUCGACGUCCUCCGAGCGGCGUGUGGAUGGCCACAUAUUGUUGUUUUUUGCUCGUCUACGGUGAAGCCUACAUUGAUGAUUGUUAAUGGUGAAGUCGGAGUCGCCCUCGCAGAGGUGUGAUGACGAUGACGCCGGAUUACAACCUUGAUGAAGCUCUUUCCCUUGACGGCGUGUGUGCGUUUUUGUGUAGGUUUUCAGGUCGCCUUGUGUGCCUUGUUGUGGGCGCAUUGUGACGGUUUUAGCCCGAUUUUCCGAUUAUUAACCGGGCAAUUCUCUUCGACCUUUUUUAAUGAAAUCGAUACCUAAGGGACCGCGUUUCAAAAAAUAAAGUGGUAAAGCUUUCUAGACUCCGUAAUCAUUUCAGUUGGUCACGGCAUGCUACUCUGAUUUUAGCAUCCCAUUAUCUAAAACAUUUUAUAGAUGGCACAUUUGUGAAAUCAGAUGAUAAUGUUGAGUGAGAGCAAUUUGAACAGAAUGAGAACCGUUGUUUUGGCGUGGUUGUUGGGGGUCAAGUUGACUCCUUUCAUGCCAAUUUUGCCNGCCUUGUGACGGUUUUAGCCCGAUUUUUCGAUUAUUAACCGGGCAAUUCUCUUCGACUUUUUUUUAAUGAGAUCGAUACCUAAGGAACCGUGUUUUAAAAAAUAAAGUGGUAAAGCUUUUUGGAGUCGGUAAUCAUUUCAGUUGGUCACGGCAUGCUACUCUGAUUUUAGCAUCCCAUUAUCUAAAACAUUUUAUAGAUGGCACAUUUGUGAAAUCAGAUGAUAAUGUUGAGUGAGAGCAAUUUGAACAGAAUGAGAACCGUUGUUUUGGCGUGGUUGUUGGGGGUCAAGUUGACUCCUUUCAUGCCAAUUUUGCCACCCGAGACACCGCCUUUGAGCUACUGCUCAACUCUAUGUUCAUUUCUACAUGAGAGAGUAGGAAUAACAGAUCAAGGGCAUACAAGUCUGUUACUACUAUCUUACACUCAAUAACUCGUGCUCUUGUUAAUUUCAUUUGGGGAUUCCUCUCAAGCAUUGAAUGCGCUCGUCCGCCAAUUGGCUGAGCAUACAAUUUGUAUGACCGGUCUAGUUGUAUACAUAUGACUUUUCUGGUCUAGAUGAUGAACUUGGUUAGGUUCAUCUAAGUCGUAUGACAUAUAGCUGUAGUAGUAAUCAUAGUAGUAUAAAUACUAAGCACUUGUCCACAUUGCACCCAUUCUCAACUCUACUGCCACUGAGAAUUUAUAAGUUGAUGCAUAUAUUUCUUCAUAUUUUAUAGUGUAUGAGAUAUUGGAGUACACCAAAAGGUAGAAGGUUAAAGGUGUGCGGUGGCGCGCAGUCUGUGCACCAUAUGUUGGUGAAUCAUAGUCUGAAUAGGCUAGGUACAAUUGCAUCCAUCCUAGGACAACACGAAUGAAGAAUUUAGUGUUAGAUAGCAAAGGCAGCUGAUAGCAAGUCAAAUACACACCACACUACCACACGUGCAAUGUGUCCUCUAUUUACCAGGAUUCCGGUGCUGCACCGAUGAUUCCUGGCCGCAUCCAAGCGCGGCGGAGUGCCAUCGGUGUGCUGUCCCGUGUCAUGAAGCGCCCACACAAUCUGCAGUUCACCUAUACGAUUAUAGCCAUAUACGAUCAUACCCGUGCAUGACAAAGUUAGGUAGGCUCAUCAAAGCGUUAUGUCUGUUCAAGCUAUUGUAAUUAGUAUAAAUAGUAAGCACUUCAUGUGAUUUAACCCAUUCUAACUCUUGCCACUGUUGUUGAGAACAAUAAAUAAAGUGUACACAUAUGUUUCCUUUGCGUAUUAUAUAGAGUAUGCUUGAGAUAUUGGAGUACAACAAAAUAUAAUUUCUGUUGGGAAGUAGCCUGCUAAGUUGUUAAUUUGUUGAAGGGAGUUUUCUUCGGUGGUUGUAAGAGGAUUGUCGUGAAGCAGUGUUUUUUUUCUUUUCUUUUGAAAAUGGCAGGAUUCUUGCAUUCAGGCCAAUCACGUUCUAAUAGAUCCAAAUGAAAAUUGAUUCGUGCUCGUUUGAUCCAGGGAUACCGGCCGGUGCCCAAACGGGAGUGUUGACUUGCAAUUUGGAGUUCGAUCAAAAUAUGUUUUCAGCAUGUUCCAGCCGUGUUUUUGUUUUGGAAUCCGGUGAUGUACAUGUUAUCAUCAGCCGUUGCUAGCUGUCAUGGUUCGCUAAUCAGAUAUUUUAAAGAUUUUACUCUAGACUAGAUACGAAACUAAGUAAAUGAAUCUAAAUUUUAAAAUAUGACUACAUACAUCCGUAUGUAGUUUAUAGUAAAAUUUCUAAAAGGUCUUACAUUUACUAUUUAGGAACAGAGGAAGUAUAUAUACUCUAUUCCAACAAAUCUCAGUGUGAUUUAUUGUUCUUCUUUGACCAAUGUGCGCUAGCAUUAUCCAUUUGUUAGGAUUUUUUGACAUUUUAAAAUUUAUUUUCCAUAGGCAGGAGCACGUCCUCCUGGGAGCCGAAUUGCAUCUCCGCAAUUAGUUGUAUUUAUAUCUUUGCUGAUAGUAUUAUUUGCAAUAAGCUGUAGUACUUACUUACAGAGUCGAUAUGGAACUGCGUAUUGCAAACUCCUGUAACUAAUACUGUAAGUAUUGUCAGGGCCGGGCCGGCAAAAUCCGGGUCCUGUGCGGAACGAAAAAAUGGGGCCCUAUCUCAUAAAAAUAUGAACUAACAAGCAAUUAUAAUGUAUAUAUGUCUCAUAGAAAAAAUUAUAAUGUAUAUAAUAUAAUAUCUUACAUAAAAAAUGGACAUAUAAAAAAGUCAUACCUAUGCAACUUUCGAUUGCUAUUUAUUUGAACAUCCUCAUUCUUGCAGUAUUCUUUGAAAUAAAAUCUUCAAUGAUAUCCUCGUCAUCAACCUUCUCCAAGACUUCACCCUCAAGUGCUAUUGUGGCCAAAUCAUUGAGUCUUUGUUGUGUCAUAGUAGUACGCAUAUAGGACUUCAAUAGUUUCAAUUUGAAAAACUUCUUUCUGCCAAUGCAACUGUCACAGGAAUGGUCAACAGAACUCUAUAUGCAAUACUUGCAUUGAGAAAACAAUCAUGCCGCUUCAAAAAAUUCAGAAUUUCAACAGGUCCGAUAUUUUCUUUUGGCAUGAAAUCUUGAAGAAACUUCAACUCAACAAAUAGUUCAUUGGCAUCAAUAUCAGAUUGUUUAUCCUUGAUAAGGGAAGCCUCAAUAUUAACACAAGAAGAUUUCAAACUAUCCUUAUCCAAUGAACGCAAUGUUUCAGAGGUAAAUAAGAAACCAAAUAUUUUCUGGUAACCUUCAUAUUGCUCAAAUCUCCUUGUGAGUGAGGAAAUUGCUUGAUCAACAACACGUAUGAAAUAGUUGACUCUAAAUGAUUCCUCUCCAGACUGUGUGGCAAUAUUUGUGUCGUCUGGGUUCUCAUCAAACUGUUUCUUUCUUUUAAUUUCUCUUCUUUUACGAAAUGUUGCAUCAAUAUUCAUCUCAAGUGCAAUUUCUUUGGUAUCUCCAAUGCUUCUAAGAAACCAGUUUCUCUGUACCCCUCAAAGAAAGAAAUAAGCCCUUUCACUUUCUCAAUUGCAACAUUAAUAAGCAUAUCCUUUUUUUGCAAGUUCUUGCUUAUUAAAUUAAUAGCAGACAAUACCUCAUACCAAAUGACUAUUGCCAGGAUAAAUUCAUACUCUCCAAGUUCAUUGUUUGCCAAACCUAGAGCCUCACUGCUUGCCUUUGGAUCACUAUUAGUUUCAGAUACCUGAAAUUAAAAGAAAGUUCAUAAAUGUUACGGCUAGAUCUAGUCAAAGGCUGAAUGAAUUACAUCAUUAUCAAUAUGAACAUAUUGGUUACCUGAAGUAGAGCCUCCCGAAUGUCUGAACAUUGAAAUCUAAUUGGUUUAACACUUUCAACACGACUCUCCCAACGCGUAGCUGACACACACUUGAGAGUCAAUCCUGAUAUGUUUUCUUUCAAAAUAUGCCAGUUCUUAGUAGAAUUUGCAAAAGUUGUAUAGAUGAGUUGGAUGAUCCCAAAAAAGUCUUUUGCUCUACCACAAGUCUUGGCCAUAUCACAAAGUGUUAAAUUAAGGCUAUGACAACCACAAGCAGAAUAAAAAGCUCUAGGAUUUACAUCCAAAAGUUUUCUUUAUACCCCUUGAUGCGUUCCUUUCAUAUUUGAUCCAUUAACAUAACCUUGUCCUCGCACAUCAUUUAUAUCAAGAUCAAGAAGUUUUAGCUCAUUCUGUAGCACCUCAAAAAGUCCUUGGCCAGUUGUAUCAUUUACAUCAAGAAAUUCUAGAAAGGACUCUUCUAUGCAAACUUGACUUGAAGAUGAAUCCACAUAUCUUAUAAUUAAAGACACUUGCUCUUGGUGACUUGCAUCAAGGGUACAAUCAAGUAUGACAGAGAAAUACUUUGCGCUCUUUAUUUUCUUGAUAAUUUCAGACCUAAUACAAGAAGCAAGCAAGUGUAGCAAUUCAUUCUGAAUAUUAUGAUCAAGAUAAUGAGCAUGAGUUUCUUCAUUUGUAAUACGACGAACAUGCUCCUGAAUAAUGGGGUCAAAUUCAACCAACAUCUCUACCAAACCCAAGAAAUUACCAUUGCUAUCUUCAUACAACUUGCCAUUAGUACCACAUAAUGCUAGAUUAUGCUUGGCAAGAAAUUUUACAAUGCAAACAAUUCUGAAUAAUACCUUUCUCCAAUGGUCCUUCUCUUUCCCAAGUUGUCGUUGAGCUGCUUUAUCAAUAGUUUGAUGUUUUUCCAAUCUAAUGCGCAACUCAUACCAAUUAGUCAUACUCAAAACAUGAUCCCCACUUGUCUCAUGGUCUUUUAGUCUAUUGGUCAUAUGUGACCAAUCAUUACAACCCUUAUUUGCCAAUUGACCUUUCUGAUGACUUUUUCUAAAUAACUUACAAGCAAAGCAAAAGACUCUAUCAAGUUGUUUAGAAUAGACAAGUCAGUCUCUAUCACAACACUCUCCAUUUGAUAGAAAUCUAGUAUAGAAUAUUGCGGUAAACCUUUUACGAUAUCUAUCUUUAGGACCUUUCUUAAUUGAAUUGUCUCUUUUUGAACCCUUUUGUGCUAAGAUAUCAAUCUGUUUAGAACCAAGAGAAUCCCGGUUUCUUGGAUCAAAUAUAUCAGACUUAGAAAAAUCAUCAACAUCCUCACGAGGUGAACUAUUCAAGUUAACAUCAAUAUGAUCCUCUACUUCCAUAUUAUCUGUCUCUGUCUGACCAUCUCUAGCAUCAUUGUAAGGAACAAUUGCAAGGGUAGAAGGAUCAACAGACUGAUUACUGGAUGACACUUGCGGUGCUUCUUUUCUAACAAAUUUGUCCAUGCCGCCUUUAUAAGAUUUAUUAAUUAAAUUUUGUUCUUCCGCUUUUCUCUUGCGCUUAUAGGCACCAAACUGAUGUUUCCCCAUGAUGAUUCAAAUCUAUAUUAUUGAAACACAAGAUCAAAAAGAUGAAUACAAUGAAAUUGAAGUUAUAUAGUAGCAUAUAUCAAUUGGAGAUCAUGCAUCAAUGUUUGGAACUUAGACGAACUGUCUAACUCACCUAGUUUUGUGUCCUGCACGGAUGAACUGGGAUCAAUCCGACGAGACGACAAGUCUCGGCGGCGGCCUAAAUCGGAUCGCGGGAUCGACUGAUAAGCAGAUGAAGUGAUCAGUCAUGAUGCGAACGAGAAGGCGACGAGCCGACGAGAUAUUCUUUUCUUACCGAAAUAGAGACGGGAGCGCUACUCGUACUGUCGUACAUGCGCACGCACGGCAUCAACGGUAGAGACGACGCGUAUCCUUCCGUUCUGUGCGAUCACGUCUACAGAAGUAUAGAUCGAUGGGGGAAGACGUCUACAGAUCGAUCAUCGAUGGGAUCAUGCAGACCUUCGUCGUGCGCACCUGCGUCCUGGGAUCAUCGAUGGGGGAAGAUGUGUGCACCUGGCGGCUGGCGCUGGCGAUCACGUUUCGUAGAUGGAGUCACGGAGGCCUGCGCGCCUGACCUACAGGCUACAAGCCACAGGCCCAGGUCGCUCUAGCGAGGCAACGUCCUGCUGGUCCAUGCACCCACCGCCCAGCGGACAGCUGGCUUGAGGCGACCACGGCGCGGAGACGAGCCACCAGCCACGACGCCCACGAAGCCACGACGCCCAAUCGUUUUCUUUAUACAACUAUAUGCUAUAUUAUAUAUAUAUUUUGGGGCCCCCAAAAUCGUGGGCCCUGUGCGGGCUGCACAUGUGACACCACUGUGGGCCCGGGCCUGAGUAUUGUGAUAACAAGAAGGUGUUGCCACGCUUCUCCACUUUGUCCAGUCGGUUGAGCAUAGAAGUUAUAUGAUGGUUCUAACUGUCCUGUGCAUGACAAUUAGUUAGUUUCACCCAAGUCAUAUGACAUAUUACCUGUAAUAGUAAUCCUAGUAGUAUAAAUACUUCUAUAAGAAAGUAGUAUAAAUAGUAAGCGCUUCUCCACAUCUAAGCUGUACAGCUCCACUGAUGUUGAGGAUUAAGUUGAUACAUAUGUUUCUUUAUAAUUAAGAGAGUAUGAGAUGCAAUGCGGUGAUGGUUGCUUUACAAUGCCCGUUCCGUCCCAAAAUAAAUGCUUUAACCUUAGUUUAAUUUUUUGCUACAGCUAGUAUAAAGAUGAAACAGUUAUUUUGAAACAGAUGAGUAUAAAGAAGGGGGAACCUUUUUUCGUCAAGAGAGUAUGAGAUAUUGGGGUAUACCAAAUGAUAGAAGGUUUAAGGUUUCAAUUGUCUCUGUGGCAGCACUAAUGUCUCCUCUUCCUGCUAGUAUUUCUUUUUCUGGUAGACAUGUGUAGCCACAAUGCAUCAGACCGGAAGCUAUUAAGUCGCUUUGCACCAUCCACGUCUGGACGCUUUGGAUAGGAGUGUCACGACCAAGGACGCGGUGGUGCUGUGCUGCGAUGUUUCUUUCACUGGAUGUAGUUGAAAUGGUGAUUUUUUUCUCGAUGUAGCGUGUACUGCAAUAUAUAUCAUACUCUGUUCCAACAAAUCUCAGUGUGAUUUAUUAUUCUGCUUUGACCAAUGCGCGCUAGCAUUAUCCACUUGUUAGGAUUUUUUUGACAUUUCAAAAUUUAUUUUCCAUGGGCAGGAGCACGUGCUCCUGGAAGCCGAAUUGCAUCUCCGCAAUGAGUUGUACUUAUAUCUUUGUUGGUAGUAUUAUUUGCAAUAAGCUGUAGUACUUAUUUGCAAAGGCGAUAUGUAACUGUGUAUUGCAAACUCCUGUAACUAAUAGUCAAGUAUUGUGAUAACAAAAAGGUAUUGCCACGCUUCUGCACUUAUCAAGCAAGCUUGUCUACCAGUCGCUUGAGCAUCGAAGUUAUAUGAUGGUUCUAACUGUCCUGAUCUGCAUGGCAGUUAGUUAGUUUCACCCAAGUCAUAUGACAUAUUACCUGUAAUACUAAUCCUAGUAGUAAUACUUCUGUAAGAAAGUAGUAUAAAUAAGCGCUUCGCCACAUCUAAGCUGUACAGCUCCAGUGAUGUUAAGGAUUAAGUUGAUACAUACUCCUAUGUUUCUCCAUAUUUAAGAGAGUAUGAGAUGUAAUGCGGGGAUGGUUGCUUUAUACUACUCCCUUCACGUCAAAAUAAGUAUCGUAAAUUUAAUAAUGUAUAAAUUUUAUAUUAGAACAGCAACACUUAUUUUAAACCAGAGGGAGCAAUGUAAAGUGGGGGGACCUUUUUUCGUCUAGAGUAUGAGAUAUUGGGUAUACCAAAUGGUAGUCGCUUUGCACCAUCCACGUCUGGAAGCUUUGGCUAGGAGUGUCACGACCAAGGACGCGGUGCUGCUGUGUGCUGUCCAUGUUGACGGGCCAUCCUCGAGUUGUCCGCAAAUCCGCUCGCCUCGAGUUGUCCGCAAAUCCGCUCGCCUCGAGUUGCCCCUUCCAAGCAAAUCUGGUCGCAAUUGCUAGUCAUCGACGUCCUCCGAGCGGCGUGUGGAUGGCCACAUAUUGUUGUUUCUUGCUCGUCUACGGCAGAGGCUACAUCGAUGAUCGUUAAUGGUGAAGUUGGAGUCGCCCUCGCAGAGGUGUGAUGACGAUGACGCUGGAUUACAACCUUGACGGAGCUCUUCCCCUUGGCGGUGUGUGUGCAUUUUUGUGUAGGUUUUCAGAUCGCCUUGUGACGGUUUUAGCCCGAUUUUUCGAUUAUUAACCGGGCAAUUCUCUUCGACUUUUUUUUAAUGAGAUCGAUACCUAAGGAACCGUGUUUUAAAAAAUAAAGUGGUAAAGCUUUUUGGAGUCGGUAAUCAUUUCAGUUGGUCACGGCAUGCUACUCUGAUUUUAGCAUCCCAUUAUCUAAAACAUUUUAUAGAUGGCACAUUUGUGAAAUCAGAUGAUAAUGUUGAGUGAGAGCAAUUUGAACAGAAUGAGAACCGUUGUUUUGGCGUGGUUGUUGGGGGCCAAGUUGACUCCUUUCAUGCCAAUUUUGCCAUCCGAGACACAGCCUUUGAGUUGCUGCUCAACUCUAUGUUCAUUUCUACAUAAGAGAGUAGGAAUAACAGAUCAAGGGCAUACAAGUCUGUUACUACUAUCUUCCACACAACAACUCGUGCUCUUGUUAAUUAAUUUCAUUUGGGGANGGCACAUUUGUGAAAUCAGAUGAUAAUGUUGAGUGAGAGCAAUUUGAACAGAAUGAGAACCGUUGUUUUGGCGUGGUUGUUGGGGGCCAAGUUGACUCCUUUCAUGCCAAUUUUGCCAUCCGAGACACAGCCUUUGAGUUGCUGCUCAACUCUAUGUUCAUUUCUACAUAAGAGAGUAGGAAUAACAGAUCAAGGGCAUACAAGUCUGUUACUACUAUCUUCCACACAACAACUCGUGCUCUUGUUAAUUAAUUUCAUUUGGGGAUUCCUCUCAAGCAUUGAAUGCGCUCGUCCGCCAAUCGGCUGAGCAUAGAAUUUGUAUGACUGGUCUAGUUGUAUACAUAUGACUUUCCUGGUCUGGAUGAUUAAGUUGGUUAGGUUCAUCUAAACCGGAGGGAGUAUGACAUAUAGCUGUAGUAGUAAUGUAUAAAUACUCAGCACUUGUCCACAUUAAUUGCACCAAUCUCAACUCUACUGCCACUGAGAAUUUAUAAGUUGAUGCAUAUAUUUCUCCAUAUCUUGUAGUGUAUGAGAUAUUGGAGUACACCAAAAGGUAGAAGGUUAAAGGUGUGCGGUGGCGCGCAGUCCGUGCAUCAUAUGUUGGUGAAUCAUAGUCUGAAUAGGCUACGUACAAUUGCAUCCAUCCUAGGACAACACGAAUGAAGAAUUUAGUGUUAGAUAGCAAAGGCAGUUGAUAGCAAGUCAAAUACACACUACACGUGCAAUGUGUCCUCUAUUUACCAGGAUUCGGGUGCCGCAUCGAGGAUUCCUGGCCGCAUCCAAGCGCGGCGGAGUGCCAUCGGUGUGCUGUCCCGUGUCAUGAAGCGCCCACACAAUCUGCAGUUCACCUAUACGAUUAUAGCCAUAUACGAUCAUACCCGUGCAUGACAAAGUUAGGUAGGCUCAUCAAAGCGUUAUGUCUGUUCAAGCUAUUGUAAUUAGUAUAAAUAGUAAGCACUUCAUGUGAUUUAACCCAUUCUAACUCUUGCUACUGUUGUUGAGAACAAUAAAUAAAGUGUACACAUAUGUUUCCUUUGCGUAUUAUAUAGAGUAUGCUUGAGAUAUUGGAGUACAACAAAAUAUAAUUUCUGUUAGGAAGUAGCCUGCUAAGUUGUUAAUUUGUUGAAGGGAGCCUUCUUCGGUGGUUGUAACUUGUAAGAGGAUUGUCGUGAGGCAGUGUUUUUUUUUUCUUUUCUUCUCAAAAUGGCAGGAUUCUUGCAUUCAGGCCAAUCACAUUCUAAUGGAUCCAAAUGAAAAUUGAUGCGUGCUCGUUUGAUCCAGGGAUACCGGCGGUGCCCAAACGGGAGUGUCGACGUGCAAUUUGGAGUUUGAUCAAAAUGUGUUUUCAGCAUGUUCCAGCCGUGUUUUUGUUUUGGAAUCCGGUGAUGUACAUGUUAUCAUCAGCCGUUGCUAGCUGUCAUGGUUCGCUAAUCAGGUGUGUUAUGCCUGCCGGGUUAACCACCACCACAAUAUUUCGCAAUGAAAUCCUAAUCGUACUGGAGUAAUUUGAAUGGCAUGCUGAAGCAUGCCUACUUGGAGGAAAGUUGCACAUAACCUGGACUCCGCGCCGCCGCAUCACCCACGCAGGCAUCCCAUUCCCAUACCCGCGAGCCACGGCACCCUGUGCCGCGCCCAGGCCCGAGGAGGCCGGCUCGCGCCGCCCCACGCGCGAGGGGAACCGCCGCCCGCCGCCGUCCCGGCCGCCUCUGACCUAUAGAGCUCGUAUUUCCUCGUCCGCGCGCUCCGCAUUGAGGCGCUCGCGGACCUCCGGGUCUUCCGGCAGCUCGCGUGCGGAGGUGGCCGGGUCAAUCUGCGCAGCUCACCAGCAGGUUGAGAAUCUACAAGCUUUAGCAGAAGUGUAGAAGGAAAUUGAACAACAACUCUUGGGCAGAACAAACAUGAUGCAAGUGACACGAGUGCUCCAUGAGAUGAGAUGAAACAAUGCGAGAGGUCUAUAACUAACAAAUGGAAGAAAACUAGAAAAUACAUAGUCAAACGGUUCUAUUUAACUGCCACCGAACAUCCAAAACUACAGUGAGUAUUGGCCUGCAAAUUAGUGGACUUAAAAUUAACCAGUCAUUCUAGAGCAACAUUCAGAUAAUAAUUAAAUUCAUUAUUUAUAAAGUUUAGAAUGUUUUACCUCUUCAGAAAAAUUCAGAUCAUGACCACUAACUUAAAACAGUGGAAAAAGAAUAACAAGAUUUUCAGACUAAAUGUCGGGAAGUACACAAUACGUCAGGUACAAAGAUUACUCUCUAGAAGCUUCCUCGUAGGUAUGGUGAUUCCUUUCAGGCCAAUUUUACCACCUGAGAUACGGACAGCCUUCGAGUUGCUGCUCACCUCUGUGUUCAUUUGUACUCCCUCCGUUCUUAAAUAUAAGACCUUUUAAAGUUUUUUUAUUAUAGAUUACAUACGAAGCAAAAUAAAUAAAUUUAUAUUUUAUAAUAUGUCUAUAUACAUUCAUACAUAGUUUAUAAUAAAAUCUUUAAAAAAUCUUAUAUUUAGGAACAGAUGAAGUACACGAAAGAAUAGGACCAAGAGUUCAAAUGCAUACAAAGAGUAUGUCAACUAUAUCCCAGAGAAUAACUCAUGCUUUUGUUAAUUCUGCACUGGUACCACCGGUGACGACAUGGAGAGGAACGGGGAGGAUAGGUGGAGCGGCGGCGGCUGAUGGUUGGGGACGGAAGAAGAUGGGAUAAGGAUAUUUAGGGUUACGCUUGUGUGGAAUCUAGUUAAACGGGCUGGACGUGCUGGAGACUUGAAAUUCCCCCCACCCCUCGUGCUCUCUCAGUUUCGGUCUUGUUUUUUAUGUACUAGACUAUGAUGGCGCGCGUUGCCGCGCCAACCUAUUUUACACUUAUAAUAAGGAUGAAAAUGUGCACAGUUAUAAUAUCUUUAAACAAUGUUUUUUCGUAAAUAUAUGUUGGCAUGAUAUAUGAAAGCUAAAUACAAACUGUACUUUGUUUUGUUUUUUAAACACAUUAAUGAACUAAACUGUCCAUGUUAACAAAACAUAGCAUCCGUACUUGUUUUUAGAAGAAUAAUACUACCUAUGAUCCAUAUUAAUCGUACUAAAUCAGGGACAACAAAUAUGGAUCAGAGGGAGUAGAUGAAUAACAUGGUAGGGGGGUAAAUAUGUUUGCUUCACCUGCUCCAUCAACACAUAGUAUCCUCAAAAACUUUAGCACAUAAUAUCCUCACAAAUUUCUCAAUGUUUAACAGAACUGAAAUUAUAUUUGAUUCGCAAAAAGAACUCAAGAUUAUAAUUAAGGAGAUUACCCAAUAACAUGAUUUGUCUUUUUCUCUUUCCAUGUUGCUUAUAUCCUCAUAUUUGAAAUACAAUUAAAAGCCACAUAUUUAAUUCAUCAUGAUAAUUUCCUUAAAUCAAAAAAAAUUAAACGUUCAUGUACAUACAUGAAUUAUUCUCUAACUAAGAUCAUAGAUGUGCAGUUAGCAAAUGGAGCAACCAAUUGCAGUUAUCUUGAUUUGCAUCUUCUGAUCACACCUAGCUAGGAACUUAACUUAGGCAAUCUAAUUUUCAUUUUGGAACACAAAUAGUCAAUUAAUACGAUAUGUAAAGUGAUGAAUGUAAUAGACACAACCCAUUAGAAAUGCUUAUUCAUACAUGGAUUGAUAGCACAAAUAAGAAGUACGAACUGAAUGGGCAUGUAUUAGAACUUUCUUUUGACAACAAAGCUCUUUAUUAAAACCAAUAACAGUUAUAUCUUCAAGAAAAGCUCUUUAUUAAAACCACAGUCCUCUCGCCAACACAACAAGUUCAUGAGCAACAACAUUAUCUUGACGGGACAAUGGUCGAAGAUUAUCUUGAUAAAAUGUGUGAAUAAGUUGUAGUAGUCAUCUUACACCACUGCCGCUGGGCACUAGUAGAAUACUGGUCUUAUGUUCGGCCCUUUAGUACCGGUUUGGUUUUGGCCCGGGACUAAUGUCACCAUUAGUUAGUCCCGAUUCGAGAAGCUAGGCUUUUGUCACGGUUCGUUAAGGGCCUUUAGUCCCGGGUUGAGCCAUGAAUCGACACUAAAUGUUUGGUGGCAACCGUUCGCCUGAUGCGAGACCCUUUAGUCUCGGUUAGUGUCUCAAACCGGGACUUAAGGGAUCAUGGCGACCGUUUGGCUGCCCCUUUAGUCCCGGUUGGUGGCAUAACCCGAGACUAAAGGUCCAAACGGUUCGCAUCCCGCGUCGUUUCACGCGAUGAAAACAGAACCGUACGCGAGGCAGAGUAUUCUCUCUCGCUCUUUUCGUCUCCUCUCUCGCUCUCUCUUCUUCCCUUAUCUUCUUCCACCAUGAAUGAUCCAAUCACUCGCUACGGAGAGGUGCUCACACAUGGCACGACAAAACUCAAUGUCGUCUACAUAGACGACAACGCCAUGGUGCCGCGUUUUCUUUCCUAUUUCGAGGAACGGCUUGAAGAGGCGGAGGAGAAAGACAAGUUCAUGGGGCUUGAUCUCGAGUACACGACCAAUCAAGAAGGUGUUGCCGUGAUCCAACUUUGUUUCAAGAGAAAUGUCAUGGUCUUCCAAUGGGCGAGGUAAGUUUUGAGGCUUUUCUUUGGUCAAAGGUUACGAAAAUUGCAUAUAGGAUAGCAAUAUGUUCCAUUGGAAUCCUAAAGAUCAAUUUCUCUUUAGUUGAAGUGAAACAAUUUUCCUUGUUGCAUAUUGGCAAAACUAUGGGAGAACAUAUAUAUAUGACAUACUUAAUUUAGGGUUUCUUGACCAGUUCGUAGGAUAUGAAAAUUGCAUAGGAUAGCAAUAUGUUCCAUUGGAAUCCUAAAGAUCAAUUUCUCUUUAGUUGAAGUGAAACAAUUUUCCUUGUUGCAUAUUGGCAAAACUAUGGGAGAACAUAUAUAUAUGACAUACUUAAUUUAGGGUUUCUUGACCAGUUCGUAGGAUAUGAAAAUUGCAUAGGAUAGCAAUAUGUUCCAUUGGAAUCCUAAAGAUCAAUUUCUCUUUAGUUGAAGUGAAACAAUUUUCCUUGUUGCAUAUUGGCAAAACUAUGGGAGAACAUAUAUAUAUGACAUACUUAAUUUAGGGUUUCUUGACCAGUUCGUAGGAUAUGAAAAUUGCAUAGGAUAGCAAUAUGUUCCAUUGGAAUCCUAAAGAUCAAUUUCUCUUUAGUUGAAGUGAAACAAUUUUCCUUGUUGCAUAUUGGCAAAACUAUGGGAGAACAUAUAUAUAUGACAUACUUAAUUUAGGGUUUCUUGACCAGUUCGUAGGAUAUGAAAAUUGCAUAGGAUAGCAAUAUGUUCCAUUGGAAUCCUAAAGAUCAAUUUCUCUUUAGUUGAAGUGAAACAAUUUUCCUUGUUGCAUAUUGGCAAAACUAUGGGAGAACAUAUAUAUAUGACAUACUUAAUUUAGGGUUUCUUGACCAGUUCGUAGGAUAUGAAAAUUGCAUAGGAUAGCANGCAGCUCGCGUGCGGAGGUGGCCGGGUCAAUCUGCGCAGCUCACCAGCAGGUUGAGAAUCUACAAGCUUUAGCAGAAGUGUAGAAGGAAAUUGAACAACAACUCUUGGGCAGAACAAACAUGAUGCAAGUGACACGAGUGCUCCAUGAGAUGAGAUGAAACAAUGCGAGAGGUCUAUAACUAACAAAUGGAAGAAAACUAGAAAAUACAUAGUCAAACGGUUCUAUUUAACUGCCACCGAACAUCCAAAACUACAGUGAGUAUUGGCCUGCAAAUUAGUGGACUUAAAAUUAACCAGUCAUUCUAGAGCAACAUUCAGAUAAUAAUUAAAUUCAUUAUUUAUAAAGUUUAGAAUGUUUUACCUCUUCAGAAAAAUUCAGAUCAUGACCACUAACUUAAAACAGUGGAAAAAGAAUAACAAGAUUUUCAGACUAAAUGUCGGGAAGUACACAAUACGUCAGGUACAAAGAUUACUCUCUAGAAGCUUCCUCGUAGGUAUGGUGAUUCCUUUCAGGCCAAUUUUACCACCUGAGAUACGGACAGCCUUCGAGUUGCUGCUCACCUCUGUGUUCAUUUGUACUCCCUCCGUUCUUAAAUAUAAGACCUUUUAAAGUUUUUUUAUUAUAGAUUACAUACGAAGCAAAAUAAAUAAAUUUAUAUUUUAUAAUAUGUCUAUAUACAUUCAUACAUAGUUUAUAAUAAAAUCUUUAAAAAAUCUUAUAUUUAGGAACAGAUGAAGUACACGAAAGAAUAGGACCAAGAGUUCAAAUGCAUACAAAGAGUAUGUCAACUAUAUCCCAGAGAAUAACUCAUGCUUUUGUUAAUUCUGCACUGGUACCACCGGUGACGACAUGGAGAGGAACGGGGAGGAUAGGUGGAGCGGCGGCGGCUGAUGGUUGGGGACGGAAGAAGAUGGGAUAAGGAUAUUUAGGGUUACGCUUGUGUGGAAUCUAGUUAAACGGGCUGGACGUGCUGGAGACUUGAAAUUCCCCCCACCCCUCGUGCUCUCUCAGUUUCGGUCUUGUUUUUUAUGUACUAGACUAUGAUGGCGCGCGUUGCCGCGCCAACCUAUUUUACACUUAUAAUAAGGAUGAAAAUGUGCACAGUUAUAAUAUCUUUAAACAAUGUUUUUUCGUAAAUAUAUGUUGGCAUGAUAUAUGAAAGCUAAAUACAAACUGUACUUUGUUUUGUUUUUUAAACACAUUAAUGAACUAAACUGUCCAUGUUAACAAAACAUAGCAUCCGUACUUGUUUUUAGAAGAAUAAUACUACCUAUGAUCCAUAUUAAUCGUACUAAAUCAGGGACAACAAAUAUGGAUCAGAGGGAGUAGAUGAAUAACAUGGUAGGGGGGUAAAUAUGUUUGCUUCACCUGCUCCAUCAACACAUAGUAUCCUCAAAAACUUUAGCACAUAAUAUCCUCACAAAUUUCUCAAUGUUUAACAGAACUGAAAUUAUAUUUGAUUCGCAAAAAGAACUCAAGAUUAUAAUUAAGGAGAUUACCCAAUAACAUGAUUUGUCUUUUUCUCUUUCCAUGUUGCUUAUAUCCUCAUAUUUGAAAUACAAUUAAAAGCCACAUAUUUAAUUCAUCAUGAUAAUUUCCUUAAAUCAAAAAAAAUUAAACGUUCAUGUACAUACAUGAAUUAUUCUCUAACUAAGAUCAUAGAUGUGCAGUUAGCAAAUGGAGCAACCAAUUGCAGUUAUCUUGAUUUGCAUCUUCUGAUCACACCUAGCUAGGAACUUAACUUAGGCAAUCUAAUUUUCAUUUUGGAACACAAAUAGUCAAUUAAUACGAUAUGUAAAGUGAUGAAUGUAAUAGACACAACCCAUUAGAAAUGCUUAUUCAUACAUGGAUUGAUAGCACAAAUAAGAAGUACGAACUGAAUGGGCAUGUAUUAGAACUUUCUUUUGACAACAAAGCUCUUUAUUAAAACCAAUAACAGUUAUAUCUUCAAGAAAAGCUCUUUAUUAAAACCACAGUCCUCUCGCCAACACAACAAGUUCAUGAGCAACAACAUUAUCUUGACGGGACAAUGGUCGAAGAUUAUCUUGAUAAAAUGUGUGAAUAAGUUGUAGUAGUCAUCUUACACCACUGCCGCUGGGCACUAGUAGAAUACUGGUCUUAUGUUCGGCCCUUUAGUACCGGUUUGGUUUUGGCCCGGGACUAAUGUCACCAUUAGUUAGUCCCGAUUCGAGAAGCUAGGCUUUUGUCACGGUUCGUUAAGGGCCUUUAGUCCCGGGUUGAGCCAUGAAUCGACACUAAAUGUUUGGUGGCAACCGUUCGCCUGAUGCGAGACCCUUUAGUCUCGGUUAGUGUCUCAAACCGGGACUUAAGGGAUCAUGGCGACCGUUUGGCUGCCCCUUUAGUCCCGGUUGGUGGCAUAACCCGAGACUAAAGGUCCAAACGGUUCGCAUCCCGCGUCGUUUCACGCGAUGAAAACAGAACCGUACGCGAGGCAGAGUAUUCUCUCUCGCUCUUUUCGUCUCCUCUCUCGCUCUCUCUUCUUCCCUUAUCUUCUUCCACCAUGAAUGAUCCAAUCACUCGCUACGGAGAGGUGCUCACACAUGGCACGACAAAACUCAAUGUCGUCUACAUAGACGACAACGCCAUGGUGCCGCGUUUUCUUUCCUAUUUCGAGGAACGGCUUGAAGAGGCGGAGGAGAAAGACAAGUUCAUGGGGCUUGAUCUCGAGUACACGACCAAUCAAGAAGGUGUUGCCGUGAUCCAACUUUGUUUCAAGAGAAAUGUCAUGGUCUUCCAAUGGGCGAGGUAAGUUUUGAGGCUUUUCUUUGGUCAAAGGUUACGAAAAUUGCAUAUAGGAUAGCAAUAUGUUCCAUUGGAAUCCUAAAGAUCAAUUUCUCUUUAGUUGAAGUGAAACAAUUUUCCUUGUUGCAUAUUGGCAAAACUAUGGGAGAACAUAUAUAUAUGACAUACUUAAUUUAGGGUUUCUUGACCAGUUCGUAGGAUAUGAAAAUUGCAUAGGAUAGCAAUAUGUUCCAUUUGAAUUCUAAAUAUUAAUUUCUAUUUAGUUGUAGUGAAACAAUUUUUCUUGUUGCAUAUUGGCAAAACNNNNNNNNNNNNNNNNNNNNNNNNNNNNNNNNNNNNNNNNNNNNNNNNNNNNNNNNNNNNNNNNNAUAUAUAUAUAUAUAUGUCAUAGUUAAUUUAGGGUUUCUUCAUCAAUUCAUAGGAUAUGAAAAUUGCAUAGGAUAGCAAUAUGUUACAUUGGAAUCCUAAAGAUCAAUUUCUCUUUAGUUGUAGUGAAACAAUUUUCCUUCACUACAGGAAUUAGACUCUUUUCCAUCUGCUAUAACAGACGACAAAGAGGUGUUCCACGGACGGCAAUGUCCUUUGUCGUCUGUCUCCUGUCGGCAAUGUUUCUGCAACAGCUUUCGACGGCACAGUACCUUCUUUGCCGUCUGCCUCCAGGAAGCGAACGUCAAUGUCCUUUGCCGUCAACCAUAUGCCCAAGCUCACGUCAAAUUACCUUUAGACGGAAGCCGAAGGCAACUACUCCGUUAGGUGACUAACGGAGCACUUUGCCGUCCGUCUCCUGGUCUCUUUGUUGUCUGCCUCGCAGUCCCUUUGCCGUCUGUCGUCUGCCUCCUACCUCCUGCCUCUUGCAUCUUUGCCAUCUGCCUCCUGCAUCUUUGCCAUCUGCUGGCUUUGGUGGCGAACGACAAAAUGACUAUAUGGGCUAGCUGCUCAUGCCCCAGGUUGCACAGGUGCCUGCCACCUGGCCUCUUUGCCGUCCGCUCCCUCAUGGCAAAGGCCUUUUGCAUCAGCUGUCAGACGACAAAGAGCCCAUAUAGUCCCUGUUUUAUUUGUUUUAUUUUAAUUCACAUCACAUAUAUAUAUUUGACAGCACAUAUAUGAUAUAUUUUUCACAACACAUAUAUAUAGUUCACAUCACAUAUUUGAUAUACAUAUAAAGCUCAUCAAUGUACAUCCCAUAUAUCGAAAGAACCAACAUACACAGUUUUAAACUGUUCAUCCAUAGAUAAAUAUACAUAUAGUUCGACAUUGUUCAUCAACUCAAAUGAAAACUAGAACUAAAGCACUCCAUGAAUGCCAGCUUCCAUGCAUGUAGUACAUCCAAUCUGCAAAAUGUGAAUAAGAAAGUCAGAAGAAGAAGAAUAACAACAUAUGAUGUUUUUGAGCUACUUAUGUCAUUUUAUAGGAAAACAAGCUAAGAUAUAACAUUCAUGAUCUAACCAAGGUUCUUAUGCCAUUUUGAUCUUAUUAUGUCAUUUUGGAGCUAAAUGGGCUAAUUAUGUCAUUGUUGGGGAAAAUAAGGUAAGGAGAAUAUGAAAGAGGAGAAGAAAGAGGAGGAGGAUAAGAAGAANNNNNNNNNNNNNNNNNNNNNNNNNNNNNNNNNNNNNNNNNNNNNNNNNNNNNNNNNNNNNNNNNNNNNNNNNNNNNNNNNNNNNNNNNNNNNNNNNNNNNNNNNNNNNNNNNNNNNNNNNNNNNNNNNNNNNNNNNNNNNNNNNNNNNNNNNNNNNNNNNNNNNNNNNNNNNNNNNNNNNNNNNNNNNNNNNNNNNNNNNNNNNNNNNNNNNNNNNNNNNNNNNNNNNNNNNNNNNNNNNNNNNNNNNNNNNNNNNNNNNNNNNNNNNNNNNNNNNNNNNNNNNNNNNNNNNNNNNNNNNNNNNNNNNNNNNNNNNNNNNNNNNNNNNNNNNNNNNNNNNNNNNNNNNNNNNNNNNNNNNNNNNNNNNNNNNNNNNNNNNNNNNNNNNNNNNNNNNNNNNNNNNNNNNNNNNNNNNNNNNNNNNNNNNNNNNNNNNNNNNNNNNNNNNNNNNNNNNNNNNNNNNNNNNNNNNNNNNNNNNNNNNNNNNNNNNNNNNNNNNNNNNNNNNNNNNNNNNNNNNNNNNNNNNNNNNNNNNNNNNNNNNNNNNNNNNNNNNNNNNNNNNNNNNNNNNNNNNNNNNNNNNNNNNNNNNNNNNNNNNNNNNNNNNNNNNNNNNNNNNNNNNNNNNNNNNNNNNNNNNNNNNNNNNNNNNNNNNNNNNNNNNNNNNNNNNNNNNNNNNNNNNNNNNNNNNNNNNNNNNNNNNNNNNNNNNNNNNNNNNNNNNNNNNNNNNNNNNNNNNNNNNNNNNNNNNNNNNNNNNNNNNNNNNNNNNNNNNNNNNNNNNNNNNNNNNNNNNNNNNNNNNNNNNNNNNNNNNNNNNNNNNNNNNNNNNNNNNUUUUGGAGCUAAAUGGGCUAAUUAUGUCAUUUUGGAGCUAAAUUAGCUAAGUUGUGAGCUAACCAAGGUUCUUACGAUGUUUUUACCUAACUAAGCUAAACUAGCUAAUUAUGUCCAAGUGUGCAUAGUCCUUCCUAAAUAAGACACACCAUUUCUCACAUGCAUCUAUCUUCUCAUAGGGCAUCUUAAGUACACGAAGUAUUUUGUCCGACUGGUACAUGUUUGCAGGCAUGACAUGGCCUUUGGAUAGGAAGCGUCCAAAUAGUGUCGUCAUCGCGUCGUAGCAUGCUCUUUCCAAGUUGAACUGAGCCUUGAGAGCCAUUACUUGUGCAAUUGUAUCGAGCUGACAAAGCUAAGUGUGCUCAUGAAGAGGACGUUUUGAAGACUCCAACAUUUCAUAGAAGGCCUUUGCAGAUUCCUCCAUCUCAUCUUCCGAGUCCCGAGCAUCAUCAAAGUCUUGCACCAUGUCUUCGGUCCCGACCACCUCAGCUCUGGUGCGUUGUAUAGACUCACCAUGAAAUGUCCACACCGUAUAAUUAGGCUUAAAACCCCUCCUCUUCAGGUGUUUAAUCAUUACAGCCUCUGUCAUCUUUUUAUAGUUGUCGCAUCCAGGACAGGGGCAAUAGUUUCUUUCCUGGCCAUUUGCAAAUGCUGCUUUCACAAAUUCCUUGGUUUUUAGAAACCAUUUUUUCGUCAUCUCUUUCUGACUAGGGUGACCGGUGUACAUCCACGCACGAUCACUCAUCUUGCGUAGCUACUAAACACACAAAAAAUAUAUUUUUAUAUAAUUUAGCAUAUAUAUAUUCAUCAGUUAAUCAAGUUCGCCAUUUUUAUGACGUCCAUGCAACCUACACGCUAAUAGGUAAAGAUAGGUCCUAAUCCCACCCGAGUAUGUGUAGAUUGGGUUCGUUUUCCCAUGCUCUGCUCCAGAUCCAAUGCAAAAUUUCGGCAGCACCUCCCCGCUUUUCUCCUGAUACACGUCUCCGCAAUAAACAGAGAGGACGUGUAUCCGGAGAACAACAGGGAGGCACUGACGAAAUUAUGCAUCGGAUCCGGAACAAAGCAUAUGGGAAAACGAACCCAAUCUACACAUACUCGGGCUGUCCAUGGAUAACGUUGGACAAUUCGAAAGAAUCAUGGUUAUAAAUAUAAGCAAAUGUAUGCAUAUUUAUAACUGUAAGCAUUUCGAACGGGAGACGCAUACUGGUCACGCAUACUAAUAAAUUAAUUUAAUUACCUACAUCUAGCAAGUUUCAUCCGAAAACCGACCCAUAGUAAAUGAAGGGGCGAGGAGAAGAUGACAUUUGUACUGACCCACAAAUGUAGGGGAGGAGCUCGUAGAAUGCACAGGGAGGUCUUCACACAGCAGACCUCACUGCGACGAUACAACUGUCACAUGUAAAUCCACCCGAUCAACACAAAUAUUUUGUGUUCAUUAAUAAAAUCGAAAAAUAUACGACCUAGCACAAAUAUACGGCGUAUUAACAGUUGCUCGGAGUUUCGUGCUGGGGUGUCAGGAUGUCGUGUAGGGGCGUCGUGUCGGGGUGUUGGGGCAUCGUGUCAAGGUGUCAGGGUGUCAUUUUCUUCUUCUUCCUCUUCGCUGAUCUACACUUGUACAUGUAUGACAGCAGUAAUUUCAGAGCAAAUAACGACAUGAACUACGCAUUAUAUGUGAUAUUAAAAUUCAGAAUUAGCAAAACUCACCUUUUUACAUUUUUCUUAUUUGUAGUCUCCAAGGUUUGACUAUGUUUUCCGUUCUUCUUGGUUGUAAUUUCUAAGCUUUGGCUAUGAAUUAGAUGAAUACACACAAAACAAACUCAGAUUUGAUAUGGCACUAAUCAAACUCAGUUCCGUUUGCAAAAAGAAUAGGUGUAGUAUUGUUAAUCUUGGUGGAAAAUACAUGGAUGCGGGUGCUUCAUCACCUCUUGGCACAAUGGAUGACUCGGCUGAUUUGGUAAUCUUCCUCCUCUUCAUUGUUUCUCUACAUGAGCAAUAAAAAAGUAGUUCAUAUGCAUAGUUGAAUACAAAAUAGUAAUGCAAGAAAGUAGUUACUAUGCAAUAAGAAAAUAGAAUGCAUAGCUCAUUACCUCACAUCCAUCAAAGCGGCAAUGUCAUCUUUGUUCCCCUUCUUGCACUUUCUCAAAUAUAUAUUUGUUCCAUAAGUAGGCAGCAGCCCAAAGGUGGUCGUCAAAUACUUUUCCAUGAUACUUUUUCUUAAAGUUUGACAUCAAGUGAAACAUGCAUUCCCUAUGUUCUACCUCUGGGAAUACUUCCUUUACCCCUGUCAUCACCGCGUGCCUGGAAUCAGUGCUUAUGGCUAAACCCCUUGGUGAUCCUAUGGCUUGCCUAAGCAACUGCAUGAACCUCCGGCGUCGCGCCCUGGGCCGGCCCCUUCGGUGGCGCGCCCUGCCGCAGCCCCUCCGGCGUCGCGCCCUGGGCCGGCCCCUUCNCGCCGGGGCGUUGGGGGCUGUCGGGCGCCGGGGGUGUUUGGGCACCGGGGCGGUGCCAGGGCUGUGGAGCACCGGGGGUGGUGGGGCGGUGGCGCGACAGGGCCGGUGGGGCGGCGACGGUGGUGGUGGCGGUGGGUGUCGGGGAGAGGAGUGGAAGAGUGGGUGGAGCGUGUGUGAGUGAGUGAGAGAGAGGGGCCGGGGUGGGGGCAAAGAGCCGUUACAGACGUUAGCGUUUGCCGUCUGCUGGCGACCCUUUGCCGUCUGCUGGCGGCUCUUUGCCGUCCGAGGCUGACGGAAAAGAAGAGAUUCCAGUAUGACCUAACGUCCCCGUAGUUACGUGGGCCCCACGUGUAGCUUUGCCGUCUGCUGUGCGGCUCUUUGCCGUCUGCGGAUGACGGCAAAGAAGUGACUGAUGGCAAAGAAGUUCUAUGCCAUCAGCCAGUUCUUUGCCGUCCGCUUUUUGGAAGCUGACGACAAAUACACUCUUUGCCAUCAGCGAGCAGACGACAAAGAUAUGGGAGACGGCAAAUAACUAAAUUCCAGUAGUGCUUGUUGCAUAUUGGCAAAAAUGUGGGAAUAUAUAUAUAUAUAUNUUGUUGUAGAAGUAUAUAACAUUUGUUCCAUUUUAUUUUGUUGUUGUUGCAGAAGUGACAAGCACUGUCCAGUACUCAUGGACUUCCUUCACAGUGACAUACGUCUUGCUAGUGUUGAUAUAAGGAACGACAAGCUUAAGAUGAGGCACAACUUCGGUAUUGAGAUACCAGCUGACUACCACAUUGAUAUCCAAGAUAUAUUCAGGCUUGAACAUAAGAGGACUUCGAUGGAUCAUAUGGCAGUCGCCCUGAUCGAUGAGGAGUACGCUGAUAUGAAGACCAAAUUCCCCUCGGUUCAGCACAGAAAGUGGGAGAGGACCCCACUUCGGUAUCAACAAUGAGUAUGCAACAAAAUAUGCAUACGUUGCAUAUGAGUUGUACCAUACGAUUCGAAUCAUGAACUAUGGCCAGCGUCACCUCGUACAUCAAGCACCACCACCACCACCAAUUUGGGGAUAUUCUGAUUCAAAGUAGUGUUCGCAACGUGUAUUAUGAACAAUUUGUUGGGGAACGUCGCAUGGGAAACAAAAAUUUUCCUACGCGCACGAAGACCUAUCAUGGUGAUGUCCAUCUACGAGAGGGGAUUUCCGAUCUACGUACCCUUGUAGCUCGCACAGCAGAAGCAUUAAGAAACGCGGUUGAUGUAGUGGAACGUCCUCACGUCCCUCGAUCCGCCCCGCGAACCGUCCCACGAACCGUCCCGCGAUCCGCUCUGAUCUAGUGCCAAACGGACGGCACCUCCGCGUUCAGCACACGUACAGCUCGACGAUGAUCUCGGCCUUCUUGAUCCAGCAAGAGAGACGGAGAGGUAGAUGAGUUCUCCGGCAGCGUGACGGCGCUCCGGAGGUUGGUGGUGAUCUAAUCUCAGCAGGGCUCCGCCCGAGCUCCGCAGAAACGCGAUCUAGAGGUAAAACCGUGGAGGUAUGUGGUCGGGCUGCCGUGACAAAAGUUGUCUCAAAUCAGCCCUAAAACCCCACUAUAUAUAGGAGGGAGGGAGGGGAGGAGGCAGCCUUAAAACCUAAAGGUUUGGCCGAAAUUGGAGGUGGAGGAGUCCUACUCCAAUCCUACUUGGAGUAGGAUUCCACCUUCCCACUUGGAAACUCUUUCCACCUUGUGUUUUUUCCUUCUCAAACCUUAUGGGCCUUAGUGGGAACUUAUUCCAGCCCACUAGGGGCUGGUUUAUCUCUUCCCAUAGCCCAUGAGACCCCUUGGGGCGUGACACCCCUCCUGAUGGUCCCCGGCACCCCUCCCGGCACUCCCAGUACACUACCGAUGAGCCCGAAACUUUUCCGGUAAUGCACGAAAACCUUCCGGUAACCAAAUGAGGUCAUCCUAUAUAUCAAUCUUCGUUUCCGGACCAUUCCGGAAACCCUCGUGACGUCCGUGAUCUCAUCCGGGACUCCGAACAACAUUCGGUAACCAACCAUAUAACUCAAAUACGCAUAAAACAACGUCGAACCUUAAGUGUGCAGACCCUGCGGGUUCGAGAACUAUGUAGACAUGACCCGAGAGACUCCUCGGUCAAUAUCCAAUAGCGGGACCUGGAUGCCCAUAUUGGAUCCUACAUAUUCUACGAAGAUCUUAUCGUUUGAACCUCAGUGCCAAGGAUUCAUAUAAUCGCGUAUGUCAUUCCCUUUGUCCUUCGGUAUGUUACUUGCCUGAGAUUCGUUCGUCAGUAUCUGCAUACCUAUUUCAAUCUCGUUUUCCGGCAAGUCUCUUUACUCGUUCCGUAAUACAAGAUCCCGCAACUUACACUAAGUCACAUUGCUUGGAAGGCUUGUGUGUGAUGUUGUAUUACCGAGUGGGCCCCGAGAUACCUCUCCGUCAUACAGAGUAACAAAUCCCAUUCUUGAUCCAUACUAACUCAACGAACACCUUCGGAGAUACCUGUAGAGCAUCUUUAUAGUCACCCAGUUUCGUUGCAACGUUUGAUACACACAAAGCAUUCCUCCGGUGUCAGUGAGUUAUAUGAUCUCAUGGUCAUAGGAACAAAUACUUGACAUGCAGAAAACAGUAGCAACAAAAUGACACGAUUAACAUGCUACGUCUAUUAGUUUGGGUCUAGUCCAUCACAUGAUUCUCCUAAUGAUGUGAUCCCAUUAUCAAGUAACAACACUUUCCUAUGGCCAGGAAACCUUGACCAUCUUUGAUCAACGAGCUAGUCAACGAGAGGCUUACUAGGGAUAGUGUUUUGUCUAUGUAUCCACACAAGUAUUGUGUUUCUAAUCAAUACAAUUAUAGCAUGGAUAAUAAACGAUUAUCAUGAACAAAGAAAUAUAAUAAUAACUAAUUAUUAUUGCCUCUUGGGCAUAUUUCCAACAGUCUCCCACUUGCACUAGAGUCAAUAAUCUAGUUCACAUCACCAUGUGAUUUCAACGAAUCCAACACCCAUAUAGUUCUGGGUACUGAUCACGUCUUGCUCGUGAGAGAGGUUUUAGUCAACGGUUCUGAAACUUUCAGAUCCGUGCAUUCUUUACAAAUCUUUAUGUCAUCUUAUAGAUGUUGGUACUACGUGCUAUUCGGAAAUGCUCCAAAUAUCUACUCUACUAUACGAAUCCGUUUCACUACUCAUAGUUAUUCAGAUUAGUGUCAAAGCUUGCAUCGACGUAACCCUUUACGACGGACUCUUUAACCACCUCCAUAAUCGAGAAAAAAAUCCUUAGUCUAUUUAGUUACUAAGGAUAACUUUGACCGCUGAUCAGUGAUUCAAUCCUGGAUCACUCUGUGUACCUCUUAACAGACUUGCUGCAAGGCACACAUCAGGUGCGGUACUCAGCAUGGCAUACUUUAGAGUCUACGGCUAAGGCAUAGAAGACGACCUUCGUCUAUUCUCUUUAUUCUGCCGUGGUCGGGUUUUGAGUCUUACUCAAAUUCACACCUUACAACACAGUCAAGAACUCCUUCUUUGCUGAUCUAUUUCGAAUUCCUUCAAAAACUUGUCAAGGCAUGCAUCUUGUUGAAACUUCUAUUAAGCGUUUUGAUCUAUCUCCAUAGAUCUUGAUGCUCAACGUUCAAGUAGCUCAAUCCAGGUAUUCCUUUGAAAAACUCCUUUCAAACAACCUUUUAUGCUUCACAGAAAUUCUACAUUACUUCUGAUCAACAAUAUGUCAACCACAUAUACUUAUCAGAAAUUCUAUAGUGCUCCCACUCACUUCUUUGGAAAUACAAGUUUCUCAUAAACCUUGUACAAACCCAAAAUCUUUUAUCAUCUCAUCAAAGUGUAUAUUCCAGCUCCGAGAUUCUUGCACCAGUCCAUUGAAGGAUCGCUGGAGCUUGCAUACUUGUUAGUAUCUUUAGGAUCGAGAAAACCUUCUGGUUGUAUCACAUACAAUGUUUGCUCAAGGAAACCGUCGAGGAAAAAAUAUUUUGACAUCCUAUGUGCAAUAGUUCAAAUAUAAUGCAACAACUACUAACAUAAUUCUAACAGACUUUUAGCAUCGCUACGAGUGAGAAAGUCUCACCAUAGUCAACUGUUUGAUCAUGUCGGAAACAUCUUUGCGACAAGUCGAGCUUUUCUUAAUAGUGACUUAUCACCAUCGUCGUUUGUCUUUCUUUUAAAGAUCCAUCUUUACUCAAUAGUCCUACGACCAUCAAGUGGUUCUUCCAAAGUCUACACUUUGUUUUCAUACAUGGAUCCUCUCUUGGAUUUCAUGGCCUCCAGCCAUUUGUCGGAAUCCGGGCCCACCAUCGCUUGUCCACAGCUCGUAGGUUCAUUAUUGUUCAACAACAUGACCUCCAAGACAGGGUUACCAUACCACUCUGUAGUAGUACGCGACCUUGUCGACCUACGAGGUUUGUAGUAACUUGAUCCGAAGCUCAAUGAUCACCAUCAUCAGCUUCCACUUCAAUUGGUGUAGGCGCCACAGGAACAACUUCUUGUGCCCUGCUACACACUAGUCGAAGUGAUGGUUCAAUAACCUCAUCAAGUUCUAUCACCCUCCCACUCAAUUCUUUCGAGAGAAACCUUUCCUCAAGAAAGAACCCGUUUCUAGAAACAAACACUUUGCUUCCGGAUCUGAGAUAGGAGAUGUAUCCAACUGUUUUGGAUAUCUUAUGAAGAUGCAUUUAUCCACUUUGGGUUCGAGCUUAUCAGACUGAAACUUUUUCACAUAAGCAUCGCAGCUCCAAACUUUCAAGAAAUGACAGCUUAGAUUUCUCUAAACCUUAGUCUAUACUGUGUCAUCUCAACGGAAAUACGCGGUGCCCUAUUUAAAGUGAAUGCGGUUGUCUCUAAUGCAUAACCCAUAAACGAUAGUGGUAAUUCGAUAAGAGACAUCAUAGUAUGCACCAUAUCAAAUAGGGCGUGGCUAAGACGUUCAGACACAUCAUCACACUAUGGUGUUCCAGGUGGCAUGAACUGCGAAACAAUUUCCACAUUGUCUUAACUGCGUACCAAAACUCGUAACUCAGAUAUUCAUCUCUAUGAUCAUAUCGUAGACUGUUUAUCCUCUUGUCACGACGAUCUUCACUCUAAAAUAGCUUUGAACUUUUCAACAUUUCAGACUGGUGAUUCAUCAAGUAAAUACUCCUGUAUCUACUCAAAUCGUCAGUGAAGUAAGAACAUAAUGAUAUCCACUGCGUGCCUUAGCACAUAUUGGACUGCACACAUCAAAAAUGCAUUACUCCCAACAAGUUACUCUACUUGUUUCAUGUGGAAUGUUUUGCAUCUCUCAAGUGAUUCAAAAUCAAGUGAGUCCAAACGAUCCAUCAACAUGGAGCUUCUUCAUGCAUUUUACACCAACAUGACUCAAGUGGCAGUGCCACAACUAAGUGGUACUAUCAUUAUUACUUUUUAUCUUUUGGCACUAAUAUUAUGAACAUGUGUAAUACUACGAUCGAGAUUCAAUAAACCAUUGAGGGUAAUUAUUCAAGCAAAUAGAAUAAUUAUUAUUCUUUUAAAUGAAUAAUCGUAUUGCAACAAACACGAUCCAAUCAUGUUCAUGCUCAACGCAAACACCAAAUAACAAUUAUUUGGGUUUCACCACCAAUCCCGAUGAUAGAGGGAGCGUGCGACAUUUGAUCGUAUCAACCUUGGAAACACUUCCAACACGUAUCGUCACCUCGCCUUUAGCUAGUCUCCGUUUAUUCCGUAGCUUUCAUUUCGUGUUACCAAUCACUUAGCAACUCAACCGGUAUCCAAUACCCUCGCGCUACUAGGAGUACUAGUAAAGCACACAUCAACAUCAUGUAUAUCAAAUAUAUUACUUUCGACUUUGCCAACCUACUUAUCUACCAAGCAUCUAGGGUAGCUCCACCUCAGUGACCGUUCCCCUCAUAACAGAAGCACUUAGUCUUGGGUUUGGGUUUAGACUUGGGUCUCUUCAUUAGUGCAACAACUGUUUUGCUGUUUCACGAAGUAUCCCUUCUAGCCCUUGCCUUUCAUGAAACUUAGUGGUUUUACUAACCAUCAACCAUUGAUGCUCCUUCUUGAUUUCUACUUUUGCAGUGUCAUCCAUCACGAAUCUCUCAAGGAUCAUUGUAUCUAUCCUUGAUAUGUUAUAGUUCAUCACGAAGCUCUCACAGCUUGUUCCAGUGACUUUGGAGAACCAUCACUAUCUCAUCUGGAAGAUUAACUCCCACUUGAUUCAAGUGAUUGUCGUACUCAGACAAUCUGAGCACACGCUCAACGAUUGAGUUUUUCUCCUUUAUUUCAUGGACAAAGAAUCUUGUCAGAGGUCUCAUACCUCUUAACAAGGGCACAAGCAUGAAAUCACAAUUUCAUCUCUUUAGAACAUCACUCAUGUUCCGUGACGUUUCAAAACGUCUUCGGCGCCACGUUUCUAAGCCAUUAAGUAUUUUGCACAGAACUAUCACGUAGUCAUCAAAAACGUGUAUGUCGGAUGUUCACAACAUCCACAGACGACGCUCGAGGUGCAGCACACUGAGUGGUGCAUUAAGGACAUAAGCCUUCUGCGCAGCAACGAGGACAAUCCUUAGUUUUACAGACUCAGUCAGCAAAGUUUGCUACUAUCAACUUUCAACUAAAUUUUCUCUAGGAACAUAUUAAAAACAGUAGAGCUAUAGCGCAAGCUACAUCGUAAUUCGCAAAGACCAUUAGACUAUGUUCAUGACAAUUAGUUCAAUUAAUCAUAUUACUUAAGAACUCCCACUCAAAAAGUACAUCUCUCUAGUCAUUUGAGUGGUACAUGAUCCAAAUCCACUAUCUCAAGUCCGAUCAUCACGUGAGUCGAGAAUAGUUUUAGUGGUAAGCAUCUCUAUGCUAAUCAUAUCAACUAUACGAUUCAUGCUCGACCUUUCGGUCUCGUGUGUUCCGAGGCCAUGUCUGCACAUGCUAGGCUCGCCAAGCUUAACCCGAGUGUUCCGCGUGUGCAACUGUUUUGCACCCGUUGUAUGUGAACGUUGAGUCUAUCACACCCGAUCGUCACGUGGUGUCUCGAAACGAAGAACUGUCGCAACGGUGCACAGUCGGGAAGAACACAAUUUCGUCUUGAAAUUUUAGUGAGAGAUCACCUCAUAAUGCUACCAUCGUUCUAAGCAAGAUAAUGUGCAUAAAGGAUUAACAUCACAUGCAAUUCAUAAGUGACAUGAUAUGGCUAUCAUCAUGUGCUUCUUGAUCUCCAUCACCAAAGCACCGGCAUGAUCUUCUUGUCACCGGCGUCACACCAUGAUCUCCAUCAACGUGUCUCCAUCGGGGUUGUCGUGCUACUCAUGCUAUUACUACUAAAGCUACGUCCUAGCAAUAUAGUAAACACAUCUGCAAGCACAAACGUUAGUUUAAAGACAACCCUAUGGCUCCUGCCGGUUGCCAUACCAUCGACGUGCAAGUCGAUAUUAACUAUUACAACAUGAUCAUCUCAUACAUCCAAUAUAUCACAUCACAUCGUUGGCCAUAUCACAUCACAAGCAUACCCUGCAAAAACAAGUUAGACGUCCUCUAAUUGUUGUUGCAUGUUUUACGUGGUGACCAUGAGUAUCUAGUAGGAUCGCAUCUUACUGUUGGGGAACGUCGCAUGGGAAACAAAAAUUUUCCUACGCGCACGAAGACCUAUCAUGGUGAUGUCCAUCUACGAGAGGGGAUAUUCGAUCUACGUACCCUUGUAGAUCGCACAGCAGAAGCGUUAGUGAACGCGGUUGAUGUAGUGGAACGUCCUCACGUCCCUCAAUCCGCCCCGCGAACCGUCCCGCUAUCAGUCCCACGAUCUAGUGCCAAACGGACGGCACCUCCGCGUUCAGCACACGUACAGCUCGACGAUGAUCUCGGCCUUCUUGAUCCAGCAAGAGAGACGGAGAGGUAGAUGAGUUCUCCGGCAGCGUGACGGCGCUCCAGAGGUUGGUGGUGAUGUUAUCUCAGCAGGGCUCCGCCCGAGCUCCGCAGAAACGCGAUCUAGAGGUAAAACCGUGGAGAUAUGUGGUCGGGCUGCCGUGGCAAAGUUGUCUCAAAUCAGCCCUAAAACCUCCGUAUAUAUAGGGGUAAGAGGGGGCGCCUUGCCUUGGGGUACAAGGACCCCCAAGGAGUUCGGCCGAGCCAAGGGGGGGGGGGGGNNNNNNNNNNNNNNNNNNNNNNNNNNNNNNNNNNNNNNNNNNNNNNNNNNNNNNNNNNNNNCCUCGGUCAAUAUCCAAUAGCGGGACCUGGAUGCCCAUAUUGGAUCCUACAUAUUCUACGAAGAUCUUAUCGUUUGAACCUCAGUGCCAAGGAUUCAUAUAAUCCCGUAUGUCAUUCCCUUUGUCCUUCGGUAUGUUACUUGCCCGAGAUUCGAUCGUCAGUAUCCGCAUACCUAUUUCAAUCUCGUUUACCGGCAAGUCUCUUUACUCGUUCCGUAAUACAAGAUCCCGCAACUUACACUAAGUCACAUUGCUUGCAAGGCUUGUGUGUGAUGUUGUAUUACCGAGUGGGCCCCGAGAUACCUCUCCGUCACACGGAGUGACAAAUCCCAGUCUCGAUCCAUACUAACUCAACGAACACCUUCGGAGAUACCUGUAGAGCAUCUUUAUAGUCACCUAGUUACGUUGCGACGUUUGAUACACACAAAGUAUUCCUCCGGUGUCGGUGAGUUAUAUGAUCUCAUGGUCAUAGGAACAAAUACUUGACACGCAGAAAACAGUAGCAACAAAAUGACACGAUCAACAUGCUACGUCUAUUAGUUUGGGUCUAGUCCAUCACGUGAUUCUCCAAAUGACGUGAUCAAGUUAUCAAGCAACAACACCUUGUUCAUAAUCAGAAGACCCUGACUAUCUUUGAUCAACUGGCUAGCCAACUAGAGGCUUGCUAGGGACUGUGUUUUGUCUAUGUAUCCACACAUGUAUAUAUGUCUUCAUUCAAUACAAUUAUAGCAUGGAUAAUAAACGAUUAUCUUGAUACAUGAAUUAUAAUAAUAACUAUAUUUAUUAUUUCCUCCAGGGCAAAAUUCCAAUAUUCUCCCACUUGCACUAGAGUCAAUAAUCUAGCCCUCACAUCAUCAUGCAAAUUACAUUGUAAUAAAUCUAACACCCAUACUGUUCUGGUGUUGAUCAUGCUUUGCCCGUGGAAGAGGUUUAGUCAGCGGGUCUGCUACAUUCAGAUCCGUGUGCACUUUGCAUCUAUUUACGUCCUCCCCUUCGACGUAGUCGUGGAUGAGGUUGAAGCGUUGUUUGAUGUGUCUGGACUUCUUGUGAAACCGUGGUUCCUUUGCUAGGGCAAUGGCACCCGUGUUGUCACAGAACAAGGUUAUUGGAUUCAGUGCGCUUGGCACCACUCCAAGAUCCGUCAUGAAAUGCUUCAUCCAGACAUCCUCCUUAGCCACCUCCGAUGCAGCCAUGUACUCCGCUUCACAUGUAGAAUCUGCUACGACGCUUUGCUUGGAACUGCACCAGCUUACCGCACCCCCAUUAAGAAUAAAUACGUAUCCGGUUUGCGACUUAGAGUCGUCCGGAUCUGUGUCAAAGCUUGCAUCGACGUAACCUUUUACGGCGAGCUCUUCGUCACCUCCAUACACGAGAAACAUCUCCUUAGUCCUUUUCAGGUACUUCAGGAUAUUCUUGACCGCCGUCCAGUGAUCCACUCCUGGAUUACUCUGGAACCUACCUGCCAUACUUAUGGCCAGGCUAACGUCCGGUCUAGUGCACAGCAUUGCAUACAUGAUAGAACCUAUGGCUGAAGCAUAGGGGACGGUGCUCAUAUGCUCUCUAUCCUCAUCAGUUGCUGGGCACUGAGUCUUACUCAAUCUCGUACCUUGUAGAAUUGGCAAGAACCCUUUCUUGGACUAUUCCAUUUUGAACCUCUUCAAAACUUUAUCAAGGUAUGUGCUUUGUGAAAGUCCUGUCAGGCGUUUCGAUUUAUCCCUGUAGAUCUUAAUGCCUAGAAUGUAAGCAGCUUCUCCUAGGUCCUUCAUAGAGAAACUUUUAUUCAAGUAAUCCUUUAUGCUCUUCAAAAACUCUACGUUGUUUCCAAUCAGCAAUAUGUCAUCCACAUAUAAUAUUAGAAACGCCACAGAGCUCCCACUCACUUUCUUGUAAAUACAAGAUUCUCCAACCACUUGUAUAAACCCAAAUGCUUUGAUCACCUCAUCAAAGCGUUUGUUGCAACUCUGAGAUGCUUGCACCAGUCCAUAAAUGGAUCGCUGGAGCUUGCACACCUUGUUAGCAUUCUUAGGAUCGACAAAACCUUCGGGUUGCAUCAUAUACAACUCUUCCUUAAGGAAACCGUUAAGGAACGCCGUUUUGACAUCCAUCUGCCAGAUUUCAUAAUCGAAAAAUGCAGCUAUUGCUAACAUGAUUCUGACGGACUUAAGCAUCGCUACGGGUGAGAAUGUCUCAUCGUAGUCAACUCCUUGAACUUGUGAAAAACCCUUUGCCACAAGCCGAGCUUUAUAAACAGUCACAUUGCCGUCAGCGUCCGUCUUCCUCUUAAAGAUCCAUUUGUUCUGAAUAGCCUUGCGGCCCUCAAGUAGUACUUCCAAAGUCUACACUUUGUUUUCAUACAUGGAUCCUAUCUCGGACUUCAUGGCUUCUAGCCAUUUGUUGGAAUCUGGGCCCACCAUUGCUUCUUCAUAAUUUGCAAGUUCAUUGUUGUCUAACAACAUGAUUGACAAGACGGGAUUACCGUACCACUCUGGAGCAGCACGUGGUCUCGUCGACCUGCGUGGUUCGACAGAAACUUGAACCGGAGUUUCAUGAUCAUCAUCAUUAACUUCCUCCUCAACCGUCGUCGCAACGACAGAGGUUUCCCCUUGCCCUGCGCCACCAUCUAGAGGGAUGAGAGGUUCGACAACCUCAUCAAGUUCUAUCUUCCUCCCACUCAAUUCUCUCGAGAGAAACUCCUUCUCGAGAAAAGCUCCGUUUUUAGCAACAAACACUUUGCCCUCGGAUUUGAGAUAGAAGGUGUACCCAAGUGUCUCUUUUGGGUAACCUAUGAAGAUGCACUUUUCCGCUUUGGGUUCCAGCUUUUCAGGUUGAAGCUUUUUGACAUAAGCAUCACAUCCCCAAACUUUAAGAAACGACAACUUUGGCCUUUUGACAUACCACAGUUCGUAUGGUGUCGUCUCAACGGAAUUUGAUGGUGCCCUAUUUAAAGUGAAUGCAUCUUUUUUAAUGCAUAACCCCAAAACGAUAACGGCAAAUCGGUAGGAGACAUCAUAGAUCGCACCAUCUCUAAUAAAGUACGAUUACGACGUUCGGACACACCAUUACGCUGUGGUGUUCCAGGCGGUGUCAACUGUGAAACAAUUCCACAUUGUCUUAAGUGAGCACCAAACUCGAAACUCAGAUAUUCACCCCCACGAUCAGACCGUAGGAACUUGAUCUUCUUGUUACGAUGAUUUUCAACUUCACUCUGAAAUUGCUUGAACUUUUCAAAUAUUUCAAACUUGUGCUUCAUUAAGUAGACAUAACCAUAUCUACUCAAAUCGUCAGUGAAGGUGAGAAAAUAACGAUAUCCGCCGCGUGCCUCCACGCUCAUCGGACCGCACACAUCGGUAUGUAUGAUUUCCAACAAGUCACUUGCACGCUCCAUUGUUCCGGAGAACGGAGUUUUAGUCAUCUUGCCCAUGAGGCACGGUUCGCACGUGUCAAGUGAAUCGAAGUAAAGUGACUCCAAAAGUCCAUCGGCAUGGAGUUUCUUCAUGCGCUUUACACCAAUAUGACCUAAGCGGCAGUGCCACAAAAAUAUGGCGCUAUCAUUGUUAACUCUAACUCUUUUGGUCUCAAUGUUAUGUAUGUGUGUAUCACUAUCAAGAUUCAAUAUGAAGAAUCCUCUCACAUUGGAUGCAUGACCAUAAAAGAUGUUACUCAUAGAAAUAGAACAACCAUUAUUCUCUGACUUAAAAGAGUAACCGUCUCGCAAUGAACAAGAGCCAGAUAUAAUGUUCAUGCUCAACACAGGCACUAAAUAACAACGAUUCAAGUUCAUAACUAAUCUUGAUGGUAACUGAAGUGAAACUUUGCCGACGGCGAUUGCAUCAACCUUGGAACCAUUUCCUACGCGCAUCGUCACUUCAUCUUUCGCCAGCCUUCGUCUAUUCCGGAGUUCCUGUUUCGAGUUGCAAAUAUGAGCAACAAAACCGGUAUCGAAUACCCAGGCACUACUACGAGAGCCGGUUAAGUACACAUCAAUAACAUGUAUAUCAAAUAUACCUGAUUUUUCUUUGGCCGCCUUCUUAUCUGCCAGAUACUUGGGGCAGUUGCGCUUCCAGUGACCCAUACCCUUGCAAUAGUAACACUCUGUUUCAGGCUUAGGUCCAGCUUUGGGUUUCUUCGUCGGAUUGGCAACAGGUUUGCCGCUCUUCUUUGAAUUACCCUUCUUGCCUUUGCCGUUUCUCUUGAAACUAGUGUUCUUAUUCACCAUCAACACUUGAUGCUCUUUACGGAGUUCAGACUCUGCGAAGCCGUUUCUCUUGAAACUAGUGGUCUUAUUCACCAUCAACACUUGAUGCUCUUUACGGAGUUCAGACUCUGCGACUUUCAGCAUCGCAAACAACUCGCCGGGUGACUUGUUCAUCCCUUGCAUGUUGUAGUUCAACACAAAGCCUUUAUAGCUUGGAGGCAGUGAUUGAAGGAUUCUGUCAGUGAUAGCCUCUUGCGGGAGUUCAAUCCCCAGCUCAGCUAGACGGUUUGAGUACCCAGACAUUUUGAGCACAUGUUCACUCACAGACGAGUUCUCCUCCAUCUUGCAAGCAUAGAAUUUAUCGGAGGUCUCAUACCUCUCGAUCCGGGCGUUCUUCUGAAAGAUAAACUUCAACUCCUGGAACAUCUCAAAUGCUCCAUGACGCUCAAAGCGACGUUGAAGUCCCGGUUCUAAGCCAUACAAGACUGCACAUUGAACUACUGAGUAGUCCUCCUUAUGUGUUAACCAAGCGUUCUUAACAUCCUGGUCAGCCGUAGCGGGUGGUUCAUCUCCUAGCGCAGCAUUAAGGACAUAAUCCUUCUUCCCAGCUUGUAAGAUUAGCUUAAGAUUACGAGCCCAGUCUACAAAGUUGCUUCCAUCAUCUUUCAACUUAGCUUUCUCUAGGAACGUAUUAAAAUUCAGGGUGACUGUCGCGUGAGCCAUGAUCUACAACACAAAUAUAUUCAAAGUGGACUUAGGCUAUGUUCAAGAUAAUUAGAGUUUAACUUAAUCAAAAUACUCGCUAAACUCCCACUCAAAAAGUACAUCUCUCUAGUCAUUUGAGUGGUUCAUGAUCCACUUACACUAGCUCAAGUCCGAUCAUCACGUGAGUUGAGUAUAGUUUCAGUAGUAAGCAUCCCUAUGCUAAUCAUAUCAUCUAUAUGAUUCAUGAUCGACCUUUCGGUCUCAUGUGUUCCGAGGCCAUGUCUGCACAUGCUAGGCUCGUCAAGCUUAACCCGAGUGUUCCGCGUGCGCAACUGUUUUGCACCCGUUGUAUGUGAACGUUGAGUCUAUCACACCCGAUCAUCACGUGGUGUCUUGAAACGACGAACUGUAGCAACGGUGCACAGUCGGGGAGAAUACAAUUUCGUCUUGAAAUUUUAGUGAGAGAUCACCUCAUAAUGCUACCGUCGUUCUAAGCAAAAUAAGGUGCAUAAAAGGAUUAACGUCACAUGCAAUUCAUAAGUGACAUGAUAUGGCCAUCAUCACGUGCUCCUUGAUCUCCAUCACCAAAGCACCGACACGAUCUUCUUGUCAACGGCGCCACACCAUGAUCUCCAUCAACGUGUCGCCAUCGGGGUUGUCGUGCUACUCAUGCUAUUACUACUAAAGCUACAUCCUAGCAAAAUAGUAAACGCAUCUGCAAGCACAAAUGUUAGUUUAAAGACAACCCUAUGGCUCCUGCCGGUUGCCGUACCAUCGACGUGCAAGAAGAUAUUAUCUAUUACAACAUGAUAAUCUCAUACAUCCAAUAUAUCACAUCACAUCGUUGGCCAUAUCACAUCACAAGCAUACCCUGCAAAAACAAGUUAGACGUCCUCUAAUUUUGUUGUUGCAUGUUUUACGUGGUGACCAUGGGUAUCUAGAAGGAUCGCAUCUUACUUACGCAAACACCACAACGGAGAUAUAUGAAUUGCUAUUUAACCUCAUCCAAGGACCUCCUCGGUCAAAUCCGAUUUAACUAAAGUUGGAGAAACUAACACUUGCCAGUCAUCUUUGAGCAACGGGGUUACUUGUAGCGAUGAAACCAGUCUCUCGUAAGCGUACGAGUAAUGUCGGUCCAAGCCGCUUCAAUCCAACAAUACCGCGGAAUCAAGAAAAGACUAAGGAGGGCAGCAAAACGGACAUCACCGCCCACAAAAACUUCUGUGUACUACUCAAGAAGACAUCUACGCAUGAACCUAGCUCAUGAUGCCACUGGUGGGGAACGUCGCAUGGGAAACAAAAAAUUUCCUACGCGCACGAAGACCUAUCAUGGUGAUGUCCAUCUACGAGAGGGGAUAUUCGAUCUACGUACCCUUGUAGAUCGCACAGCAGAAGCGUUAGUGAACGCGGUUGAUGUAGUGGAACGUCCUCACGUCCCUCGAUCCGCCCCGCGAACCGUCCCGCGAUCAGUCCCACGAUCUAGUGCCGAACGGACGGCACCUCCGCGUUCAGCACACGUACAGCUCGACGAUGAUCUCGGCCUUCUUGAACCAGCAAGAGAGACAGAGAGGUAGAUGAGUUCUCCGGCAGCGUGACGGCGCUCCGGAGGUUGGUGGUGAUGUUAUCUCAGCAGGGCUCCGCCCAAGCUCCGCAGAAACGCGAUCUAGAGGUAAAACCGUGGAGAUAUGUGAUCGGGCUGCCGUGGCAAAGUUGUCUCAAAUCAGCCCUAAAACCUCCGUAUAUAUAGGGGGAAGAGGGGGAGCCUUGCCUUGGGGUCCAAGGACCCCCAAGGGGUUCGGCCGAGCCAAGGGGGGGAACUCUCCCCUUCCAAACCGAGUCCAACUAGGUUUGGAAGGAGGACUCCUUCCCCCUUUUCCCACCUCCUCUUUUUUUUUCUUUUCUCUUUGAUUUUCUUCCUAUGGCGCAUAGGUCCUUCUUCGGCUGUCCCACCAGCCCACUAAGGGCUGGUGCGCCACCCCCAAGGCCUAUGGGCUUCCCCGGGGUGAGUUGCCCCCCCCCGGUGAACACCCGGAACCCAUUCGUCAUUCCCGGUACAUUCCUGGUAACUCCGAAAACCUUCCGAUAAUCAAAUGAGGUCAUCCUAUAUAUAAAUCUUCGUUUCCGGACCAUUCCGGAAACCCUCGUGACGUCCGUGAUCCCAUCCGGGACUCCGAACAACAUUCGGUAACCAACCAUAUAACUCAAAUACGCAUAAAACAACGUCGAACCUUAAGUGUGCAGACCCUGCGGGUUCGAGAACUAUGUAGACAUGACCCGAGAGACUCCUCGGUCAAUAUCCAAUAGCGGGACCUGGAUGCCCAUAUUGGAUCCUACAUAUUCUACGAAGAUCUUAUCGUUUGAACCUCAGUGCCAAGGAUUCAUAUAAUCCCGUAUGUCAUUCCCUUUGUCCUUCGGUAUGUUACUUGCCCGAGAUUCGAUCGUCAGUAUCCGCAUACCUAUUUCAAUCUCGUUUACCGGCAAGUCUCUUUACUCGUUCCGUAAUACAAGAUCCCGCAACUUACACUAAGUCACAUUGCUUGCAAGGCUUGUGUGUGAUGUUGUAUUACCGAGUGGGCCCCGAGAUACCUCUCCGUCACACGGAGUGACAAAUCCCAGUCUCGAUCCAUACUAACUCAACGAACACCUUCGGAGAUACCUGUAGAGCAUCUUUAUAGUCACCNNNNNNNNNNNNNNNNNNNNNNNNNNNNNNNNNNNNNNNNNNNNNNNNNNNNNNNNNNNNNNNNNNNNNNNNNNNNNNNNNNNNNNNNNNNNNNNNNNNNNNNNNNNNNNNNNNNNNNNNNNNNNNNNNNNNNNNNNNNNNNNNNNNNNNNNNNNNNNNNNNNNNNNNNNNNNNNNNNNNNNNNNNNNNNNNNNNNNNNNNNNNNNNNNNNNNNNNNNNNNNNNNNNNNNNNNNNNNNNNNNNNNNNNNNNNNNNNNNNNNNNNNNNNNNNNNNNNNNNNNNNNNNNNNNNNNNNNNNNNNNNNNNNNNNNNNNNNNNNNNNNNNNNNNNNNNNNNNNNNNNNNNNNNNNNNNNNNNNNNNNNNNNNNNNNNNNNNNNNNNNNNNNNNNNNNNNNNNNNNNNNNNNNNNNNNNNNNNNNNNNNNNNNNNNNNNNNNNNNNNNNNNNNNNNNNNNNNNNNNNNNNNNNNNNNNNNNNNNNNNNNNNNNNNNNNNNNNNNNNNNNNNNNNNNNCCUCGGUCAAUAUCCAAUAGCGGGACCUGGAUGCCCAUAUUGGAUCAUACAUAUUCUACGAAGAUCUUAUCGUUUGAACCUCAGUGCCAAGGAUUCAUAUAAUCACGUAUGUCAUUCCCUUUGUCCUUCGGUAUGUUACUUGCCUGAGAUUCGAUCGUCAGUAUCCGCAUACCUAUUUCAAUCUCGUUUACCGGCAAGUCUCUUUACUCGUUCCGUAAUACAAGAUCCCGCAACUUACACUAAGUCACAUUGCUUGCAAGGCUUGUGUGUGAUGUUGUAUUACCGAGUGGGCCCCGAGAUACCUCUCCGUCACACGGAGUGACAAAUCCCAGUCUCGAUCCAUACUAACUCAACGAACACCUUCGGAGAUACCUGUAGAGCAUCUUUAUAGUCACCCAGUUACGUUGCGACGUUUGAUACACACAAAGUAUUCCUCCGGUGUCAGUGAGUUAUAUGAUCUCAUGGUCAUAGGAACAAAUACUUGACACACAGAAAACAGUAGCAACAAAAUGACACGAUCAACAUGCUACGUCUAUUAGUUUGGGUCUAGUCCAUCAUGUGAUUCUCCUAAUGACGUGAUCCAGUUAUCAAGCAACAACACCUUGUUCAUAAUCAGAAGACCCUGACUAUCUUUGAUCAACUGGCUAGCCAACUAGAGGCUUGCUAGGGACAGUGUUUUGUCUAUGUAUCCACACAUGUAUAUAUGUCUUCAUUCAAUACAAUUAUAGCAUGGAUAAUAAACGAUUAUCUUGAUACAGGAAUUAUAAUAAUAACUAUAUUUAUUAUUGCCUCUAGGGCAUAAUUCGAACACUUACUUACGCAAACACCACAACGGAGAUAUAUGAAUUGCUAUUUAACCUCAUCCAAGGACCUCCUCGUUCAAAUCCGAUUCAACUAAAGUUGGAGAAACCGACACUGGCCGGUCAUCUUUGAGCAACGGAGUUACUCGUAGCGAUGAAACCAGUCUCUCGUAAGCGUACGAGUAAUGUCGGUCCGAGCCGCUUCGAUCCAACAAUACCGUGGAAGCAAGAAAAGACUAAGGAGGGCAGCAAAACGCACAUCACCGUCCAAAAAAACUUUUGUGUUCUAUUCGAGAUUACAUCUACGCAUGAACCUAGCUCAUGAUGCCACUGUUGGGGAACGUCGCAUGGGAAACAAAAAAAUUCCUACGCGCACGAAGACCUAUCAUGGUGAUGUCCAUGUACGAGAGGGGAUUUCCGAUCUACGUACCCUUGUAGAUCGCACAACAGAAGCGUUAAGAAACGCGGUUGAUGUAGUGGAACGUCCUCACGUCCCUCGAUCCACCGCGCGAACCGUCCCACCAACUGUCCCGCGAUCCGUCCCACGAUCCGCUCUGAUCUAGUGCCAAACGGACGGCACCUCCGCGUUCAGCACACGUACAGCUCGACGAUGAUCUCGGCCUUCUUGAUCCAGCAAGAGAGACGGAGAGGUAGAUGAGUUCUCCGACAGCGUGACGGCGCUCCGGAGGUUGGUGGUGAUCUAAUCUCAGCAGGGCUCCGCCCGAGCUCCGCAGAAACGCGAUCUAGAGGUAAAACCUUGGAGGUAUGUGGUCGGGCUGCCGUGGCAAAAAUUGUCUCAAAUCAGCCCUAAAACCCCACUAUAUAUAGGAGGGAGGGAGGGAGGGAAGGAGGCAGCCUUAAAACCUAAAGGUUUGUCCGAAAUUGGAGGUGGAGGAGUCCUACUCCAAUCCUACUUGGAGUAGGAUUCCACCUUCCCACUUGGAAACUCUUUCCACCUUGUGUUUUUUCCUUCUCAAACCUUAUGGGCCUUAGUGGGAACUUAUUCCAGCCCACUAGGGGCUGGUUUAUCUCUUCCCAUAGCCCAUGAGACCCCUUGGGGCGUGACACCCCUCCUGAUGGUCCCCGACACCCCUCCCGGCACUCCCAGUACACUACCGAUGAGCCCGAAACUUUUCCGGUAAUGCACGAAAACCUUCCGGUAACCAAAUGAGGUCAUCCUAUAUAUCAAUCUUCGUUUACGGACCAUUCUGGAAACCCUCGUGACGUCCGUGAUCUCAUCCGGGACUCCGAACAACAUUCGGUAACCAACCAUAUAACUCAAAUACGCAUAAAACAACGUCGAACCUUAAGUGUGCAGACCCUGCGGGUUCGAGAACUAUGUAGACAUGACCCGAGAGACUCCUCGGUCAAUAUCCAAUAGCGGGACCUGGAUGCCCAUAUUGGAUCCUACAUAUUCUACGAAGAUCUUAUCGUUUGAACCUCAGUGCCAAGGAUUCAUAUAAUCCCGUAUGUCAUUCCCUUUGUCCUUCGGUAUGUUACUUGCCCGAGAUUCGAUCGUCAGUAUCCGCAUACCUAUUUCAAUCUCGUUUACCGGCAAGUCUCUUUACUCGUUCCGUAAUACAAGAUCCCGCAACUUACACUAAGUCACAUUGCUUGCAAGGCUUGUGUGUGAUGUUGUAUUACCGAGUGGGCCCCGAGAUACCUCUCCGUCACACGGAGUGACAAAUCCCAGUCUCGAUCCAUACUAACUCAACGAACACCUUCGGAGAUACCUGUAGAGCAUCUUUAUAGUCACCCAGUUACGUUGCGACGUUUGAUACACAUAAAGCAUUUCUCCGGUGUCAGUGAGUUAUAUGAUCUCAUGGUCAUAGGAACAAAUACUUGCCACGCAGAAAACAGUAGCAACAAAAUGACACGAUCAACAUGCUACGUCUAUUAGUUUGGGUCUAGUCCAUCACAUGAUUCUCCUAAGGAUGUGAUCCCGUUAUCAAGUAACAAAACUUGCCUAUGGCCAGGAAACCUUAAUCAUCUUUGAUCAACGAGCUAGUCAACUAGAGGCUUACUAGGGAUAGUGUUUUGUCUAUGUGUCCACACAAGUAUUGUGUUUCCAAUCAAUACAAUUAUAGCAUGGAUAAUAAACGAUUAUCAUGAACAAAGAAAUAUAAUAACAACUAAUUAUUAUUGCCUCUAGGGCAUAUUUCCAACACAAUUAUAUCUGUAGCUAUUAUUAUGUACUGCUUGGAUAAGUAUUUUGUAUUUAUAUCCCUGUGUAAAUAUGAUGUGAGUAUUUUGUAGUUCUGCUUGGACGAAAAUUAUGAAGUAUUUUGUAUUUUGUAUUAUGAACAACAUGUAUUAUGUACUCCUUGGACAUGUAUCAUUUUUUAAUCUUAUUUGAACUUCAAAUUUUUUGUGCCCUCAAUAUCCAACAUUCAAAGACACCUCAUAAUUUUUCAACCUCAUUUGCUAUUUUCCAUGCAUUAAAUGAUUUUUUUAGCUAAAUGACUCUGAAAUUGAAAAACGCUACAAAUCAAUUCGGAAAAGGCUAAAACUUGGCAUGGUAUCAUCAUUUCACCGACAUAGCAGGUGCUAAAAAGUUGAAAGGGUUACGGCAAAAACACGAUGCACUUCGUGUACAAACUGAACUAUCUCUUUCCAAGUAUUAUGGUUCUGGACGAAUACUCAUCUCUUACGAGGCCAUUUCAUUUUUUAAUCUUAUUUCAACUCCACACUUUUUGUGUCCUCAAUAUGCAUCAUUCAAAGACACCUCAUAAAUUUUCAACCAUUUCUCACCUCAUUUGCUAUUUUCCAUGCAUUAAAUGAUUUUUUAGCUAAAUGACCCUGAAAUUGAAAAAGCUACAAAUCAACUCGGAAAAGGCUGAAACUUGGCAUGGUAUCAUCAUUUCACUGACAUGGCAUGUGCUAAAAAGUUGAAGGGUUAUGGCAAAAACAUGAUGCACUUCAUGUACAAACUGAACUAUCUCUUUCGAAGUAUCACGGUUCCGGACGAAUACUCAUCUCUUACAAAGACAUUUCUUUUUUAAUAACCUGAAAAUUACCAAAUUUAAUAUAAUGACAAAACACACUAAUAUUAAACAUCAGAAAAAAGAAUGACUAAAAAAAUCUAUUUUUAAAGUAAAGUUAUUCAUAAACUAGUUAUUCACAAACUAGUGAUUUACACAAAUUAAAAAAAAGAAUUUAAACUAUGUAAAUUUGAAAAUUACUAGCACUAAUAGAAAUUUUAUAAUUUUUUUGACCUAAACCAAAAAGAUUCAUUCAGAAACUAUAAAUAGUCUAACAGUUAUUUCAAAUUUAAAAACAGAAAUUGUCCUGUUUAGAAAAACAAAAACAAUAAAAAAAUGACAUUUAGUCCUGGGUGGAGCCAUGAACUGGGACUAAAGUCCCUUCCCGCGCGGAAUUUGGGCUGGCAAAAAUAGACCUUUAGUCCCGAUUGAUGCCACCAACCGGGACUAAAGCCAUGCGCUUCCCGCUGUUUCGCCUCGCGAAAAUAGACCUUUAGUCCCGGUUGGUGUAUCCAACCGGCACUAAAGGUCUACUCCUAUAUAUAAUCACCCAAACGAUCCUGUUUUUGCUUCCUUCAACCUCUCGCCGCGCCGACGCCGUCUCGCCUCUCCCCAACGCCUGAGCUCGUCAUCGGCCUCGACGUCGGCCGGCCGCGCCUCCUCACACCGAUCCCCGACGUCGUCCGCGCCCGCUCCCCCCAAGCCCUUCCCAACACGUCGCCUGGGACGCCGCGGCCCGCGCCCGCUCCUUCGGCCUCGAUCGAGCUCUUCGCCGCGCCGCCGACGCCGUCGCCACCCCCGACUUGCCUCGCCUCGCCGUCGCCCCGUCGCCCCGGUGUGAGCUCCCCCCUCUCCCUCUCCCCUGUGGUGCCAUGGCGCCGCCCCUCCCCGAGGCCACACAGACAUGCAUGAACACACAUAUUUUCUUUAAAAUAUUUAUCCUUUAUUUGUUUUAUGCAAAAAAAUAGGUAACUUGUCGAUCAUUACGAAUGCAAUAAUAGAUAGUACCAUAAAAAGUUUGAGGGCAAAUGAAACUGUCUUGCAUUUUGACAUUUUUUUCCAUUAGAUGAUUAGAUGUAUAGCAAAAUAACUUGGCUUAAGCAAAAGAGGUUAAUGUAGCUAAACCACAGAAGAACUUUUUCAGAAGAAUUUUGACAUUUUUUUUCACUAGAUGAUUAGAUGUAUAGAGAAAAGUUAAGGAAUUUGACAUUUGAGAAAUUUUUGUAUCCGACUAAAAAAAGUUAAACCAUGUCUAUGUUUGACCAACAUUAUAGCAAAAUAUAUAAUAAUUUACAGUUAAGUUAUGAAAAGUUUGACUAUUUGAAAAAAUAAUACAGUUAAGUUUUGUUUUGUCUCGUCUACACUUAAAAAAUGUAUACAAUAUUUAGGAACAGAGGGGGUAUGUAUGAAUACAGUUAAGUUUUGUUUUGUCUCGUCUACAAUUAAAAAAUGUAUACAAUAUUUUGGAACGGAGGGGGUAUGUAUGAAUACAAUGUAUAGUUAAAAAAUGUAUACAAUUAAUAUAUUCAUAUUGAUCUUCUUUAUUAAUAAAGAUGAAAGGCAUGCGGGGUCGGCUUGUAUCAACGGAUCAUGUAUGAGCAAUAUUCAAGAGGAAAUAGCGAGAUUUUUGCUCGACCAGGACUAAAGGGUCCAGGCCAAAGGCCUGUUUUCCACUAGUGUCAUUGAUCCCAAAGUAGAAUACCAUUACAAGCUGUAAUGCAUCUCUGUAAUGAACUGCAAAUUGUAGGAAACAUUGUAAUUCAUCCAUGUAAUAGCGGGAUCAUGUAUACAAUUAAUAUAUGUGUGUGUGUGGCCGCGCGAGAAAUUCGAGGAUAUAUAUAUGAUUAGUUUACGAAAAAUUCUAUUUUUAUGUAUGCAUAACGAGUACAAUAUGUAGUACGUAGCAUAAGAUAUGUUCCAAAUAAAAAAGAAUUAAAUGGAAAACAGAAAAUGAAAAGAAAAAAAUAAACAAUAAACCCAAAAUCCCAAAACCCCAAAUCACCAAAGCCUCUAGUCCCGGUUGAUGUUACCAACCGGGACUAAAGGUCCUGACCACGUCUCGCACGCUGCCAGCCACAUGGAAGGAUAUUAGUCCCGGUUUGUGAUAAACCGGGACUAAAAUGUUGAGUAAAUAGGCAUUUUUCCGAGUAUAUUAAUCCAUGAAAUAAUAACUAGCAUGGCAUUGACUAGACUAAUGACAUACUGAUCUUGAGCUAACCUAGCACAUACUACGCAUAUAGUGGAUACAUCUAUGCAAACAAGUAGUACUGCUAAGAUAAAUACGAACAUGAGGAUAAACGAGUCAUACCCUCCAAUCGGCCAGUUGGCCGUAGCAGCAGCGGCGGCGGCGGCAGUAUCCUCUGCCGUCUUCUUCUCGGCUUCCUCGCGGAGACGGUCAGCUUCGCUUGGUGAAGACAUGGCGAUGACGAGGGCGACGCGGACGUAGACGAAGCAGACGGACGGAGGCGAGCAGUCGCGUGAUCGCUCCCCAAAAACCUAAUCGCCCCUCUCCCGUACAGGAACCGGAGAGGCGAGGUUCGGAGGCCUGCUCUCCCGUCGACCGUGUACGCGGUAAACGGGACGGAAUCGCCGGCGGCAGCAGCAGCAAAAGGAACGAACGCGUGAGGCAGAUGCGAUCUGAUUUUCGUGACGGCUAGGGUAGGCGAUCGCGUGCUUAUAAAGGCGGCUGGGUGGAGAGACGUGGGCCAAGCCCACGUCCGAGUCGGUAACAGCCACGAUCCGACGUCUCGGAUCGUGCCUUGUCCGUUACGUAUUCUCCGAGCUCGGCUCGGCUCAUUCCCGCGGCGCGGCGCGGCGCGUCGUUACGAGGCGUGGUGAGGCGGGUGGCGGAGGAGGAGUGCGCGAGGGCACCUUCUCUUCUCACUCUCCAAUAGCAUGUGGAAGAGAGACCCUUAUAAAGGGGUCCAAACUCUCCUCCACUAGCGGGGUGGGACUAAACUCCCACCACCUUGUCAUGCCACCACCUACAUGGGCCCUUGUAGAUUUUUCUGAAAUUCUCUAAUGGGCCUAAGGCCCACCUCCAAAUUUCAACAAUCCCCCACCAGAUCUCAAGGGCACAUCGUGUUCCCUCGUUCCAAUCACUGUUCUAAUAUACCAGCAUUUCAGUGAAGACCUAUUAAGGUUGAGCUUCACCUAGAACAAGUAGCUACACUCCUUUACAACUGAACAAUGGACUAUGCCUUGAAUUGUCAGCUUGGUGUAAAAGAGCUUCACCACAAGUCUUACUAGUACUAGACUGCCGAAGGUGACCCCUCGGGUGGAGCAUAUUAGUCACACUCCUGGCCUAUUCAUGAGUUUACUAGAGAUCACCCAAACCUCAUAGACUGUGACCAACAGUCAAGCUCAUAUAGGUGUGUUCCUCCAAAGAUCGCUCUGUAGGACAGCAUCUUGCUUACAUAUAAGCUUUAGAACACAUUAAGACAGUAGUCAUCCUACCGUACAGUAUCCGAGAGUAUUGCAUCUCCAACGGAGUGGGUUAGUAAAGUUACUCUCCUCAGUUCACCACUGGCUUGUUUUCCCAGGUCCUACUUCACGGGAUCUCCGAUCAUAUAGGUUGGGUUACUACCAUGGCAACUCAUGUGGGUCUCAUACCCAUCUCCCUCGAUGCACUAUCUAUCACAACACGUGAUAGCCCUUUAGUAAAGGGAUCUGCCAGAUUCUUAGCCGUUUGGAUAUAAUCCAACGCUAUCACUCCGGAGUUUCUCAAACGUCUGACAGACUUCAAUCUCAUUCUUAUAUGUUUGUUGGACUUCAUAUUGUCCUUUGAACUCUUCACUUUAACAAUAACCGUCUGAUUAUCGCAGUUCAUAAGGAUAGCCGGAACCGGCUUCUCAACCACAGGUAAGUCCAUCAAAAGAUCUCGAAGAAAUUCUGCUUCGACACCAGAUGUGUCUAAUGCUGUUAAUUCUGCUUCCAUUGUCGAUCUUGUUAAGAUCGUUUGCUUGCAAGACUUCCAGGAAACAGCACCACCCCCAAGAGUAAACAUAUACCCAGUAGUGGCCUUCAUCUCAUCAGCAUCAGAGAUCCAAUUCGCAUCACUAUACCCUUCAAGUACCGAUGGGAAUCCCGUAUAGUGAAGCCCGUGGUUGACAGUACCUUUCAAGUAGCGCAUAAUUCUUUCAACAGCACGCCAAUGAACAUCGCCCGGGUUUGCAACAAACUGGCUAAGUUUUCUCACAGCAAACGCGAUGUCAGGCCUCGUUGCGCUAGCUAGGUACAUAAGUGAACCGAUAAUUUGAGAGAAUCUCAAUUGAUCUAUAGCUGUGCCUUUAAACUUUCGAAUAAGCACACUAGGAUCAUAUGGUGUUUGACAAAUUUUGCAGUCUGAAUAUCCAAAGCGACUCAAAAUCUUAUCAACAUAGUGGGAUUGCAGAAGUGUAAUCCCACCCUCAUCAUCUCUCAACAGCUUGAUGUUCAAGAUAACAUCAACCACCCCAAGGUCCUUCAUCUCAAAGUUUUGAGACAGAAAAGACUUAACCUCCUCAAUUACUUUGAGGUUGGUUCCAAAUAUCAGUAUGUCAUCAACAUACAAGCACAAUAUAACUCCUUCGCCCCCACCAUGGCGAUAGUAUACACAUUUGUCAGCUUCAUUAACAACGAAGCCAACAGAUGUCAGAGUUGUAUUAAACUUCUCAUGCCAUUGCUUAGGUGCUUGUCUCAGACCAUAUAAAGAUUUCAGCAACUUACACACCUUUCCUUCCUGACCUUCUAUCACAAAGCCAUCUGGCUAUUGCAUAUAGAUUUCCUCAUUUAGCUCUCCAUUCAGGAAAGCCGUCUUAACGUCCAUUUGAUGAACGAGAAGACCAUGAGAGGCCGCCAAUGAGAGUAGUACUCUAAUGGUGGUCAGUCUAGCCAUAGGUGAAUAAGUAUCGAAGAAAUCUUCCUCUUCUUUCUGGGCAUAGCCCUUGGCCACAAGCCUAGCCUUGUACUUUUCAAUCGUACCAUCGGGCCUAAGCUUCUUUUUGAACACCCACUUGCAUCCCAAUGGUUUGCAACCAUAGGGACGAUCAGUGAUUUCCCAUGUCCCGUUAGCCAUGAUGGAUUCCAUCUCGCUACGGACCGCAGCUUUCCAGUAAUCAGCAUCUGGAGAAGCAUACGCUUCUGAAAUAGAAGUGGGAUUAUCAUCCACGAGGUAUACGAAGAAAUCAUCACCAAAGGUCUUUGUAGUCCUUUGUCUCUUGCCCCUACCACGGGCUUCCUCGUCAUCCUCCUCAGGAUUUUCAUCAUGUGUUUGUUCAUAAUAUUCCAUAGGAAUGGCAGGCUCAGGAGUUAUCUCAGAUUCCUGUCUAGAAGUGCUUUGCAUAUCUCUCAUGGGAAAUAUAUCCUCAAAGAAUGUAGCAUCCCUCGACUCCAUUAUUGUACCGACCUUCACGUCAGGUACCUCAGAUUUCACUACUAGAAAUCUAUAGCCUACGCUAUUCUUAGCGUAUCCCAAAUUAACGCAAUCCACAGUCUUUGGUCCAAGCUUACGCUUCUUGGGGAUCGGUACAUUGACUUUCGCCAAGCAGCCCCAAAUACGUAAGUACGAGAGUGUCGUCCUUCUCUUCGACCACUCCUCGUAGGGAGUGACCUCAUUAUCUUUUGUAGGAACUUUAUUCAAGACAUGACACGCGGUCAAUAUAGCCUCCCCCCACCAUGCCUUGGAUAAACCCGAUGUAUCUAACAUGGCGUUAACCAAAUCAGUUAGAGUACGGUUUUUCCGCUCGGCAACCCCGUUUGACUGGGGUGAAUAGGGAGGCGUCCUCUCAUGAAUAAUGCCGUGUUCCGCACAAAAUGAAUCAAAUUUGUUUGAGAAGUACUCUCCACCACGAUCAGACCGGACUCGUUUAAUUUUCUUUUCAAGUUGAUUCUCAACUUCUGCCUUAUAGAUUUUAAAGUAGUGUAGAGCCUCAUCUUUAGUAUUUAACAGAUACACAUAGCAAAAUCUAGUGGAAUCAUCUAUCAAUGUCAUGAAAUAUUUCUUUCCACCUUUAGUCAACACACCAUUCAUCUCACAAAGAUCAGAAUGUAUGAGUUCUAAUGGUGCCAAGUGUCUCUCCUCUGCAGCCUUGUGAGGCUUGCGAGGUUGCUUUGCUUGCACACACGAGUGGCACUUAGAACCUUUGGCUAAAGUGAAAGUUGGGAUUAAAUUCAGUUUUGCUAGCCGCGACAUAACACCGAAACUUAUGUGACAAAGACGUGAAUGCCAAACUUCAGAUUCAUUAACACUCGAAUGAAUAUUGUUCACGACUUUAUUACAAAAAUCUGCUAGAGAAAGGCGGAACAGACCUCCGCAUUCAUAACCUUUUCCAACGAAAAGUCCAUAUUUCGUAACUACUACUUUAUUAGAUUCGAACACCAACUUAAACCCUUCUCUACACAGAAGGGAGCCACUAACGAGAUUCUUCUUGAUGGCGGGGACAUGCUGCACAUUCUUCAGCUGCACGAUCCUUCCCGAAGUAAACUUCAGAUCGACCGUGCCAACACCAAGAACAGAAGCACUCGCGCCAUUCCCCAUCAAUACGGACCCGCGACCGGUGGCCUGAUAAGAAGAGAACAAUGAUAAGUCAGCACACACAUGAAUAUUUGCACCCGUGUCCACCCACCAAUCGGUGGACUGACAAACUGUAAAUACAGUAAGUAAAUUACCGUACCCAGAUGCACCACUUUCAUUGUUGCCCACAAUCAUGUUUGCAGACUUGGAGUCCUGCGCCGGCUUCUUGUACUUGUUUGGGCAUUUGUUCGCCCAAUGUUCCUCUGAACCAUAAGUAUAGCAGCCAUCUCCCUUCUUAUUCUUCUUGAAGGGCUUCUUCCCCUUCUUCUUGAAGUCGGUAUUCUGUUGGACAGAGUUCUUUCCCUUGGGCUUGUGAGAAUUGAAGUUCCUCUGAUGUACCAUAUUGGCAGCAGAAGAGCUUUCCACCGCUUUUCCAUUGGAGUCCUUUGCUCUCGAGUUCUGCUCAACACUCAGAUGGUCGAUGAUGUCCUCUACUGAGAACUCACGCCUCUGAUGUUUCAGAGUAGUAGCAAAGUUCCUCCAGGAAUUAGGGAGCUUAGCAAUUAUACAGCCCGCGACAAACUUGCCCGGCAAAUUGCACUUAAGAACCUCAAGUUCCUUAGCUAUGCAUAUUAUCUCAUGAGCUUGUUUCAAUACAGAACGGUUGUCAACCAUCUUGUAAUCGUGGAACUGCUCCAUAACAUACAUCUCACUCCCAGCGUCGGUGGCCCCGAAUUUAGAUUCGAGCGCCUCCCACAAGUCCUUGGCAACAUGCAUAUGUAAAUAUGCAUCAACCAGCUUAUCUCCGAUCACGCUAAUGACUGCUCCAAGGAAUAGGACGGUGGCCUCCUUAAACAUCUUCUCCUGUUCAGGAGUGAUAGUUUCCGUAGGAGUGACACCGGCUACCCAGAACACGUUCAUAGCCGUGAGCCAUAAGGUGGUUCUCGUUUGCCAACGCUUGAAAAAAGUACCGGUAAACUUAUCCGGUUUCAGUGCAGCAGCAAAACCAUUACUCGAAAAAUUCCUACAGACAUUAGGUUUUUGGAUUGUUGAGUAAAUAGGCAUUUUUCCGAGUAUAUUAAUCCACGAAAUAAUAACUAGCAUGGCAUUGACUAGACUAAUGACAUACUGAUCUUGAGCUAACCUAGCACAUACUACGCAUAUAGUGGAUACAUCUAUGCAAACAAGUAGUACUGCUAAGAUAAAUACGAACAUGAGGAUAAACGAGUCAUACCCUCCAAUCGGCCAGUUGGCCGUAGCAGCAGCGGCGGCGGCGGCAGUAUCCUCUGCCGUCUUCUUCUCGGCUUCCUCGCGGAGACGGUCAGCUUCGCUUGGUGAAGACAUGGCGAUGACGAGGGCGACGCGGACGUAGACGAAGCAGACGGACGGAGGCGAGCAGUCGCGUGAUCGCUCCCCAAAAACCUAAUCGCCCCUCUCCCGUACAGGAACCGGAGAGGCGAGGUUCGGAGGCCUGCUCUCCCGUCGACCGUGUACGCGGUAAACGGGACGGAAUCGCCGGCGGCAGCAGCAGCAAAAGGAACGAACGCGUGAGGCAGAUGCGAUCUGAUUUUCGUGACGGCUAGGGUAGGCGAUCGCGUGCUUAUAAAGGCGGCUGGGUGGAGAGACGUGGGCCAAGCCCACGUCCGAGUCGGUAACAGCCACGAUCCGACGUCUCGGAUCGUGCCUUGUCCGUUACGUAUUCUCCGAGCUCGGCUCGGCUCAUUCCCGCGGCGCGGCGCGGCGCGUCGUUACGAGGCGUGGUGAGGCGGGUGGCGGAGGAGGAGUGCGCGAGGGCACCUUCUCUUCUCACUCUCCAAUAGCAUGUGGAAGAGAGACCCUUAUAAAGGGGUCCAAACUCUCCUCCACUAGCGGGGUGGGACUAAACUCCCACCACCUUGUCAUGCCACCACCUACAUGGGCCCUUGUAGAUUUUUCUGAAAUUCUCUAAUGGGCCUAAGGCCCACCUCCAAAUUUCAACAUAAAAGUGAAAGGUCUUUAGUCCCAAGUUAAUAGUCUCGGUUGGUGUCCAAUAGGCCCUUACCAACCGGGACUAUAGCCCCGUUUUCUACUAGUGGGACGGUAUCACUUCACUGACCAUCCUCCUUCAUAGCUAUGUCUGCCUCCAUAUCACCGUGUAGUCAGAUUCAAGACCAAACCAGUUACAUCCCAGCGAGAGGGCUAGCAUUAAGCCCCAUGUCUUAGGCAGCGAGCUUCUGCCAUCUGAGCAUCCUGAACAGUAGUCAGUUUUAUAGUUGAGGCAACUAUAAAAAACAUUACUGACUCGGAUGAUUGCUCCAGCAGAACUAUAUAAAUGAUCAUCAUCAAACGAGGCACCUCACCCAUUCUUUUCAGUUUUGUUGUAUGCACAUGAGCCUCAGAAAUAUUAGACGCCAACGCAUUUAGGGGCAUCACUAUCCUGGUCGGAAUGAACUGAAACUAAUAAAUAAGACCACCUACUUAGUACAUAUGUAACUCCACGGUUCAAUAAUUGCUCUCUGUUCUUUUGUUUUCUCUUUUAUUUUUCUUACAAAAACUAAAUUAGAGAAUAUAUAAAUACAUGCAGUGGGAAAAAUACCUACUGUUUCGCACUAAAAAUGGUUGAAAAAUUCUGCAUUUUUGUACUAUUAUACAUGGCAUCAGUUAGCUGCUUUACCUCCCGAACAUGCCGCAGAAAUAGUGUAUGAAGAUGCUUACUUGCUACCUUACAUGAUUUUAAGUACGUGUGUGGCUUUUCUGAUAUUUGCUUUGCCAAGACAACUUAUCUUAUCAUCUUCAGUUCCCUUAAAACAACAUGGCAUGAGACACUAAGCAUGUCCCAAGAAGCGGUAUUACCCAUGUGAACAGCACAAGGUACCUACAGAAAGUAUUGAGAUGUGUGUUUCUUCUUUAAGCUUCACAACCAUUUGAAACAGUAAGUGUUGUAUGUGCGCUGCGCACACACACAAGAGCUGAAAACAAAUUGAUCCGCACCUUGCAGAGCUUCAUAACUUUCUUUCCAGAUGUUUUUAGUGACUAGUAACGUCGCAUCAAGCAAAUACAAGUAGUACAAUGAGCACACAUUAGAUCUGUGCAUGACUAAUUAAGAUGCACAUAGUUGACCAAAAAACAAUUUUUUCUUUGAAAUAGUCGAUGCUUUUGAUCUAUCCUGCAUGACUAAUUAAGAUGCACAUAGUUGACCAAAAACCAAUUUUUUGUUUGAAAUAGUCGAUGCUUUUGAUCUAUCCUGCAUGACUAAUUAAGAUGCACAUAGUUGACCAAAAAGCAAUUUUUUGUUUGAAACAGUCGAUGGUUUUGAUCUAUCCUUCGCAGUGUGCACAGUUCAUUUAAUGGACCAAGCAGGCAAGCACUGACUAACCAUGUGCCAUCAUGAUGAUAGAACGGUCUAGUUGCUCUUAAUGAUCUUCUUAGUCACGACUCAAGAACGGUAUAUAGUAUUCCAUGCAUUACGGUUUAGAAGUCGUGUUUGGAAAUUCUCUGAAACGUAGGUGGUUAUUGAUUGACUGUGAGAUGGGUUAAAAAAUAGCAUUCACACUAUACAUAUAUAUAGAAGUAGUACAACGAAGUACUAAUUAGCUGGUAAGAGUAAAUGAAAUACGUCCUAAACCUUGUCUAUUGUAAAAAUGCAAGUAAAUUUAACCGUGCCUUCUAAACCAUGAUGAAGUGAGUACUAGAAGAUAGCUAGAUCUUGGAACUGUAUGGAUCUACGACUAUCUCCAUCCUGGGUCCCUGGGCAAGCUAGCUACAGUUAAAUACCAGCCCUCCUCAUCAUGCCUUCUUCACGUGACAAACACAAACCACACGCUAGCUAGUUUGAUCUCCCACACUGGCCAUGGCUAGUUUCGACGUCACCCCUUACAAUGGUGCCUCCGUGGAAAACACUAAGAUCCACUUCAAGAAGUUGUACUUGCGCCAAAACACUUCUGGACCAAACUCGAACCAGUCAAAGUUGAUAGACGGCGAUGUCGGCAGCGAGUUCGGGAGGACCGUCGUCACCAACUGGGCCAUCCACGACGGCUCGAGCCUAGAUGCCAUGGUGGUGGCCCGUGCGAGAGGCCUGCACGUGAACGCCGUUGACGACCACAGCUCAUUCACCAUGGUUUUCGAGAGUAAGAGGUACGUAGUGAUCUAAAUUCUCUUAUAUUUCUUUACGGAGGGUGUAGUUUGCAUUUGCAUUUGCUUUUGCGUUGUGUAACUUGUCAUAUGAUCCAUUAGUGCUGGAUUAUGAUUGGUUGAUGCAUGUGUAAUUUGGUAUGAGGUAUGCGUGCGUGAUAAAUCUCUGACUAUGAGUUGACGUAAUACAGGUUCAAAUGUUCCACGCUUGAGAUAAUGGGAGCAACUGCCCUGGGCCAAGGUGAUUGGGCCAUUAUUGGCGGAACCGGCCAAUUUGCAAUGGCGCGCGGCGUCGUCCAAAGAUUCGUGUACGAAAGAUCAGAUCACGGACAAGUAGUAGAGCUUGCUAUCGAAGCAUUCUGCCGCGCCAAGGUAUCCAAUGUGUUUAUCUGUCCAGAUUAAUUUCGAUGCAUUUCUUUCAAGUCACAGUGCUCGAUCGGUCUCAUGCAUGGAGGAGCCUCAGGACGUAGAUGCACAUUAUUAGAGGUCUUUACGUUCUAUAGUACUCUUUAUCUGUCUGUACGAGUAAUAGGCUGCAGACUUCUUAAGGGGUUGCCUAAUUAACAUCCUCUUGCCUCAUUACAUGUGCAGCUCCCAUGGCCAAGGGGAGAAGAUGGACCCAGGGCAGUUCUCACGGGCUUUAAACCUCAAUAUGACAAGCUCAAGCCCAGCCCGGCCCUGCCGGGGGUCUCAAAAGUCAAGCACAAGACCGGCCCAAUAUGCUUUGCAAUUCCCGCGUGCUGUAAACCUAAAUACCCCAAGCCCAGCUCGGCCCUGCCGACGGGCUCAAAACUCAAGCCCAAGCCCGGUCCAAAAGGCUUCGCAGUUCCCACGGGCUUUAAACCUAAAUAUGACAAGUCCAAGCCCAGCCCGGCCCCGCCGGCAGGCUCAAAACACAGGCCCAAGGCCUAGACCCUGGAUUUUCGGGCCGAACCGGAGAUGGUCAGAUAUAACUGUAAUAAGGGUCCUGUUUUGGGCCCAAUGUUACAGCGUGAUGGUUAAUUAGGAUCCGUCAUAUGCCCUUGUGAUCAUUGGCCCUUUUUACUUCCGAGCACUUUUGUUGUCACCAGUUAUGCCAUUUGUGUUCCGUGAGGAAUUAAUAAAGUUGUUGCUGCUUGUUGUCCACACUAUUUAUUUAUAACAGAGCAAACAUAAUUUCUUCUAAACUCACCUCAUAAAAUGUACACGGACUCAUUACCAUCACAUGACUAUAUCCACUUCCCCUAAAAAGAAACAUGAUUAGAUCCACUUUCCCUAAUAAAACAUGAUUACAUCCACUAAAAAUAGUCUAACAUCCCAUAUUAAUCUAAUCGGUUCUUUGUGUGGCAAUUCACAUUGAAUGACCGCGUUGCACCCCAGAGGAAAAAUACUACUCCCUCCGUGCCUAAAUAUAAGUCUUUUAAGAUAUUUCACUAGGUGUUGACAUACAAAGCAAAAUGACUGAAUCUAUACUUUAAAGUAAGUCUAAAUACAUUCGUAUGUAGUCCUAUAAUGAAACCUCUAGAAAGACUUAUAUUUAAAAACGGAGGGAGUAGACUAGACACCACGUCCCGCAUGCACGCACGUCGCUUCUUCCGGCCUCUCACAUCUAGUGGCUGGCCACAUCUAGCGGCCGGCCGGCAGGCGCACACCGCUCCUCCGCUGUCUCUCCUAUGAGUUGGUCGCCGGCCUACCGCCCACAACGCGUCCCCUUGCAGCAGCGCCCGGCGUGCACGGCCCGCACCGCCGCAUCUUCGUCGUCCGGCCUCGUCUUCACUAGUAGAAAAUGGUCUUUUGUCCCAGUUCGUAAGGGGCUUGUGUCCCGGUUUUGAAACCAGGACUAAAAGGUCGUUACUAAUGCCCUCGGCCUUUAAUCCCACUUUUUACACUAACUGGGACAGAUGGACCUCCACGUGGCCGUUGCGGCCAGGCCAGGCAGGGUGGCCUUUAGUCCCGGUUGGUGACACCAACCGGAACCAAAAGGCAUCCACGCGUCUGCACCUGGCUGAAGCUGAGAUUUUUUGUUUGAAAGGGACUGGUUUAGGGGUUAAUUUAGGUUGUUAUAUACACCAACCAAGGAGCAUCCAUGAGCAAGCCCAAAAAAUAAUAAUUUUAUCUUUCAUCAAUGAGCAUCCAUGAGCAUGCACAAAAUUUUAUCAUGCACACCACCAUCAUACUUAAAAGUACAUUAACAGUUCAACACUAUCAUACUUAAAAGGUUUACACUAUAAAGAUUAAAUCUCCAUCAGGUUCUUAAGAUCUUCACUCCUGCUUCUUCACCUUCUCCUUCAUCAUCCUGAUGCGCUUAGAGCGACGAAGCCCCAGGCCAGGUUGUGGGAUGUACUCCUCUACCACAAUUGGCAUGGCCCUGUCGCCCAGCUGUGGGAUCAUCAUCGCGAGGCCAUCGUCGCUGCUACUUUUGCUGUAGCCAGAGUCGCUGCUACUUUUGCUGUAGCCAGAGUCGCUGCUGCCGUAGACAUAGCACAUGUCGCAGUACUCACUGCUCCUUCUCCCAUUGCCUUGCCAAAUGCAAAAAAGUUUUUUUAAAAAUGGGUGUGAGACAUAGCCUAAUGGAGAGGCAGAAGAGACAGAGCGUACUGGCAUCGUCGUCGUCCUGGUAGCGCAUCCGACACAUAGUCGUGUCUAACACCUUCACGGCGAACGUGGCGUUGUCGUCGUACCUGAAGACAAGGAAGUACCCGUGCCGCAGGUCAUAGGCACGGACGAACUGCUUCCAGCCACGAUCUAGGUACAUGCUUCCAUCGGUGUCGAACACCACCUCCACGUCCCACAGCUUGCGAAGCCCGUUGCCGGCCUGCCUCAGCUUCAUGUUCUGUGGCCGAUGGCCGUCCAACAUCUUCACAAAAUUGUCCAGCAGCACCUGCCUGCUGGAGGAUUUCUCAAGUAUAAUCGUGAAGAACUCCAUCUCUGAAAAGCAGCAGAAGAGACCAAUUACUACCCUUUACAACAUUGUCAGUACUCGCUGCUCUUGCUCCCGUUGCCUUGCCAAAUGCAAAAAAAGUUUUUUUAAAAAUGGGUGUGAGACAUAGCCUAAUGGAGAGGAAGAAGAGACGGAUCAUACUGGCAUCGUCGUCGUCCUGGUAGCGCCUCCGACACAUAGUCGUGUCGAACACCUUCACGGCGAACGUGGCGUUGCCAUCGUACGUGAAGACAAGGAAGUACCCGUGCCGCAGGUCGUAGGCACGGACGAACUGCUUCCAACCACGAUCUAGGUACAUGCUUCCAUCGGUGUCGAACACCAGCUCCACAUCCCACAGCUUGCGAAGCCCGUUGCCGGCCUGCCUCAGCUUCAUGUUCUAUGGCCGAUGGCCGUCCAGCAUCUUCACAAAAUUGUCCGGCAACACCUGCCUGCUGGAGGAUUUCUCAAGUAUAAUCGUGAAGAACUCCAUCUCUGAAAAGCAACUGAAGAGACCAAUUACUACCCUUUACAACAUUGUCAUACAACAUUUACAGCAACAUGAUCAUCAGUAUUAGAUAGGACCUAAUUAAAUACCCUCUUUAAGGUAAAAUAGCAGAAAACAAUAUAGACCCUGACUCGAGGUCGGAGGGGGGUCGAUGACGGGGACGACGACGUGGAUGAUGGAGGGGGCUCCUAGAUUUCUGCAUAGUGCUCUCCAAUUUUAGCAUUCAAAGUAGGAGUACUUUUCCAAUUUGAGCAUUCAAUAAGCAAAACCAAAUCGUAAAAUAAAGUAGUAUUCAAAUUAGCAUGCAUUCAAUUAUAAACAAAAUUACAUCAUCUCUUGUCAUACAUAUAGCAUCACUAAUACAGCUAGAACCGUAGCGCCCGACGGAUAUCGUCGCGGGCGGUGGAGACCCAAAGAGAAGGAACCAUCACAGGAUCAUAGCUCCAGUGAGAUCCCUGAAGAACCUGCCAGGUAUUGUCGAACCUGCCCUCCAACGCAAACAUGUAGCGACGGACGUGCUCGUCCUCCUCGGUGACACGGUGACGUACCACCUCCACGGUGUCCGGAAGCCUCGGUACCGUCACUGGCCCACGCGACCGCCAUCAAACAAGGAUCGGGUCAACAACGGGCUGGCUCCUCACCAACCUACGCCCCCCGGAAGAUAGCACCUCCCAAUACCAGCCGGGCGGAGCCCAGUCCCGGACAUGGCCCCUCUGAUCAAGCAGGUGUCCUCCACCGAGUCGACGACGAGGAUGCGGGAUAGGCAUCGUAAAAUGAACUAAAAAAAUAAACUAGUUCUAUUAAUAUUCUUGCUAAAAAUAAACUACUUCUUAUAUCAGCGUGUUUCUAAAAAUAAAUAACAAAUUACCAGAUCACAUCAUUUUAAAAUACGGGAUAGGCAUAUUAUAUCAUCAUAAAAUGAACUAAAAAAAUAAACUAGUUCUAUGCGGGAUAGGCAUAUUAUAUAAGCAUAUGGUAGUAUGACUACCACAUCACCACAUUUUAAAAUACGUGAUUUUGAGACAUGGACAUAGUCUUUUAUGAUAAAACCUUGGACAAUCCUUCUUAUAUCAGCGUGCUUCUAAAAAUAAAUAACAAAUGUAUCUCAACACAAAUGUAAUGAAAAUUUUCACAAUAUAGGUGAUGAUGCUUACGAUGACUUAUUGGUUAGGGUAUGGCUAUGAAAAGGGGUCCAUCAGAUUCACAAAACAUAUGGUUUCAUUUUUGGGAGAUUUUUUGAUAUAUUUUUCAAACAUAUUGUGCCUUUAAUAUGCAAUAACUAUAGUCAAGAGUUCCAAGACUAUGGUACAUUAGCAUUGCAUAUCUAGUUUCCUAGAAACAAACAUUGUAUUGCUUGCUACUGCAUUCAAGAAUAACCAGUUAUAGACUAGUUGCUUAAUCUAAGAAAAUAGAUAAUCGAAUGGUCGUGAAUUUUUCCAUUGGGUAACAAGGAAAUAAAAUAUAUGAAGACUUCAUUUUCUUAUGUGGGUGUGGAACUUCCAAGCCUUUUCUCGAAUAAGAUGAACACUUGAGAGGCUCAUUUUAGUACAAAAUUGUAUCCAAAAAUAUGUAUACUUAUUUUUAUUUUUGUAUUCUAAUCAACAGAUUAUUGUGUUAUAAAUCAAAAAUUAAAAACAAUAAAUCAAAAAAAAGAACAUAGCCAUGGCGGCGGCGGGUCACAUCGGGGGCGGCCGGGGCGACGGCGUGGGUGGCGAGGGUGACGACGAUGGCGGCGGGGGGCGGAGGGCGACGACGAUGGGCGACGGCGUGGGCUCGGGGGGCGGAGGGCGACGGGCGACGGCGACGGGGGCAGCCUCGCGGCGCCAUGGAUGAGCUCGCGACGUCGUCAGGUGGGGGGCAAUGGUGGCGAUACCAAUCUGAAAAUUUCAAGUGCUGGCUUAUAUAGCAAAGGCCUUUGGUCCUGGUUGGUGCCACCAGCCGGGACCAAAGGCCUCUUUUUAGCAGCCCAAAGGGUGGGAAACACAGACCUUUGGUCCCGGUUAGUGGCACCAACCGCGACAAAAGGGGGCAUUAGUCUCGGUUGGAGCCACCAACCGGGACCAAAUGUCUCUUUUCAGCAGCCCGAAGGGCGGGAAGCAGAGGCCUUUGGUCCCGGUUGAAGUCACAAACCGGGACUAAAGGCAUGUGCCUGCCACAGCCGCGAUGCUCCUCUCUAAAGUCACGAACCUGUUUAUAAGUUCCGCCGCGGCUGCAACAUCGAGCUCCUCUCUAAAGCACGCAUGUGGGCCUAAAAGAGAAAAUAGAUACGAAUUUAAAGACAAAAUUCAACCUAAAUUCAAAGUGCUAGUUACUUAGUUAAGCUAACUAGUACUUUGAAUUUAGGUUGAAUUUUNNNNNNNNNNNNNNNNNNNNNNNNNNNNNNNNNNNNNNNNNNNNNNNNNNNNNNNNNNNNNNNNNNNNNNNNNNNNNNNNNNNNNNNNNNNNNNNNNNNNNNNNNNNNNNNNNNNNNNNNNNNNNNNNNNNNNNNNNNNNNNNNNNNNNNNNNNNNNNNNNNNNNNNNNNNNNNNNNNNNNNNNNNNNNNNNNNNNNNNNNNNNNNNNNNNNNNNNNNNNNNNNNNNNNNNNNNNNNNNNNNNNNNNNNNNNNNNNNNNNNNNNNNNNNNNNNNNNNNNNNNNNNNNNNNNNNNNNNNNNNNNNNNNNNNNNNNNNNNNNNNNNNNNNNNNNNNNNNNNNNNNNNNNNNNNNNNNNNNNNNNNNNNNNNNNNNNNNNNNNNNGUUUAUUUUAUUUUAUUUGGUUUCUACUUACAUCAUUAAUUUUCAUCCCUUUCUGACUUUAUAUGUUAUUUUUCAUGCAUUUACUGAUUAUUUUGAGCUAUAAGACCCUGAAAUUGAAAAACAUUUCAAAUGAACUCUGAAAAGGUUGAAAUUUGGCAUGGUAUCAUCAUUUCAUCAACAUAGCAUAUGCAAGAAAGUUGAGAGGGUUAUGGCAAAAACUGGAUUCACUUCGUGUACAAAACGGACAAUCUCUUUCGAAGUAUCAUGAUUUCAUACGAAAACUUGCCUGUUAGAACAGGCAUUUCAAAUGAACUACGAAAAAGUUGAAAGUUGGCAUGGUAUCAUCAUAAUAGUUGUGGAGAAAGUCUUCAAUUUUUCUUCGCUUGUGUCCUUUCCUUAUUGCACCGUAACCAUGGAUAAUCUUCAUCAUUUAUCAGGAUGGUUGGGUCAGCCUUGACUUUGAAGGGAGGAAUUUCAUGAAACUUUUCAUAAUCUUCGGACAUGUCUGUCUUGCCCUCACUCCCAAGAUGUCCCUUUUUCCUGAAAGAACUAUGUGGCGCUUUGGCUCAUCGUAUGAUGUAUUUGGUUUCUUAUCUUUUCUUUUUCUCGGUUUGGUAGACAUGUCCUUCACAUAGAUAACCUGUGCCACAUCAUUGGCUAGGACAAACGGUUCAUCAGUAUACCCAAGAUUGUUCAGAUGCAUUGUUAUCAUUCCGUACUAUGGGUCUACCUGUACCCCGCCUCCUGACAGAUUGAUCCAUUUGCACUUAAACAAAGGGACCUUAAAAUCAUGUCCGUAUUCCAGUUCCCAUGUGUCCACUAUGUGACCAUAAUAUGUGUCUAUUCCCCUCUCGGUUGCUGCAUCAAAGCGAACACCGCUGUUUUGGUUGGUGCUCUUUUGAUAUUGGGCGAUCGUGUAAAAUGUAUUCCCAUUUAUCUCGUAUCCUUUGUAAGUCAAUACAGUUGAAAAUGGUCCCCUGGACAACGAGUACAACUCAGCACAAACAAUGUUCUCACCUCUGAGACGUUUUUGCAACCAACUACUGAAAGUCCUGAUGUGUUCACUUGUAAUCCAGUCGUCGCACCGCUUCGGGUGUUUGGAGCGCAGACUGUUCUUGUGUUCAUCGACAUACGGGGUCACCAAGGUAGAGUUCAUUAGUACUGUGUAGUGUGCUUGAGACCAAGAAUAUCUGUCCCUGCAUAUUAUUGAGUCCCCUCCAAGCGUGCCUUUUCCAGUCAGUCUCCCCUCAUACCGCGAUUCAGGAAGACCUAUCUUCUUAAGGCCAGGAAUGAAGUCAACACAAAACCCAAUGACAUCCUCUGUUUGAUGGCCCAUGGAGAUGCUUCCUUCUGGCCUAGCGCGGUUACUGACAUAUUUCUUUAGGACUCCCAUGAACCUCUCAAAGGGGUACAUAUUGUGUAGAAAUACGGGGCCUAGAAUGACAAUCUCGUCAACGAGAUGAACUAGGACGUGCGUCAUGAUAUUGAAGAAGGAUGGUGGGAACACCAGCUCAAAACUGACAAGACAUUGCACCACAUCACUCCUUAGCCUUGGAAUGGUUUCUGGAUCGAUCACCUUCUCAGAGAUUGCAUUGAGGAAUGCACAUAGCUUCACAAUGGCUAAUCGGAUGUUUUCUGGUAGAAGCCCCCUCAAUGCAACCGGAAGCAGUUGCGUCAUAAUCACGUGGCAGUCAUGAGACUUUAGGUUCUCAAACUUUUUCUCUGUCAUAUUUAUUAUUCCCUUUAUAUUUGACGAGAAGCUAGUCGGGACCUUCAUACUAAGCAGGCAUUCAAAGAAGAUUUCCUUCUCUUCUUUGGUAAGAGCGUAGCUGGCAGGACCUUCAUACUGCUUUGGAGGCAUGCCGUCUUUUUCAUGCAAACGUUGCAAGUCCUCCCGUGCCUUAGCUGUAUCUUGUGUCUUCCCAUACAUGCCCAAGAAGCCUAGGAGGUUCACGCAAAGGUUCUUCAUGACGUGCAUCACGUCGAUCGAAGAGCGGACCUCUAGGUCUUUCCAGUAGGGUAGGUCCCAAAAUAUAGAUUUCUUCUUCCACAUGGGUGCGUGUCCCGCAACGCCACUCGGAAAAGAUAGUGCGCCGGGAUCCUUUCCGAAGAUUACUUUUAAAUCAUUGACCAUAGAAAGUACAUGAUCACCGUUACGCAUGGCGGGCUUCUUCCGGUGAUCUGCCUCGCCUUUGAAAUGCUUGCCUUCCUUUCGACAUUGAUGGUUGGUCGAAAGAAAUCGACGAUGGCCCAGUAAAAGUGUGUUAUAUCAACUAGAGGGGGUGAAUAGGAGAUUUUCAGAAUUUCAUCACUGAGAAAAUUCCUUGAAAUUCCUCACUGAUAACUAACUUACAUCGGAAACAACAAAGGAUCAGAAGUGCAAAGUAUCACUACAACAGUUUUCAAGGUAAAGAAUAUGAAAAACAGUUUGCACAGUAUGCAGGCACGGAGAAAAUAGAUGAGGAUUAACUCGCGUGAAGAAUUUGGGGUUGAGGAAUUUCAGAGAAAGUCUUCAGCAAAUUCUUCAAAGUGAUAGUGAAAAUCAUCAACAUAUAAUCUGAGGAAUGUAAGGAGUUGAAGAAAUAGAACCCGUUUCACAGUGAAGACAGUGGUUGAUGAUCCAGUUCCAACUGAUGUGACAGUUGUACAUCUGGUUUGGAGCGGCUUGGUAUUGAAACCAAAGGACACACAGUCCCGGGAGACAUAGUCCCUACCGUAUUCUCCUUGGGCUAAGAACACAUAGUCCUCGCCCAACACUCGUGGUAAGUCUUCAGGACAGACUUCCAAACCCUCACAAACUUUGUCACCUAGCGAUCCACAAUUGACUGCUGGAUUGCUCUAGACCAUGACGCCUAACCGUCUGGAGGACGCAUAGUCCUCAAAGGUAAAAGGCUUUGGUCCCACACGGGAGCAACUGCUUCAGUGAUGCUCAAUCACUUGGUUUUCGGUUUGUGGUUUGGUGUUUGGGGUAUUUCCUCACUGAUGAAUUACUCUCGAAGACUCUGAGGAAUUUGGGUUGCUCAUAUGACAAGUGUCAGUUUCUAAUGGAGCAGCCAACCAGCUAAUGGUUGUGGGGGCGGCUAUUUAUAGCCUGGGAGCAUCCCGACAUGAUUUGACAUUAAGGCCCUUAAAUAAUAUGACCAUUGGUAUGGAUAAGACCAAUGAUGUGGCGUGACUAUCGGUAACGGUCGGGACCCUCAACUGUGAGAGUGCUCAUGUCUCUCAUAUUCCUCACUUGAGGCUUUUGGUAGGAUUAGGCUUGGGUUGAGCAUCAUGAGGAAAUUCAUUCUGAAGUGUUACUUCGACCCCCUUUAAAAGUACGGUGUUCCUAUUACUCAAGUGUGAAGAAAAUAAAACAGAAAGGAUAAAUCUUCAUGCUUCAAAGUCUUCAGAUUGAUUUUCUUCAGGACACACCGAAUUCCUCAAUUUCAAUAUCUUCAUGAGGAAUAUCAAUUUUAUCGCAAAUUCUUUGCGAUUCAAUUCUUCAUCUUCAGACCAAUUUCUUCAGCCGAAGAUAUACAUUUUUAGGGGUCGAUAUUCAUCGAAUACUUCAAACUCCUCAGCAACUUAUAGAUCCCGUGUACACUCAUGAACACAUUAGAUACUUAACCUAUAAGUCUUCGAACCACCAAAAUGACUAAGGGUCACUAGAUGCACUUACAAUCUCCCCCUUUUUGGUGGUUGAUGACAAUUAGGUUAAGUCUUCAACGGGGAUAAAAAUAUGAAGUGUAAAUACUCAUUUGAGGAAUUUGAAAUCAAGAUUCAGAGAGACUCCCCCUGAAGAUGUGCAUAUCUUGAGGAUUUUUCUUUUCACAGCAAAUGCACAUUGAUGAUUUAUAUCAUGGAGAUCUCCCCCUGAGUCUUGUAAAUCAUGCAUACAUACGACAUAUAGUAUGAAGAAAUUGAGGAUGCAUGAUGACAAAUGGUAUCUGACGAAUUCCAGCAUGCGUGUAUUAAAAUUUUGAGGAAUAAGCAUGCGAAGAAAAACGUCAAAAGCGUCAGAGUACCAUCGGGCUUCAGUUACAACUCAUUAAAUAAAACACUUCAGAAGAGCCAAGAGUUUGUCACUUAAAUAAAGUUUAUAAGCCCCCAAAAUAUCCCGCAUGAAGACUAACUCUCAAGUUUCUCCCCCUUUGUCAUCAAGUGACAAAAAGGGACACCCAUGAAGACUCUCACUUCUUGGCAGUUGAGGAAGACGCGUGAGGAUUCUUGGAUGCAGACUUCCUCCUUGGACCAGUGGCAGUAUCUUGUUGAUCUUCAUCAGAUUCAGCAGUGCGGAAUGAAGAAAACGAACUGUCCUCAAGGUCUGGAACUGGGAUUGGCCUGAAUUUCUUCUUUGGUUGCCACGACGAGUCGAAGUCCUGCACAAAAUCCAAUUCUUCAAGUUUUGGUGGAGUCUUCAAAUGAGCCAGUGUGGCCCAGGUGCGAUCAAAAACCUCAUGAAGAUAAUGAUGGUUAAGCUUCACAACAUUCUGCGUUUCAUUGAGGGUUUUCACAAUGGCGCCGAACUGGCAUUUGACCCACUUGUGAUUCCGAUCCACCUUUUGGUGAAGACUGAGAAGAAGCUCUCUGGUAUUCAUCACCCUUGGAGCAACUAGACUUGGAGGAUGGGUUUCAGUGUCAUCCCAUGAUGAAUAAGCAUCUGGCUCUCGGAACUGGCCAUCAAGGGGCCGACUGCCUCCAUCAAUGAUAGACUUGCCUUUUCCUUCAACAGGCUCGAAAGUCUUCUUGUUGACCCUUAGAGGAGGCAUAUAACUGAUAUGAUUGUUGAAAUCAGCGUGAUAGUUGAUGCAUGACCUGUGUCUGAUGAAUCUCAUGAUCCAUGGAGCGUAAAUCUUCAGGUCAAACAGGGCCAUAGCAUUUUCUGCCAGAGUCCUCAAGAAAAAAUCAUGGAUGUUGAUGGGAAUGCGAUGUGUGAUGUUGAAGAGGAUAUUCUUCAUGAUGCCUACGACGUCUUCUUCACCAUCAUGGCCCUUGAUUGGCGCAAGAACGCUGCAUAGGAUUCUGUAAACCGUCCUAUGUUCAUACUUCAGCUCAUGGACCAAGAAGGUUGUUCUUGGGGGUUGCCCUUUCGCCAAAGGCUUCAUGAGGACUUCCAUCAGCUUGUUUGCCAGCUCACAUUCAUCGUACAACUUUACUGCCCACUCUGAGGGAAUUGACACCGGAAGUUCACGCAGCAGCUCAUUGGCAGGAGCUUUGAAGUGUGUGUUCUGCGUCAUCCAAUCCAGCACCCAAGUGUUGAUGUCUGUUGGAUCUGCAGAGAUGUGCAUAGUGGCAUAGAAUUGAAGAACAAUGUCACUGUUCCAAUCGCAGAUAUCUGAGCACAUGGGUAGCAGUCCUGCUUCAUGAAGAACGUUGAGGACUAGAGCAAAGCAUGGAAUUUCUUCAAGCUCAACAUGAGGAAUAUGCCUGUGCUGGAAAAACUUGUUUCUUCCACACAUCACAGAUGCAUAGUAGUUGAGCUGUGUCCUUGUCCAAAACUUCACAUGCCUGAUGCGAGGCUUGUCAUAGGGAUUUUCUCCGAUGAAGAACAUACGUUCUUCAAAGAAGGAUUCCUUUUGAAACUUUGGCCGCUUGGAGAACGGCUGACGCUGCAUUGGCUAAAGAUUUUGUGGCUUGCCUUGAGGAGAGACAGUCAUGGCAGUUUCUGGAUUGAAGACGACAAGAGCAUUCUCUAGAUCUGGUGCAUUGCCCUCACCAUGUUCCUCAGGAUGAGGAAUUUCAUUUUCUUGUGCUUCAGGCUGAGGGGCAUGCUCUGGUUGAGGAAUGUCAUCAACGGGAGCUUUGGGUUGAGGAUUUUUCUCUGGAGGAGGAAUUGGUUCAUCCUAAGCCUCAGGUUGAGGAUUUUGCUCAGGAGGAGGAAUUGGGUCAUCCUGAGUCUCAGGUUGAGGAUUUUGCUCAGGAUUUUGAAUUUCAUCAGGCCGAGGAGUUUCACUUUUUCUUCCUCAGCUUGAGGAGCUUGCUUGGUGGAGGAGCCAGAUUCAUCAGCUGGUGCAGCUGAUCCUUGAGCAGUUUCUUCAGGAGGAAUGAAGGUCUGAGGAGUGUCAUCAAUUCGAAUUUCCUCAUCAGUGUGUUCCUCAAACUCAGCAUUCUUCAUUUCCUCAUCAUCUUGUUCUUUGUCUACGCUGUCGAAGGAAGUCAUCUCAUAAGAUGGAGCAACGUUGAGAGGCACAGGAUCCAGAGGUGCAUUUUCUUCAAGAGCUUUGAGGCGCUUGGCCUCAGUGGAUUCUUCUUCUGAGAAAGCUUUUCUCUUCGUGGCUUCCUUUUCAGCAGCUCUAGUCUUCUUCACGUCUGAUGCAGACGGAGUCAUUUUCUUCACCUUUGAAGCUUUUGGUGAAGGCGUUUUCUCAGCUGAAGUAGUGUCAUCAGCUGGAGCAGAGUCAUCAGCUGUCUUAGAAGCAGCUGGAGCAGUUUUACCAGAUGUAGCAGAGUCAUCAGCUGGAUUUUCCUUGGCUAUUUCCUCAAUAGCAGGUUCAUGAGCACGACUUUCUUGAGGGAUUUCCUCAGCAUGAGCAGUUUCAUCAGCCGGUUCUUCAAUUAGAGGCUGAGGUGUUGGUGCUGGAGGGGAAACCUUCUUGUUGUAAUCAUCAACUGCGUCAGUGGCAAAUUUGAUGAAAUUGUUUUUGAGACUUUGACGAUCAGAGAGCUUAGUGUACUUAUCAGUCAAAGUCUUCAAUUCAGCCUGUGUGGAUACAAGUGCAUCAGGCGUCAAGUUGAGGAGAUUCUGUCUGAGGAAUUUGUCCUUUUUGAGCUUUGCAACCUUACCCUGUUUGGCUUGCUGCUCUUUCCACUUGGCCUCGUUGAUGAAUGUGGCCACCAUGUGGCUGAUGCCUGGGGGAAGCUUCAAAUCAUCGAUUGGAGUGUUGGGUCCUCAUACCAGAUGUCUAUGUAAUCCAGGAGGACUUUUGGGUCCAUAGCCAGAGGAAUGGAGCUGCCAGAAGCUUGAGCUACCCUCUCAUGCUUAUUCCUGAUGAUGGCUUGCAGAGUAUCAUCAUCAAAUUCAUCACUACCUUCUGAUGCAGAAGGAACUUUGAUGAUUUUUCUUGGGCUUGGUCUUGUUCCUCUCCGAGAAGUCACCUUAGUCUUCAGGGGAGUCGGUGAAGACUUUGUCUCGGAGCUUGUUGCAGACGGGACUGAGACAGUGGGCAGUUGCUUCACUAUUUGCUUAUGUUCUGGCUUUGAAGCCUUUGGUGGUGCUGAGGGUUUUGGAGCCGAUGCUGGUGCAGCUUUCUGAAGCAUUUUCUCUUGAGGCUUUGAAGCCUUUGGUUUUGGUGGCACAUACUUCAUCUUAGGAAUGGCCGUACCAGAAGUCUCAGCUGCAGAGGAGGUGGCGGCAGUUGCAGCAGCAGUAGAUUCUUCAUUGAAUUUCCUCAUGUUGGCUUCUGCUUGCUUCUGAAGCUUUGACAAAUGCUUUGACUUUUCUUCAGGAUAGUCAUCAAUUGUCUUGAGGCUUGAGGGGUGUGCAUCCUGAUAGUCAUCAAGAGGAGCCCGUUUGCCAAGAGGCUUCAGAGCGAAUUUCUUCGCAUUCUUGGGAGUGACGAAUCUGUACUCUUUCCACUCCUUAGCCCAUUGGCGUUCUAUCUUUUGAAGCCUUAUCUUCCUCUUGGGCAUAGAUUCUUGCUCAUCAGGUGUGCAAUAUUCCAAGUAUAUAUCCUUAGGGAUAUCUAUGGCAGUGUUCUGAUCGAGCUUCUUGCCACCCUUUUGUUUCCUUUCAUCUUCCAUUUUCUUCAGCCGAGGCUUUUGCUGAGGAAAUUGAACUCUUGAGGAUUCUGAUGAAAUUUGCAGAUUUUCUUCAAGAAACGGUGCAAAUGAGUUAAGUUGAUGAGAACCUAGAGAUUCAUCAGCUGACAUGUUUGUACCUGUGAACAGAGUAUAGUUGCGAGGAAUUUGGAGAGGUCAUAUGCGUUCUCAGAUUUGAUGAAAUGAAAAAAAAUUGAAAGUUGAGGAGUUUGUCCAGUGGUUGAGGAAUUCGUCUAAGCACACUAUUCUUGGGUUCCAGAGUUGUAAAAAUGCGCCGUAACUUGGCAACAGAGGACAACUACGGCGGCGGCGGACGAAGAUGGUCCGGUUCCGAUGUGGUUUCGACGACGGAGAGGUCGAGGCAGUCAAGCUUUCCCUCGCCGGCGUCAAGACUUCUAGCGGUGGCGCUAGGGCUUUUGAGCUUUGCUGUAGUAGGAGGGCGACGGGACGAAGAAUAUUUUACUAAAGGGAGAUGGGGACAUAUUUAUAGCCACGUGGUAACUGUUGGCGCGAAAGUAUCGGACCAAAUAGCCCCUGUCUCUACGUCUCCGCAGGACACGUGUAGCCCACGAUCGAAGCGGUGGAAAUCGUGGAGAUCGUGGUUAUCCGAACGGGGAAAGUGGGGUUCAGUUACUGUGUAACAGAAAAAAAAUAUUUUUGAAGAUUUGAGGAUUUUGUUACAAAACCAUCAACUGGCAAGGACGCAGUGAGGGUUUUGAACAAAGUUUCAAGUAGAACGCAUAUGAGGAAUUGAAUAGACUGGGUGAGAGUAGCAUAGAGGGAAAGUAGAGUCCGAUCACAUUCACUUAGAUGAAAUAUCAAUUUGAAGAAAUAGCUAUAAGUGAAUGCUGUUGAGGACUUUGAAAUCACAAUCGAUCUAGGUAAACGAAAAUCAUAAAGUGUUUUUGAAGAUUUUGAUUAACUUGAGAAUUUUGUGACAAAGCGACAUCAUGAUGAAUUUCAGUUUUAAAAAACAAGUAUGAAGAACAACUGUUUUGAAGAAAAUCAACUUUUGAAGAAAUUCAGCUUUGAAGAAAUUGAACUUGAAGAAUUUCAAGUUGGGUGGUGGCGUGACCCACCAUAUAAGAAUGUUGAUUUCAGACGCCGCGUACAAUUGUCGUAGGGUCCUGAAAAUCAAUUUCUUCGUUGAUUUCCUCACACUAAGAGUGAUAUUCUUCAUUGGUUGAAGAAAAUCGAUUCAUCGUGUGUUGCACAUCUAAGUCAUCAAUUUUGCAUAAGUGUUAGGAUGUGUGCAUGUCUUUACAAAACAUUUGAAGAUUCUAAGAUAUUUAGCUCACACCGCAACUUGCAAAACCUUUUCUCAUCCAAGGGCUUAGUGAAGAUAUCUGCUAGUUGAUCGUCAGUCUUCACAUGGUCGAUGAGGAUAUUGCCCUUGAGGACAUGGGCCGGAAGAAAAUGAUGACUAAUCUAGAUGUGCUUGGUCUUCGAGUGUUGUACUGGGUUGUAUGCAAUCUUGAUUGCACUCUCAUUGUCGCAGUAGAGAGGCACAUUCUUCAUGUUGAUGCUGUAGUCCUUGAGGGUUUGCUUCAUCCAUAGCAAUUGAGCACAACAUGAACCAGCAUCAAUGUACUCAGCUUCGGCAAUGGAGAGUGAAACGCAGUUCUGCUUCUUUGAGGACCAGCAGACUAGUGAUCUUCCGAGGAAAUGACAUGUGCCAAAGGUUGACUUGCGAUCCACACGUCACCAGCAUAGUCAGAAUCAGAAUAUCCCACAAGAUGAAGAUUUGAGCCCUUGGGGUACCAUAAACCUAGUGUUGGUGUGUGAGCUAAGUAUCGAAGAAUAUGCUUCACAGCCUUAUGGUGUGAUUCCUUCGGUUUUUCUUGAAAAUGUGCACACAUGCAAACACUAAGCAUUAUAUCUGGCCUAGAUGCACAUAAAUACAGUAAAGAGCCAAUCAUGGAGCGAUAUACGUGCUGAUCGAAUUCUUUACCAUUUUCGUCAGUGCAGAGGUGGCCGUUGGUAGGCAUUGGAGUCUUGGCACCUUUGCAUUCAUGCAUGUCGAAUUUCUUCAGAACAUCCUUGAGGUAUUUCUCCUAUGAUAUGAAGAUUCCAUUGCGUUGUUGACGAAUUUGAAGACCUAAGAAGAAUUUCAGCUCCCCCAUCAUAGACAUCUGAUAUUCUUCACUCAUCAUAUAAGUGAAUUCAUCACUGUAACGUUUGUCAGUACAACCAAAUAUGAUAUCAUCGACAUAUAUCUGGCACACAAAAAGUUCAUUAUCAUAGGAUUUAGUGAAAGGAGUUGGAUCGAGUGAACCAGGUUUGAAGCCUUUCUUCAUGAGGAAUUCCUUCAAUGUAUCCUACCAUGCCCGAGGGUCUUGCUUGAGACCAUAGAGCGCCUUUUUGAGUCUGAAGAUUUUGUCAGGAUUCUUUGGAUCCUCAAAACCUGGGGGCUGAGCAACAUAUAUUUCUUCCUCAAGCUUACCAUUGAGGAAUGCACUUUUCACAUCAAUUUGAUAUAAGAUUAUGUUAUGAUGAUUAGCAUAAGCAAGUAGUAUUCGAAUAGCUUCAAGUCUAGCAACAGGUGAAAAGUUUCAUCGAAAUCUAUUCCUUCAACCUGUGUGUAGCCUUGGGCUACAAGUCGUGCCUUAUUCCUCACCACUUGACCAUCCUCGUCUUGCUUGUUUCAGAAAAUCCACUUGGUGCCGAUGAUAUUGUGCUUGCGAGGAUCUGCUCGUUUGAUGAGCUCCCAUACGUCAUUCAGCUUGAAUUGAAGAAGUUCGUCUUGCAUGGCUUGGAUCCACUCAGGUUCCAUGAAAGCCUCAACAACUUUUGAAGGUUCUGUGAUAGACACAAAGGAGUAAUGCCCACAAAAGUUAACUAAGUGUGAAGCUUUUGAGCGAGUGAGAGGACCUGGCGCGUUGAUGUCAUUGAGGAUUUUGUCAAGUUCCACUUCAUUUGCAAUCCUCGGAUGAGCUGGUUGAGGAUUUCGCCUGGGCUGAGGAAUUGGUUCUGGAGUAAUUUCCUCAGGAGCAUCUUCUUGAUUUUCAUCAGUGCUGGGAAUGAUUUCUUCAUCAAUUUCCUCAGUGGGAAUAAUGUCUUCAGAAGGUUUGAGCUUUAUUGCUUCCUCAGGAGACAGCUUAUCUAGAUCAGGAGGCAAUUGCUCUCUUUGCAAGCCAUUAGUUUCACCGAACCGCACAUCUACAGUCUCAACAACCUUGUUGUGAUAGUUGUUGAAGACUCUGUAGGUGUGAGAGUCCUUUCCAUAACCGAGCAUAAAACUCUCAUGUGCUUUAGGUGCAAACUUUGAGCUAUGGUGAGGAUCUCUAAUCCAACAUUGUGCACCGAAGACUUUGAAAUAACUUACAUUGGGUUUCUUGUCUGUGAGGAGUUCAUAUGAGGUUUUCUUGAGGAAUUUGUGAAGAUAUACCCUGUUGAUGAUAUGGCAUGCAGUGUUGAUUGCUUCAGGCCAAAAGCGACGAGGAGUUUGAUAUUCUUCAAGCAUGGUCCUUGCCAUCUCAAGUACAGUCCUGUUCUUCCUUUCGACGACACCAUUGUUUUGAGGAGUAUAAGGAGCACAUAAUUCGUGAGUAAUACCAAGUUCAUCAAGAUAAUUAUCAAGACUAGUGUUUUUGAACACUGUUCCAUUAUCACUCCUGAUGUGUUUGAUCUUGAUGCCGAAGUUCGUCGAGGCCCUUGAAGAAAAUCGUUUGAAGACUUCCUGUACUUCAGUUUUAUAUAAAAUGAUAUGCACCCAUGUAUAUCUGGAAUAAUCAUGAACUAUGACAAAGCCAUAUAAAGAUGCUGCAUUUGUUAGAGUGGCAUAAUGGGUAGGUCCAAAUAGAUCCAUGUGAAGCAAUUCAAAUGGAUGAGUAGUGGUCAUGAUAGUCUUCGAGAGGUGCUUGGAUCUGGUCAUUUUACCACACUCACAAGCACCGCAGAGGUGGUCCUUGAGGAAUUUGACUGAUUCGGUCCCGAUGACAUGCUUCUUCUUCGCAAGCGUGUGCAAGUUCCUCAUGCCUGCAUGACUGAGUCUUCGAUUCCACAGCCACCCUUCUGAGGUUUUUGCUAGUAAGCAAGUGGCUGGUUGAGGACCUGUAGAUAAAUAAACAAUGUACAAAUACCAUCUUCUAACACCUUCGAAGACUUUGGAUCUUUCAGAUUCCAUGAUGACAACACAUCUAUAUCUUCCAAAGAUAACAAUCAUAUCAAGAUCACAAAGCAUUGAGACUGACAUGAGGUUAAAUCCAAGGGAUUCAAGAAGCAUCACUUUGUCCAUGUGCCUAUCCUUGGAAAUAGCCACUUUGCCAAGUCCCAAUACCUUGCUUUUACCUUUGUCAGCAUAUGUGAUUUGCUUCAGGGGUGAUGGAGUUAGUGGCAUAUUCAUCAGCAAGCUUUUGUCACCAGUCAUGUGAUGUGUGCAACCACUAUCAAGAACCCACUCAGUACUCUUGGGUUUGUCAUCUUGCAGAUGAAUUGGUACAGUUUACCAUCUCAUAUGCUUCGGCUUUGAAGAAUAUGAUAUCAAUUUCAUUAGAUAGGAAUUUCAUCAUAAACCGAAUUAUAAGGACGUGUGAAAUAUUUCUAUUUCAUCAAUAUUAGCUUGCAUCCUAUCAAGCAUUUUCCUCAGGUCUCCAGCAAAUUCUUCAGAUGAUGAUUUUCAUGUGGAGACCUGACCUGCAGGAGUGAUUAGUUCAAUUUCUUCACCACCCACAUCUGAAGGGGUGGUAAAGCAUUCAUCAUCCUACGAGCACCAUAUGAGAAAGGGGGCAUUGAAGCUAAUGCACUUCUCUUAACAGUAGGGGGGUUAAAGUACUCAAAUGAAUAUGCAGAGAACUUAUUUGAGGAUUUAUGAACAUAAUGAUUUGAAAAAUAAUGCUCAUAUUCAUAUUCCUUGUAAUUUCCCUGCAUGUUAGAAGCAUUAGCACGGGUACGAGCAUAGUUUUGACCAGUUGAGGAUUUUGAUCCUCUUGAAGACUUUGGUCCUCCUGAGGAAUUUGAUCUGGGGUUCAAAUUCUUCAUAGGUGGUGUCAUGAGGACAUUCACGUGAAGAUUUUCAAGGCAACUUUUGGGAACCCAGAUUUUCCUCACGGGAGGCCCAUUCCUGCAGUUUGUUCCAACAUAUCGAGCAAAUACUUCACCAUAUUGAUUUUUGAACAGUUUAUAGUUGGAGUCAAAUGACUCAUCUGAGGAAUAGGAUAAUUCACAUGAAAAGCCUGUUAGAUUGGAUGGAUCAAAAGGAGGCCCAGUAGCAGCAACCCAUGAGGUUUUGGGAUACUGCUCAGGUUUCCAAUAAGAUCCAUCAGCAUUCAAUUUCCUCUCAAAGGCAAUUCCUUCUUUCCUCGGGUUCCUGUUCAAGAUCUGCUUUUUGAGGACAUCACAAAGGAUUUGCUGUCCUUUGAGACUUUUGUAUAUGCCUGUCACAUACAAUUCCUUCAGCCCUGCAUUUUCAUGAGUAACAUUUGUGGUUUCGUCAAGUGAGGAAUUUGACACUACAGGAGCAGUUGAAGAAUUUGUAGUAAUAGAAGCAUUUGAUGAUUCUGGUGAAGAAUUAGCAGUUUCACGUUCGACGCAUUUAAGACAUGGAUGAAUGAAUUCAGUUUGAGCAACACUGAUCUGUUGAGUUAGUAAUGAAUCAUUUUGCAUACGGAGAUCAUCAUGAGAAAUCCUCAGCUUCUCAAGAUCAAGCUUCCUUUGAAGAAAUUCAUAGGAAAGUUUCUCAUGAUCAACAAGGAAUGUAACAUGACGAUCUUGAAGAUUAUCAAAUCUGGACUGAAGACUUUUCAUAUCUUCAGUGAGUAUUUGGGUAAGAUUCAUUUCAUCAUUCAACAGAUCUUCACUUCUAUCUAGCAGUUUUUGAAGCUUUUCCAGGGCAGUUUGUUGUUUAGUUGCAAUGAUAGCAAGUUUACUGUAACUCAGUUUUUUAUAAUCAUCAGGUUCACAGUCACUUGAAUCAGAGGAGGAAGCAUCAUUCGGUACCUUUGAACCUUUUGCCAUGAAGCAAUAGGUUGUAGCAAAGUCAUCAACAUAGUCAUCAGUGUGGAUGGUGUUAUCAUUUUCUUCAAGGUUGAAGAUUGACUUGCUCAUGAAUGUGGUUGCAAGUGCAAGGCUAGCCUAUGCAGAUUCUGAGUCUUCAUCACAACCCUCCUCUUCAUCACAUUCCUCGGAUUCUGCCUCAGAGUCCAUUUCCUUGCCAAUAAGUGCCCGAGCCUUUCUGAAACUAGUCUUCUUGUGCGAUGAGGACUUUGAAGAUGAGGAUUUUGAAGAUUUCUUCUUUUUCUUCGAGUCAUCAGAACUUUCAUCCUUGUAUUUCUUCUUCUUUGAUUCCUUUCCCCAACAAGGACAAUCAACAAUGUAAUGACCUGAUUUCUUGCAUUUGUGGCAGGUUCUUUUCUUGUAGUCCUCAGAUGAAGAUUCUGAUUUCCUCAUAUCUCUUCUUGAAGAUUUACCAAACUGGACACGUCGUGUAAACUUCUGGAAUUUCCUCACGAGCAUUGGUAGCUCCUGUCCAAAUUCUUCAGGAUCACCAAUGCUACCAUCUGAGUCUUCUUCUUCACAUGAGGAAAUUGGUUUGGCCUUCAGUGCACAUGGUCUAGAAUAGCUUGGUCCAUAUAGAUCUCUCUUUUCUUCUUGUUGGAAUUCAUGAGUAUUGAGUCUUUCGAGUAUAUCAGAUGGAUCAAGCAUCUUGUAGUCUGGUCUCUCUUGAAUCAUCAGAACUAAAGUAUCAAAUGAAGAAUCCAAAGAUCUUAGCAGUUUCUUCAGAACUUCGUGAUCAGUAAUGUCUCGAGCUCCCAGUGCGUGCAGUUCAUUUGAUAUGUUAGUGAGGCGAUCAAAGGUAUCUUGGCAUCUUUCAUUGUCAAACCUCUUGAAGCGAUUGAAGAGAUUGCGAAGAACAUCAACACGAGAAUCACGUUGGGUUGAUACUCCUUCAUUAACUUUGGACAACCUUUCCCAGAUAAGUUUUGCUGUGCCCAAUGCACUCACUCUGCCAUACUGACCUUUGCUCAGAUGGCCACAGAUGAUAUUCUUCGCUUGAGAGUCAAGUUGCUUGAAUUUAUUCAUAUCAGCAGCAGAGAUAGUAGCAGUGACGAUAGGGACGCCAUGUUCCACAAUAUACCAGAGAUUGUUGUCAAUAGCUUGUAGAUGCAUCUGCAUCUUGGUCUUCCAGAAGGGAAAGUCCUUUCCUUCGAAAGUAGGACAUGCUGUAGUAACCUUGAUCAUGCCUGUAGUCAACAUAACUAAAACUCCAGGUGGUUAAACCAAAAUCACACAGAACAAGGGAGUACCUUGCUGUGAUACCAAUUGAAAGUGCGUUAUAUCGACUAGAGGGGGUGUCGUGGUUUUGUCACGGCAGAUGUCCUUGUGAAAGGACUUAGUAUUGGAGCCAUCGCACUUUGGUGGCGACUCAAAGGGGUUGAACGGGAGUGAGACGACGAUUUACCCAGGUUCGGCCCCUCGUGAGGAGGUAAAAGCCUACGUCAUGCUUUGUGUUGUAUUGAUGGAGUUUCGAUUACAAGGAGGGCGUAACUUGCCAGACCUAGCACUCGAUGAUUUCUAACCUGCCCUCUUCUUCCCUGGGACUCGCCUUUAUAUACAGGUCGAGUCCCUAGGGUUUACAAGGGUCCUUUCCUUUAUACAAAUCGUGACUCUUACAAUCUCUAAGUCGCCACCUUUCCAAAGCUUGGAGACCUUCCCUACUAUGGACUCUUUUCGGAAGUCGUAAACCGCCAUACAACCUUCGGCCUUACCAGGCCAAGGCCCGAACCACAUUUUAGAUGGAUCGCCAGCUUUGGUGACCCGGCCCAACUACGGCGGGUUAUCAACAGAUAAUAUCCCCAACACUAGGCCCCAGAUUGACUUGAAUUUCCUUCAUGCCAAUAUCCUUACUCAAUUAAGGGCGAUUCAUCUUCACUCCUCUUAUACACCAUGCACUUAAACCGCCAUCUAUUGUGGAAAAACUUGAGUCGCCAAACCAUUUCUUGUUGGCACCUCCUUAUCCCUUGAAUCCAGGAAAGGAUAAUGACGUAAUCCCCAACGGAUCCUUUGGUAUCGUUAUCCCAAAAAUUUCGGGGCGCCAUCAUGGCGAAUCUUUAUCUUUUGGAAGUUCCCACUCGUGGCGCCUCGAUCCUAGCGCCCGACCUGAUAAAUGGGCGGGAGGAAGGGACUGGGCGCAUUCCACCUACCAGUCUUGUCGCCCUUCUCUUCCCCACUAUUGCAGCGAAAAAAACCCUCAUCGUCUCUCGAGAGCUCCGCCGCCACCCGAAGACCUCGUCGCCAUCCGAAAGUUUUGGUGUUGCCCGAAGACUUCGUCGCCAUCGAGCACCUCGUCACGGCCGAGCAGUUCGUCGCCAUCGACCGUCUUGCCGCUGUCGAGCACCUUGUCACUGUCGAACACCUAGUCGCCACCCGAGGUUUCCGCAUCCGUCCGAAACCUCCAUCGUCGACCGCGCAUCUCGUCGUGGCCGAGAAGUUCAUCGCCGUCGACUGUCUCCAGCCGUAUCCACCAGGUUAGCUUUCUGCCAUUUAAGAACAUAUCUAAGUUUCUUUUCAAAGUUCAUCCUUACAGCGUUCUUGGUGCCUCCCGGAUGGCUUUAUUUGUUCCUCAUUAGUUGGCGGCGAUGAUAACAAGAACAACGAUGUUUUUCAUACCUUUAUUUGUUCGGCCUCUACUUGCAUACUCAGAAUAGGGCUUCACCAAAUCAAUAUUACUGUCCCCACCUUAGCCGUAGGUUGUUAUAUCCAGUCCUUUUUCGCAUUCAUUUCCGUCUGCCUGGUAGAUCCAUAAUCUAUUGCUUGUCAAGUGAAAUCUGUUUGUAGCCUCACACUUUACCAUUUUGACAAAUACCACUGAUGCUCCGAAACAUCGCUCCUUUAAGUAGCAAGAAUUUCAUAAGUCGCCCCUGGCAACCUGACCCAGACAAAUUAUUUGGCGAGUCAAAUGAAAUUGUUUCACCAUUUUCAGUAGAUGUUUGGCGUGUCAAUUCAUCCAUAAUUUUAUCCCUUUGUAGCAUGGGCGCCGUUUUCAAAAGCGACUGGCUCCCCACCAAGGUCAAUGAUGCUAUACUAGAUGAUUAUGUGAAAACGGGAAAUUUGGACCCUCAGGAGGUUAUCGGUUGGCGCACCGGGUUAGGAGAAGAAAUCCCCAAUCCCAAGGAAGGGGAAAUAGUUGUUUUUCUUGAACACCUUGAGCGGGGCUUUAAGCCGCCUGGAUCGAAAUUCCUCAGAGACGCCAUGGCUUUUAUGAAUGUCCGCCUCCAAGAUCUAGGGCCCAACUCGAUAAGCAAUCUAUGCCAGUUCCAGGUGUUUUCUGAGGCUUACUUGCGGAUGGAACCCUCAGUUCCCUUAUUCUGGUACUUCUUCCACUUAAAUCGCUAAACAGAAUUUCACAAUGGCCCCAGCCUGGAGCUUGGUGGUGUCAAUGUACAGCGUCGCAGGGAUAGCCCAUUUCCGUCACUCGCCAUGCCAAGCCACCCCAAAGGCUGGGGCGAGUCUUGGUUCUAAUGUCAGGAGACUUCGCCUGAGGGCGAGAACAAACUUCUGGGUUAUAGGUAAGAUCGCCUUUCAACAAAUUUCAAACUCCCAGACAAGCUCACCGAAGAGGAGGAGUCAGACUUUAUCCCAGUAUUGUCCGAGUUAAGAUCUUUGACAAACAACGGCCUUACUGGAGUUGACUUGAUCCGCUGCUGGGUCGAANNNNNNNNNNNNNNNNNNNNNNNNNNNNNNNNNNNNNNNNNNNNNNNNNNNNNNNNNNNNNNNNNNNNNNNNNNNNNNNNNNNNNNNNNNNNNNNNNNNNGCGGGCGGGAGUGCCCUAGCGCCGCGCGGGCUGCAGGCCCGUUUCCGCGGCUCUUUUUUCGCGAUUUUCGGAUGCGGCGCCGCCGAAUGCCGGUUUCCUCCUCCUCCUCCUCCUCCUCCUCCUCCUCCUCUUCUUCUUUUUAUCGUUAAUUAAUUGGCUAAGCAAAAUUUAACCAAUGGGUCGCCUCAACUACGUGUCGUGCGCGAUGAUUUUGUCAAUCUUAAAACUUUUAUGAUUUUGAUUUAAUCGUUGAUACAUAUUGUGUGAGUGUGUAGGUGUGGAGUUGUGUGAGUGUGUGUGGCUCAAACGAGGACAUGGUCAAUGGUAUGUCUUCAUAGUGUCGCCUCCCUCUAGAGCCAACUAGCACGGAUGCUAUAAUGAAUUGCCGGUUGCUCGAGCGAAUAGGCAAGCAAUGAAGGGGAAAAUGAAAUAUAGGGAUAUGAUCUGGAUGUGGCAUAUGGGUGAUGGUGUGAAUGUGUUUGGUUCGAUGGGCAAUGUCGAUGGUAUGCCCUCCCCACACACGUACCACUCUCCUCUCCCCAACCCCCCAUCCCCCCUCUCCCACACACACAACCUAGAUGCAACUAGGCUCGGGUGCCACCUAAAGAUCCCGAUGGCUGCAAAGAAAAGGCAAAAAUAUAUAAGGGGGGAGAGAGAAAAUGGUGCGGACCAAGUGCACGGGCCAUGGUCGUCACUUGCAAUACCUUGAUUUUGUCAACGACGCAUCCCUGAGCUCAUCCAUGUGGCCAUGGCCUGAUCUGGUUGAAGACCAGCCCUGCCAGGAUCAGACUCUCAUAGAAAAAUAGUUCGGCAGCGUGCUGGAUCUGGGAGGAACAUGGUCGUCGCCGAUUCGCAUCGUCCUUCUUCAGUUGAGAUCGUGCCCGGAUGGGCGAUCACACAAACGGGUUCCUAUAGGAACGAAUGAGUGUAUGGCUUGUACCAACCAUCGCACAUCUCUGAAGCUCGCCCAGGAAGAGAGCGCAAGAAAAUAGAUCCAGAUCUGGUCACCGUCAGAAAAAACAUGUUUUAGAGGUGCUAGAUCCAGGAUUUUUUCGUGCUGAGAGAGCACAAUUGGUGAUGGUUAGGUAACAAAAGGAAAAAAGCAAGGAAAUACAAGGCAAAAAGGAAAGACAGAGUGUGGUCCGGACGUAGCGCAAGUGCACACGCCAUGGUCAAUGCAUACAAUACCUUGCGUCCGCCGGCGACAAGGCCUUUAGCCCGUCCAUCUGGUAAUGGCCGAGGUCUGUCGUGACUGGAUUACGACAGAAAAUGGCGCGAUGAUGCCGGAUCUAGGAGGAACACGGGCGUCGACAUCAAUCUGCGUCAACAUUUUUUGGUUGAGAUCGUUCCCAGGCGCACCAUCACGCAGUUGGAUGCCGAGAAGAACGAAGGAGUGACAGCUUGUACCAACCAUCGCACAUUCAUGAAGCGCCUCGAGGAAGAUAGCAUAAGAAUGGAUCCAGAUCUAGGAACCGGCACAAAAACAUGCGGUAGAGGACCUGGAUCCGGCAAUUUUUCAUGCCAGAAAGCAUGGUUAGUGGAGGAUGGGAUCGUACGGAGAGAUGGAUAUGGAAGGGGGGUUUGGGGAAAGAAGAUGCGUACCGGGACGAUGGAUCUGGAAUUUUGUAGUUUCGAGAGGUGAGGGGAGUAUGCCCCUCACGAAGUUGUGGUCUCAACUUGUGUGUGGGGGGGGGGAGUAGAACCCAUCGGCUCGUUUUAUUCUGUUUAUGCGGAUGGAUGGUGCCACCAUAUGCCUUGGUAGCGUGGGGCCCGGACCAUGGUCCCGCGGUGUGUCAAGGAGGUCCACGAGAGAAAGCAAGAAAAAAGAAAGGUGGGAGAAAAUGGAGUGAGAGGAGGUGAGAAAUCUCCCUAUCAACUAGAGUGAGCUCCACCAUGGCUAGAUCGAGCAAUUGACAACUGGAGCGAGCCCCAUCAUGGCCAGGUCGAGCACCCUGUGUGGUGAUCAAGCGCCCUAGCGGCCAUAGAAUCUCCACCAUGGCUAGAUCGAGUGCCCUAGCGGUCAGAGGGAGUCCCACCACAUCCGAAUCGAGCCCCGAUGGUCUAAACGGGUUCCACAACAGACAUAUUGAGUGUCCCAUUGAUUGGAGUGGGCUCCACGACCGAAUUGAGCCCCCUUAUGAUAUGAACAGUCUCCAUCAUGGCCAUAUUGGGCGUUAACAAUCAUAGUGAGCUCCAUUGUAGCCAUAUUUAAAACGCCUAGACAAGUGGAGCAAGCUACAAGACAACCAGAUUAAGUUUCAUGGCCAGACGAUGCUUUCAAGCGGGUGCGAGCUCCCUAGUGGCAUGACCUUGACAAAAGAGGCGACUCAUGAUGGUUUUUAGAGAGAAAUAACUCACUUGCUAUACGAGGGAGGUAUUUCCCUAUCCGGAUGUGAUGGACAAAUGAGGAACUAUGACUAGUAAAAUAGUUGGAGAGGGGUAUGGCGAUGGUGGAUCCAUGCCAUGGUCACUUCGGUUUUUGGUAUCAGGUGAGAAAGUUGAUCAAUUGAUAGCCCCAUAUUUUCUGUCUGGGUGGGAUGGACCAAUAUAUUUAGUUUCUUGAAAUAAGUUUAUCUCGAUGGUUUGUAAAUGCAAGUUUAGUCAAUUAUUAUAGUUUAUAAUUGUAGCUUGUCACACUUUAUUAACCACGUGUCUCCAAUGUUGCGGACUAAGGCAUAUGCUAGAUUUUCCCACAGAGUGUCACAACGUUUGUUCUCAAAAAACUUCAAAUGAACGGCUAGUGUUCGGCCAGACAUGUGCUAAUUUUACAUCGGUCAGGUCAGGUCCAAGUAGUUGUUUAUCUUAUCAAAUUUCACUGUGAACCGUGUUGCACAUGCAAACCACAUAACCAAACACAUCCCACGAGGUGAUAUGAUAAGCUCUCGCAUCACGUUUGAUAGGUAUGCGAAAAAGUUGAUGGAGGGAGUGAUGCGGUAAGCCCUCACAUCGUGUUUUAUAAACAGUGGAAAGAGUGGCAUAACCUGUCAUUAAAAAAAACUGUCAUUCGAAUCCUGAUACUUUGUUUUCGUUUGUAUGGAACGAGAAUUAUAUAUAGUAUUUUAAAGAAAAAAAUAUUCCUAUACGUUGGCUAGUGAUGAUUUGUGAAAUUUGAAAGAUGAUAACAUAGGUACUGACAAAUGGUUUAGAUGCUUCAUGCAAAACAACACCACGGCCCAUUCGUUCCCUCCUUGUUUAUUUGAAAGAGUGAAGUUCAAAUUCGAACUCUACUGUUUUCGAGUUUUUAUCUUCUCAAACAAUCACGGUGAACGUGUAACUAGUGAGAGUAUAAAAGCAUGCAAAAAGGUCACCAUAUGUGUUCCCUGUGUGAAUGUGACCAUUUGAAAGUGCGUUAUAUCGACUAGAGGGGGGGUGAAUAGGAGAUUUUUAGAAUUUCAUCACUGAGGAAAUUCCUUUUGAGGAAAUUCCUCACUGAUGACUAACUUACAGCGGAAACAGUUAAGGAUCAGUCGUGCAAUCGUUCACAACAGCAGUAUUGCAGAGUGAAGAUUAUGAAAACAGAUUGCACAGUAAGCGGGCACGCAGAAUACAGAUGAUGUUUAACUCAAGUGAAGAAUUUGGGGUUGAGGAAAUUCAGAGAAAGUCUUCAGCAAAUUCUUCAAACAGUCAUAGUGAAUGUCAUCAACACAUAAUACAGAGAAUGUAAAGAGUUGAGGAAUUAGAACCCGAUUCUUGGUGAAGACAGUUGUUGAUGACCCAGUUCCAACUGCUGUGACAGUUGUACAUCUGGUUUGGAGCGGCUUGGUAUUGAAACCAAAGGACACCCAGUCCCGGGACACACAGUCCCUACCGUACUCUCCUUGAGCUAAGGACACACAGUCAUCGCCCAACACUCGUGGUAAGUCUUCAGGGCAGACUUCCAAACCCUCACAAACUCGGUCACCCGGCGAUCCACAAUUGACUGCUGGAUNNNNNNNNNNNNNNNNNNNNNNNNNNNNNNNNNNNNNNNNNNNNNNNNNNNNNNNNNNNNNNNNNNNNNNNNNNNNNNNNNNNNNNNNNNNNNNNNNNNNAGACAUAGUUGCAACAACAAGAUCAAACAGAGUUUGUCAAAGUUUUUCUUUCUCUCUCAGUUUGUCAACUGAGUUGCUUGAGGACAAGCAAGGUUUUAAGCUUGGGGGAGUUGAUACGUCUCCAUCGUAUCUACUUUUCCAAACUCUUUUGCCCUUGUUUUGGACUCUAAUUUGCAUGAUUUAAAUGGAACUAACCUGGACUAACGCUGUUUUCAGCAGAAUUGCCUUGGUGUUGUUUUUGUGCAGAAAUGAAAGUUCUCAAAACGUCCUGAAUAUUUACGGAGAAUAUUUCUGGAAAAUAUCAAAAAAUUCCUGCGCAAAGAUCCACCAGAGGGGGUGGGCCAGUGGGCCACAAGCCCUAUAGCUGCCACCCCCCUGGUGUCGGCUAGCAAGCUUGUGGGGCCCACGUGGCUCUGCCGCCCCCAAUCUCAGCUCUAUAAGUUCACUGUCGUCCCAGAAAAAAUAAAGAGAGAAGAUUUCGUCGCGUUUGCGAUACGGAGGCGCCGCCACAUCAUGUUCUUCAUCUGGAGGGUAGAUCUGGAGUCCGUUUUGGGCUCCGGAGAGGGGAAAUCGUCGCCAUCGUCAUCAUCAACCUUCUUCCCUCUCCAAUUCCAUGAAGCUCUUCAUCGUUCGUGAUUAAUCUAUUUGUAGGCUCGCUGGGCGGUGAUGAGUAGGAUGAGAUCUAUCAUGUAAUCNNNNNNNNNNNNNNNNNNNNNNNNNNNNNNNNNNNNNNNNNNNNNNNNNNNNNNNNNNNNNNNNNNNNNNNNNNNNNNNNNNNNNNNNNNNNNNNNNNNNACGUUGCGACGUUUGAUACACACAAAGCAUUCCUCCGGUGUCAGUGAGUCAUAUGAUCUCAUGGUCAUAGUAAUAAAUACUUGACACGCAGAAAACAGUAGCAACAAAAUGACACAAUCAACAUGCUACGUCUAUUAGUUUGGGUCUAGUCCAUCACGUGAUUCUCCUAAUGACGUGAUCCAGUUAUCAAGCAACAACACCUUGUUCAUAAUCAGAAGACACUGACUAUCUUUGAUCAACUGGCUAGCCAACUAGAGGCAUGCUAGGGACGGUGUUUUUGUUGGAAUUAUGCCCUAGAGGCAAUAAUAAAUGUAUAGUUAUUAUUAUAAUUCCUGUAUCAAGAUAAUAGUUUAUUGUCCAUGCUAUAAUUGUAUUGAAUGAAGACUCAUUUACAUGUGUGGAUACAUAGACAAAAACACCGUCCCUAGCAUGCCUCUAGUUGGCUAGCCAGUUGAUCGAUGAUAGUCAGUGUCUUCUGAUUAUGAACAAGGUGUUGUUGCUUGAUAACUGGAUCACGUCAUUGGGAGAAUCACGUGAUGGACUAGACCCAAACUAAUAGACGUAGCAUGUUGAUCGUGUCAUUUUGUUGCUACUGUUUUCUGCGUGUCNNNNNNNNNNNNNNNNNNNNNNNNNNNNNNNNNNNNNNNNNNNNNNNNNNNNNNNNNNNNNNNNNNNNNNNNNNNNNNNNNNNNNNNNNNNNNNNNNNNNNNNNNNNNNNNNNNNNNNNNNNNNNNNNNNNNNNNNNNNNNNNNNNNNNNNNNNNNNNNNNNNNNNNNNNNNNNNNNNNNNNNNNNNNNNNNNNNNNNNNNNNNNNNNNNNNNNNNNNNNNNNNNNNNNNNNNNNNNNNNNNNNNNNNNNNNNNNNNNNNNNNNNNNNNNNNNNNNNNNNNNNNNNNNNNNNNNNNNNNNNNNNNNNNNNNNNNNNNNNNNNNNNNNNNNNNNNNNNNNNNNNNNNNNNNNNNNNNNNNNNNNNNNNNNNNNNNNNNNNNNNNNNNNNNNNNNNNNNNNNNNNNNNNNNNNNNNNNNNNNNNNNNNNNNNNNNNNNNNNNNNNNNNNNNNNNNNNNNNNNNNNNNNNNNNNNNNNNNNNNNNNNNNNNNNNNNNNNNNNNNNNNNNNNNNNNNNNNNNNNNNNNNNNNNNNNNNNNNNNNNNNNNNNNNNNNNNNNNNNNNNNNNNNNNNNNNNNNNNNNNNNNNNNNNNNNNNNNNNNNNNNNNNNNNNNNNNNNNNNNNNNNNNNNNNNNNNNNNNNNNNNNNNNNNNNNNNNNNNNNNNNNNNNNNNNNNNNNNNNNNNNNNNNNNNNNNNNNNNNNNNNNNNNNNNNNNNNNNNNNNNNNNNNNNNNNNNNNNNNNNNNNNNNNNNNNNNNNNNNNNNNNNNNNNNNNNNNNNNNNNNNNNNNNNNNNNNNNNNNNNNNNNNNNNNNNNNNNNNNNNNNNNNNNNNNNNNNNNNNNNNNNNNNNNNNNNNNNNNNNNNNNNNNNNNNNNNNNNNNNNNNNNNNNNNNNNNNNNNNNNNNNNNNNNNNNNNNNNNNNNNNNNNNNNNNNNNNNNNNNNNNNNNNNNNNNNNNNNNNNNNNNNNNNNNNNNNNNNNNNNNNNNNNNNNNNNNNNNNNNNNNNNNNNNNNNNNNNNNNNNNNNNNNNNNNNNNNNNNNNNNNNNNNNNNNNNNNNNNNNNNNNNNNNNNNNNNNNNNNNNNNNNNNNNNNNNNNNNNNNNNNNNNNNNNNNNNNNNNNNNNNNNNNNNNNNNNNNNNNNNNNNNNNNNNNNNNNNNNNNNNNNNNNNNNNNNNNNNNNNNNNNNNNNNNNNNNNNNNNNNNNNNNNNNNNNNNNNNNNNNNNNNNNNNNNNNNNNNNNNNNNNNNNNNNNNNNNNNNNNNNNNNNNNNNNNNNNNNNNNNNNNNNNNNNNNNNNNNNNNNNNNNNNNNNNNNNNNNNNNNNNNNNNNNNNNNNNNNNNNNNNNNNNNNNNNNNNNNNNNNNNNNNNNNNNNNNNNNNNNNNNNNNNNNNNNNNNNNNNNNNNNNNNNNNNNNNNNNNNNNNNNNNNNNNNNNNNNNNNNNNNNNNNNNNNNNNNNNNNNNNNNNNNNNNNNNNNNNNNNNNNNNNNNNNNNNNNNNNNNNNNNNNNNNNNNNNNNNNNNNNNNNNNNNNNNNNNNNNNNNNNNNNNNNNNNNNNNNNNNNNNNNNNNNNNNNNNNNNNNNNNNNNNNNNNNNNNNNNNNNNNNNNNNNNNNNNNNNNNNNNNNNNNNNNNNNNNNNNNNNNNNNNNNNNNNNNNNNNNNNNNNNNNNNNNNNNNNNNNNNNNNNNNNNNNNNNNNNNNNNNNNNNNNNNNNNNNNNNNNNNNNNNNNNNNNNNNNNNNNNNNNNNNNNNNNNNNNNNNNNNNNNNNNNNNNNNNNNNNNNNNNNNNNNNNNNNNNNNNNNNNNNNNNNNNNNNNNNNNNNNNNNNNNNNNNNNNNNNNNNNNNNNNNNNNNNNNNNNNNNNNNNNNNNNNNNNNNNNNNNNNNNNNNNNNNNNNNNNNNNNNNNNNNNNNNNNNNNNNNNNNNNNNNNNNNNNNNNNNNNNNNNNNNNNNNNNNNNNNNNNNNNNNNNNNNNNNNNNNNNNNNNNNNNNNNNNNNNNNNNNNNNNNNNNNNNNNNNNNNNNNNACUCACGUGAUGAUCGGACUUGGGAUAGUGUAAGUGGAUCAUGAACCACUCAAAUGACUAGAGAGAUGUACUUUUUGAGUGGGAGUUUAGCAUAUAAUUUGAUUAAGUUGAACUCUAAUUAUCUUGAACAUANNNNNNNNNNNNNNNNNNNNNNNNNNNNNNNNNNNNNNNNNNNNNNNNNNNNNNNNNNNNNNNNNNNNNNNNNNNNNNNNNNNNNNNNNNNNNNNNNNNNGUAUAUUUGAUAUACAUGUUAUUGAUGUGUACUUAACCGGCUCUCGUAGUAGUGCCUGGGUAUUCGAUACCGGUUCUGUUGCUCACAUUUGCAACUCGAAACAGGAACUGCGGAAUAGACGGAGGCUGGCGAAAGACGAAGUGACGAUGCGCGUAGGAAACGGUUCCAAGGUUGAUGCAAUCGCCGUCGGCACCGUGUCACUUCAACUACCAUCGGGAUUAGUGAUGAACUUAAAUCAUUGUUAUUUGGUGCCUGCGUUGAGCAUGAACAUUAUAUCUGGAUCUUGUUUAUUGCGAGACGGUUACUCUUUUAAGUCUGAGAAUAAUGGUUGUUCUAUUUCUAUGAGUAACAUCUUUUAUGGUCAUGCACCGAAUGUGAGAGGAUUGUUCAUAUUGAAUCUCGAUAGAGAUACGCAUAUACAUAACAUUGAGACCAAAAGAGUUAGAGUAAACAAUGAUAGCGCCAUAUUUUUGUGGCACUGCCGCUUGGGUCUUAUUGGUGUAAAGCGCAUGAAGAAACUCCAUGAUGAUGGACUUUUGGAGUCACUUGACUUUGAUUCACUUGACACUUGCGAACCAUGCCUCAUGGGCAAGAUGACUAAAACUCCGUUCUCCGGAACAAUGGAGCGUGCAAGUGACUUAUUGGAAAUCAUACAUACCGAUGUGUGUGGUCCGAUGAGCGUGGAGGCACGCGGCGGAUAUCGUUAUUUUCUCACCUUCACUGACGAUUUGAGUAGAUAUGGUUAUGUCUACUUAAUGAAGCACAAGUUUGAAACAUUUGAAAAGUUCAAGCAAUUUCAGAGUGAAGUAGAAAAUCAUCGUAACAAGAAGAUCAAGUUCCUACGGUCUGAUCGUGGGGGUGAAUAUCUGAGUUUCGAGUNNNNNNNNNNNNNNNNNNNNNNNNNNNNNNNNNNNNNNNNNNNNNNNNNNNNNNNNNNNNNNNNNNNNNNNNNNNNNNNNNNNNNNNNNNNNNNNNNNNNAGCCCUCACAUCACCAUGUGAAUUACAUUGUAAUAAAUCUAACACCCAUACAGUUCUGGUGUCGAUCAUGUUUUGGCCGUGGAAGAGGUUUAGUCAGCGGGUCUGCUACAUUCAGAUCCGUGUGCACUUUGCAUAUAUUUACGUCCUCCUCCUCGACGUAGUCGCGGAUGAGGUUGAAGCGUCGUUUGAUGUGUCUGGUCUUCUUGUGAAACCUUGGUUCCUUUGCUAAAGCAAUGGCACCAGUGUUGUCACAGAACAAGGUUAUUGGAUCCAGUGCACUUGGCACCACUCCAAGAUCCGUCAUGAACUGCUUCAUCCAGACACCCUCCUUAGCCGCCUCCGAGGCAGCCAUGUAUUCUGCUUCACAUGUAGAAUCUGCUACGACGCUUUGCUUGGAACUGCACCAGCUUACUGCACCCCCAUUAAGAAUAAAUACGUAUCCGGUUUGCGACUUAGAGUCGUCCGGAUCUGUGUCAAAGCUUGCAUCGACGUAACCUUUUACGGCGAGCUCUUCGUCACCUCCAUACACGAGAAACAUCUCCUUAGUCCUUUUCAGGUACUUUAGGAUAUUCUUGACCGCUGUCCAGUGAUCCACUCCUGGAUUACUCUGGAACCUACCUGCCAUACUUAUGGCCAGGAUAACAUCCGGUCUAGUGCACAACAUCGCAUACAUGAUAGAACCUAUGGCUGAAGCAUAGGGGACGGAGCGCAUAUGCUCUCUAUCUUCAUCAGUUGCUGGGCACUGAGUCUUACUCAAUCUCGUACCUUGUAAAACUGGCAAGAACCCUUUCUUGGACUGUUCCAUUUUGAACCUCUUCAAAACUUUAUCAAGGUAUGUGCUUUGUGAAAGUCCUAUUAGGCGUUUUGAUCUAUCCCUAUAGAUCUUAAUGCCUAGAAUGUAAGCAGCUUCUCCUAGGUCCUUCAUAGAGAAACUUUUAUUCAAGUAACCUUUUAUGCUCUCCAAAAACUCUACCUUGUUUCCAAUCAGUAAUAUGUCAUCCACAUAUAAUAUUAGAAACGCCACAGAACUCCCACUCACUUUCUUGUAAAUACAAGAUUCUCCAACUACUUGUAUAAACCCAAAUGCUUUGAUCACCUCAUCAAAGCGUUUGUUCCAACUCCGAGAUGCUUGCACCAGUCCAUAAAUGGAUCGCUGGAGCUUGCACACCUUGUUAGCAUUCUUAGGAUCGACAAAACCUUCGGGUUGUAUCAUAUACAAGUCUUCCUUAAGGAAACCGUUAAGGAACGCCAUUUUGACAUCCAUCUGCGAGAUUUCAUAAUCGAAAAAUGCAGCUAUUUCUAACAUGAUUCUGACGGACUUAAGCAUCGCUACGGGUGAGAAAGUCUCAUCGUAGUCAACUCCUGGAACUUGUGAAAAACCCUUUGCCACAAGUCGAGCUUUAUAAACGGUCACAUUGCCGUCAGCGUCCGUCUUCUUCUUAAAGAUCCAUUUGUUCUGAAUAGCCUUGCGGCCCUCAGGUAGUAUCUCCAAAGUCCACACUUUGUUCUCAUACAUGGAUCCUAUCUCGAACUUCAUGGCUUCUAGCCAUUUGUUGGAAUUUGGGCCCACCAUUGCUUCUUCAUAAUUUGCAGGUUCAUUGUUGUCUAACAACAUGAUUGACAAGACGGGAUUACCGUACCACUCUGGAGCAGCACGUGAUCUCGUCGACCUGCGUGGUUCAACAGAAACUUGAACUGGAGUUUCAUGAUCAUCAUCAUUAACUUCCUCCUCAACCGGCGUCGCAAUGACAGAGGUUUCCCCUUGCCCUGCGCCACCAUCCAGAGGGAUGAGAGGUUCGACAACCUCGUCAAGUUCUAUCUUCCUCCCACUCAAUUCUCUCGAGAGAAACUCCUUCUCGAGAAAAGNNNNNNNNNNNNNNNNNNNNNNNNNNNNNNNNNNNNNNNNNNNNNNNNNNNNNNNNNNNNNNNNNNNNNNNNNNNNNNNNNNNNNNNNNNNNNNNNNNNNNNNNNNNNNNNNNNNNNNNNNNNNNNNNNNNNNNNNNNNNNNNNNNNNNNNNNNNNNNNNNNNNNNNNNNNNNNNNNNNNNNNNNNNNNNNNNNNNNNNNNNNNNNNNNNNNNNNNNNNNNNNNNNNNNNNNNNNNNNNNNNNNNNNNNNNNNNNNNNNNNNNNNNNNNNNNNNNNNNNNNNNNNNNNNNNNNNNNNNNNNNNNNNNNNNNNNNNNNNNNNNNNNNNNNNNNNNNNNNNNNNNNNNNNNNNNNNNNNNNNNNNNNNNNNNNNNNNNNNNNNNNNNNNNNNNNNNNNNNNNNNNNNNNNNNNNNNNNNNNNNNNNNNNNNNNNNNNNNNNNNNNNNNNNNNNNNNNNNNNNNNNNNNNNNACUUCACUUUGAAAUUGUUUGAACUUUUCAAAUGUUUCAGACUUGUGCUUCAUCAAGUAGACAUAACCAUAUCUACUUAAAUCGUCAGUGAAGGUGAGAAAAUAACGAUAUCCGCUGCGUGCCUCCACGCUCAUCGGACCACACACAUCGGUAUGUAUGAUUUCCAACAAGUCACUUGCACGCUCCAUUGUUCCUGAGAACGGAGUCUUAGUCAUCUUGCCCAUGAGGCAUGGUUCGCACGUGUCAAGUGAAUCAAAGUCAAGUGACUCCAAAAGUCCAUCAGCAUGGAGUUUCUUCAUGCGCUUUACACCAAUAUGACCUAAGCGGCAGUGCCACAAAAAUAUGGCGCUAUCAUUGUUAACUCUAACUCUUUUGGUCUCAAUGUUAUGUAUAUGCGUAUCGUUAUCAAGAUUCAAUAUGAACAAUCCUCUCACAUUCGGUGCAUGACCAUAAAAGAUGUUACUCAUAGAAAUAGAACAACCAUUAUUCUCUGACUUGAAAGAGUAACCGUCUCGCAAUAAACAAGAUCCAGAUAUAAUGUUCAUGCUCAACGCAGGCACUAAAUAACAAUGAUUUAAGUUCAUCACUAAUCCUGACGGUAACUGAAGUGACACUGUGCCGACGGCGAUUGCAUCAACCUUGGAACCAUUUCCUACGCGCAUUGUCACUUCAUCUUUAGCCAGCCUUCGCCUAUUCCGCAGUUCCUGUUUCGAGUUGCAAAUAUGAGCAAUAGAACCGGUAUCGAAUACCCAGGCACUACUACGAGAGCCGGUUAAGUACACAUCAAUAACAUGUAUAUCAAAUAUACAUGAUUUUUCUUUGCCCGCCUUCUUAUCUGCCAGAUAUUUGGGGCAAUUGCGCUUCCAGUGACCCAUACCCUUGCAAUAGUAACACUCCAUUUCCGGCUUAGGUCCAGCUUUGGGUUUCUUCGUCGAAUUGGCAACAGGCUUGCCGCUCUUCUUCGAAUUGCCCUUCUUGCCUUUGCCGUUUCUCUUGAAACUAGUGGUCUUAUUCACCAUCAACACUUGAUGCUCUUUACGGAGUUCAGACUCUGCGACUUUCAACAUCGCAAACAACUCGCCGGGAGACUUGUUCAUCCCUUGCAUGUUGUAAUUCAACACAAAGCCUUUAUAGCUUGGCGGCAGUGAUUGAAGGAUUCUGUCAGGGAUAGCUUCUUGCGGGAGUUCAAUCCCCAGCUCAGCUAGACGGUUUGAGUACCCAGACAUUUUGAGCACAUGUUCACUGACACACGAGUUUUCCUCCAUCUUGCAAGCAUAGAAUUUAUCGGAGGUCUCAUACCUCUCGAUCCGGGCGUUCUUCUGAAAGAUAAACUCCAACUCCUGGAACAUCUCAAAUGCUCCAUGACGCUCAAAGCGACGUUGAAGUCCCGGUUCUAAGCCAUACAAGACUGCACAUUGAACUAUUGAGUAGUCCUCCUUACGUGCUAACCAAGCGUUCUUAACAUCCUGAUCAGCCGUAGCGGGUGGUUCAUCUCCUAGCGCAGCAUUAAGGACAUAAUCCUUCUUCCCAGCUUGUAAGAUUAGCUUAAGAUUACGAGCCCAGUCUACAAAGUUGCUUCCAUCAUCUUUCAACUUAGCUUUCUCUUGGAACGUAUUAAAAUUCAGGAUGACUGUCGCGUGAGCCAUGAUCUACAACACAAAUAUAUUCAAAGUGGACUUAGACUAUGUUCAAGAUAAUUAGAGUUUAACUUAAUCAAAUUAUAUGCUAAAAUCCCACUCAAAAAGUACAUCUCUCUAGUCAUUUGAGUGGUUCAUGAUCCACUUACACUAUCCCAAGUCCGAUCAUCACGUGAGUUGAGUAUAGUUUCAGUGGUAAGCAUCCCUAUGCUAAUCAUAUCAUCUAUAUGAUUCAUGAUCGACCUUUCGGUCUCAUGUGUUCCGAGGUCAUGUCUGCACAUGCUAGGCUCGUCAAGCUUAACCCGAGUGUUCCGCGUGCGCAACUGUUUUGCACCCGUUGUAUGUGAACGUUGAGUCUAUCACACCCGAUCAUCACGUGGUGUCCCGAAACGACGAACUGUAGCAACGGUGCACAGUCGGGGAGAACACAAUUUCGUCUUGAAAUUUUAGUGAGAGAUCACCUCAUAAUGCUACCGUCGUUCUAAGCAAAAUAAGGUGCAUAAAAGGAUUAACAUCACAUGCAAUUCAUAAGUGACAUGAUAUGGCCAUCAUCACGUGCUUCUUGAUCUCCAUCACCAAAGCACCGGCACGAUCUUCUUGUCACCGGCGCCACACCAUGAUCCUCCAUCAACGUGUUGCCAUCGUGGUUGUCGUGCUAGUCAUGCCAUUACUACUAAAUCUACAUCCUACCAAAAUAGUAAACGCAUCUGCAAGCACAAACGUUAGUAUAAAGACAACCCUAUGGCUCCUGCCGGUUGCCGUACCAUCGACGUGCAAGUCGAUAUUUCUAUUACAACAUGAUCAUCUCAUACAUCCAAUAUAUCACAUCACAUCGUUGGCCAUAUCACAUCACAAUCAUACCCUGCAAAAACAAGUUAGACGUCCUCUAAUUUUGUUGUUGCAUGUUUUACGUGGUGACCAAGGGUAUCUAGUAGGAUCGCAUCUUACUUACGCAAACACCACAACGGAGAUAUAUGAGUUGCUAUUUAACCUCAUCCAAGGACCUCCUUGGUCAAAUCCGAUUCAACUAAAGUUGGAGAAACCGACAUUGCCAGUCAUCUUUGAGCAAAGGGGGUUACUCGUAACGAUGAAACCAGUCUCUCGUAAGCGUACGAGUAAUGUCGGUCCAAGCCGCUUCAAUCCAACAAUACCGCGGAAUCAAGAAAAGACUAAGGAGGGCAGCAAAACGCACAUCACCGCCCACAAAAACUUUUGUGUUCUACUCGGGAAGACAUCUGCGCAUGAACCUAGCUCAUGAUGCCACUGUUGGAGAACGUCGCACGGGAAACAAAAAUUUUCUUACGCGCACGAAGACCUAUCAUGGUGAUGUCCAUCUACGAGAGGGGAUGAAUGAUCUACGUACCCUCGUAGACCGUACAACAGAAGCGUUAGAGAACGCGGUUGAUGUAGUGGAACGUCCUCACGUCCCUCCAUCCGCCCCGCGAACAAUCCCGCGAUCAGUCCCACGAUCUAGUACCGAACGGACGGCACCUCCGCGUUCAGCACACGUACAGCUCGACGAUGAUCUCGGCCUUCUUGAUCCAGCAAGAGAGACGGAGAGGUAGAAGAGUUCUCCGGCAGCGUGACGGCGCUCCGGAGGUUGGUGAUGACCUUGUCUCAGCAGGGCUCCGCCCGAGCUCCGCAGAAACGCGAUCUAGAGGAAAAAUCGUGGAGGUAUGUGGUCGGGCUGUCGUGGAAAAGUCGUCUCAAAUCAGCCCUAAAACCUCCGUAUAUAUAGGUGGGAGGGAGGGGACCUUGCCUUGGGGCUCAAGGAGCCCCAAGGGGGUAGGCCGAGUCCAAGGGGGAGGACUCUCCCCCCCAAACCGAGUUGGACUAGGUUUGGUGGGAGGGAGUCCCCCUUCCUUCCCACCUCCUCCUUUUUUUUUCUUUCUCUCUUGAUUUUCUUCUCCUUGGCGCAUAGAGACUUUUGGGCUGUCCCACCAGCCCACUAAGGGCUGGUGUGUCGCCCUCAAGGCCUAUGGGCUUCCCCGGGGUGGGUUGACCCCCCCGGUGAACUCCCGGAACCCAUUCGUCAUUCCCGGUACAUUCCCGGUAACUCCGAAAACCUUCCGGUAAUCAAAUGAGGUCAUCCUAUAUAUCAAUCUUCGUUUCCGGACCAUUCCGGAAACCCUCGUGACGUCCGUGAUCGGGGGGGGGACUCCGAACAACAUUCGGUAACCAACCAUAUAACUCAAAUACGCAUAAAACAACGUCGAACCUUAAGUGUGCAGACCCUGCGGGUUCGAGAACUAUGUAGACAUGACCUGAGAGACUCCUCGGUCAAUAUCCAAUAGCGGGACCUGGAUGCCCAUAUUGGACCCUACAUAUUCUACGAAGAUCUUAUCGUUUGAACCUCAGUGCCAAGGAUUCAUAUAAUCCCGUAUGUCAUUCCCUUUGUCCUUCGGUAUGUUACUUGCCCGAGAUUCGAUCGUCAGUAUCCGUAUACCUAUUUCAAUCUCGUUUACCGGCAAGUCUCUUUACUCGUUCCGUAAUACAAGAUCCCGCAACUUACACUAAGUUACAUUGCUUGCAAGGCUUGUGUGUGAUGUUGUAUUACCGAGUGGGCCCCGAGAUACCUCUCCGUCACACGGAGUGACAAAUCCCAGUCUUGAUCCAUACUAACUCAACUAACACCUUCGGAGAUACCUGUAGAGCAUCUUUAUAGUCACCCAGUUACGUUGCGACGUUUGAUACACACAAAGCAUUCCUCCGGUGUCAGUGAGUCAUAUGAUCUCAUGGUCAUAGGAAUAAAUACUUGACACGCAGAAAACAGUAGCAACAAAAUGACACGAUCAACAUGCUACGUCUAUUAGUUUGGGUCUAGUCCAUCACGUGAUUCUCCUAAUGACGUGAUCCAGUUAUCAAGCAACAACACCUUGUUCAUAAUCAGAAGACACUGACUAUCUUUGAUCAACUGGCUAGCCAACUAGAGGCAUGCUAGGGACGGUGUUUUGUCUAUGUAUCCACACAUGUAAAUGAGUCUUCAUUCAAUACAAUUAUAGCAUGGAUAAUAAACGAUUAUCUUGAUACAGGAAUUAUAAUAAUGACUAUAUUUAUCAUUGCCUCUAGGGCAUAAUUCCAACAAAAAAUUUCUUAGUCCAUUAGUUACUAAGGAUAACUUUGAACUCUGUUCAGUGAUUCAAUCCUGGAUCACUCUUUGUACCUCUUAACAGACUUGUGGCAAGGCACACAUCAGGUGCGAUACACAACAUGGCAUAGUGUUGAGUCUAUGGCUAAGGCAUAGGGGACAACCUUUGUCCAUUCUCUUUCUUCUGCCGUGGUUGGGCUUUGGAGUCUUACUCAUAUUCACACCUUACAACACAGCCAAGAAUUCUUUCUUUGCUGAUCUAUUUCGAACUCCUUGAAAAACUUGUCAAGGCAUGCAUUUCAUUUGAAAGUUGUGUUUAGCAUUUUGAUCUAUCUCCAUAGAUCUUGAUGCUCAAUGUUCAAGUAGCUCUAUCCAGGUCUUCCUUUGAAAAGCUCUUUUCAAACAACCUUUUAUGCUACACAGAAAUUCUACAUUACUUCUGAUCAACAAUAUGUCAACCACAUAUACUUUAUCAGAAAUACUAUAGUGCUCCCACUCACUUCUUUGGAAAUACAAGUUUCUCAUAAACCUUGUACAAACCCAAAAGCUUUGAUCAUCUCAUCAAAGCGUAUAUUCCAACUCUGAGAUGCUUGCACCAGUCCAUAAAAGGGUCGCUGGAGCUUGCAUACUUGUUAGUAUCCUUAGGAUCGACAAAACCUUCUGAUUGUAUUACAUACAAUCUUUCCUCCAGGAAACCGUCGAGGAAACAAUGUUUUGUCUUCCUAUGUGCAAUAUUUCACAAAUAAUACAGCAACUACUAACAUAAUUCCAAUAGACUUUUAGCAUCGCUACGAGUGAGAAAGUCACAUCAUAGUCAACUCUUUGAUAUUGUCGAAAACAUCUUUGAGACAAGUCGAGCUUUUCUUAAUAGUGUCUUAUCACCAUCAUCGUCUGUCUUCCUUUUAAAGAUCCAUCUUUACUUAAUAGUCUUACUACCAUCAAUUAGUUCUUCCAAAGUCUACAAUUUGUUUUAUACAUGGAUCCUCUCUCGGAUUUCAUGGCCUCCAGCCAUUUGUCGGAAUCCGGGCCCACCAUUGCUUCUCCAUAACUCAUAGGUUCAUUGUUGCUCAACAACAUGACCUCCAAAACAGGGUUACCGUACCACUCUGUAGUAGUACGCGACCUUUGUCGACCUACGAGGUUUAUAGUAGCUUGAUCCGAAGCUCAAGUGAUCACUAUCAUCAACUUCCACUUCAAUUGGUGUGGGCGCCACAGGAACAACUUCCUGCUCCCUGCUACACACUGGUUGAAGAAAUGGUUCAAUAACCUCAUCAAGUUCCACCACUCUCCCACUCAACUCUUUUGAGAGAAACCUUUCCUUGAGAAAGGAUCCGUUUCUAGAAACAAACACGUUGCUUCCGAAUCUGAGAUAGGAGAUGUAUCCAACUGUUUUGGAUAUCCUAUGAAGAUGCAUUUAUCCGCUUUGGGUUCGAGCUUAUCAGACUGAAACCUUUUCACAUAAGCAUCGUAGCCCCAAACUUUCAAGAAGCGACAACUUAGGUUUCUCUAAACCAUAGUCUAUACUGUGUCAUCUCAACGGAAAUAUGCGGUGCCCUAUUUAAAGUGAAUGUGGUUGUCUCUAAUGCAUAACCCACAAAUGAUAGUGGUAAUUCGAUAGGAGACAUCAUAGUAUGCACCAUAUCAAAUAGGGCGUGACUAUGACGUUCAGACACAUCAUCACACUAUGGUGUUCCAGGUGGCAUGAACUGCGAAACAAUUUUCACUUUGUCUUAACUGCGUACCAAAAACUCGUAACUCAGAUAUUCAUCUCUAUGAUCAUAUCGUAGACAGUUUAUCCUCUUGUCACGACGAUCUACACUCUGAAAUUGCUUUGAACUUUUCAACAUUUCAGACUUGUGAUUCAUCAAGUAAAUACUCCUGUAUCCACUCAAAUCGUGAGUGAAGUAAGAACAUAGCGAUAUCCACUGCGUGCCUUAGGACUCAUUGGACUGCGCACAUCAAAAAUGCAUUACUCCCAACAAGUAACUCUCUUGUUUCAUGUGCCAUGUUUUGCAUCUCUCAAGUGAUUCAAAAUCAAGUGAGUCCAAACGAUCCAUCUCUAUGAAGUUUCUUCAUGCAUUUAUACCAACAGGUAUGGUUUGCAUGUCUCAAACGUUUCAAAAAUGAGUGAGUACAAAGAUCCAUCAGCAUGGAGCUUCUUCAUGCAUUUUAUACCAACAUGACUCAAGUGGGAGUGCCACAACUAAGUGGUACUAUCAUUAUUACUUUGUAUCCUUUGGUACCAAUAUUAUGAACAUGUGUAACACUACGAUCGAGAUUGAAUAAACCAUUGAGGAUAAUUAUUCAAGCAAAUAGAAUAACUAUUAUUCUCUUUAAACGAAUAAUCAUAUUGCAAUAAACACGAUCCAAUCAUGUUCAUGCUCAACGCAAACACCAAAUAACAAUUAUUUAGGUUUUACCACCAAUCCCGAUGAUAGAGGGAGCGUGCGAUGUUUGAUCACAUCAACCUUGGAAACACUUCCAAGACGUAUCGUCACCUCGCCUUGAGCUAGUCUCCGUUUAUAUCGUAGCUUUCAUUUCGAGUUACUAAUCACUUAGCAACCGAACUAGUAUCCAAUACCCUUGUGCUACUAGGAGUACUAGUAAAGUACACAUCAAUAUCAUGUAUAUCAAAUAUACUUCUGUCGACUUUGCCAGCCUUCUUAUCUACCAAGUAUCUAGGGUAGCUCCGCCUCAGUGAUCGUUCCCCUCAUAAUCGAAGCACUUAGUCUCGGGUUUGGGUUCAAUUUUGGGUUCUUCAUUAGAGCAGUAACUGGUUUGUCGUUUCAUGAAGUAUCCCUUCUAGCCCUUGCCCUUCUUGAAACUAGUGGUUUUACUAACCAUCAACAAUUGAUGCUCCUUCUUGAUUUCUACUUUCAUAGUGUCAAACAUUGCGAAUCACUUAAGGAUCAUCAUAUCUAUCCUUGAUUUGUUUAUAGUUCAUCACUAAGCUCUAGCAGCUUAGUGGCAGUGAAUUUGGAGAACCAUCACUAUCUCAUCUAGAAGAUUAACUCCCUCUAGUCAUCUUUUUGAUAAAAAAGUGUUGGGAAGUGUAAGUCGUACUAUGCAUUAACUGCCGCUUGUUUCCUCCGGUGAUUAAUUGUGGAAAUAUCCAAUGCAUGCACAGGAAACUCCUUUCACGUAUGAAUUUGAUGGUGUAACUUGCAUGUCAUAUAUUAUUUGCUCAUUUUUCCUACACCUACGUAAAAUGGUUACGCACUCUUACGUAACUUUCUCUAAUCCAAUUCUCUGUCCCCCUCCUGAUUCUCGUGGGUGGGGCCCGGCCCACUAUUUGUUCCAACCAAACCACGCCAACUCAGCCUUCACGUAGGUUUACGUAGGUCAUGUACGUAGGUUUAGCAAAGCCCUUAUUUGCUCUACUAACAUGUGGUCAAAGUUAGCCUCGAAAGUUGCUCUAUGGAUAGAGGGUGUUGGUUGUUAUGGUGUUUUCAAAGUUUGUGCUAUGGUGUUUGUGCUAUGGUGUUUUCAAAGUUUGUGCUAUGGUAUCUUGUUCCGAAUUUGUGAGCCACGUCGGAUGAUUUCGUAGUUUGUGAGCCACGUCGAACAUCGUCUCAAACACACUCCUCAAAUGCACGUUGAGCAGUUUUGUGUCAUUUCUAUAGUGCAUAAUGCAUAAAACAUAAAACAUAUAAUGCAUAAAACAUAUAGACCUUACAACAUAUAUUACGAUAGAGGGGCAUCAGGUACCCUAGUAGCAUACAACAUAUAGUGCAUAAAAGUAGAUAGAAAUACUAAAAAGACACGGACACACAUGCCCCAACUACUAGAUAAAAAGAUAAAAAGACUUCUCGGCCAGCAGACUCCUUGGCCCCUCCUUCACCGGCGCCCCUCACUCGUCGUUCUUCGGCUCCUCCGGCAUCUAAUAGGGGAGGGUGUGCAUGCCGUUGUGCUCAGGGAAGAUGUGGUGGAAGUUGGGGAAGAUGUUGUAGGUGGUGAACGCGAUGAACUCACAUCCACACCAGAACAUCUGGCCGAGGAGGUGGUAAGCGUCGUAGCGGUUGGUGAAGGUGACGUAGAGGCCAAUGACGAAGCCGUUGUGGCCGCCAUCAACCUGCUCGUGGAGGUGGAACAUGGGCGGAGUGCCCGGAGGGAGGUGGCGGUAGCCGGCUUGGAGGAAGAUGUGAGCCAAAUCUCUAGGGCCCCUCCACCUUGAGAUGGCCCACACCCUUAGUCUAUCGUCGACGUCGACUCCGGGCGGGAACUGCAUCUCCGGCACGGUGCGAGGACGACGGUAGGUAGGGCCGUUGAACUGCAUGGUGGCUCGAGUGGUGGAUUUCGCUCGGAAAGAAGAAGUGAGGAGGAUCGAGUGGUGCGAGGGCGAUGGUAGGUAGGUCCGUUGAACUGCAUGGUGCCCCCCUUUUAUAGCCACAUUGCAGCCGUAGUCAAUGUACGGGCGCCCGUCAAUGUACACGAUCGAUCGUUUUCUCUCCUCCGUGUGGUGGCAUAAUUAAUGGGCGUGCACAAAAACGGCAGAGCAUUCAAAGAGGCACGGGCGACACAAGCGAGAUGCUUCAUUUUUAAUCGGCGUGAGAAACCGUGUCAAUGAAAAAGGAGCAGCACCACCGACGCGUCCAUCCUGUGUCUAAGGUUCGUGCAUGCAAUUGUUAAAAAUAGCUUAGAUGCGACGUACGUGUACGCUGUGCCCCUGCCGCUGCUUUACUGCGUCGCUGCGUGCAUUUAAAGGGCGGCUAGGCCGUGUCGAUGCGUUCACGAGCAGAAUAGCUAGGCUGCGACGUCGUUGCAUGGCAUGCAUGUUGGCCCAUCCCUCUCGCUACGAUGUGGCUGUGCGCAUGCACGCCAGGCUCUGCUGGGCCCGAUCUGCUCGGCUCAACGGUCACUGAGAUGCUCCCCGCUCAACGUUAUCCGCUCGGCCCCCCGGUCACUAAGAUGCUGCCCCACACCCGCGGAAUUCUUCUAGAAGGCCUAUCCGACGGUCGCAGUUUGGCGUUAGGGUUAGAUCGACGGUGGAUGAUGACCCACAAGUUUAGGGGAUCUAUCGUAGUCCUUUCGAUAAGUAAGAGUGUCGAACCCAACAAGGAGCAGAAGGAACUGACAAGUGGUUUUCAGCAAGGUAUUCUCUGCAAGCACUGAAAUUAUCGGUAACAGAUAGUAGAGUGAUAAGAUGAUUCGUAGCAAGUAGCGAGUAACAAUAGUAACAAACGUGCAGCAAGAUGGCCCAAUCCCUUUUGUAGCAAGGGACAAGCCUGAACAAACUCUUAUAUGAGGUAAAACGCUCUCGAGGACACAUGGAAAUUUCUGUCAAGCUAGUUUUCAUCAUGCUCAUAUGAUUCACGUUCGCUACUUUGAUAGUUUGAUAUGUGGGUGGACCGGUGCUUGGGUGCUGCCCUUCCUUGGACAAACAUACCACUUAUGGUUAACACCUCUCGCAAGCAUCGGCAACUACAAAAUAAGAAUUAAGACAAAGUCUAACCAUAGCAUUAAACUAGUGGAUCCAAAUCAGCCCCUUACGAAGCAACACAUAAACUAGGGUUUAAGCUUCUGUCACUCUAGCAACCCAUCAUCUACUUAUUACUUCCCAAUGCCUUCCUCUAGGCCCAAAUAGUGGUGAAGUAUUAUGUAGUCGAUGUUCACAUAACACCACUAGAGGAAAAACAACAUACAACACAUCAAAAUAUCGAACGAAUACCAAAUUCACAUGACUACUUAUAGCAAGACUUAUUCCAUGUCCUCAGGAACAAAAGUGACUACUCACAAAGCAUAAUUAUGUUCAUGACUAGAGAGGUAUUGAAUAGCAUCAAAGAUCUGAACAUAUAAUCUUCCACCAAGUAAUCCAACUAGCAUCAAGUACAAAGAGUAAUUAACACUACUAGCAACCUUACACGUACCAAUCGGAGUUGCGAGAUGGAGAUUGGUUACAAGAGAUGAACUAGGGUUUGGAGAUAAGAUGGUGCUGAUGAAGAUGUUGAUGGAGAUGAGUUCCCUCCGACGAGAGGAGUGUUGGUGAUGACGAUGGCGAUGAUUUCCCCCUUCGGGAGGGAAAUUUCCCCGGCAGGACGGCCCUGCCGGAGCUCUAGAUUGGUUCUGCUCAAGUUCCGCCUCGUGGCGGUGGCGGCUCCUCCCAAAAGGCUCCUUCUGAUUUUUUCUGGAACGAAACCCUCCAUAUAGCAAAAGAUGAGUGCUGGAGGGGCAACGGGGAGCCCACAAGCCACCCAGGCCUGGCCAGGGGGGGUAUGCCGGGCCUGACAGGCUUGUGGCCUCCUGGUGGCUGCCCUCCGGUACUUCUUCCGCCCAAUAUUUUUCAUAAAAUCCAAAAUAAUUCCUCGUUGAUUUUCACGACUUUUGGAGUUGCGCAGAAUAGGUAUCUCAAACUUGCUCCCCUUUCAGACCAGAAUUCCAGUUGCCGGCAUUCUCCCUCUUCUUGUAAACCUUAUAAAAUAAGAGAGAAAAGGCAUAAGUAUUGUACCGUGAAGUGUAAUAACAGCUCAUAAAGCAAUAAAUAUCAACAUAAAAGCAUGAUGCAAAAUGGACGUAUCAACUCCCCCAAGCUUAGACCUCGUUUGUCCUCAAGCGGAAGCCAAGAUCAACAAAUAUGCCCACAUGUUUAGAGAUAGAGGUGUCGAUAAAACAAAGUACGGACAUGCAGGCAUCAUGAUCAUAAUUAGAACAUCAAUAUCGUCAUAUAAACUCUUAUGGUAAAGUGACACUUCCUUCACAAUGUAAAGCAUGGAUCAAGAACUUAAUGAGAAUUAACAACCAAAAGCCCUUAAUCAUUGAAGCAAUUGCAAUUUAUCAUAACAUCGGAAGGAGUCAAAUAAGAGCUUGUAAAGCAAAUCCACAUACUCAAUCAUCCUUUCAUCUUCUACAAUUGCUAAAACUCACGUGGUACUCAUGAGAUCAAAGUUUCAGUUGGACACAGAGGAAGAUAGGGGCUUAUAGUUUCGCCUCCCAUUGACUUACCUCAAGGGUAAUGUCAACAAUAAUAAUUCAUGAGUACUUACUUCCAAGUUGACAUAUGAAUAUAUAUAUUUCCCUAGCACAUGACGUUAGCCAAGAUAAAGGCGAAAUAAGGAAUUGGUGUCGAUCACCAUGACUCAUUUAAGGACAAAAAGUAAAGAUACAAGAUAGGCCCUUCGCAGGGGGGAGCAGAGGUUGUCAUGCGCUUUUGAGGUUUGGAUGUGUGACCUCUUAGUGUGAAGGAACGUCACUUUAGAUUGCCUCCUGUGAUAAAGAACUUUAUUAUGCAGUCUAUCGCUUUUAUGUCUUCCUCAUCAGAGGUUCGUACAAAGCUUAUUUUCCACACACUAAUAGAUCAUACAUAUUUAGGGAGCAAUUUUUAUUGCUUGCACCGAUGACAACUUAGUUGACGGAUCUUCUUCAAUCCAUAUGUAGGUAUGAUGGACUCUCAUGGCAAAACUGGUUUGAAGGUUUAUGGAUGCACAAGUAGUAUCUUGAUACGUCUCCAACGUAUCUAUAAUUUUUGAUGGUUUCAUGCUAUCAGCUUGUCAAACUUUGGAUGUUUUGCAUGCCUUUUAUUUAUUUUUUGGGACUAACUUAUUAACUCAGUGCCAAGUGCCAGUUCCUGUUUUUUCCAUGUUUUUGACCCCUUUCAAAGGAGAUUUUGAAACGGAGUCCAAACGGAAGAAAAUCCCCGAAAAGAUUUUUUUAGAACGGAAGAAGAUCGGAGAACUUGGGAGCCAAGCCAAAGGAGCUCCAGGGGCCCCACAAGCCCCCACCUCGCGGCCGGGGGGGCGCCGUCCAGGCUUGUGGGCCCCCUGGAGGUCCCCUGACCUAGAUCUUUUGCCAAUAUAAUUCCAUAAAUUCCAGAAAAAAUCAGGAGAUCAUCGCAAUCACUUUUCUGCCGCCGCAAGCUUCUGCCUCCGCAAGAUCCAAUCUGGGGCACGUCCUGGUGCCCUGCCGGAGGGGGGAUUCGGACAAGGAGGGCUUUUCCAUCAACACCAUGACCUCUCCGAUGAUGCGUGAGUAGUUCACCAUAGACCUACGGGUCCAUAGCUAGUAACUAGAUGGCUUCUUCUCUCUCUUGGAUCUUCAAUACACAGUUCUCCAUGAUCUUCAUGGAGAUCUAUCCGAUGUAAUCUUCUUUUGCGGUGUGUUUGUCGAGAUCCGAUGAAUUGUGGAUUUGUGACCAGACUAUCUAUGGAUCUUAUUUGAGUUUCUUCUGAUCUCUCUUAUGCAUGAUUUCAUAUCCUUGUAAUUCUCUUCGAGUUGUGGGUUUUGUCUGGCCAACUAGAUCUAUGAUUCUUGCAACGGGAGAAGUGCUUGGUUUUGGGUCCAUACCGUGCGGUGACCUCACCUAGUGACAGAAGGGGUAGCGAGGCACGCAUCGUGUUGUUGCCAUCAAGGGUAAAAAGAUGGGGUUUUCAUCAUUGGUUUGAGAUUAUCCCUCUACAUCAUGUCAUCUUGCUUAAAGCGUUACUCUGUUCGUAAUGAACUCAAUACACUAGAUGCAUGCUAGAUAGCGGUCGAUGUGUGGAGUAAUAGUAGUAGAUGCAGAAAGUAUCGGUCUACCUGUCUCGGACGUGAUGCCUAUAUGCAUGAUCAUUGCCUUAGAUAUCGUCAUGACUUUGCGCGGUUCUAUCAAUUGCUCGACAGUAAUUUGUUCACCCACCCUAAUACUUGCUAUUUUGAGAGAAGCCUCUAGUGAACACUAUGGCCCCCAGGGUCUACUCCACACCAUAUUUUCAGCCUUACACUUUUUACUUCGUUGCACUUUCCGCCUUCAGAUCUCACUUUGCAAACAAUCUUGAAGGGAUUGACAACCCCUUUGAAGCGUUGGGUGCAAGCUUGUUUGUGUUUGCGCAGGUACUCUGGACUUGACGAGACCCUCCUUCUGGAUCGAUACCUUGGUUCUCAAGCUGAGGGAAAUACUUACUGCUCCUGUGCUGCAUCACCCUUUCCUCUUCAAGGAAAGAACCAACGCAAGCCCAGCCUCUGUCAACGUGUCAACUUCUGGCGCUGUUGUUUGUGGGAUAGCAGAAGAAUUUCUGGCGCCGUUGCCGGGGAGGAAGAUCAAGUCAAGAACUCAUCCAAGUAGGUGUCGCAAACUCAUCUCUUGCAUUUACUUUGUUUGCCAGUUGCCUCUCGUUUUCCUCUCCCCCACUUCACCAAUUUGCCUUUCUCGUUCGCCUUUUCGUUCGCCCUUUUCGUCCGCCCUUUUUCUCGCCUGCUUUUUGUUUGCUUGUGUGCUUGCUUGCUUGUUGAAGUCACCAUGAACGAAAACACCAAACUUUGUGACUUCUCGAAUACUAAUUAUAAUGAUUUUAUUAGUACUCCGAUUGCUCCCGCCACUAGUGCGGAGUCAUACGAAAUCAAUGCCGCUUUGCUGAAUCUUGUUAUGAAAAAGCAAUUCUCUGGCCUUCCUAGUGAAGAUGCCGCAUCCCAUCUCAAUACCUUCAUUGAGCUUUGUGAUAUGCAAAAGAAAAAUAUGUGGAUAAUGACGUGAUUAAAUUGAAGCUUUUUUCCUUUCUCGUUGCGAGAUCGCGCAAAAACUUGGUUUUCUUCUUUGCCCAAAAAUAGUAUCGAUUCUUGGGAGAAGUGCAAAGAUGCUUAUAUAUCCAAGUAUUUUCCACCGGCUAAGAUCAUCUCUCUCCGUAAUGAUAUCAUGAAUUUCAAGCAACUUGAUCAUGAUCAUGUUGCACAAGCUUGGGAGAGAAUGAAAUUAAUGAUUAAAAAUUGUCCUGCUCAUGGAUUGAGCCUUUGGAUGAUUAUUCAAAUCUUUUACGCUGGCUUGAAUUUCGCUUCUAGAAAUAUCUUGGACUCCGCCUCAGGUGGAACGUUCAUGGAAAUCACGUUAGGAGAAGCCACAAAGCUUUUAGACAACAUCAUGACAAACUACUCUCAAUGGCACAGUGAAAGGUCACCUACUAGUAAGAAGGUACACACUAUAGAAGAAAUUAACUCGUUGAGUGCUAAGAUGGAUGAGUUAAUGAAUUUGGUUGCUAGUAGAAGUGCUCCUUUGGAUCCUAAUGAUAUGCCUUUGUCUUCUUUGAUUGAGAUUAGAAACGCUAGCUUGGACGUUAAUUUUGUUGGUAGGAAUAACUUUGGCAACAACAAUGCCUUUAGAGGAAACUAUGUUCCUAGGCCUUUUCCUAGUAACUCCUCUAAUAACUUUGGCAACUCCUACAACAAUACUCAUGGAAAUUACAAUAGAUUACCCUAUGAUCUAGAGAGUAAUAUCAAAGAGUUCAUCAACUCUCAAAAGAUUUUCAAUGCGUCCAUAGAGGAGAAACUACUCAAAAUUGACGAUUUGGCUAAGAGCGUGGAUAGGAUUUCUUUUGAUGUUGAUGCUUUGAAAGUUAGAUGUGCUCCUCCGAAAGUCAACAUGGAUGAAACUUUGAAAGCUAUGCGUGUUUCCAUGAUUGAGAGCCAAGAAAGAACCGCUCAAAUUCGUGCUAGACAUGAAUGGCUUAAAAGGGUGUGUUCUCGUGAUGAGAAUCACAAAGAUCUUAAAGUGCUUGGUGUGACUCCCAUUGAAUCUUAGUUUUCUUGUGUCAAACCUAAUGAUUAUGGGGCUGGAUAUGAAUCCACUUUGGUUGAAAAGUGCCCCAAUGAUUUGGAGUCCAUCUACCUUGAUGCUAAAAGCAUUAAAAGUGGAGUAGAAGACGUUAAAACUUUGAGUAGUAAUGAAAUUACUACCAUGGAUUUCAAGGAAUUCAAUUAUGAUAGUUGCUCCUUGAUUGAAUGCAUUUCUUUGAUGCAAUCCAUGUUAAACUCUCCACACGCUUAUAGCCAAAACAAAGCCUUUACCGAUCAUAUCGUCGAAGAUAUGAUAAAAGCUCUUGAAGAGAAACUUGAAUUGGAAGUCUCUAUCCCUAGAAAGCUUCAUGAUGAGUGGGAACAUACCAUCAAAAUCAAAAUAAAAAACUAUGAGUGCAAUGCUUUGUGUGAUUUGGGUGCUAGUGUUUCUGCGAUUCCAAAGUCUUUAUGUGAUGUUCUGGGUUUUGAUGAGAUUGAAGAGUGUUCUCUUAACUUGCAUCUUGCUGAUUCUACUGUCAAGAAACCCAUGGGAAGGACCAAUAAUGUUCUUACUAUUGCAAAUAGGAACUAUGUACCCGUGGAUUUCAUUGUGCUUGACAUUGAUUGCAAUCCUACAUGCCCUAUUAUUCUUGGUAGACCUUUCCUAAGGACUAUUGGUGCUAUCAUCGACAUGAAGGAAGGGAAUAUUAGAUUUCAAUUUCCUUUAAGGAAGGGCAUAUAACACUUCCUAUAAAUAAAAUAAGAUUGCCUUAUGAAUCCAUGAUGAGGGCCACUUAUGGUUUGAGCACCAAAGACGACGAUACAUGAUUCUACCGCUUCUAUGCCUAGCUAAGGGCAUUAAACAAUAGCGCUUGUUGGGAGGCAACCCAAUGAAUUUAUAUUUUUAUUUAUGUUUUCUUGCGUCCACACUUUUAUAAUUCUGUUGUGAUUGUGUUUUUUGUGUUUCUUUUUGUGUUUGAGCCAAGCAAAGCCUUUAUGACUAGUCUUGGUAAUGGUUGUUUGAUCCUGCUGGAAAAAGACAAAAACUUUUCACUCACGAGAUGAUUUUUCAUUUUUAUUCAGAAAGAGAUUUUGAGUUGAUUCUUUUUUAUGCUGAUUUAUAUGCCUUUUCCCUAGGCCUUCGUAAUUUUUCAGAUGUUUUGAGGUACGAGAAGUAUACAAAGUAUACAGAUUGCUACAGACUGGUGUUUUUUUGACAGAUUCUGUUUUUGUUGAGUUGGUUGCUUGUUUUGAUGAAACUAUGGUUAGUAUCGGGGGGCACUAGCCAUGGGAAAGUGAGGAUACAGUAGCCCAUCAUCAAUAUAGAUAGAAUUCAAGUUUGCUACAGUACCAAAAGAAGUGGUAGUUUGUUUUCUUGUACUAAUGUCAUCACAAGUUUCUGUUUAAGUUUUGUGUUGUGAAGUUUCCAAGUUUUGGGUGAUGUUCUCAUGGACAAAGAGAUAAGGAGUGGAAAGAGCUCAAGCUUGGGGAUGACCAAGGCACCACAAGCCAAAUUCAAGGACACCAAAAAGCCUAAGCUUGGGGAUGCCCCGGGAAGGCAUCCGCUCUUUCGUCUUCAAUCCAUCGGUAAAAUUACUUGGAGCUAUAUUUUUAUUCACCACAUGAUAUGUGUUUUGCUUGGAGCGUCUUGUAUCAUAGGAGUAUUUUCUUUUUGUUGUGUCACAAUCAUCCUUUCUGCACACCUUUUUGAGAGAGAGAGACAUGCACUCAUCGUGAUUUUGCUAGAAUGCUCAUAGUGCUUCACUUAUAUCUUUUGAGCUAGAUACUUUUGCUCUAGUGCUUCACUUAUAUCUUUUGAGCUAGACACUUUUGCUCUUGUGCUUCACUUAUAUCUUUAGAGCACGGCGGUGCGUGAUUUGGUAGUUGGCUUAUGCUAUGGAAGUAGUCCCAUGUGCUAGGUACCUGAUACGUCUCCAACGUAUCUGUCUUGUCAACCUUUGGAUGUUUUGCAUGCCUUUUAUUUAAUUUUUGGGACUAACUUAUUAAUCCAGUGCUAAGUGCCAGUUCCUGUUUUUUCCAUGUUUUUGACCCCUUUCAGAGGAGAAUUUUGAACGGAGUCCAAACGGAAUAAAACUUCCGAAAAGAUGUUUUCCGGAACGGAAAAAGAUCGGGAGACUUGAGAACCAAGGCAGGGGGUCCUCAGGGACCCCACAAGCCCUCAUGGCGCGGCCAGGGGGGCCCGCGUCGUUCAGGCUUGUGGGCUCCCUGGGCCACGUCUGCCCUAGGGUUUGCGCCUAUAUAUCCCCAAAAAUUCCACAAAAAAUCAGGGGAACAUCGUAAUCACUUUUCCGCCGCCGCAAGCUUUUGUCUCCGCAAGAUCCCAUCUAGGGCGCUUUCUGGUGCCCUGUCGGAGGGGGGAUUCGGACACGAAAGGCUUCUCCAUCAACACCAUGACCUCUCCGAUGAUGCGUGAGUAGUUCACCAUAGACCUACGGGUCCAUAGCUAGUAACUAGAUGGCUUCUUAUCUCUCUUGGAUCUUCAAUACAAAGUUAUCCAUGAUCUUCAUGGAGAUCUAUCCGGUGUAAUCGGUGUGUUUGUCGAGAUCCGAUGAAUUGUGGAUUUAUGAUCAGAUUAUCUAUGAACCUUAUUUGAGUUUCUUAUGAUCUCUCUUAUGCAUGAUUUCAUAUCCUUGUAAUUCUCUUCGAGUUGUGGGUUUUGUUUGGCUAACUAGAUCUAUGAUUCUUGCAAUGGGAGAAGUGCUUGGUUUUGGGUUCAUACCAUGUGGUGACCUCAUCCAGUGACAGAAGGGGUAGCGAGGCACGUAUCGUGUUGUUGCCAUCAAGGGUAAAAAGAUGGGGUUUUCAUCAUUGGUUUGAGAUUAUCCCUCUACAUCAUGUCAUCUUGCUUAAAGCGUUACUCUGUUUGUCAUGAACUCAAUACACUAGAUGCAUGCUGGAUAGCGGUUGAUGUGUGGAGUAAUAGUAGUAGAUGCAGAAAGUAUUGGUCUACUUGUCCCGGGCGUGAUGCAUAUAUGCUAGAUCAUUCCCUUAGAUAUCGUCAUGACUUUGCGCGGUUCUCUCAAUUGAUCGACAGUUAUUUGUUCACCCACCGUGAUAUUUGCUAUUAUGAGAGAAGCCUCUAGUGAACACUAUGGCCCCGAGGGUCUACUCCACACCAUAUUUUCAGCCUUACACUUUUUACUUCGUUGCACUUUCCGCCUUCAGAUCUCACUUUUGCAAACAAUCUUGAAGGGAUUGACAACCCCUUUGAAGCGUUGGGUGCAAGCUUGUUUGUUUUUGCGCAGGUACUUUGGACUUGACGAGGCUCUCCUUCUGGAUUGUUACCUUGGUUCUCAAACUGAGGGAAAUACUUACUGCUCCUGUGCCGCAUCACCCUUUCCUCUUCAAGGGAAAAACCAACGCAAAUCAGAGAAGUAACAAGAAGAAUUCCUACGCGCCAGGGAAGGACUUUUGUUGCCGCAGCAGUACCCAAAGAGGAUGCAAAAACCUCCAUCUUCAUGUGCAUUGAGUAGAAAGAGAAGUUUCGAUUCCUCUCAAUUAGUUUUGAGAUAUGGAUUCGUUAAUAUUGAGAGUUAUGUUAGUAGGGUGUUGUGAAUCUAGAGAUACUUGUGUUGGAGUUAUUGGUUUCCGUAGCAUGCACGUAUGGUGAACCGCUAUUUAGGAAGUCGGAGCAUAAUUGAUCUAUUGAUUGUCAUCCUUUGUGUUGAGGUCGGGAUCGCGCGAUGGUUCACACCUACCAACCCUUCCCCUCGGAGUAUGCGUUUAGCACUUUGUUUUGAUUACUAAUAAAAACUUUUGCAACAAGUAUGUGAGUUCUUCAUGACUAAUGUGAGUCCAUGGUAUAGAUGCACUUCCACCUUCCACCAUUGCUAGCCUCUCUAGUGCCGCGCAAUUCUCGCCGGUGCACAAACCCACCAAAUUCCUUCCUCAAAACAGCCACCAUACCUACCUACUAUGGCAUUUUCAUAGCCAUUCCGAGAUAUAUUGCCAUGCAACUCCCACCGUUCCGUCUCAUGACUUGCGCCGUCACUCUCGUAUUGCCAUUGCAUGAUCAUAAGAUAGCUAGCGAGAUGUUUUCAACGUCAUACACUAUGCUAGAUCGUUGCACAUCCCGGUACACUACCGGAGGCAUUUCCUAUGGAGUCAUCAUCAUUGCGAUCUUCGAGCUGUGAGUAAAUAAAAGUGUGAUGAUCAUCAUUAUUAGAGCAUUGUCCCAUGUGAGGAAAAAAAGAGAGACCAAAGAGCCCAAAAACAAAAAAAAGAAAAGAGAGANAAAAAAAGAGGCCUAAAAGCCCAAAUAAAAAAAAAGAAAAGAGAGAAAAAGAGAGAAGGGACAAUGCUACUAUCUUUUUCCACACUUGUGCUUCUUGAUAGCACCAUGUUCUUCAUGAUUGAGAGCUUCUUGCCUUGUCACUACCAUAUGCUAGUGGGAAUCUUCAUUAUAUAACUUGGCUUGUAUAUUCCAGUGAUGGGCUUCCUCAAAAUUGCCCUAGGUCUUCGUGAGCAAGCAAGUUGGAUGCACACCCACUAGUUUUCCUUUUGAGCUUUCAUAUACUUAUAGCUCUAGUGCAUCUCUUGUAUGGCAAUCCCUACUCAUUCACAUUGAUAUCUAUUAAUGGGCAUCUCCAUAGCCUAUUGAUACGCCGAGUCAAUGUGACCAUCUCCUCCUUUUUUGUCUCAAAACCACCACCACACUCUAUUCCACCUAUAGUGCUAUAUCCAUGGCUCGCUCUCAUGUAUUGCGUGAUAGUUAUAAAAAGUUUGAGAAAGUAAGAGUGCGAAAAUAAUUACUUGGACAAUUCCGGGGUUGUGCAUGAUUUACAUUAGUUGUGUGAGGAUGAUGGAGCAUAGCCACACUAUAUGAUUUUGUAGGGAUAACUUCCUUUGGCCUUGUUGUUUUGAAAGUUCAUGAUUACUUUGCUAGUUUUCUUGAAGUAUUACCAUUUUCAUGUCAAUAGCAAACUAUUGUUUUGAAUCUUACGGAUCUGAACAUUCAUGUCACGUGAAAGAAGUUACAAAGGACAACUAUGCUAGGUAGCAUUCCACAUCAAAAAUUCAUUCUUUAUCACUUCCCUACUCGAGGACGAGCAGGAGUUAAGCUUGGGGAUGCUUGAUUCGUCUCCAACGUAUCUAUAAUUUUUGAUGCUUUCAUGCUAUUAUCUUAUCAAACUUUGGAUGUUUUGCAUUCCUUUUAUUUAUUUUUUGGGACUAACGUAUUAAUUAACUCAGUGCCAAGUGCCAGUUCCUGUUUUCCAUGUUUUUGACCCCUUUCAUUGGAGAUUUUGAAACGGAGUCCAAACGGAAGAAAAUCCCCGAAAAGAUUUUUUUUGGAACGGAAGAAGAUCGGACAACUCGGGAGCCAAGCCAAAGGAGCUCCAGGGGCCCUACAAGCCCCCACCCCGCGGCCAGGGGGGCCGCGCCAUCCAGGCUUGUGGGCCUGAUGACCCACAAGUAUAGGGGAUCAAUCGUAGUCCUUUCGAUAAGUAAGAGUGCCGCACCCAACGAGGAGCAGAAGGCUGUGAUAAACGGAUUUCAACAAGGUAAUAACUGCAAGCACUGAAAGUUGCGGUUUGUAGCAGGGCGGAAAGUACAACGGUGCAGCAAGUGGCCCAAUCCCGUUUGUAGCAAGGGACAAGCCUGAACAAAGUCUUAUAGGAGGAAAAACGUUCCCGAGGACACACGGGAAUUUCUGUCAUGCUAGUUUCAUCAUGUUCAUAUGAUUCGCGUUCGUUACUUUGGUAGUUUGAUAUGUGGGUGGACCGGCGCUUGGUUACUUCCCUUACUUGGACAAGCAUCCCACUUAUUAUUAACAUCUCUCGCAAGCAUCUGCAACUACAAAAGAAGAAUUAAGACAAAGUCUAACCAUAGCAUUAAACUAGUGGAUCCAAAUCAGCCCCUCACGAAGCAACGCAUAGACUGGGGUUUAAGCUUCUGUCAUUCCAGCAACCCAUCAUCUACUUACUACUUCCCAAUGCCUUCCUCUAGGCCCAAAUAUGGUGAAGUGUUAUGUAGUCGACGUUCACAUAACACCACUAGAGGAGAAACAACAUACAACAUAUCAAAAUACCGAACGAAUAUCAAAUUCAUAUGACUAUUAUUAACAUGACUUAUCCCAUGUCCUCAGGAACAAAAGUAACUACUCAAAAAGCAUAAUCAUAAUCACGAUCAGAGGUGUAAUGAAUAGAAUCAUGGAUCUGAACAUAAACUCUUCCACCAAGUAAUCCAACUAGCAUCAACUACAAAGAUUAAUCAACACUACUAGCAACCUUACCAGUACCAACCGGAGUUGCGAGACGAAGAUUGGUUACAAGAGAUGAACUAGGGAUUGGAGAGGAGAUGGUGCUGAUGAAUAUGUUGAUGAAGAUGCCUCCCCUCCGACGAGAGGAGUGUUGGUGACGACGAUGGCGACGAUUUCUCCCUCCGGGAGGGAAGUUUCCCCGGCAGGAUCGUCCUGCCGGAGCUCUAGAUUGGAUCUGCUCAAGUUCCGCCUCGUGGCGGUGGCGAAACCAGGAAAAAGCUCCCGAUUGAUAUUUUCCAGACCAAAACCCUUCAUAUAGAAAAAGAGGGGGGCUAGUGGGCCGUCAGGCAGCCCACAAGCUUGCCCUGCGCCACCAGCGGGGUGGUGGCGGAGUGGGGGCUUGUGGAGCCCUGGUGGCCCCCUCCGGUAGUUCUUUCACCCAGUAUUUUUUAUAUAAUCCAGAAAAAAUCCACGUAACUUUUCAGGGAUUUGGAGAUGUGCAGAAUAGUGGACUAGGAUUUGCUCCUUUUCCAGUCCAGAAUUCCAGCUGCCUGAAUUCUCCCUGUUCAAAUAAACCUUGCAAAAUAAGAGAGAAAAGGCAUAAAUAUGGUACCACAAGUAAUAUAACAGCCCAAAAAGCAAUAAAUAUCAACAUGAAAGCAUGAUGCAAAAUGGACGUAUCAACUCCCCCAAGCUUAGACCUCGCUUGUCCUCAAGCGAAAACCAAGUUCCAUAAACAUGUCCACAUGUUUGGGGACGAAGGUGUCGAUAAAACAUAAUACGGACAUGAGGGCAUCAUGAUCACACAUAGAACAACAAUACAUCAUAAAGAUUCUUAUGGGAAAGUAACAAUUCCUUCACAAAGCAAAGCAUGAAGCAAAAACCUUACCGAGAAGUAACCAACAAUAGUCCAUAGUCAUUGAAGCAAUUGCAAUUUAUCACAAGAUCAGAAAGAGUCAAAUAAUAGCUUGUAAGGCAAACCCAUAUACUCAAUCAUCUCUUUUGUUUUCCACGAUUGUUACAACUCACGUGGUACUCAUGGUGUCAAAGUUUCAGCUGGACACAGAGGAAGAUAGGGGCUUAUGGUUUUGCCUCCCAACCAUUUACCUCAAGGGUAAAGUCAACAACAAUAAAGCAUAAGUACUCAACUCCAAGUUGAUAUAUGAAUAUAGAUCGUUCCCAAGCAUGUGACGGUAGCCAAGACAAAGGAAAAAAGGGAAUUGGUGAAGAUCACCAUGACUCUUACAAGGGUAAAAAGUAAAGGUACAAGAUAGGCCCUUCGUAGAGGGAAGCAGAGGUUGUCAUGCGCUUUUGAGGUUUGAAUGCGUGUCCUCUUAGUGCGGAGGAACGUCACUUUAUAUUGCCUCCUGUGAUAAAGAACUUUAUUAUGCAGUCUGUCGCUUUUAUGUCUUCCUCAUCACAGGUUCGUACAAAUUUUAUUUUCCACACACUAAUAGAUCAUACAUAUUAGAGAGCAAUUUUUAUUGCUUGCACUGAUGACAACUUACUUGAAGGAUCUUAUUCAAUCCAUAGGUAGGUAUGGUCGACUCUCAUGGCAAAACUGGGUUGGAGGUUCAUGGAUGCACAAGUAGUAUCUCUACUUUGUGCGGGAGUUUUGGCUAAUAUGAGGUGGAAGCAAUCGUCACAUGCUAAGGGAUCUCUAAUCAUAUAACAUUGUUUGGAACGAAGCAAACACAAUUCAUUAUGUGGUCUUCCUUGUCCAACAUCUACUCCUAGGCAUGUAAUAGUUUGGUGAGUGCUCACAAUUGUAAAAAGUAUCUAAGAUGAUGUAUUUAUAUGUGAACCUCUCUUUCCUUAUUACUUCUUAUUAAUUGCAACAAUGACUGAGGUCUAUGUUGAUUUAUUCUCAACAAGUUUCAAUCAUCAUACGUGUCAUAUGUGAAGUUAUCACUUUCCAUAAGAUCGUCUCAUGAUCUUUCAUGCUAUCGUUCUUUUCAUACUUUUGAUCAUGGCACAAAGCAAAGCCCUUGACUAAGACACUCUUUAUUAUAUAGCUCGUAAGCUCGAAUACAUCGGGGGAUAGACAAAAGCAAAAGACUUAAACUAAAAACUAAAGACUUAUUCCUCUAAAAGAAGAAAUAAAAACUGAAAAGGAAAGAACUAAAACAAAGGUAAAAGCAAAAGAUAUAAAGGUGAUACGAUACCAGGGCAGCUCCCCCAAGCUUGGCAGAAGCCAAGGGGAUUGCCCAUACCAAUGCUUAGUUGUCUUCCUUUGGUGGUGGUGGUGUUGUUGUCGCCUUUGAUUCCAAGAGAGCUAUCAAUCUUUGAUUUAUACCUUUGAGAUCUGUGACAUGGUUUUCCAGCAAAACAACUUCACGAGAAAGAGAAAUAUUGCGAGCACGAGUUGUUUCGCAAAACCUCAAGAGUUCAAUCAAGGAUGGAGACAACACGUGGAGGAAGGGUUGGAGAAAAUCUACUCCUUCAAUGUCUUCAAUGUUGAACAUAGGUUGAACUUCCUCCCUAGCUUGUGUUUUCUCCUUAGCUUGGUCCCUGGCUUCCGUGACUUCUACUCUUUUCAGAUCAGCAUCUACUUCCUCAUGAACUUGAUGAAGAUCAUUCUCCCCAACAGAUUCCUGAGACAUCUUUGCUCUAAAUCUGCGGCAGACAACAAGCUCAAAACGAAAACAGAGGAAAACUACGCGAUACGGAGAUCAAAACCUUCGGGCGACUAUAUAUUGAUUUUUUUUCUGGGCCAGAAGGAGUCCUCCGCAAGAAAACGGAGUCCGGGAGGCACACGAGGUGCCCGCAAGCUUGCCCUCCGCCACCAGGGGGUAGGGGGCGGUGGUAGGGCUUGUGGCCGCCUCGUUUGCUCUCCGGACUGCUUUUUAUUUUUCUAAUUUUCCAAAAAUUCCAAAACGGAAGAAAUUUCCUAUUGGAAAAGUAUCGGAGUCCAGUUUCUUGCCGAAACAGAUACAUCUUCGUUUUCAAGGUCUGAAACAGGCUGAUAAACAUCCCUUAUGUACUCCUCUGGAGUUAUGACAUUGAUGAUAUUGGUCUCAACAUUUAUGGGAGUACCAGGGAUGUAAUGCUUGAUUCUUUGCCCAUUUACCACUCUAGGCCGUUUAUUGAUUUUGAUGGCACCGGAACGAUAUACUUCCUCGAUAACAUAGGGACCUUCCCAUUUAGAGAAAACCUUGCCUGCAAAGAAUCUCAAACGAGAAUUGUAUAGCAAGACAUAAUCACCUACAUUGAACUCUCAUUUCUGUAUUCAUUUGUCGUGCCAUCUCUUAACCUUUUCCUUGAACAACCUGGCAUUCUCGUAUGCCUGGGCUCUCCAUUCAUCUAACGAGCUGAUAUCAAACGACCGCUUCUCACCAGCAAGUUUGAAAUCAAAGUUGAGCUCUUUGAUUGCCCAAUAAGCUUUGUGUUCCAGCUCAAGAGGUAAAUGACAGGCCUUACCGUAAACCAUUUUAUACGGUGACAUGCCCAUGGGAUUCUUAUAAGCAGUCCUAUAAGCCCAUAGUGCAUCGUCAAGUUUGCUAGACCAGUUCUUUCGAGAUCUAUUGACGGUCUUUUGUAGGAUCAACUUGAUCUCCCUAUUACUCAACUCCACUUGACCACUAGACUGAGGAUGAUAAGGAGAUGCAACUCUAUGGUUGACAUCAUACUUAGCUAGCAUCUUGCGGAAAACACCAUGAAUGAAGUGUGAACCACCAUCAGUCAUCAAGUAUCUAGGGACUCCAAAUCUUGGGAAUAUGACUUCUUUAAGCAUCUUAAUAGAGGUGUGGUGAUCAGCAUUUUUAGUGGGGAUAGCUUCUACCCACUUAGUAACGUAAUCCACAGCAAUUAAGAUGUGAGUGUACCCAUUGGAACUCGGGAAGGGUCCCAUAUAAUUAAAGCCCCAGACAUCAGAUGGUUCAAUGACAAGUGAAUAGUUCAUAGGCAUCUAUUGACGCUUACUGAUGUUCCCUACCCUUUGGCAUUUGUCACAAGACAAGACAAACUUACGAGCAUCCUUGAAGAGAGUGGGCCAAUAGAAACCUGAUUGCAAUACCUUCUGGGCAGUUCUAUCUCCAACAUGGUGUCCUCCAUAGGCUUCGGAAUGACACUUCUGCAGGAUCUAUCCCUGUUCAUGUUCAGGCACACAACGUCUAAUAACACCAUCUACUCCUUCCUUAUAAAGGUGAGGAUCAUCCCAAAAGCAGUGUCUCAAAUCAAAGAAGAAUUUCUUGUUUUGUUGAUAGGUGAAACUGGGUGGUAUGUAUUUGGCUAUGAUAUAGUUUGCAUAAUCGGCAUACCACGGUGCACUAAGUGAAGUGCGGAUGACAUUUAAUUGCUAAUCAGGAAAGUUGUCAUCAAUAGGGAGUGGGUCAUCAAGGACAUUCUCUAGCCUAGACAAGUUAUCUGCUACAGGGUUAUCAGCACCCUUUCGGUCAACGACGUGCAAAUCAAAUUCCUGUAGCAGGAGAACCCAUCUGAUCAGCGUAGGCUUAGCGUCCUUCUUCUCCAUGAGGUACUUAAUAGCAGCAUGAUCAAAGUGAAUAGUGACUUUGGAGUCAACUAUGUAAGAUCUAAACUUUUCACAUGCAAACACGACUGCUAAAAAUUCCUUCUCCGCAGUGGCAUAGUUUCUUUGGGCACUGUCUAGAGUUUUACUAGCGUAGUGAAUGACAUUCAACUUCUUGUCAACUCUUUGUCCUAGAACAGCACCAACAACAUAAUCACUAGCGUCACACAUGAUUUCAAAGGGCAAGUUCCAGUCAGGUGGUUGAACAAUAGGUGUGGUUAUCAAAGCCUUCUUAAGUAUUUCAAAGGCUUCCUCACAAUCCUCAUCUAAAACAAAAGGAACAUCCUUCUGCAAGAGGUUGGUAAGAGGCCUAGAAAUCUUAGAGAAGUCUUUAAUGAACCUUCUCUAGAAACCAACAUGACCUAGGAAACUUCGUAUACCUCUGAUAUCUAUGGGGCAAGGCAUUUUCUCAAUUGCAUCAACCUUAGCCUUAUCAACUUCAAUGCCUCUUUGAGAGAUUUUGUGUCCUAAGACGAUACCUUCAUUAACCAUAAAGUGGCACUUCUCCCAAUUCAAGACGAGGUUGGUUUCUUCGCAUCUGUGUAAGACUCGAUCAAGGUUGCUGAGGCAAUCAUCAAAGGAAGACCCGUAAACGGAGAAGUCAUCCAUGAAAACCUCGACAAUCUUUUCACAAAAGUCAGAGAAUAUAGCCAUCAUACAUCUUUGGAAGGUGGCAGGUGCAUUACAUAAGCCAAAAGGCAUACGUCUAUAGGCAAAGGUACCGAAAGGGCAGGUGAAAGUGGUUUUCUCCUGAUCACAUUGUGCAACAGGUAUUUGCGAGAAACCUGAAUAACCGUCUAGAAAGCAGAAGUGUGUGUGUUUUGAUAGCCUUUCUAGCAUUUGGUCGAUGAACGGCAAAGGAUAAUGAUCUUUCCUGGUUGCCUUGUUCAGUUUCCGGAAGUCUAUCACCAUUCUGUAGCCGGUAAUAAUCCUUUGUGGGAUUAGUUCAUCUUUAUCAUUAGGAACGACGGUGAUACCUCCCUUCUUAGGUACGCAAUGUACUGGACUUACCCAAUCACUAUGAGCAAUAGGAUAAAUGAUUCCUGCUUCCAGAAGCUUUAAUAUUUCUUUUCUAACGACCUCUUUCAUCUUAGGAUUUAAUCUCCUUUGAUGAUCAACAACUGGUUUAAAGUCAGGAUCGGUUUUAAUCUUGUGCUGACAUAGAGUAGGACUAAUACCCUUGAGAUCAUCAAGAGUAUAUCCAAUAGCAGCACUGUGCUUCCUCAGAGUUUUUAGUAACUUCUUCUCUUCGUGUUCUAAGAGGAGAGCACUAAUAAUGACAGGAUAUAUCUCCUUCUCGUCAAGAUAGGCAUACUUAAGAGUAUCAGGCAACUGUUUAAGCUCGAACACAGGAUCACCCUUUGGUGGGGGAGGAUCCCCAAGCAGUUCAACAGGCACAUUAUUCUUGAGAAUAGGAUAUUGUUCUAACACAAUUUUAUCUAUCUCAUCUCUUUCCUCCAUAUGCAUAUCAUUUUCAUGCUCAAGCAGAUAUUGCUCUAAAGGAUCCGUAGGAGGUACGGCAAUAGAGGCAAGAGAAAUGAUUUCAUCCCUACCAGACGACUCUCUUUCAUGGGUUUGUCUUCCAAACUUGGAGAAGUUAAAUUCAUGAGACACACCCUCGAAACUUACUGUGAUAGUCUGCUUAAUGCAAUCAAUGUGAGCAUUGACAGUGUUGAGAAAGGGUCUACCGAAUAUGAUGGGACAAAAGCUAUCUUGUGUAGUACCAAGGACGAGGAAAUCAGUAGGAUACUUCAUCUUACUACACAGGACUUCUACGUCUCUCACAAUUCCCAGAGGGCAGAUAGUGUCUCUAUUAGCUAGCGUAAUAGUGACAUCAAUGGGUUCUAACUCAGCAGGUGCAAUCUCAUAUUUGAUUUCAUCAUAUAGAGAACGGGGUAUUGCACUAACACUAGCUCCCAUAUCACAUAAACCAUGGUAACAGUGAUCUACUAUCUUAACAGAAACAACGGGCAGGCCAACUACAGGUCCGUGUUUGUCUUUCACGUGAGGUUUAGCAAUUCUAGCGGAGUCCUCAUAGAAUUUGAUAACAUGCCCAUCUAUGUCUUCGGCUAAGAGAUCUUUGAUAAUAGCAACACUAGGUUCAACUCUAAUCUCCUCAGGGGGUGCAAGUGAUCUAAUGUAACCCCUACGUAUCACAGUUGGAGCUUUAGAAUAAUCCUUUAUCCUAGCAGGGUAUGGUGGUUUCUCAGUGUAAGCACAAGGAACAACAUGAUCACUAAAAGCAAUGACUUUCUCCUAAACUAGAUUGGUUUUGGCUAUGUUGCUUUCUACGGGAGGAUGAUAUUUAAACCACUUCUCUUUGGGAAGAUCAACAUGAGGAGCAAAAGAUUCACAUAGAGAAGCUACUAUCUCAGAGUCAAGUCCAUACUUAGCGCUAAAAUCUCUAGAAGUGUUUGUCUCAACAAAAGACUUAACGCAAUCAAACUGGAAAUUCGUACCUGACUCCUUACCUUCCUCGAGCUCCCAAUCUUAAGAGUUGCGUUUGAUUCUCUCCAAUAAAUUCCACUUGUGAUCAAUAUCCUUCUUCAUAAAAGAACCGGCACAAGAAGUGCCAAGCAUGGUACGAUCUUCAUGAGAAAGCCGAGCAUAAAAGUUUUGAGUGAUGAUUUCUCUCGAGAGCUCAUGAUUGGGGCAUGAAUAUAGCAUUGAUUUAAGCCUCCCCCAAGCUUGAGCUAUGCUUUCCCUGUCACGAGGCCAAAAGUUAUAAAUAAAGUUCCGAUCACGAUGUACCAAAUGCAUAGGAUAUAACUUUUGAUGAAAUUCCAAUUUCAACCGAUUGUAGCCCCAUGAUCGAGUAUCAUCACAUAGCCUAUACCAUGUCAACGCCUUAUACUUCAAAGAUAAAGGAAAUACUUUCUUCUUUACCUCAUCCUCGGGAAAACCUGCAAGCUUAAAUAAACCACAAACUUCAUCUACAUAGAUUAGAUACAAGUCUGGAUGUGAAGAUCCAUCUCCUGUGAAAGGAUUAGCCAGCAGUUUCUCAAGCAUACCUGAAGGAAUUUCAAAAAAGAUAUUUUCAGUAGGUACCUCAGGUUGAGGAGCAACUCCUCGUGCUUCCGUUCGUGGUGAAGAUACCCCGAACAAACUCCUCAAAGGACAGUUUCCAUAGUGACAAGUGACAAUAAAUUUCAGCACAGUAUAUAAAUGUUUCCUUACCAAUUUCCACUUACCAAAGGCGCUUCACUCCCCGGCAACAGCGCCAGAAAAGAGUCUUGAUGACCCACAAGUAUAUGGGAUCAAUCGUAUUCCUUUCAAUAAGUAAGAGUGUCGAACCCAACAAGGAGCAGAAGGCUCUGAUAAACGGAUUUCAGCAAGGUAAUAACUGCAAGUACUGAAAGUAGCGGUAACAAGUGAUUGUGUAGCGAGGUGAAACGUAGCAAGCAAAGAGUAACAAGUAACAAGUAGUAGAAACGGUGCAGCAAGUGGCCCAAUCCCUUUUGUAGCAAGGGACAAGCCUGAACAAAGUCUUAUAGGAGGAAAAAACGCUCCCGAGGACACACGGGAAUUUCUGUCAUGCUAGUUUAAUCAUGUUCAUAUGAUUCACGUUCGUUACUUUGGUAGUUUGAUAUGUGGAUGGGCCGGCGCUUGGGUACUGUACUUACUUGGACAAGCAUCCCACUUAUGAUUAACCUCUCUCGCAAGCAUCCGCAACUAUAAAAGAAGAAUUAAGACAAAGUCUAACCAUAGCAUUAAACUAGUGGAUCCAAAUCAGCCCCUCACGAAGCAACGCAUAGACUGGGGUUUAAGCUUCUGUCACUCCAGCAACCCAUCAUCUACUUACUACUUCCCAAUUCCUUCCUCUAGGCCCAAAUAUGAUGAAGUGUUAUGUAGUCGAUGUUCACAUAACACAACUAGAGGAGAAACAACAUACAACAUAUCAAAAUACCGAAGAAAUAUCAAAUUCAGAUGACUAUUAUUAACAUGACUUAUCCCAUGUCCUCAGGAACAAAAGUAACUACUCACAAAGCAUAAUCAUAAUCAUGAUCAGAGGUGUAAUGAAUAGCAUCAAGGAUCUGAACAUAAACUCUUCCACCAAGUAAUCCAACUAGCAUCAACUACAAAGAGUAAUCAACACUACUAGCAACCUUACAAGUACCAAUCGGAGUUGCGGGACGAAGAUUGGUUACAAGAGAUGAACUAGGGAUUGGAGAGGAGAUGGUGCUGAUGAAGAUGUUGAUGAAGAUGCCUCCCCUCCGACGAGAGGAGUGUUGGUGAUGACGAUGGCGACGAUUUCCCCCUCCGGGAGGGAAAUUUCCCCGGAAGGAUCGUCCUGCCGGAGCUCUAGAUUGGAUCUGCUCAAGUUCCGCCUCGUGGCGGUGGCGAAACCACGAAAAAGCUCCCGAUUGAUUUUUUUUCCAGACCAAAACCCUUCAUAUAGCAAAAGAGGGGGGCUAGUGGGCCGUCAGGUAGCCCACAAGCUUGCCCUGCGCCACCAGGGGGGUGGUGGCGGAGUGGGGGCUUGUGGAGCCCUAGUGCCCCCCCUCCGGUAGUUCUUUCGCCCAGUAUUUUUUAUAUAAUCCAGAAAAAAUCCACGUAAAUUUUCAGGGCAUUUGGAGAUGUGCAGAAUAGUGGACUAGGAUUUGCUCCUUUUCCAGUCCAGAAUUCCAGCUGCCUGAUUCUCCCUCUUCAAAUAAAUCUUGCAAAAUAAGAGAGAAAAGGCAUAAAUAUGGUACCACAAGUAAUAUAACAGCGCAAAAAGCAAUAAAUAUCAACAUGAAAGCAUGAUGCAAAAUGGACGUAUCAGGGCCCUCUGGAGGUCCCCUGACCUAGAUCUUUCGCCUAUACAAUCCCAUAGAUUCGAGAAAAAUCAGGAGAUCAUCGCAAUCACUUUUCCGCCGCCGCAAGCUUUUGUCUCCGCAAGAUCCCAUCUGGGGCUCGUCCUGGUGCCCUGCCGGAGGGAGGAUUCGGACACGGAGGGCUUCUCCAUCAACACCAUGACCUCUUCGAUGAUGCGUGAGUAGUUCACCAUAGACCUACGGGUCCAUAGCUAGUAACUAGACGGCUUCUUCUCUCUCUUGGAUCUUCAAUACAAAGUUCUCCGUGACUUCAUGGAGAUCUAUCCGAUGUAAUCUUAUUUUGCGGUGUGUUUGUCGAGAUCCGAUGAAUUGUGGAUUUAUGAUCAGAUUGUCUAUGAAUCUUAUUGGAGUUUCUUCUGAUCUCUCUUAUGCAUGAUUUCAUAUCCUUGUAAUUCUCUUCGAGUUGUGGGUUUUGUCUGGCCAACUAGAUCUAUGAUUCUUGCAAUGGUAGAAGUGCUUGGUUUUGGGUUCAUACCGUGCAGUGACCACACCCAGUGACAGAAGGGGUAGCGAGGCACACAUCGUGCUGUUGCCAUCAAGGGUAAAAAGAUGGGGUUUUCAUCAUUGGUUUGAGAUUAUCCCUCUACAUCAUGUCAUCUUGCUUAAAGCGUUACUCUGUUCGUCAUGAACUCAAUACACUAGAUGCAUGCUGGAUAGCGGUCGAUGUGUGGAGUAAUAGUAGUAGAUGCAGAAAGUAUUGGUCUACUUGUCUCGGACGUGAUGCCUAUAUUUAUGAUCAUUGCCUUAGAUAUCCUCAUGACUUUGCGCGGUUCUAUCAAUUGCUCGACAGUAAUUUGUUCACCCACCAUAAUACUUGCUAUUUUGAGAGAAGCCUCUAGUGAACACUAUGGCCCCCAGGGUCUACUCCACACCGUAUUUUUAGCCUUACACUUUUUACUUCGUUGCACUUUCCGCCUUCAGAUCUCACUUUGCAAACAAUCUUGAAGGGAUUGACAACCCAUUUGAAGCGUUGGGUGCAAGCUUGUUUGUGUUUGCCCAGGUACUCUGGACUUUACGAGACCCUCCUUCUGGAUCGAUACCUUGGUUCUCAAACUGAGGGAAAUACUUACUGCUCCUGUGCUGCAUCACCCUUUUCUCUUCAAGGGAAGAACCAACGCAAGCCCAGCCUCUGUCAACGUGUCAACUUCUGGCGCUGUUGUCUGUGGGAUAGCAUAUCUCUACUUAGUGCGGAAGUUUUGGCUGAUAUGAGGUGGAAGCAAGCGUCACAUUCUAAGGGAUCUCUAGUCAUACAACAUUGUUCGGAACCAAGCAACCAUAAUUCAUUAUGUUGUCUUCCUUGUCCAACAUCUACUUCUAAGCAUGUAAUAGUUUAAUGAGUGUUCACAAUCAUAGAUGGUGCCCAAGAUGAUAUAUUUAUAUGUGAACCUAUCCUUCUUUAUUACUUCCUAUUAAUUGCAACAAUGACCAAGGUCUACGUUUUUCCACCCGCAACAGGUUUCAAUCGACAUUCUUUUUAUAUGUGUAUCCAUCACUUCCCAUAAGAUCAAUACAUGAUCUUUCAUGCUUUUGUUCUUUUAUCAUUCUUUUCUUUAGAUCAUGGCAUGAGGCAAGGCCCUUAACUAAAGCACUCUUUAUUAUAUGACUCAUGAGCUCGAUUACAUCGGGGGUAACACAAAGCAAAACUCAAGCCUAGGACAUACUAAGAGUUUUAUUCUACUAGAAAAAGAUAAAACCAAAAAGGAUCGAACUAAGAAAAAGGUAAAAGCAAAAGAUGUGAUGGUGAUACGAUACCGGGGCAACUCCCCCAUGCUUGGCACAAGCCAAGGGGAUUUCCCAUACCCCUGCUCAGUUGUCUUCCUUCGAAGGUGAUGGUGGUGGAGUUGUCCUGUCUUUUGAUUCCAAGAGGGCCAUCAAUCUUUGAUUUAUACCUUGGAGCUCUGUGAUAUGUUUCUCCAGCAAAACAACUUCACGGGUGAGAUAAGUAUUACGAACACGAGUUAUUUCACAUAACCUCAAGAGUUCGAUCAAGGAAGGAGGUAAAAGGUGAAGGUAGGGUUGAAGAAAAUCCUCUUCCUCAGCUUCUUCCUUGUUGAGAACAAACUGCCCUUCGUCCAACGCCGGAUUCUCCUGCUUAGUUUUGGCCUUAGUUUCUUCAAGCAGCCUUUCCUAGGCCUCCAUGACCUCCAUUCUUUUCAGAUCAGCAUUUACUUCUUCAUAGACCUAAGGGAGAUCGUUCUCCUCGACAGAUUCCUGAGACGACAUCCUUGCCCUAAAUCUGCGGCAGAAACAGACCCGAAACGAAAACAGAGGAUAUUUGCGUGAUACGAGGGUCAGACCUUCCGGGAGAAUAUAUAAUGAAUUUUUCCCGACCAAAAGGAGUACUCCGCAAGAAAACGGAGUCCGGGAGGCACACGAGGUGCCCACAAGCCACCCAAGCCCGACCAGGGGGUAGGUUGGGCCUCGCAGGCUUGUCGCCUCCUCGUGCGCUUUCCGGACUACUUUAAUUUUUUCUAUUUUUCUAAAAAUUCCAAAACGUAGAAAAAUUUCUACUGGAAAAGUUUUGGAGUCGGUUUACUUACCGAAUCACAUACCUCUUCGUUUUCGGAGUCUGAAACAGGCUGAUAAAAAUCCCUUAUGUACUCCUCCAGAGUUAUGGUAUUAAUAAUAUUGCUUUCAACGUUUACGGGAGUACCUGAGAUAUAAUGCUUGAUUUUUUUCCCAUUUACAACUCUCGGAAAAUUACCUUCCGUGUUGUUGAUCUUGAUGGCACCGGAACGAUAUACUUCCUCAACAAUGUGAGGACCUUCCCAUUUAGAGAGAAGCUUGCCUCCAAAAAAUCUUAAACGAGAAUUAUAUAGCAAGACAUAAUCACCUACAUUGAACUCACGUUUCUGUAUCCUUUUAUCAUGCCACCUCUUAACUUUUUCUUUGAACAACUUGGCAUUUUCAUAUGCCUGAGUUCUCCAUUCAUCAAGUGAGCUAAUGCUAAAUAACCUCUUCUCACCAGCAAGUUUGAAAUCAAAGUUGAGCUCUUUGAUUGCCCAAUAAGCCUUAUGCUCUAGCUCAAGAGGUAAAUGACAUGCUUUACCGUAAACCAUUUUGUACGGAGACAUGCCAAUGGGAUUCUUAUAAACAAUUCUAUAAGCCCACAGUGCAUCAUCAAGCUUCUUAGACCAAUUCUUUCUAGACCUAUUAACAGUCUUUUGCAAAAUUAGUUUAAUCUCUCUAUUACUUAGCUCUACUUGACCACUAGACUGAGGAUGAUAGGGCGAUGCAAUUCUAUUGUUGACAUCAUACUUAGCAAGCGUUUUACGGAAAGCACCAUGAAUGAAAUGUGAACCACCAUCAGUCAUUAGAUAUCUAGGGACUCCAAAUCUAGGGAAAAUAACUUCUUUAAGCAUCCUGAUAGAGGUGUUGUGAUCAGCACUACUAGUUGGGAUAGCUUCUACCCACUUAGUAACGUAAUCAACAACAACUAGGAUAUGAGUAUACCCGUUGGAUUUUGGAAAAGGUCCCAUAUAAUCAAAACCCCAAACAUCAAAUGGUUCAAUGACAAGUGAAUAAUUCAUAGGCAUUUCCUCACGUUUACUGAUAUUACCUAUUCUUUGACAUUCAUCACAAGACAAGACAAACUUACGGGCAUCCUUGAAGAGAGUGGGCCAAUGGAAACCUGAUUGCAAUACCUUGUGUGCAGUUCUAUCUCCCGCAUGGUGUCCUCCGUAAGCCUCGGAGUGACACUUCUGUAGGAUCUGUCCCUGUUCAUGCUCAGUUACACAAUGUCUAAUAACACCAUCUACUCCUUCUUUAUAAAGGUGAGGAUCAUCCCAAAAGUAAUGUCUUAAAUCAAAGAAGAAUUUCUUCUUUUGCUGGUAUGUGAAACUAGGUGGUAUAUAUUUAGCAACAAUAUAAUUUGCAUAAUCAGCAUACCACGGUGUACUACGUGAAUCAUUGAUGACAUUCAAUUGCUCAUCAGGAAAGCUAUCAUCAAUAGCUUGUUGGUCAUCAAGAACAUUCUCCAACCUAGACAAGUUAUCUCCUACGGGGUUCUCAGCACCCUUCCUAUCGACAACAUGCAAAUCAAAUUCUUUUAGCAAGAGAACCCAUCUGAUAAGUCUAGGUUUAGCAUCUUUCUUUUCCAUAAGAUACUUAAUAGCAGCAUGAUCAGUGUGAAUAGUCACCUUGGAAUCAACAAUGUAAGACCUGAACUUUUCACAUGCAAACACGACUGCUAAAAAUUCCUUUUCAGUAGUAGCAUAGUUUCUUUGGGCACUGUCUAGAGUUUUACUAGCAUAGUGAAUAACAUUCAACUUCUUAUCAACCCUUUGUCCUAGAACAACACCAACAGCAUAAUCACUAGCAUCACACAUAAUUUCAAAAGGCAAGUUCCAAUCAGGUGGUUGAACAAUAGGUGCGGUUAUCAAGGCCUUCUUAAGUAUUUCGAAGGCUUCCUCACAAUCAUCGUCAAAAACAAAAGGAAUAUCCUUUUGCAAGAUAUUGGUAAGAGGCCCAGGAAUCUUGGAGAAGUCUUUAAUGAACCUUCUAUAGAAACAACAUGACCAAGGAAACUUCUUAUACCUUUAAUGUCUGUAGGGCAUGGCAUUUUCUCGAUCGCAUCAACCUUAGCCUUAUCGACUUCAGUACCUCUUUCAGAAAUUUUAUGUCCUAAAACGAUGCCUUCAUUAACCAUAAAGUGGCACUUCUCCCAAUUCAAGACAAGGUUGGUAUCUUUACAUCUCUGCAAAACUCGAUCAAGGUUGCUGAGGCAAUCAUCAAAUGAAGACCCGUAGACGGAGAAGUCAUCCAUGAAAACCUCAACAAUCUUUUCACAGAAGUCAGAGAAUAUAGCCAUCAUACAUCUUUGAAAGGUAGCAGGUGCAUUACAUAAGACAAAAGGCAUACGUCUGUAAGCAAAGGUACUGAAAGGGUAGGUAAAAGUGGUUUUCUCCUUAUCAGAUUGUGCAACAUGUAUUUGGGAGAAACCAGAAUAACCAUCUAGAAAGCAGAAGUGUGUGUUUGGACAAUCUUUCUAGCAUUUGGUCAAUAAAAGGCAAAGGGUAAUGAUAUUUCCUAGUGGCCUUAUUCAAUUUCCUAAAAUCAAUCACCAUCUUAUAGCCAGUAAUAAUCCUCUGUGGGAUCAAUUCAUCUUUAUCAUUAGGGACAACGGUAAUACCUCCCUUCUUAGGGACGCAAUGCACCGGACUUACCCAAUCACUAUGAGCAACAUGAUAGAUAAUACCUGCUUCCAGGAGCUUUAGUAUUUCUUUUCUUACUACCUCUUUCAUCUUAGGAUUUCAUCUCCGUUGAUGAUCGACAACUGUUUUGGAAUCAGGAUCGGUUUUAAUUUUGUGCUAGCAUAGAGUGGGACUAACGCCCUUAAGAUCAUCAAGAGUAUAUCCAAUAGCAGCACGAUGCUUCCUUGGAGUUUUCAAUAAUUUAUUUUCUUCAUGCUCUGAAAGGCUAGCACUAAUAAUAACAUGAUAUAUCUCUUUUUCAUCAAGAUAAGCAUACUUAAGAGUACCAGGUAACUGUUUAACAUGCAAAUUAUUCUUAAGGAUAGGAUGUUGUUCAAAGAUAACUCUAUCUAUCUCAUUCCUUUCAUCCAUAUGCAUAUCAUUUUCAUGCUCAAGCAAGUAUUGCUCUAAAUGAUCAGUAGGAGGCACAACAAUAGAAGCUAGGGCAAUAAUUUCAUCCUUACUAGACAAUUCUUUUUCAUGAGGUUGUCUACCAAACUUGGAGAAAUUGAAUUCAUGUGACACACCUUCAAAGCCAACAGUGACAGUUUGCUUCUCACAGUCAAUAUGAGCAUUGACAGUAUUGAGGAAAGGUCUGGCAAAUAUGAUGGGACAAAAGCUAUCUUGUGUGGUAGCAAGAACGAGAAAAUCCGCAAGAUACUUAGUUUUACCACACAAGACUUCAACAUCUCUAACAAUUCCCAAAGGACAGAUAGUAUCUCUAUUGGCAAGCUGAAUAGUGACAUCAAUAGGUUCUAUCUCGACAGGUGCAAUCUCGUCUUUAAUUUCAUCAUAUAAAGAUUGAGGUAUUGCACUAACACUAGGACCCACGUCACAUAAACCAUGAUAACAAUGAUCUCCUAUCUUAACAGAAACAACAGGCAUGCCAACAACAUGCCUAUGUUUGUCUCUAGUAUGACGUUUAGCAAUUCUAGCAGCAUCUUCACAUAAGUGAAUAUCAUGCCCAUCAACAUUGUCGGAUAGGAGAUCUUUGAUAAUAGCAACGCUAGGUUCAACUCUAAUUUGUUCAGACAGUGCAGGUGUUCUAAUGUAGCCCCUACGUAUCACAGUUGAAGCUUUAGAAUGAUCCUUUAUCCUAACAGGAAAAGGUGGUCUCUCAAUGUAAGCACUAGGGACAAUUGGAUCAUUAUAAACAAUGACUUUCUCUUCAACUGGAUUGGGUUUAACUACAUUGACUUCUAUGGGAGGAUGAUAUUUAAACCACUUCUCUUUAUGGAGAUCAAUAUGAGCAGCAAAUGAUUCACACAAUGAAGCCACUAUCUUAGAGUCAAGUCCAUAUUUGGCGCUAAAAUCAAAAAAUUAUUUGUUUCAACAAAGGAUUUAACGCAAUCAAACUUGAGAUUCAUACCUGACUUAUUACCUUCAUCAAACUCCCAAUCUUCAGAGUUGCGUUUAAUUCUUUACAAUAAAUUCCAUUUGAAGUCAAUAUCUCUCUUCAUAAAAGAACCGGUACAAGAAGUGUCAAGCAUGGUGCGAUUAUCAUGAGAAAGCCGAGCAUAGAAGUUCUGAAUAAUAAUUUCUCUCGAGAGCUCAUGGUUGGGGCAUGAAUAUAACAUUGACUUAAGCCUCCCCAAGCUUGAGCGAUGCUUUCUCUGUCACGAGGCCAAAAAUUAUAAAUAUAAUUCCGAUCACGAUGUACUAGAUGCAUAGGAUAAAACUUUUGAUGAAAUUCCAAUUUCAAUCGGUUGUAGUUCCAUGAUCCAGUAUCAUCACAUAGCCUAUACCAUGUCAAUGCCUUAUCUCCCAAAGAUAAGGGAAAUACCUUCUUCUUGACCUCAUCCUCGGGCAAACUUGCAAGCUUAAAUAAACAAACUUCAUCUACAUAGAUUAGAUGCAAGUCGGGAUGUGAUGUUCCAUCUCCUGUAAAAGGUUUAGCCAACAAUUUCUCUAGCAUACCCGAAGGAAUUUCAUAACAAAUACUUUCAGUAGGUGCAGCAUGUUGGGGAGCAACUCCUUGUGCUUCCGUUCGAGGUGAAGAUACCCCGAACAAGCUCCUGAAAGAAUUAGUUUCCAUAGUGACAAGUGACAAUAAAUUUCAGCACACUAUAUAAAUGUUUCCUUACAAAAUUCCACUUACCAAAGGCGCUUCACUCCCCGGCAACGGUGCCAGAAAAGAGUCUUGAUGACCCACAAGUGUAGGGGAUCUAUCCUAGUCCUUUCGAUAAGUAAGAGUGUCGAACCCAACGAGGAGCAGAAGGAACUGACAAGUGGUUUUCAGCAAGGUAUUCUGUGCAAGCACUGAAAUUAUCGGUAACAGAUAGUAGAGUGAUAAGAUGAUUCGUAGCAAGUAGCAAGUAGCAAUAGUAACAAAGGUGCAGCAAGAUGUCCCAAUCCCUUUUGUAGCAAGGGACAAGCCUGGACAAACUCUUAUAUGAGGUAAAGCGCUCCCGAGGACACAUGGGAAUUUCUGUCAAGCUAGUUUUCAUCAUGCUCAUAUGAUUCACGUUCGCUACUUUGAUAGUUUGAUAUGUGGGUGGACCGGUGCUUGGGUGAUGCCCUUACUUGGACAAACAUCCCACUUAUGGUUAACCCCUCUUGCAAGCAUCCACAACUACGAAAGAAGAAUUAAGACAAAGUCUAACCAUAGCAUUAAACUAGUGGAUCCAAAUCAGCCCCUUACGAAGCAACACAUAAACUAGGGUUUAAGCUUCUGUCACUCUAGCAACCCAUCAUCUAAUUACUUCCCAAUGCCUUCCUCUAGGCCCAAAUAAUGGUGAAGUGUUAUGUAGUCAACGUUCACAUAACACCACUAGAGGAAAAACAACAUACAACACAUCAAAAUAUCGAACGAAUACCAAAUUCACAUGACUACUUAUAGCAAGACUUAUCCCAUGUCCUCAGGAACAAAAGUGACUACUCACAAAGCAUAAUUAUGUUCAUGACCAGAGAGGUAUUGAAUAGCAUCAAAGAUCUGAACAUAUAAUCUUCCACCAAGUAAUCCAACUAGCAUCAACUACAAAGAGUAAUUAACACUACUAGCAACCUUACAAGUACCAAUCGGAGUCGCAAGACGGAGAUUGGUUACAAGAGAUGAACUAGGGUUUGGAGAUGAGAUGGUGCUGAUGAAGAUGUUGAUGGAGAUGAGUCCCCUCCGACGAGAGGAGUGUUGGUGAUGACGAUGGCGAUGAUUUCCCACUCCGGGAGGGAAAUUUCCUUGGCAGGACGGCCCUACCGGAGCUCUAGAUUGGUUCUGCUCAAGUUCCGCCACGUGGCGGCGGCGGCUCCUCCCGAAAGGCUCCUUCUGUUUUUUUUGGAACGAAACCCUCCAUAUAGCAAAAGAUGAGCGCCGGAGGGGCAACAGGGAGCCCACAAGCCACCCAGGCCCGGCCAGGGGGGUAGGUCGGGCGUGGCAGGCUUGUGGCCUCCUGGUGGAUCCCCUUCGGUACUUCUUCCGCCCAGUAUUUUUCAUAAAAUCCAAAAUAAUUCCUCGUUGAUCUUCACGGCUUUUGGAGUUGCGUAGAAUAGGUAUCUCAAACUUGCUCCGUUUUCAGACCAGAAUUCCACCUACCCGCAUUCUCCCUCCUCAUGUAAACCUUAUAAAAUAAGAGAGAAAAGGCAUAAGUAUUGUACCGUGAAGUGUAAUAACAGCCCAUAAAGCGAUAAAUAUCAACAUAAAAUCAUGAUGCAAAAUGGACGUAUCGGUGGACAUUUGGCGUUAGGGUUAGAUGGGUAUUGGAGGCAGUUAGCGGGGUUUUGAAAGGUUUGACCGAACAUUCAAAUAUGUGUAACUAAUUCAAAAAAAAAUCUAAAAAAUGAAAAACCAGCGCAUAUAGUCUUGUUAUGUUACAUAGUUAUGAUAUAAAAUGAUAAACUUGAUGUAAUAAUCUUUGCAUGAAAAAACCUUCAUAAAUUGGGCUAUCUCGACUAAGGUUGCACAGAGUUUAAAAGAGUGAGAAGAGGGUUUCAGGUUUUGAAAAUUCAAAAAAUCAGAAAACCUCACCUUAGCCUCAGUUUGGAGUGACUAAGCAGGAUCUGAAGUUAUUUUUGCAUUUAAAUUUUUUAAACUUGUUUUGUUGCUGACUUUGUAUUAAAGGGUGUUUUUUCAAAAAUAAAUUAAUAAUAUGAAUACUUAUUCAAAAAAAGGUGAGACUUCGUAUCGAUCCUAUAUAGGUAUAAUAUAAGCUAAAAAUAUAUUUUUUGGUGAUUUUGAGAAGGCGUUAGGGUUAGAUGGGUUUUGGAGGCAGUCAACGAGGUUUUGAAAGGUUUGACCGAACAUUCAAAUGUGUGUAACUAAUUCAAAAAUAUCUAUAAAAUGAAAAACCAGCUCAUAUAGUCUUGUUAUGUUACAUAGUUAUGAUAUAAAAUGAUAAACUUGAUGUAGUGAUCUUUGCAUGAAAAAACCUUCACAAAUUGGACUAUCUCGACUCACGUUGCAUAUAGUUCAAAAGAGUGAGAAGAGGGUUUCAGGUUUUAAAAAUUCAAAAAAUCAGAAAACCUCAGCUUAGCUUCAUUUUGGAGUGACUAAGCAGGAUCUGAAGUUAUUUUUUGCAUUUAAAAUUUUUAAACUUGUUUUGUUGCUGACUUUGUAUUAAAGGGUGUUUUUUCAAAAAUAAAUUAAUAAUAUGAANNNNNNNNNNNNNNNNNNNNNNNNNNNNNNNNNNNNNNNNNNNNNNNNNNNNNNNNNNNNNNNNNNNNNNNNNNNNNNNNNNNNNNNNNNNNNNNNNNNNCCGCCGCCUUCGUCCGCCGCUGCUCCGUUUCCCGCGCGCCCAGCUGGGGUACUGCGUAGGGGUUCUUCGUUCGUGGGUGGCGGGGAGGGUUUAAGGGUUCUGCGCCUGCUCUGCUAUGCGAGGGACGUCGUACUGUACUAAUAGGGGGUUUGAAACUACGCGGGGCUUGGGGUCGGGUUCCUCGGACCUUGCGCUGGCGUGCCUCGUGUUCGUCAGUGCUGAUGUAGUGAGUAAUUACGGAAUGUGGCUCCCGUACUGUGUGCUCAGUUGUCAAUUAUGCGUGAUUAUGGCUGCUGUGCCUCGCUGGAGGUGCCCUGCGCGUGCAUGGCACUGGAAUUCUUAGGUUGGGUCGUGGUGCUUCCAUGGGCACAUUCUCAUGGUAAGUGCAAGCUCACCCAGGACGUUGCAUCACAUCAAGGGUGAUACAGAGGUAGCGUUGUUGUGGGCUUGAUGUCGACUUUCUGUUGUUCAAUCCCCACUACUUCGGGUGAGGCAGUCCGUGUGCCGUUUCGGCCGUGUUGAUGCUACCGGCUGUCAUAAUGCACUGUGAGCGGUAGUGUUGUGUUGCGCUGGGAAUGGCAGAUGCUGUUUUUUCCUCUCUCUCUCUCUCUCAANCUCUCUCCCCCCCUCACUUGUUGAUCUAGCUACCGUAUUACUUUGCCUGCCAUCUUUUCUUUUUGGCUGCAUGUAUUACUUGUGAAAGCUUAGAAUCAUUUGCCCUGUACUUUUUGUACGUACCUGCCUCAUGGGAGUAAUCACACACGUUAUCUGUUUUGGUCGAGAGCAUCCUGAAUGUUCAAACUUAUCGAGGAAGGUGCCGAAACAGCCCACAAAGUUCUUGUGUCUUGUCUCUGUGAACUAAUAAUUUGUAUUCGCAUGCAUCUGUCAGGUUCCAAAACCCGGGGUUUACACACCUUUGAUGGCACUGUCUCUCUGAAGAACACUGCAACUGCGCUGUUUGUCCAAAGGGAGGACGAUGGGAUCCACACAUUUGCCCAUUGUCGGAUUUAAUGCCUCCACAACACCAUCGCUAUCCACUAUUCGCCAGAUAAAUUCAGCUGGUGCUGCAUUCCAACCAUCUGCCCCUUCUAGAAACUCCAAGAAGAAAAGUCGUCGUGUCCAGUCAUUAAGGGAUGGAGGCGAUGGAGGCGUGUCAGACCCUAACCAGUCUAUUCGCCAAGGUAACCUGAAAACCAUUUCCUUUCUACAAACUGCACUUUGUUGUCAUCCUCAACUUGUAUAGAUACUUUUAUUGACUCAGAGCAUGUUGGUUUUAGUGUAAGAUAUCUCAAUGCUAGAUCACAUAAUGGCGGUUAUUGACCUUGUUAAAGAUGCAAAUGACUGCAGCAAUAUUUACCUAUUUUUUUAUGUGAUAUAAUAGCACUUUCCUAUAAUGAGUACCCAAUAUUUCUUGAUUAAAUGGUUUUAAUUGGAAGGAUGUUUAAUAUUGAAAAUGAUGUUUUAUAAGGGAAAGGAACAUGGAAGUGCAAGAAUACAUGUAAGCAGCAUUUUAAUUAUGUAUGACUGAAUCAUUUUCCUUACAUAAUACUCCCUCCGUAAAGAAAUAUAAAAGCGUUUAGAUCACUAGUGACGUUUCUGGUAAUUUACUAGCAUGAAGAACAAUAACAUUUGUAAAGUUGGCACCAGUGCUUCUUCUUAGCUAUUUUGUAAACUUCCUCAGUUUCUAAUGCUUAUCUGGAUGUAGGCCUCGCCGGCAUCAUCGACCUCCCAAAGGAGGGCACAUCUGCUCCGGAAGUGGAUAUUUCACAGUAAGUACUUGAGCAUUUUAAAAUUAGCCUAGCUCUCUUUAAAAUGGAAAAAAUGUAUAGUUCAAUCUAGAAUUAUUCUAGAUUAUGCUGAUUUUAUUAUUCGCAUAUGCUGAUAUAUUUGUAGUUUUUUUUACUGAACUACAUAAUAGUUGCUAUACACUGCAUUUGCUCAGGCACAUCACUUUUGCACUGCAUGUAGUAUUUUUGGGCAAACACAAAACACUUUCGGAAAUUCUUUUGCCUAUAAUUUUAAGGGGGGGGGGGGGGGGAAUUUAAGUACCAUCUGAAACCUGUACCCACAUGGCGGAUGAAAGCUCAUUUGAACUUUUUGAUUUAUUGUAGCCAAUUAUUUGUUAUGUUAUAUUGUUAUAUGGUCGCCACUGUAAUGAUUUUGUUCUUUUUUUUCUAGUGGGUCCGAAGACCCCAGGGGAUCCUACCAAAUGAAUGGGAUACUGAAUGAAGCACAUAAUGGGAGGCAUGCUUCCCUGUCUAAGGUUGUCGAAUUUUGUAUGGCAUUGGGCGGCAA